rnacentral:lncRNA from 1 species
UCAUGCUUUUAUGAAAUCUUUAAAAUAAUAAGAGCGCCCUUUCAUAAUCAUGAAUUAAACUUUAGUUUCAACUUCUAUCAAAGGCUAAAUGAGAAAAGCUAUCAUAGAGGAGGCCUCAGCCAAUGGGUAAGAUGCACUAUUAUACCAAACAAUAAGUGAAAAAUACAAUUUUAUUAAUACUUGAGACAAAAAAAAAAAGAAAAAAAGAAAUAAAAGGAUGAUUUUACACUCAAACCAAGCAUUUAUUUAUAAUGAAGUGCAGUCUCCAAACGCACAUGUGGACUUAUUGGAAAAUCAUACAAAUUAUUGAAGGACGACCUUAGCUAGGCUAACAGUCUCCUAAAUAGGCCAUCUUUUAUAUAUCUUUGCAUUCAUCCAUCUCCUCAUUGUCUUUGAUUUUAGAUGGUGAGGAUGUGAAAGUAACAGGAAGCAGUGGACGAUUGUUCACAGUGAGGCUUAGCACAUCAGCUCUCGAAUAAUGUCCUACCACAUCGAACUGGAACUUUGCUUUAGGAAUCUCUCCACGAACAUCUACAUAUCAAGUGAUCAUAAAAAUAUUUCAUCAGUCCAUGAUAAAUAUCAUAGAAUAUCAAGCCUUCGAUAAAACUAAGUUUGCAGUCCUCUUAAACCUAAAGAAUCGACUCAUUUGCCUUAUCUGCAUACUGAAAUAUUUGGAUAUAUAAUUGGAGAACUUAGGGCCAUACCAAGAUCAGCUGUGAAGAGGCCUUCUCCUUCAUAAUUCGGUCCUGCUAGAAUUUCGCCAUGGGGCGAAAUGAUGACACUACCUCCAGCCCAAACAAUAGAAUCUGGAGUGACAUCUUCUUCUGUAGGACUGUAAAGAUACUCAGGUGGAGGUGGGUAAUCUUUCCUCCGACAGAACUGGAUGGGUGAAAGAACAUAGCAUCCACCCUCAAUAGCGACGUGUCUCAUUGUAGCUACCCAUGUAUCCCCGGAAUCGGCAGUAGGAGCACAAUAUAUCUCAAUACCUAUAUAGAUGUACAUUCGUAUUUUGUGAUCAAUCAAUCCCAUAUCAAAGCCAUAAUGUAUUUCAAGCCAAAUCAUAUUAGUUAGUGAAGAAAAAGAAAUGGUAAAAGACAUACCUUUGCCAUACAUUGCUGUCCUGAAAAGUGGCAUUCUAUUUUCCCAACAAAUGACCGAACCAAGUUUUCCAUAUGGAGUGUCAUAAACUGGAGUUGUAGAGCAAUCUCCGAAACCCCAGAAGAGCCGCUCCCAAUAUGUUGGCAUGAGUUUCCUAUGUUUUCCAAGGUAAUUACCUUCAGGAUCAAAGAAGAGAACUGUGCAAUACAAUGUGUAUCCAUCUCUCUCAACAACACCUGUCACUAAGUAGACUUUGUAUUUCGCAGCCAUUGAUGCCAAUCUAUCCACUUCAGGUCCUGAAAAUACAUUAAUAUGAGAUCAAAGAUGAAACAUGUAAGCUGAUGGUUCAUCACAAAGCAUAAGUAUAAUUUUUUUCUUGGUUCAUUCAUCAAACGUGUCUUGUUUCAAUAACUAAUUAAGUGGUUCAGUUCUUUAGCUAUUUAAGGGAGAAAGAGAGAGAUAACUGACCCGGCACAUUAAUGGCAGAAGCAUGGUACUUGCGGAAACUUUCUUUCCCUCUUGGCGACUGGUCGGCGAAGUUGUAUCCCCGGGGAUACCCACCGAUAAAUGCUUCAGGAAACACAACCAGUUGGGAUCCUAGUGCAGCUGCUUCUUUCAAAAACCUCUCAGCCUUAUCUGCUCUCAAAAUCACAUUGCAAGAAUUAAUAAUCCACGACUUAGAAAGUAAAUUAAUUGGUUGAAUGGAGAGAAUGAAAAUUAACUUUAAGAGAUCCCGAAUGACUUUUUGGUUGCUGAGAAAACUCAAGGAAAAACAGACCUAGAUGAAACUUGAAACUCUCAUAUUUUCAGCUGUUUUGUAACUAAGAAAAGAGAAACCACCUCAACCCAACUCAUCAAAAUAAUUGUAAAAGCAGUAAUUCCUUGAUUGGCAGCUGAAAAUAUGAUCAGGGUUCAAUCAUCCUUUUCUUUUUUUCAGUCUCUGAGAAACCAAUUAGAUCACAUAUUCCAUUACACAAGUUGCACAAUUGAAAUUAAUGGUACGUUACCUAGAGUGGCAGGAGUAUCAUAAAAGAUACUAGAAGCUUGAACAACGGUGGCUCUGACAGUUGAAGACAUUGCAGAAAUCGUAUGCUUUUUCGUUUCCCUUUUGUUUGAGGAUGCCUUACACAAAGUUCAGUAUAUAUAUUGCCCAUGAACAUGAGGUUCCUCUGCCAUUACUUGAACGAGACGAAGAGGCUGUGAAAAGUCUGCCUUGGUUUUCUAUAUUCAUUAUGAGCUUUUCUCCUCAUCACAAAUUUUUAAGUUAUCCGCAGACAUUGUGGACCAGCGACAUGACUUGUACAAAUUGAAAAUGACUGUCAUCUGUGAAAAGUAAUUUAAGAUAAAAUUCAAUUCAUGGUUUGAUAGUUUUAGACAAACAAAACAAGUCUUUUUUGCCUUAGAAAAAGGCCUCAACCAAUUAACACACAUACCCAAAUUAUUAGGCUUUUAUUUUCAUUUCUUUUAUAUAUAUAAUGCACAAAGAUAAAUUGUCUUUAGUGUUAAAGCUGAGGCCUUUUAUGACCUCAGCCAUAAAAGAAAAAAAGAAUAGUCAUUAAAAGCACAAGAUAUUUGUCAUUUUUUUUUACAAAAACGACUGAGUCGUACAUAGUGUUAUAGUUUUAGACGCCCAAAAGAAGUCUUUUUGUGCCUUGUAAGAAAACCUCAGCCAAUUCAAGAUGAUCAUCUUUGAACGAAAAGAGGGAGCCGCCCACAUGCAUGGAUUCCAUCCAUGACGUGUACUAUAUAUCUAUAAAACCCAGCAUAUAGCUAAAAACUGGGUCUGACCUUAUGUAUUGGUCCCUACCAAAAAUUAAUGAGUGAUUCCGUCACCCCAGAAUGAAAGGGGUGAUCUCAUAGUUCUUGGUCUGUGAAGAUGCGUUGUUAGGUGCUCCAUUUUAUUUUCCCAUUGAGGCAGAACCUAAACGUUACUAACAUGUUUACUUUCAUUGUGGGUAAUGUGUUUGGGUUCAAAGGCAGCUAUGGUAGAAAAAUAAAAAGGAAGAACUAUGCUUACCCUCACGUUGAUUCAAGCAAAUAUAUUUUUUAGGAAUUCUAAUUUUCAUAUUUCACCCCAAACACAUAAUAAAUAAAUUUAUUCUUCAAAUAUGUAUUUUAAUAACAACCAAAAUGAGAAUUCUAUAGUUAUCCCUUUUAAAAUCUUUAAUAUGACAAGUCAUCAUUUGAUCUAUUUGAUAGCUCUCCCACUUUUUUUUUUUCUCCUCUUCAUCACUUUCUCCAUAUAAUGUCUUUGAUAUCCUUUCCAUAUCAUGUCUUUGAUAUCCUAACUUUGACAUUUUUUUAUUUAUAUACGCUGAAGUGAAUACACUUUCAUAUUUCUUUUCAUUCUUUUAAUAUUUUCAUAUUUAUUAACUUAGUCAUUUUUUUGAAACAUUAACAUAAAAUUAUAAUAUAUGAUCAAUAACUAAUGAGAACAAAUUAAACAUAAAUAUAAGUAUGGAAUGGAGAGAAAAUAAAAUUUUAUCCUACAAAUAAUACAUAAAUAGUUUAAAAUAUUAAUUAUAGUAAUAUAUUUGAUACUUUAGGGUUUAGAUUAAAAAAUUAUGUUUUAUUUUUUAGAGGCUAGGAUAUAGGAUUUCCAUUAACCAAAGAUUUUUUGUAUGAAUCCUAAAUAAAAUGUGUAUUUAUUUUGCAAAUUCUUAUCAUAUAUAAAUAAAAUAAAAUAAAUAUAUUUUUAUCAUAUUAUUUUUAAUUUUUAUUAUUUUGUGUCAAAAUCAUAGUCAAUGAUAUUGGUUUUUGUUAUGAUAUUAGCUCUUAAAAGGAUGUUAUGAUGUAAUAAAUAUGAAGUUUAUUAUUUAUUUAAUGGUAUUUUGAUUUCACUUUUAUUAAUCUUUAUUUCAUUCAUUUUACCUUAUGAGUAUUCUAGCCUGACAUUUCUUGCACUAUACAUAACUUGGGUGCAUUAAAAAUUGCAUGAAAGAUCCAAGUUAUAGGUUCCUUGCAAGUGAAUGAUUUGUUCACAACUGCUUUGUGAACUUAAGCAAUCCAUUUGAUGUUGUAGUUCACUAUCUCUUCAUUAGAGGAAUGAUUGAUCUUGACUAUCGAGAUAGAGUUCUCAUGGUGAGUACACUAGUAUGAUGAGUUAUGAUGUAAACUUGUUGGAUAGUCAUAACUUCACUAAGUUGUUAUAUUGUAUUGUUUUCUCAACCUUGAGAGAAUAUUGAACUUGUGCCAAAGUUUGUAAUUAUUUAACCUAUGGGUGAGAUCAUAAAGUGAUUAUAUAUUCCUUACGAAUUGGGACAUAGUAGAUAGAAGUCGGUAGUAAUAAGUAUUUUCAAUAGAGACAUCAUGAUAUCUCAUGGAAUUUGAGAUAGUGUUGGGUGAUAAUAAGGACAUGUAAUCAUGAAGUCUAUGGUUGCAUUAAUUCUUUAAAUGAAGUUUGAUAUAUGCUUUUGUGAGUUAGAGUAUGUUAGUUGAUCAUAUAAUAAGAGAAUAUGUAACUCAAGGAUGGUAUAGGUAAUAUUGAAAGGCAAAUAACUUUCACCUUAUUAGAUUAUAAACACCAAUUCAUGGGGAGACUAUAUGCAAUAGAUAGCAGGUCAUGAAGUUAAGCAUUUUGUGUCUUGUUGUAAUACACAUAGGGCAUUGAAAUGUAAUUGACUUUCUAUAGUAAGAUGUUGAGCCAACUUUAAAAUUGGAUUAUAAAGGAGCCAAUACUAUCUUAUGGGUCUUAGCAGUCCUCGCUCAAGUUCAUUUAUCUCAAUGACAUGGUUUGUGAGGGUUGGAUUGACUCAUGAUUCACUUAUGUGCAAAAAGGCAUUUUGGCAAGUAUGCAUGAAUGCAUAAGAGUUUGUUGGGAUAAAACCUUAUAAAUCAUGACAUGAUGUAAUAGAUUUAGUUUCAUUAAUAAAUAUAUUUAUUUACUAUUCUAGUUCCCUUAUAUUAUCCCAUUGGCAUUAAUUGGUUAUCAAAGUAUUUGCGUCCAUAUCACUUGCAUUGUACAUGACUUAGGUGUAUUAGGAGUUGAACAAAAAAUCCAAGUCAUGGGUUCUUUGCAAGGUGAUAAGUAGUUUAUAGUGGGUUCAUGGAUUUAAGCAAUUUAGUAGAGACUAUAGUGUACUACCUCCUAAUUGGAAAGAUGACUUGUCUUAGUCACCGAGAUGACUUUCCCAUGAUGAGUGAAACAAUGUGUAUGGUUACACAUUGGACAUGACCUAUGAUGAAUUAUGACAUUAAUUGUUGGGUAGUCAUGAUUUACCAUGAUACUAUAUUGUAUAAACUCUCAACCUUGAGAGGAUAUUGAGUUUGUGCUGAAAUCAAUAGGAAACUUUGAUCUAUGGGUGAGAUCCUUGUGUGGUCAUGUAUUCCUUACAAAUUGGGUCACGGUUGAUGAAGAUUGGUGGCAACAAGUAUUCUUAAUAGAGAUACCAUAAUAUCUUAUGAGAUUAAGACAACGUGUCUCUUGGGUGAUCCUAAAGACAUGUGAUUAAGAUGACUACAACCAUAACAAUCCCUUAGUAGAAUUUGACAUAUGCUCUUUGUAAGCUAGAAUAUGUCAAUUGAUCACUUAAUAGGAGGAUUUGUAACUCAAGGAUUGGAGAGAUAAUUUUGAAAGGUUGGCAUCAUUACCUUGUUAUAUUACAAACACCGGUUCAUGGGGAGUCUACAUGCAGUGGAUAGUAGGUCAUAGACCUAAACUUUGCCUUGUUGUAAUUAUAUAGCAUAUUAGAGUGUAGUUGACUCUCUUUAGUAGGGUGUUAAGUUAACCUUAGAAUUGGAUUCAAAGUGAGAUAGUAUUUUCCUAUAGGUUCCAAUGGUCCCUGCUCAAUCUGGUGUCACAUUUGUUUGAGGGAUUUUAGGUUUGUAGUUAACAAGUGUGCAUAAGGGGGAAUUUAAUAAAAAUACAAGGUUGGACUAGAUCUUGUGAAUAGACUUUCUAGAUUGGCAUAAUUUAUUAAUUGGAUUCUAAUAGGGCUAAUUAAUUAAUUAGGACCUAAGUGAGCUAAACCAGGUAACCUAAGCCCAAUUUGGGCUCAAGUCACUAAAGUUCACAAGGAAGCUUAUAAAUAACUAUUUAAAGCCCAUUGGGUUUUAUGAGUAACUUAAGCUUGCCUUGGGUUUGGGUAACUUAUUAUAACCUAAAAAGGUUCUUAAUUGAGGGCUUAGAUUAAUCAAUUAACUUAGUCUAAAAGUACAAUUCACCAAAUUUAUUGGAAACUUUGAAUUACUCCAUUUCAUGACCCAGGAUCAUAUAGGGUGCAUGCAACUAUCCUUACGCUUCUCUAGAUCUAAUGCAAUGGAAAAAUAUGGAUAUAAAAUCCAUAAAAUGUACUAGAUUUAUAGAUUAGAACUCAUACCUAUGAUUUGAAUGUUUCUAAAUUAAAUCCAAUCCCUAAAAGACAUCAAAGAUGUUUUAAAAGUCAUUUAUUGAACAAUUUUCCACCCAAUCUCUCCUUUCACAGAUAGACCCUAGCAUAAAAGAAGGGUAGGCUUAUGUCCCUUCUUUUUUAAGGUAGCUAGGGUUUGCUCAUUCUUUUAGGGCAUCAAACUCUUAGACUUUUACUUUUUCCAUUCUCUCCCACGUGUCUAGAGAGAAUCUAGUCCCCACUCUUCUAAAUAUCUAACAUUUGAGUUCGUAGCUUUAAUGAUGAGCCAUCAAAUAGAAAACCAAUAGGUUUGCAAGAUUUUCGAUGACCCCUACACAUUUGAUAACCUCCUUGACUGCAAAAAUUUGAUUUGGGAAUAUCUAGAUCUUGGUAAAUACUUCUAAUCUAUAGAUUUAGAUCUAAUUUCUAUUUUAAAGGUGAUUUUUUUUUCAUUGCUAGGGUCUAGAUAAGCCUAGGAAAGUUUGCAUGCACUUAACGAGAUCUAGGGAUAGGGAACUUAGUGAUCUAUGCUUUCUUGUAGUUGUAGCUUUUUGCUUUUAAUUUUAACUUGAGUGUACUUUUGGCUUUUUCUUGCUUAAGCUUUUAAUUUUUUUUGAAUGAUGUACAAUGCAUUUAUUUUUUUAGAGGAAUGUAUUUAUUUUUCUUAAUGAUGUACUUUCUUUUUUGAAGGAUAUACUUAAUUUUAUAACAAAUGUAUUUAAUUUUUUCUAAAGAAUGCACUUAUUUUUCUAAGGGAUCUAGUUGUAUGGCAUAAGAUGUCCUCUCAAGCAGAGGUGGAGGUACUAUAGAUUUUGUAAUAGGCACAAUGAUUGCUAAGGUGGUAUGUGAUGGAGGGACUAGUAUAAAAGCCUGAAGUAAGGGUGUGUCCAAUGAUAUAAAUGGCUCAAGUAAGUAAAGAGAAAAUGGUGUGGAAAUUCAAGUAGGGAAGAAAGGGUUGGUAUGGAUUCAUCGGGGGAAGGAAAUGUAGGUUCCAUGAUACAGAUACCUAAAGUAAGGGAAUAGUAGAUAAUGUGUAAGCCCUAAGUGGGGGUUGUUGAUGCUAGGUCAACUGAAGAUGGAAUCCCUUGGUCGUGGCAGCAAAAAGGUUCUGUCCAAAAGUUGGAGACUGGGCUUUCACCUUCCCUGCACAAAGAUGUCUGGACACACUCUCCAAAACCUAAGUCAGACUUUGAAGUGGGCAGGAACCCUUAGAGAUAGAGAGAGAGAGAAGAUGAGAAAGUCCUUAGUAUUGCGUACCUAGGUUCUGGUUCCAAGAGGGUUUUUAUAGUGUCUAGGAUGGAGUCACUAUUGUGCUGAGUUAACAUCUUGACUUUUGUCGUCAUGAUGGCAGCACAGUGGAUGGCAGGGUAAUCAUCACCAUUUAAGCGGUUGGCAGGGGUUGCUGUGGGUAUGUUAUGAUGGUUUGCCUGUCACCUCAACCUAUUGGAGGUAUGAGGCAGUGUGUGAUAGUCGUCUGAUAUGAACGUGGAGACAAGGUAAGAUCCCAUCCCCCAUACUUUUUUUAGAAAAAAAUGAUUUCCUGCAGCAGAGAGAUAGAGUAACCAUCCGGAAUGCGCUGGCAAUUUAAGGGAGCCUAGUACUGCCGGUUGGUAGCAUGUAUAGUCCAGACUAGGACCUUCGAGUCUGAUGAUGAUCGUCCGGACAACAUUGAGAUGAACACCACAUGGGCCAGUAGUGGUUUGCCACAUGGGGGAAGAUCUCCACAGGGGUGACAAGGUUGGAAUGAAGGUAUCAUGGAAGAGGAAAUAUGAGUCUCUGACAGCUUUGACUUAUUUCUUAAAAUGAAGAUAUAAAUUGUUUUUAACUUUAAGUUACAUCAUUAAGUUCUUUUAAUAAAUAUACUUUACUUAAUAACUAAAAUUAAGUUAUUAAGUCACUUUAAGUUAUUAAGUUAAUUUACCAAACGCCUACUAAUUUUCAAAUUCUAAGUUUAGCUUUGCUUUGUAGUGAAUGCAUUUAGGAUUAUCAAAGAGGUCAUCAAGGGUUUCAAACAUAUUCUAUUGCUCAACUUCUCAAAGAGGGACUUCAGAAGAGAAGAUUCCAUAAUUCUAGUUUUGUAUUCGAUUGUAUGUAUCCUACCACAUGGAGACGAUUCCUCAGCAUGCUGAUUUAUUAUUAAGUGCAUGUGAAUUACGUACGGAAUUCCAAUUGAUAUGAACAUAAAAUUAAUUGAAUUAUGUGACAUUUUUUUUACGCAUAAUAAAACAUAUACAGUUGGAAGAUAUCUCGAGAUUCUGAUUUUAUAUCUGGCCCUCAAAAUUCUAUUUCACUGUCAGGUUGUGGAGCAUAUCCCUUGGCAUGCUGAUAUGUCAACUAUUGAAAAAUCUGCAACCAUUUUCUAUAUUCAUGAGCUUUUCUCCUGUUCGAAUUAGUUUUGAAGUUAUCUACAGACAUUGAUUGUGGACUAACUACAUGACUUGUACAAAUUGAAAAUUACUUCAGUCAUGUGUAAAAAAUAAUAAGAGAUAACAUUCAUUAAUUGUGGAUAAAUUGUCUAUAUGACUUUAAAGAAAAAAAGGUCAUAAAAAAACUGAUUGCCUUGUGGAUACGCCUACCAGUAGAUAGCUGAGAACAAGGUCUAACUCUCAACCUUUUGUACUGCCUCUACAAAGGAACACAAAUUUGAGAGAUUCAAAGGCAGCUAUGGUAUAAAUACUGUUUCAUAAAUUACUUUUCAAAUUUAAUUUGGUAGCAAAAAUAAAAAAUAUAAAAGCUUAAAAAAUUUGUUUCAUUCCCAAAAUUUUUGCAAAUAAAAUUUUAAAUAAAUUAAGACCUUGACUCUUUUCACAUCUUAUUCUCAUUUCUAUCAAAGCAAUGAUAGUAAUAAUAUCUUAUGUAUAAAUUUUAAAUGAUGUAAGAUCAUUGAAUUUUUAUUUUCUUUUAACUUCUUGUUAUGUAGUUAUCAAACAUAUUUUUUUUUAAGACAAGAAAAAAAUUAGACCAAACAAAUAUAUUUGAUAUUUAUAACAAUUGAAAACAUAAUUCGUAUCAUUUUAAAAAAUAAUAAAAGCAAAGGUGUAUCAAAACAAUACCUCAUUUGCGUAAUUAGUUAUCACAUUUCCUAAGUACAAAAGUAGGCAAGUAAAUUUUUGCUCAAGUUACAAUAGUGCUCAAAAUCCUUACCCAAGACUUAGAUCCUAUUUCACUUUUUUUCUUCCUUAGAACAAAAAACAAGAAAAUGUGUUUGACAACCGGAAAAUAAGGUUGUGGACCCCGCAUUUUGCUUGAUGCGUUCCCACUCGAUGGUGAAACUCGUUUUUUUUAUUUAUUUGGUGAAAAAUCGAUUUUUAGAAAAAGACUUGAAGUCGCCACUUAUUUUUGUUUUGUUUUUAAAGAGUAAAUAAAAUAAGAAAGAAAACCCUAAGUGUGACUCCUUAUUUUGGAAAAGAUGGUCUGUGAAAAACCAAAUAUGAGCUUGGGGGUCAGGUUACUUAUUGGGAAGGUACGGUAAAAACUGUAACACCCUUCUAAGUCCCUAAAAAUGGAUCUCUACUAAUAAAAUGAAGCAAGUGUGGAAAAUGAUUGAUCAAUUGUGGAUACCAUACAGUAAUCGAGAGUGUGAAAGCAAGACACGCGUGAUAACAAAUAAAUAAAUAAGCACAAUCGGGUACAAAGCGUACCUUAAUCGCAAGCCAAGAGUUAUCAUAAGAGACAAGAUUAGUGCACAAAUAUGGGAUAAUCGCAUGCAUGUCAUAGAGUGAGGCAAACCAAUCAAACAUAGCAAUCAAUCGAUCAAUGGAAAAUCUCAUGUGUUGGGCCCCACGAAAGCCCGAUUUAUCUUAGUGUAGAUUAACUCCGUAAAUUUCAUUAUUCGAAAUUAUAGAAUUAUUCAUGCUUAUUAAAAAUGUGAAAAUUAGAAAACUAUUAAAAAUCAAGGAGAAUUUAUGAAAAAUGUUUACCGGAAAAAAAUGUGGUGACCAAUUUUAUUAAAGAAUGGAAAAUAUUUAAAAUCAAGAAAAAAAAAAAAGAAAAAUAAAAUAAAAUAAAAUAAAAUAAAAAAUAAAAAUAAAAAUAAAAAUAAAAAUAAAUAAAUGAAUAAAAUAAAAGAAAAUAAAAAAUAAAAAAUAAAAAAUAAGAAUGAAAAUAAAAAAAUAAUAAUAAUAAACAAAUAAAAUAAAAGAUGCAUGACCAGUGGAAAGUGGUAGAGAUUGACUUAUUAGAAUUGGAUUUAUUUAAAACCAUGAGAGAAAAAUUGAAGAAUUAAAACCAUUUGAAAAACAAGAUUUUUUUUUUUUUUGAAAAUUGAUUUUUGAAGGCGUGUAUUUUCCUAUAGGAGAUGAGACAUGUGUCUUAAGGAUGGCCUAUCAAAGGUGGCCAUGCAAGGAUCUUGUGCACUGGUGGUCGAAUAUGGGAUACCAACAACUGAGAUGGCCCAGAUGACUACUGUGGGUCCGGAUGGUUCAGAAUGUCUCUUUCCUUGUGAACCCCUGCAUCCCUUUCCAGCCUAAGUCAACCCCCGAAGCUAUGCAAUUCAGCCAUUUGGGUCCCAAAAUCCUCCUUCUUAGUUCUGAUGCUGACAUCACCAUCUUCUUCAACCUCAACUCUUCCAACAUUGGGUAAACCAUAGCCAUGGCAGCGACCUACGGAUAAACGUUACCUCCCCACCCAUCCGGCACCAGAUUAAAGUCUGUAGAAUGCGGCUUCCCCUUCAGCGCCACUGACCGGAGCUCCGGGAGCCGCCUGAUCACUAUCCCAGGGCUCACAGCGUAGUAGUCCUCGACUCCUCGAUGAAGAUCCGUCAUCGGCUCCACCGCUCCACCUCAUACCACGAUUUGCACACCACAGAUAUCACGUUUCGGUCCUUAUCGGUAUGAAUGAAAGAAAAGACAUGCUCCAAAACCUCUUCCGGAAACGAGUACGCCAUUGAAAAUUCUUUCUUGGAGUUCCGAAUUCACAAACAAACCCUAAAUCGAACUUUUCGAAGUCUCAAAUCCGAGAUGUCAUUAACAAGCUCAGUUGCAGAAUACAUCUUUCCGUUCAUUUCCCCACUGGCUUUGUCCCUGAAGUAUUUGUAGUCCGACAGAUUGUAGGGGAACCUCACUGACAUAUUGUGUUCGGUCUUCUCACUCACCACGACAAGGCUAUAAAGAUAGAGUUGAAACGGCGAAUCAAGAGGCAGCUUUAAGUGAUCGAUUUUACAGAAAGAACCCGCUUCCUCCAUUCCUUCAUUGGAUGAAAUUUUGGAUAAUCAUUCACCAAUUCUAACUUUCAUCUUCACCAAGUCUCGAUGCUUCUUCUUUAAUGAGUGCAACGAAUCUGCAUGUCGGGAGACCAAAUUCUCACGACGCAUAAGAAAAGAAUUUGCACCCGCCGUUACCGAUCCUUCUCCUUUGAUACCAACUCAUCCAUAACUAUGUCAUUUAAUCACUUCUCCAUUUGACCAUCCAUUCCGAACAUGCCCAGAAAAUCAUUGCUACUUCCUGUCCAACACUUAAAAGAAAAAUGACGAUGCCGGGUGUGGUGUUGAAUACAGGACGAAAAUGAGGAGCACGAUGGUGAAAGUGACCAUGCAUAGGGGAAAAAGUGUGGUGGAGAAAUGGGAAGAAUGAAAACAGGUAGUGAGAGAAACGGUGUAACAUAAUGUGCCUAUGCUGUGUUAGGUUAUAUAUGUAAAAACAACUUUUUUGUUUUUGUUUUGAGUGGUUGUCAUGCUUCCACGUGGAGAGAUUUACACAAGUUAAAUCUCUUUGCAUCUGGUUUAAAUUCUGGUGUCUGUACAACAAAAAAGUGAAGAACCGAGAAUACAAAGUGAAAAGAAAUAGGGUCCUCUGUUUUUUUGGGACUGUCUUAACUCCUCUGUUCCAGGUCUGUUACAAGGUGUCACUCUUCCAUUUUUUCUUUCUAUAGCCUUUCUCUGUUUUAGGCUGAAACUGCAGCCAACAUAAUUGGUAUUAGAGCAACCCAUUUCACGAAUCCACCUCUCAAUCUAAUCUUCGAUCCACCUUGCUGUUUCCAAUAUGAUCUAAUCCACUUCUUCUUUUCAAGCCCUUUUAUUUCUUAAAACAUGCCUCUUGUGUAUGGAAUUUUAAGAAAUUUCCUCUGUUUUGGAAAGAGAGGAUACUAGGGUUUCUUUUAAUCUGAAGACCAAAAUCCGAACCUACAAUGUAGCUGAAUUGGUGAUGUUGCUGUGCAAUCAGAUUCUGUCUAGAAACCCUCAAUCCUGAAGCAGACGGACCAAGGACUUGAAGGGUAGAUCAAUGGCCAGCACAAGUGUUACAAGUAUGAGUUCUCAACCUUCUUCUAUUCCAUUAUUUGAAGGAGAAAAUUAUGACUUUUGGUGCGUAAAAAUGAAAACUUUAUUUGUCUCAAGAUGUUUGGGAUUUGGUUGAAAAUGGUUUUGAUGAACCUCCGGUUGAAAAAGAUCAGUUGAAAGAAUUGAAAAAAAUGGAUGCAAAAGCUCUCUUAUUUAUUCAACAAGGUGUUGGUAAUAACAUCUUUCCAAGAAUUAUGAGAGCUUCAAAAGCUAAAGAAGCAUGGGACAUCCUUCAACAGGAGUUCCAAGGAGACAAAAGAACCCAGUCAGUAAAGCUUCAAGCUUUAAGAAGAGAGCUGGAAAAUAUGAAAAUGAAGGAGAAUGAAACUCUAAAUGAGUUUUCUUCCAAAUUUAUGGAGUUAGUAAAUCAGAUGAAGUCAUAUGGUGAAGAAAUUAGUGAUAAAAGAAUCGUUGAGAAACUUUUAAUCAGUCUACCUGGCAAAUUUGACCCAAUUGUGGCUAUGAUUGAAGAAACAAAAGAUCUCUCACUGCUCAGUGUACAAGAGCUAUUUGGGUCUUUAAAAACUUAUGAAUAGAGAUUGUUGAGGCAUUCUGAAAAAUCAGUAGAAAGUGCAUUCCAAUAAAAAAUAAGCCUUAACUCCAGAAAUGUUGAAAGGAAACCUAUAAGCAAUGAAAAUAAAAGUGAUUCAUCUAGAGGUGGUAGAACUGGAUGAGGAAGAGCAAAAGGAAGAGAUGGAAGAGGUAGAGGAAGAUUCAGCUAUGGAAGAAAGUUUACUAACGAGGAAGGCUCAUCAUUCUCAAAGUGUAAUAUUUGUAAAAGAAGUAGUCAUGUUGAAAAAGAUUGUUGGUUCAAAGGGAAGCCUCGAUGCUUCAAUUGUAAAAAAUUUGGGCAUGUUAAAAAAGAUUGCAGAUUUAAGAACAAUCAACAAGCAAGUUGUGCUGAGGAGAAAGAGGCUGAUGAAAACAUGUUUUAUGCUUGUCAAAGUGUUGCUGAGCAAAAGAAUAAUGUGUGGUUCCUUGACAGCGGCUGCACAAACCACAUGACUGGUAACAAAAAUAUUUUCCUUGACAUGGAUACAACCAUCAAAUCAUAAGUCAAAAUGGGUAAUGGUGAUUUAGUGAAUGUUAAAGGGAAAGGCACAGUUGGUAUCCAAACUAAAGUGGGAACCAAGUACAUCAGAGACGUUCUUCUUGUACCAGCCUUAGAGCAAAAUUUGUUAAGUGUGGGACAGCUAGUAGAGCAUGGGUAUAAACUUCACUUUGAAAAUAAUGAGUGCACCAUUUAUGAUAAGGAGCAAAGAAGAAAUUUAGUGAAGAAGAUAAAGAUGGAGAAAAAUAGAAGUUUUCCAAUUGUCUUCAAAUAUGUUGAAAAUGUGGCUUUGAGAAUGGAAGAUGUUGAAGAAGCUUGGUUGUGGCAUAGAAGAUUUGGGCAUUUGAACUUCAAUAGCUUGAAGAUGCUUUGUCAAAGGAAGAUGGUACAAGGAUUGCCAAACGCCAUUGAAGAAAAGAAUGAAGUAUGUGACGGUUGUGCUCUUGGGAAGCAUCAUAGACAAUCAUUUCCAAAGGGAGUCGCUUGGAGAGCAAAGAAGGUAUUGGAGUUAGUUCACACUGAUAUAUGUGGACCCAUGUCUACACCUUCUCAAGGCAACAACAAGUACUUUGUAUUGUUUAUUGAUGAUUUUACAAGAAUGACUUGGGUGUUCUUCAUGAAGCAAAAAUCAGAAGUGUUCUCUAUCUUUAAAAAAUUCAAGAGUUUUGUUGAAAAGCAAAGUGGUUGCUACAUAAAGACCUUGAGAAGUGACAAAGGAAUGGAAUAUACUUCAAGCCAAUUUGGUAAUUUUUGUGAAGAUGAAGGGGUUGAGAGACAGCUUACUGUUGCAUAUACUCCUCAACAAAAUGGAGUAGUUGAAAGGAAAAAUCAAACGGUUAUGGAAAUGGCCAAAGCUAUGUUAUAUGAGAAGGGUUUGCCUAAAAUUUUUUGGGCUGAAGCAGUUAACACUGCUGUGUAUCUUUUGAAUAGAUGCCCAACAAAAGCAUUAUUGAACAAAACUCUGAUUGGAGUAUGGAGUGGAAGAAAACCAUCUGUUAGACACUUCAAAGUGUUUGGGUGCUUAUGUUAUUCACAAGUUCCAAAGGAAAGAAGGAGCAAGCUGGAUGAAACAAGUGAAAAGUGCAUCUUCAUGGGUUAUAGUUCACAGUCAAAGGGUUAUAGGUUGUAUAAUUUGAAAACCAACAAGCUGAUCAUAAGUAGAGAUGUUAUUUUUGAUGAAAAAGCUGCUUGGAAUUGGGAAGAAGGUAAAAUUCUGAAGAAAACAAUUCUUGUUGAUGAACUUCAAACAAAAGCACCAGUUGAAACUGGAAAUGGCAGCACUUCAACUUCAUCACCUCAAGAAUCUCCAAGAUCAGUUCCAUUAUCUCCCUCAAUUGAGUCUCCAACUUCAAGCUCGUCGUCACCAUCCUCAACUCCAAGAAAAAUGAGAAGUUUGACUGAUGUUUAUGAGAGAUGCAAUUUGUGCAUUGUUGAACCUCAAAGUUUUGAAGAGGCAAUAAAAGAUGAAGAUUGGAGGAAAGCAAUGGAAAAAAAAAUUGAUGUCAUUGAGAAAAAUGAAACAUGGCAGCUGGUUGAAAAGCCAAAAGACAAAGAAAUCAUUGGGGUGAAAUGGAUUUUUAGGGUGAAAUGGAUUUUUAGGGUGAAAUACCAUUCUGAUGGUAGAGUUCAAAGGCUUAAAGCUAGAUUGGUUGCAAAAGGCUAUUCACAACAGCCGGGUGUUGAUUUCCAUGAGACCUUUGCUCCAGUUGCUCGCCUUGAUACUAUUAGAACUAUUAUUGCAGUGGUUGCUCAAAAAGGUUGGUUGUUGUACCAACUUGACAUAAAAUCUGCAUUUUUGAAUGGAAAGCUGGAAGAAGAGAUCUAUGUUGAACAACCUCAAGGAUUUGUUGUUGAUGGAGAAGAAAACAAAGUUUACAAGUUAAAGAAAGCCUUAUAUGGUUUGAAACAAGCUCCCCGUGCCUGGUACACUCAAAUUGACAGCUACUUCAUUGAAAAUGGUUUCAUUAGAAGCAAAAGUGAGCCUACCCUCUAUGUGAAGAGCAAAGAUAAUUCCCAAAUCCUUAUUGUUGCUCUUUAUGUUGAUGAUUUGAUUUUUACUGGAAAUGGUGAGAAGAUGGUUGAAAAAUUUAGAAAUGAAAUGAUGAAAAAAUAUGAAAUGAGUGAUAUGGGAUUGUUGCAUUAUUUUUUGGGAAUUGAAGUCUAUCAAGAAGAAGAUGGUGUGUUUAUUUGUCAAAAGAGGUAUGUUGAACAUAUCCUCAAAAAGUUUGGCAUGGCUGGUUGUAAUCCUGUAUCUACUCCUUUAGUUGUGAAUGAAAAGUUGAGGAAAGAAGAUGGAGGGAAGAUGGUUGAUGAAACUCACUUUAGAAGUCUUGUUGGAAAUCUGUUGUAUCUCACUGCAACUAGACCUGACAUCAUGUUUGCAGCAAGCUUGCUGUCAAGAUUCAUGCAUUAUCCUAGUCAUUUACAUCUUGGAGCAGCAAAAAGAGUCUUGAGAUAUUUGCAAGGCACGGUUGAACUUGGAAUAAAAUAUUUCAGGAAUAUUGAAGUGAAGCUAAUUGGCCAUUGUGAUAGUGAUUGGGGUGGCUGUAUUGAUGACAUGAAAAGCACAUCAGGCUAUGCAUUCUCCCUUGGUUCAGGUGUUAUGUCUUGGGUCUCAAAAAAGCAAGGUUUAGUGGCUCAAUCCUCUGCUGAAGCAGAGUACAUUUCAGCUUCAUUGGCAACUUCUCAAGCAAUAUGGUUAAGAAGAAUUUUAGAAGACAUUAAGGAGAAGCAAAAUGAAGCAACACAUCUACUUUGUGACAACAAAUCUGCUAUAGCCAUUGCAAAAAACUAUGUUUUUCAUAGUAGGACUAGGCAUAUUGCAGUGAAGUAUCAUUUUAUUAAAGAAGCUAUUUCAGAUGGUGAGGUUCAAUUGAUGUACUGUAAAUCAGAGGAGCAGGUUGCUGAUAUCUUCACUAAAGCAUUGCCUUUGGAGAAGCUUGUUCACUUCCGAAAGCUUUUGGGAGUAGAGGAACAUCACAUUAGGGGGGAGAAUGUAACAUAAUGUGCCUAUGCUGUGUUAGGUUAUAUAUGUAAAAACAACUUUUUUGUUUUUGUUUUUGUUUUGAGUGGUUGUCAUGCUUCCACGUGGAGAGAUUUACACAGGUUAAAUCUCUUUGCAUCUGGUUUAAAUUCUGGUGACUGUACACAAAAAAAGUGAAGCCGAGAAUACAAAGUGAAAAGAAAAAGGGUCCUCUGUUUUGUGUGGGGACUGUCUUAACUCCUCUGUUCCCAGGUCUGUUCCAAGCUGUUACUCUUCCAUUUUUUCUUUUUAUAGCCUUUCUCUGUUUCAGGCUGAAACUGCAGCCAACAAGAAAAAAGGUGUUAAAACCCAUUUACAGAUAAUCCUACUUUUUCAAGCAGAGUAGUAGGAAGCCUAGAGAGUAUCGAUAGGAAACAUGCAAGUGAGAUGGGUUCAGUUACAUAUAACUGCUCAUGCCUUCUGCUCAUGUUCUGUCCACAGUAUUUAUGUUUAGUAAGCCAUCNNNNNNNNNNNNNNNNNNNNNNNNNNNNNNNNNNNNNNNNNNNNNNNNNNNNNNNNNNNNNNNNNNNNNNNNNNNNNNNNNNNNNNNNNNNNNNNNNNNNAUGGCUGGUUGUAAUCCUGUAUCUACUCCUUUAGUUGUGAAUGAAAAGUUGAGGAAAGAAGAUGGAGGGAAGAUGGUUGAUGAAACUCACUUUAGAAGUCUUGUUGGAAAUCUGUUGUAUCUCACUGCAACUAGACCUGACAUCAUGUUUGCAGCAAGCUUGCUGUCAAGAUUCAUGCAUUAUCCUAGUCAUUUACAUCUUAGAGCAGCAAAAAGAGUCUUGAGAUAUUUGCAAGGCACGGUUGAACUUGGAAUAAAAUAUUUCAGGAACAUUGAAGUGAAGCUAAUUGGCCAUUGUGAUAGUGAUUGGGGUGGCUGUAUUGAUGACAUGAAAAGCACAUCAGGCUAUGCAUUCUCCCUUGGUUUAGGUGGUAUAUCUUGGGUCUCAAAAAAGCAAGGCUCAGUGGCUCAAUCAUCUGCUGAAGCAGAGUAUAUUUCAGCUUCAUUGGCAACUUCUCAAGCCAUAUGGUUGAGAAGAAUUUUAGAAGACAUCAAGGAGAAGCAAAAUGAAGCAGCAUAUCUACUUUGUGACAACAAAUCUGCUAUAGCCAUUGCAAAAAACUAUGUUUUUCAUAGUAGGACUAGGCAUAUUGCAAUGAAGUAUCAUUUUAUUAAAGAAGCUAUUUCAGAUGGUGAGGUUCAAUUGAUGUACUGUAAAUCAGAGGAGCAGGUUGCUGAUAUCUUCACUAAAGCAUUGCCUUUGGAGAAGCUUGUUCACUUCCGAAAGCUUUUGGGUGUAGAGGAACAUCACAUUAGGGGGGAGAAUGUAACAUAAUGUGCCUAUGCUGUGUUAGGUUAUAUAUGUAAAAACAACUUUUUUGUUUUUGUUUUGAGUGGUUGUCAUGCUUCCACGUGGAGAGAUUUACACAGGUUAAAUCUCUUUGCAUCUAGUUUAAAUUCUGGUGUCUGUACAACAAAAAAGUGAAGAACCGAGAAUACAAAGUGAAAAGAAACAGGGUCCUCUGUUUUUUUGGGACUGUCUUAACUCCUCUGUUCCAGGUCUGUUACAAGGUGUCACUCUUCCAUUUUUUCUUUCUAUAGCCUUUCUCUGUUUCAGGCUGAAACUGCAGCCAACAAAUGGGAAUGAAAUGUGAUCAUGCAUGCAUGAGGAUAGAUGGAUAGCGGAGGAAGUAGGUUUAUAGGUGCUGAAAGAAAUGGGUGUUUAGGUUGAAUGGAAGGUGGAGAUGUGGGGCGUGGUGACGGGUAUGAUUGAUGGGCUCGGUGGGUAUGAGAAGAAGGAAGAUUGGAUAGUGGGAGAAAUGGGUAUCGAAGAUGGUCGUGUUUGCAUGAUUCCCAUGCAUGCGUGGAGCUUCAGGCACGUGAGAAAUGAUAGAAAUGAGGUCAAGGUUGGUUGGAUGAAUGAUGAGGGUGGAUGUGUUGGUUUUGAAACCAGAUAAAUAAAAGAAAAAACGGAAGCCAAAAAAAUUUUCUCAAAAUUUUUUCUCAAUGAUCAAUACUUGUAUUAAUUUAAUGAAAUAACAAAUAUAGGUAAAUUAGAAUUGUACCUUGCGAUUAGGCUGAUAAAUUUGAACUUCACCAAAAGGAUCUUAGAAUUCCAAAUCCUCUAAAGCACCAUGGAUCUUUCUCUAACGUUCUCCAAAUUAUGAUGAACUCAAAACGAGUGGGCGUUUUUCAUUCUUGGGUUUUUUUCUCACACAACUUAAUAUAUAUUGAAAACUUGUAUUCUCUUCCCAUCAUCCGAGAAACAUUGAGAAAAAAAAAAUUUAAUACCACGAAGAAAAAAAAAUAACUGACAUGUUUUGAAUUUUGAAAAACAUGGGAGAGAAUAUCUCUCCCCAUGAUCCCCACUUAAAAAGUGUUUCUUUGAAUUUUGAAAAACAUGGGAGAGAAUAUCUCUCCCCAUGAUCCCCACUCAAAAGGUGUUUCUUAGGGAAUACAAGUAAGUGUGGUUUUCACCACAUUGUAUCAAAAAAUAUUUUAAAUAAUCAAAUUAUAAAAUAAAUAAAUCAAAUCAAGAUUGUGUGAAAUUAAUUUAGAAUUUAAAAUUCCAAAACUAAUAAAAUCAACCCAACAUAAAAAAAUGUUCAUAUAAUUUUAAUGGAGCCGUUGAGAGGAACUAUGGACAUUAUAAUUUUAAGCUCCAAUAAUUUUGACAAUUAAUUAACAACUUAAUUAAAAAAUCAAAAUUAUUAAUUCCAAAAUUACUCCACUAAAAAUUUGGAAUUGCACUCUUAAAAUUAUAAAAUUAAAUAUAUUCAAAGGAUUUGAAUUGCCCAUUGAUAUAGUCACUACAUAUGAGUCAAUCCUCCAUAAACGGUUCAUAAUUAAAGCUAGGUUUUUCCGUUAACCUCUUUAAUUAUAUCUUUCUCCUUAAGUGCCAUUGGUUCUCUAAUGAAUAAUAUAUUUAUGGUCUAAUCAUAAAUUGAGCGCUCUUAUCAUUCAAGGCCCGAACCAAUACUUAUGGGAACCGUCCAUCUGACUUCUUAACGAAGGAAUGGAUUUCAUCUUGUAUAUUAAUAUUCCCGGCUAUUUAUUUUAUUAUACUUCCAAUACACCAAGAAUUUGACACUAUGUAUUUGUGUCAUUACCCGGUAUGUCAAAAAAUACAAUAGAAUAAAUAGGAGUCUAUUAAUCACUCAGAAUUAAGAUCAAUGCAUAUAUGACCAUCAUUGAUUAAUAUUAAAUGCUCUAUAUUAUAAUGGAAUUUAUCAGAGAUUCAUAAUUAAUCGUGUUCCAGUCCUAUAUAAUCAAAUUAUAUAAAGCGCUUUCAAUCUAAUAAUCUCAUUAUUAACAAUCCGGAUAAGAUCAUUUCAUUCAGAAUGUAAUGAACCGCGCUAGUAAUUUUAAAUUAAAGAUCCCAUCUUUAAUUUUUAAUUACGAACAUAUUAGAUUAUUUUACUUUAAAUAUUAUCCUCUUGUAUAUAACACUUAUAUACAAUAUUUAAAGUUUCAAUUAAAUAAUCUAGGGUUUUCGAUAUUUAUAAAGCAUCUAUAACAUGCAUGCAACAAUAAUAUUGAAAUAAUUCCUUAAAAAAAUAUUAAUAAUCAGCAAAAUAAAAAACAUCUCAUUUGUUUAUGGGCACAUAUUCCAACAGGAUGGUAUAGGAGAAACGAGCAUGGGGUUGGUGAGGUGGGUUAGUGUGGCCGUGUAUGGCCAUGCAAAGGUGGGAGGGAAUGAGAUUGAGAAGAGUGAAAAAGGGUAGAGAGAGAAAUGAGUAUGAAAGAUGAGUGAGUAUGUGAGGAUUGAAAAUGGAACGAGGUGAAGGUGGCCAUGUGCAUGAGAUUUUCAUGUACAUAGAAAAAUGAAGGAAAUGGGUAUUAGUGAGAGAAAUGGGUAUGGUGGAGUGAAGGAUGAAAGGGUGGCGGGAUUAGAUGGGCAUGGAUAGUAAGAGGUUAAAGAUGGGGAGGAUGGGUGUAGUGGUGAAACAGUGUGCAUGAAGGGUACGUGGUGUAGAGGGAUAAAUGGGUUCAUACGUUUCAAGGAAAGGGUGAUAUGCAUGGGAGGUUAUGAAAGAUAAGUAUGGAAAUGGGCAUGAGAAGGUGGGCAAUAUGGGUAGGAUGAGUUCGAUGGGUGUGAAGCGAUGGGUUUGAUGGAGGAUAGGACGGAUGAGAGAUGAAGGAUGAAGUGGGUUAGAGAGUAUUAAAGAAGUGGUGGUGCAUAGAAGGUUAGGGAGAAUGAGGGGAUGAGUUUGGGUGUGAGUAUGGUUACGAGCAUGGUGGAGUGAAGGAUGGAGUACAAAAGUUGCAGGAAUGAUGAGAUGAGGUGGCCAUGUGUAGGAAUUCCAUGCAUGUGGGUAGGAAACAAAUAGCUGGGCAGCAAGGUGAGUGACGACCUGAAAACUCUCAUCAUCAAGAGCAUGGGUGGCAGUGGAACAAAUCUUUUCCUCAAACCUUUCAGCAAUUUUCCAUAUCUCACAUAGUUCCUCGGAAUCAGACCUUAACUGAUCUAGCUGGCAACUCUUUGAAGGGAUGAGUCAUAAGGUUACAUACCAAAGAGAUUCUUAUGGUUCCACACCUCAGAGUAUAGUUCCCGUACCUAAGAACGCCUGAACAUCAGGAGCAGAGGGAAAGUAGCAAAGACGGAGCAUAGAUGAAGAAAAUAAGAUUAACCAUCAAAAGCCACACUUCGUGUCCUAGUCAGUGGGCUUAAAGAUAGGUGGAUUAAAAGAGUUUCUAAAUGGCGCGAAGGAGAUAAAAUGGAGUUGAAACAAUUUUUGAACACAAACAGGAGCAAUAGAGGAACUGUCAACUAUGAAGAAAAAAAAACCAUAAAUCAUCCAAAGAUCAACAGCAACACAUCUAAAUAAUAGUAGAUGAAAAGAAAAGAAAUAUACACAGUGGAAGACUUACUUCUGGGAAAAUGUUGGAGGUCCUUCUUCUCUGCUUCUUCUUUUUCUCUUCUCCCACAACUCAUUUUUCCCUCAACUAUUUUAUUUUUCUCUUCCAGAACCCUCCGGAACCAAAGGUGUCCCCCCCUCCAGAUACUACCCCUCAGUUCAAAAAUAUCUCAUGUCUCUCUGAACACACUCCUCUCUCUCUUCGAUUCCCUCUCAAUCUUCUCUGAAAAAAAAACUCUCGGCCCCCCUCCAAAAAACGCCUUUUUUUCUCUUCCCUAAGCUAUCUAUCCCCUUGUUACAACCCACAAAAAUGUCUUUCUUGUCAUGUAGCCCCAUUUUCUGUUCAGUUCUGUCUCCUCUCUUCAAACGGUUGUGUCUCCCCUUUUUGAAACAACUCACCAUCAGCUGCUUUUCUUCCUACUUUCCAUCCCGUCUAGCCACCCAAAAACAACUCAUUCCCAGUCCUCUUUGGCUGCCCAAGAACGGCUCACCCAUCAUCCGCUUUCUUCACCUUCCGUCUUCUUUGGCUGCCCGAGAACGACUCCUUCUCAGGGUGGCCAGAAAAAUAAAAAAAAAUAAUAUGAAACCCCUCCAUCUCAAGGGUCUACAAAGGUGUUUUCAAAAAACAUAUAUUAGUUGUUUUUAGUUUUCUUCAUUAGCUUGGUUGUUUUAAAAAAAUAAUUAUACAAAAAAAAUGAUUAAAAAUAUAAUAUUAUAUACAAAAAUUAUUUAAAAAUUAUAUGCAUGAGUUUUGGAAAGUCUUGCAAAAUAAGCAAAGCUAUAGGAAAAAUAUGCAAACAAAAAUUUGUAUUAAAAUCAUUGGGGGCGGACAAUAUUUGUGGAAAAAUAUUUUUUGCCAAAGAAUAUUUUUUAAAGAUCAAUUGAAAGCCUAAAGCGACUUGUUCCCAAAUGAAUUUAUUGAAUGGUGAAGAGCAUGUAUGUUGCGAUUUUUUGGAUUUGUAGGGGGUAUUUUAUAAAGCUUUUUUUCUCUUUGUGAAACUUCUUUUCAUAUGUGAAAUUGUUUUAUUUUUUUAUCAUUUUCAUUGAAGGAAGUUGCAGAUAUUUAUAGAUGAAAUUAAAAAAUUAAAUUUAGAAUUUCUAAGAUUUGAUUACUUAAUUAAAAAAAUUGGUUUCUUAAUUUUAGCAACUUGUCUUUUUCAUUAAGGAAGUUUGCUAACAAGAGAUUAUUUACUUCUCAUUUUCUUUUGACUUCAAUUGGAAGAUUUGUUUCAUUUGUUUAGAAAAUUUGCCAACGAGAAAAUAUUGAUUUCUAAUUCUUUUUUAUUUCAAUUUUUUGAUUUGAUUUGAUUUUGCAAGACUUUAUUGUAUAGCCUUCCAAAUUUCGCUACAUGCCAUUUUUUGAAUCAAAUGCCACAUGUUCAAUAUAUAUGACUCAUCACUUAUCAAGCCCAAAUUUUGUUGAGCUAAGGAGUUACAAUUUUGAAGACUAAUUUGGUAGUAUUUUAAUCCACUAAAAUUUUUUAUGUUUACAAAUGCCCUGAAGACAGAUCACACACAUACAUUGCCAUGUAUAAGAGGUGAAUCUUGAAGUUAGCCAUUUGAAUCUUCCAUAUCCUUCUUUGAUUUUAUUUUUUUCGAAGAAAUAUUUUAAUAGGAAAUUUCCUAUUCAAAAUACUUUUCUUCAACUUUUUCCAAACACUACUUUAUUUAUUUAUUUAUUUAUUUAUUUAUUUAUUUAUUUAUUUGCCUGGUAUCAAAGAAAGACCUUGUGUUAAUGGGAAAGCUUCUUAUUUGAAUAUCUAUUUUCUUUUCUCAUGGUAUUUUCACUUCCAAUUUGCCAUCCUACAAUAAGUCCUUCACCCUAGCUUGGUCAAUUGCAUCUUAGACUUGUUCACAUGCCUUUAACUUGUAAUUCAAGUUCCAUUUUUUUUUGUUUAAAAAAUAAUACAAUAUAUUUGAGCAAGACCUUAAGCAAGAGAAGAGAGGUGGAGGAUGGAGCACCAGCUAACCUUAGGGCAAGAUCUUGAGCAAGAGAAGUAAGGUGGAGAAUAGAGCACAAACUUCUUUAGAGUAUGGUAGGCAUGUCGUCACAGAGUUAUCUUCCACAUGGAGCAUGGUAGGGCAUUAUAUAUAUGAUAGGGUGUGCCAUCAUGUAACAAUGAAGAACAACAAUCCAUGGUGUACAAUUGGGAACAACAAUUCAUGCUAUCAAGAUUCACCUGUUUUUAUUUAUUUUUUAUUUUUUAUUUUUAUCCCUAUCUCCACCCUCGACUCCAUUUUUUUUUUUUUCAAGUUUCUAGAUCCCUUUUGAUUCUUUCUCAUUUUCUUUUUUCAACUCUUUUUUUCCCUCCUUUUUUAAGCAUUGUUCUUAAGGAAAAAAUAUAAUUUACGAGUACCUGGAUUCUAUUCGAAUAAAAAAGAGCCAUUCACAUGCAUGGAUUAAAUAUAUAUCUCAUGGAUACAUUGUACUUAGCCACGGCUGAAGCUUUCCACUAUGACUUAGAAACAAAAAAAGAAAGAUAUGAUUAAAAAACUGAUUGGCAUGUGGCUGUGCUUGCCAGUAGAUGGCUGAAAAGUAGUUCUGACCUUUUGUUUUGGCCUCUACUAAGGAACCCAUUAUUGAGAGAUUUAAUGGCAACUAUAUAUGGUAUAAAUAAUGUUUCAUAAAGUACUUACACAUCUUAUUCUCAUUUCUAUCAAUGCAAUAAUGUAGACCCCCAUGUGGGGCUUGAUCUGCUGCAGCACAUUUGGCCACGUGUCACUCUCCGAUUGGCCAUCAUGGAUGCUCUUGAAGGCCAAUCUGGGGUCGACACGUGUCAUCAUGGAAUCAGACAAAAAUCUUUUUUUGGCUGUUAUUUGAGGGAGAAAAGCGGCUGCAUGAAGGUGGUGGUCUGGCCGUUUUGAGGAGUGCUUUUGGGAAGGCUGCAGGGUAGUGGUGCAGGGGGUGUCGUCUGGCAGCUGCAUUGAGAGUGAGAGAAAAAGGAGGGGAGAGACUGAGAGGGCAAGUGUUCACUGUCGUUUUGGCAUUGGGAGAGGGGGGUUUUUUUUUUCUAGAGAGAACAGAGAGCUAGAGGGAGAGUAAGAGUUUUGCUGGAAGGGAUUCCUUGAGCUGAGGCUGCCGGAGAGAUAUUUUGAGAGGGAGAGGUUUUUGGUGGCUGUUUUUCUGCAGGUCGUAAGGAAAACAGCCAGAGAGCUAGAAGGAGAAAGGGAAAAGAAAAAGCUAAGAAAAACAAAGCAGAGAGCUUUAGUGAGAGAGAGGAUUCCAGAGAGCACUGAGAGGAGAGGUUGCAGAGAGGAGUCCAGGGAGAGUUUCCAUUAGAGAGAGAAAAACAAAGGAAGAAGAAGAAAGGCAAACUGAGAGAGAGGGAGGAGAGAAACAGAGUAAGCUACAGGAGGUAUGGAGCAGAAAGAGUGAAGUAGAGCAACUCGAUACCCAUCUGGUCUUGCAAGAAAGAGGUGUGUUCAGGAUUUGAGAGAGGAGCAGGUGGGAUUAGAGAGGGUUCUUUGGCAGCUGCAGGGAAGACAAGGGAGGAUCUCCAAGUAAGUUUAUCAUGGUUUUCCAGUCUUUUUCUUAUUAUGAUAAUUGAUCCAUUAUUCUUCCUGCUAUUUCUGGGUAUUGUUUGAUGGCUUGAGCGUGGAUGCCCCCCAUUGUUUGAUUUCUAUUGGUUUCAUGGUAUGAAUGUGGAUUUAUUGUUAUAGUUUUUUUUGUCUCUCUUUCCUCUUGGGUUUUGCUGGAAAAUAACCUCACUCUAUUUCAAUUCCACUGUGAAAUGCUUGAGAAUCAUGACUUGUUCAUAUUGGCAUGAAUUUUCCCACCUAGUUAGCAGGCUCCCUGAUAACCCAUGAAGUGGAGCCUCAUUUGAUGAUAACUUUAUUUUGUUUUUCUUUUAUGUUCUGUUUUCCAUGGCUUCUUCUUUCUUGUGGCUCUUAUCUAAAUGCAUGGGAUGUGAGGAAAAGACCAGGAUCUUCAAGAUCUCCAAGCUGAAGAUGUUAUCAAGGAGCAAGCAAGUCAGACUUCUGUAUAAGUUCCACGACCCUAGGGAAAUGGUCUGAGAAGGUCUCUCGUGAAGCUAUGUAAGGUUGGCCGGAAGAGUCUUUCUAUGUUUCAACAAGCAGUUUCUGUGGACUUAGUUGGGUGCUGGACUUGGGUUUUAAAUGGUGGCCAGUGGAGAGCUUUUCGAAAAUCUCUUUCUAUUCAGGAUAAAGAGGUGCUCAAAGCCCGGGAUUUUGUUUUGAGUGAGGCAAGGAAGUAUGAAAUCGGGUUCAUAUUGUCAUUAAGUAAUAAUUGGGGAGAAUAUGGUGGCAAAGCAUAGACAACAACAGGCUCCCUCUGGUCACGGUACUGCUGAAAAUAAGGAAAGAGUCUUUCCAUGCUGGCAUGAGUGUUGAUGAAACCACCAUUACCCUACUCUCGCAUGGCUAUCUAUUUGCCCAGUUUCUCAUACCCACUUUCAUAUUAGCCUUCUCAAACCUCCCAGCAUGCUGUUUUUUUUUUUUUUUUUUUUUCUUGAAAUCUCACGGAUCAAUUCAUUCUUCUAUGCCCUUUACCCUUCAUGCAUACUAUUUUACCACCACAACCAUUAUCCCCACUUUCAGCAUAAUACCGAAAAUGCCCAUCAAGCAUUUUUUUUUCAUUUCAUAUUAUCCCUUCCACUAAUUUCCCACUCCCUAUUCCACACCAUACCCCCCGUGGUAAAUAUAGUCAAUGUUCUGACCCAAUUUUUUUUUUUUUUCUUUUAUCCCAUGCACGGAUCCACCUUUAAUAGACCCUACACAAUCAUCCCUUGGGACCCGAACUCACAACCCGUUUUCACUAUCAUCCUUCUCGCUCCUCUGUUUGUAAGUCAUUCAUGCCACUUUCCAGUUUUGAUAGAAAUGGAGCAGUUCCAUUGAUGUUUGCAGGGCUGCAAAUAUUCAUACCAGUAGGUAACCAUGCUAUCUCAGGACUGAAGUCUCGGAUCUUGGAAGGGUUCUCGCAGCGGGGUUACAGCGUUUUGCUCUCUUCACGAUCCGUGACUGCAGCAUAGUCGUGGUUUCCAAGUACAAUAUGGCAAUGGAAGUCAUUCAAGGGCUUUUGAAUGCAUAAUCAGUCGAUGGAGAUAUUCGGAAACAUGCAGAAGAGAGUUUAAAACAGUUCCAGGAGCAAAAUCUUCCAAAUUUCCUACUAUCUCUUUGCUUUGGCAAACUUUACCGAUGGUAUGGAGCGUGAUUAUAUCAUGAGAGUUGUCUGUGAAGCAACUCUGUCUCCUGAAGUCAAGAUAUUAAUAAAAGAGGUAGUGAACAUCCAAAGCAAGGAGAUGAUGAAGACGCUGAUGCUUCAGAUGAGAACUACAAUGGUUGAGGCAGAAAUUGAAGAUUGGACAAGGGAUUAUAGCAUCCGUACCUUGCUGAAGUUGCCAUGGAUAAAGGGCCCCUCUUCCAUCAAUUCAAACAGGGAUUACCUUUUGUUCUUUUCUGAGAGUUACAGAUUUUAUGGGAUGCAAUUGGGGCCCGCCAUGCAGCAUUAUUGACGUCAAAUUCACAGCUACAUGCUGAUAGUUUGGAUGAUAACAUGUGCGGCACAACUGUAAUAACAGUAUUGAUUCGUGGUCGGGCUAUAUAUGUUGCUAACUCAGGGGAUCCCAGAGCUGUUACAGUAGAAAGAAAAGGGAAGGAAAUUGUAGCUGUUGAUUUAUCAAAUGAUCGUUACCAUCCAUGCAGACUCUUGGUGGAUGACAUGUCCAGGGAAGCAUUUCCAGAAUCCUGAUGUGUAAAGGUAUAGCAGGAGGGAUGGUUGGAGAGUUGCAAGGGUUACGUCGCCCACUCAUUUGAGGUUUGAACUUGAUGUGCUAGCAUUCUCUGGUGCUACUUUAAUAAGGGUUUGGGUCACUUUGCUCUUCCCCCAGUGAAGCUGUGAACUGCCAUCUGUCACUUCCUCAAGUCAUUAUAACCCCGGUCGUGGUCUUCUCUCCCGUGCUAGGUCUCUCAGACUUCCUCAGGGCAUGCCUUUUUUUCAUUUUGCCUAUUCCCUAUUAUUGUUACUAUUAUUAUUUUCAUUUCUCUUUUUAUUAUAUUAAAUUUAUUUCACCUUUUAUUAUUAUUAUUAUUUUCUUUAUUAUUAUUAUUAUUUUAUCCUUGUUGUUUUCAAAAUAAUCCAUCAAAUUCCAGCUUUCAAAGGGUUUUCCAAAUUCCAUUUUUAUAAAAUUUAUUUACUUUUAAUUUUCAUCUUUAGUUUUUUUAGAAUCCCUCAAAAAUCUCAUUUCAAAUAAAAUUCACCGCCAUUUUUUGUUUUGGCCAGUGACUUUCACAAUUCCUCUGAUUUUCAAAAUGUUUUAAAUAAGCUAGAAUCGAAUUCCGUAAUUCCUAGUGAUGGAAUUUAUGGAAUUAAUUCAUGCAAAAAUGAAUUGGGCUUUGGUGGGGGCCCUACAUAUGAGAUUUCAUGAUUGAUUGACUGAUUGAUUCAUUCAUUAGCUAUAUGUGAUUGAUUUACUCUGUUUCUUGAUAUACACAUUAUCCUUCUGUGUUUGUUCACUAACCCUGUUUCUGAUAGCGCGUUACGGCUCGCGGCCCAGGUACGCACUCUCUAUACCUAUUCUGUUUUUUUUUAUAAGUGUAAGAUGGAUUUGAGUAUCCAUUGAUUUUUCCAUUGAUUGUCAUGUCAGCUUCAUUUUAUUAGUAGAGACCCGACUUUAGGGACUUAGAGGGGUGCUACGGUCUUUACCGUACCUUCCCGAUAAGUAACCUGACCCCCGAACCCGAUCCGGUUUUUCAUAGACCGCCUUUUCCAAAAUGAGGAGUCACACUUAGGGUUUUUCUUUCUUAUUUUGUUUACCCUUUAAAAAUAAAACAAAAAUAAGUGGCGACUCCAAGUCAUUUUCAAAUAAUCAAUAAAAUCAAUUUUUCAAAAUAAAAAUCGAGUUUCACCAUCGAGUGGGAAACACAUCGAGCUCAGAAUCGAAAAUGCGGGGUCCACAAAUAAUCAUAAUCAUCUUAUCUAUAAACAUGGCCUAGAGCCACAGAGCUGCCUUUUCUUUAGUCCUCGAGCCAUUUCAGCUAAAAGUAGUCUUUCCUUAGCAUUUCCGGUUCUAAGCUCCCAUUUCUUUAGGCCUUGAGGCAUUAAUUUUCAGCCCAGAGCUGCUUUUUCUUUCGGCCUAAGCUGCCUUUCUCUAGCAUUUUCAGCCCAGGGCUACCUUUCCUAGGCAUAUUAGCCCAAAGCUUCUAUUUCUUUAGGCCUGGAGCCAUUUCAACCUAGAACAUUUGUUUCUUUAGGCCUUGAGCCCUUUUCAACCCAGAACUGUCAUUUCUUCUAAAUAACUUCUCUUUUAAAAAAACUUCAAUUUUUCUUUCCAAUCACAAAUUUUAAGGCUUUGUUCCAGGUUUCAAGAAGCUGGUAAAAAUCUUCUAUUUAACAUUUCAGCAGUGAAUCGAAUUCACGAAGGAAAAAAAAAAUCUUGACGGCAUAAAGUAGGACAUGGGAUAGUUUGAAAUGCGUAAUUUUCAUCAUUCAAAUGUAAAACAUAUUAACUCUAUUUAGAUACUUUAACCAUUUCAAAUACUACAUACAUGUUCUCUUCAUUUUUUUUCUCUCUCGCAUUUUCCAUCAAAUUUUUCAACAAUCAAACAUAACCUUUAAAAAACAGAUAAUUUUACUUAUUUUGAAAGUGCUUUACAUAUAGCUUCUAUGAAAAGCUGUUUCAUGUUAAUUUAAUGAUGCACUUAUAAUAUUAAGAUUGCCCUUUCAUAAUCAUGAAUUAACCUUUAGUUUCAACUUCUACAAGAGGCUAAAUGAACAAAGCUAUCACAGAGGAGGCCUCAGCCAAUGAGUCAGAUGCACUGUUGUACCAAACCAAGGAUUUAUUUAUAAUGAAGUGCAGUCUCCAUAUGCACAUGAGACUGCAUUUACAGCAAAAAGACAAGGAAAUUAACAAUGUUGGAAUUACUGGAAAAUCACACAAAUUAUUGAAGGAGGACCUUAGCUAGGUUGUCUCCUAAAUUGCCCAUCUUUUUAUAUCUUUGCAUUCAUCUAUCUCAUCAUCGUCUUUGAUUUUAGAUGGUGAGGAUGUGAAAGUAACAGGAAGCAGUGGACGAUUGUUCACAGUGAGGCUUAGCACAUCAGCUCUCGAAUAAUGUCCUACCACGUCAAACUGGAACUUUGCUUUAGGAAUCUCUCCACGAACAUCUGCAUAUCAAGUGAUCAUAAAAAUAUUUGAUCAGCCCAUGAUAAAUAUCAUAGAGUAUCAAGUCUUCCAUAAAACUAUGUUUGCAGUCCCUUUAAACCUAAAGAAUUGACUCAUUUGCCUUAUCUGCAUACUGAAUUAUUUGGAUAUAUAAUCGGAGAAGUUAGGGCCAUACCAAGAUCAGCUGUGAAGAGGCCUUCUCCUUCAUAAUUCGGUCCUGCUAGAAUUUCGCCAUGGGGCGAAAUGAUGACACUACCUCCAGCCCAAACAAUAGAAUCUGGAGUGACAUCUUCUUCUGUAGGACUGUAAAGAUACUCAGGUGGAGGUGGGUAAUCUUUCCUCCGACAGAACUGGAUGGGUGAAAGAACAUAGCAUCCACCCUCCAUAGCGAUGUGUCUCAUUGUAGCUACCCAUGUAUCCCCGGAAUCGGCAGUAGGAGCACAAUAUAUCUCAAUUCCUAUAUAGAAUCGGUGUUUUGUGAUCAAUCAAUCCCAUAUCAGAGCCAUAAUGUAUUUCAAGCCUAUUUAGGCUAAAACCCUAAUAACUUAAAAAAGAGUACUGAAGUAUUUCAAGCCAAACCAUACUAGUUAGUGAAGAGAAAGAAAUGGUAAAAUAUAUACCUUUGCCAUACAUUGCUGUCCUCAGAAGCGGCAUUCUAUUUUCCCAACAAAUGACUGAACCAAGUUUUCCAUAUGGAGUGUCAUAAACUGGAGUUGUCGAGCAAUCUCCGAAACCCCAGACGAGCCGCUCCCAAUAUGUUGGCAUGAGUUUCCUAUGUUUUCCAAGGUAAUUACCUUCAGGAUCAAAGAAGAGAACAGUGCAAUACAAUGUGUAUCCAUCUCUCUCAAUAACACCUAUCACCAAGUAGACUUUGUAUUUCGCAGCCAUUGAUGCCAAUCUAUCAACUUCAGGUCCUGAAAAGAUAUUAAGUGGUUGAUUCAUCAAACGUGUCUUGUUUCAAUAAUUUAUUAAGUGGUUCAGUUCUUUAGCUAUUUAAGGAAAAGAGAGAGAGGUAACUGACCCGGCACAUUAAUGGCAGAAGCAUGGUACUUGCGGAAACUUUCUUUCCCUCUUGGCGACUGGUCGGCGAAGUUGUAUCCACGGGGAUACCCACCGAUAAAUGAUUCAGGAAACACAACCAGUUGGGAUCCCAGUGCAGCUGCUUCUUUCAAAAACCUCUCAGCCUUAUCUGCUCCCAAAAUCACAUUGCAAGAAUUAAUAAUUCACGACUUAGAAAGUAAAUUAAUUGGUUGAAUAGAGAGAAUCAAAAUUAACCUCCAGACAUCCCAAAUGACUUUUUGGUUGCUGAGAAAACUCAUGGAAAAAGAGACCUAGAUAAAACUCGGAACUUUCAUAUUUUCAGCUGUUUUGUAACUAAGAAAAGAGAAACCACCUCAACCCAACUCAUCCAAGUAAUUAUUCCUUGAUUGGCAGCUGAAAAUAUGUUCAAGCUUCAAUAAUCCUUUUCUUUCCUUCAGUUUCUCAGCAACCAAUCAACUCACAGAUUCUCUUACACAAGUUGCAGAAUUGAGAGAAAUGGUACGUUACCUAGAGUGGCAGGAGUAUCAUAAAAGACACUAGAGGCUUGAACAACGGUGGCUCUAACAGUUGAAGACAUUGCAGAAAUCGUAUGCCUUUUCGUUUCCCUUCUGUUUGAGGAUUCCUCACACAGCGUUCAGUAUUUAUAUAUAGCCCAAAAGGUUCUUCUGCCAUUACUUGAACAAGACGAAAAGGCUGGGAAAAGUCUGCCUUGGUUUUCCAUAUUGAUUUAAGUUAUCCGCAGACAUUGUGGACCAGCCACAUGACUUAAAACAAAUUGAAAAUAACUGAGUCAUCUGUGAAAUAUAUAUAUCUGUGAAAUAUAUAUAUAUAUAGAUUUCAUCUUUUAUACUUGAAUCAUCUCCCCCCUCCUUUUUUUUUUCCUAGUUUUGGCCUUAUUUUUUAAAAAUAUAAUAUUUAUUUUACUUUUAAUCAAUGGCUCAUAUUUCGAACAAGUGCGCCAGAUUUUCUGAAGUUGUAUAUAUAAUAAUCUGAUAGUGAUUAUAUUUGGAUAAAAAGAGGGACCCGCCCACUUGCAUGGAUUCUAUAUAGGACACAGACAAAUUGUCUUUAGUGGCGGCUGAGGAGGCUUUCUAUGACUUAAAAAAUAAAUAAAACAAAAAUAGUCAUUAAGAAAUCAGUGCCAUGUAGUUAGUGUCCGCCACUAUCUACACUUUCUUUAAAAGAACAAAAUUGUCAUUUUUUUUAAUCUCAGAAAUCACUGAAUCGUACAAAAUAAUAUAAGAUAAGAUUCAAUUCAGUCUUUUUUGGCCUCAUAAGAAAACCUUAGCCAACUCAAGGUGACCACUCCAGAAUCAAAAUAGGUUUUCUUUUUCUUCAAAAAAAAAAAAUAUAUAUAUAUAUAUAUAUAGUUGGUGAAAGAGGGUAUAAACAAAUAUAUGCAAAAAAAAAUUAUGAUGAUUAUAUUUGAAUAAAACAGAGGGAGCCCCCACAUGCAUGGAUUCCAUCUAGCACCCAGAGGAAUUGUCUUUAGUGGGGGCUGAGGCUUUCCAUGACUUAAACUAUAUAUAUAGGUAAAAACUAGGUCUAACUUUAUGUAUUGGACCCAACCAAAAAUUGAGUGAUUGAAUGGCAGCUCUAGUAAAAAAAUAAAAAAGGGAGAACCAUGCUUACUGUCACAGAAUGCUUGAAAUGAGCCCCCUUAUGGGUUUAUAUAGAGUUCAAGAAGCUUCUAGAGACUCCUAGAGCCAUCUACACUAAGUCAUUGAUGGGAAGAGUGUGGAAGGUUCUAGAGAUGCCUAGAGAUGUCCACACAUCUCUACACUAUAGUGGAAGGCAUGAGAGGAGUCCAAGGUUUUCUAGAGAAUUCUAGAAAUCUCUUAUAUAUUCUUGUACAUAGGUUUGUAUAGGAUAUUCUAGAAUCUUCUUGAGUUCUAAGGAACCCUCCAAGGUUCCAGAGAGUUCCAUUGGUAUCUAUAAAUAGGUGAGACCCUCAUUUGGCCAAUACACCACCCAAGAACCUAAUCAACCAAGCAAGUGAGUUCUCAAAGCACUUGUAAAGGUUUCCUUUGAGCAAUAAAAGCUUUCAUUCUUUAAGAGUUGCCUACUACGCCUUCUAAAGCUUCCAAGUCAUGAGCAUCUUAGCCUAGCAAGCUAAGCAUUGGGAGUAACGCUAACUUAGCAAGAUCAAGUACCUUGACUUGUCUAAGUGCCACAUGAGCUUAGGAAAAGAUUAAGUCUGUGACAAGUGGUAUCAGAACACGACUACGAAGCGGGCAUAGUAAAGGAAGCAUGUCGGGUUCCAAUGUAGAAGAGACUAGUGAGCAAAUCCGUGGGAGGGAGACCGAGCCUGCUGCACGGGGCAGGGGCGGGGAGGAUAAGUCUCGUGAUGUCGUUGCUAACAUGGAGGCAAGCUUAGUUAAGGUGCAUCUAGACAUGGCGGACACUCGGGAGGGGUUGGACUUGAUCGAGCAAGGCAUGAAGAAGGGCUUAGAGGAUCUAAGGGAGUAGAUCCAAGACGUUUGUGAGGGGAUGUUAGUCUCACAAGUUCAGCCAGUGUCACAUGAGGAGUUUGUGUCCUUCCAAGAAAAGGUCUUGAGCAUGCUUGCUAGCAUGGAGUCAAGGAUAGAGGCCUUGGUCAUUUGAAUGGAGUCCCGAGACCAAGUUAGGCAAGAGUUGGCCAUCUACAAGGAUGCUGUGUUGGCACGGGUCAUGGCCAUCCAGGAGGUAUCUAAGGUGGAGGAGUCGAAACCACAAGAGUUUAGUGGCAAGUGGGAUGCCAAGGAGUUGGACAACUUCUUAUGGCAUAUGGAGAGAUACUUUGAGGCUAUCACACUAAUUGAUGAGGUGGUUAAGGUAAGAACUGCAACCCUUUACCUUACUGACACAACUACUCUAUGGUGGCGUCGGAGGUUUGCCGAUAUGGAGAAAGGCAUUUGCACCAUAGUGACAUGGAGGACUUCAAGAGGGAAAUCAAGAGGCAGUUCUACCCCAAGGACGUGGCAUUUGCACCAUAAAAAUAUUACCAUAUUCAUUUUUAUGUUGAAUUUAAAUGUUUAAUAAUUUGUUAAAAAUAAAAUAACGUAAUUAUGAUAUAUGAUGAUUUUUUUUUUUUGUUAAUAAAUAUGUUUUCAAAUUUUAUAUCAUUUUUAUUUUUAUUUUUUUUCCAAUUCUAUUUUUAUCUCAUAUUUAUUUUCUUUAAACCCAAAAUUGUUGAGAAUGGAGGAAGAAAGAAGGCCACAACCGGUUCUUUCCUUAAGUGGUUAAGUUGAAUUUUUAUUUCAAAUUUAAAAUGGAUGGCCAAGAUGUAAUCUUGGACAUCCAAUGGCUUGAAAAACUUUUUCGGUAUGUACCGAAGAGGUACCGUAGAAUUUUCUAUAUAAUAAUCUACAAGUUACGAUAGUGAUUAUAUUUGGAUAAAAUGAGGGACCCGCCCACUUGCAUGGAUUCUAUAUAGGACACAUAAAUUGUCUUUAGUGGCGGCUGAGGCUUUCUAUGACUUGAAAAAAAAAACUAAAAAUAGUCAAUAAGAAAUCAGUGCCAUGUAGUUAGUGUCCGCCACUAUCUAUACUUUCUUUAAAAGAACAAAAUUGUCAAUUUUUUUUUUUUUAUCUAAAAAAUCACUUAAUCGUACAAAAUAAUAUAAGAUAAGAUUCAAUUCAGCCUUUUUUGGCUUCAUAAGAACACCUUAGCCAACUCAAGGUGACCACUACAGAAUCAAUAGAGGUUUUCUUUUUCUUCACAUAUAUAUAUGGUGAAAGAGGGUAUAAACAAAUAUAUGCAAAAAAAUAAUCUACAGGUAUGUUGAUUAUAUUUGAAUAAAACAAAGGGAGGCCCCCACAUGCAUGGAUUCCAUCUAGCACCCAGAGGAAUUGUCUUUUGUGGGGGCUGAGGCUUUCCAUGACCCAAACUAUAUAUAUAGGUAAAAAUUGAGUGAUUGAAUGGCAGCUCUGGUAAAAAAAAUAAAAAAGGGAGAACCAUGCUUACACUCUCGUUCAUUCCAACAAAUAUAUUGUUUAGGAAUUCUAAUUUUAAUAUUUCACCCCAAAUACAUAAUCAAUAAAAUUAUUCUUCAAAUAUGUAUUUUAAUAGCAACCAAAUUGAGAAUUAUAUAGUUAUCCCUUUCUAAAAUCUUUAAUGUAUUUGAUAUCCUCUCCAUAUCACGUCUUUGAUAUCCUACCUUUGACAUUUUUUUAUUUAUAUAUGUCGAAGUGACGAGACUUUCUCUACUCAACCUUUUUCCUUUCAGAUUUCUUUUCACUCUUUUAAUAAUUUCACAUUUAUUAACUUUAAUAAUUUUUUGGACACAUUAAAUAUAAAAUUAUAAUACAUAAUAAAUAACUAAUUAGAAUAAAUUAAAUGUAAAUACAAGUAUGCAAUGGGUAGAAAAUGAAAAUUUUAUCCUAUAAAUAGUACGCUUGAUAGUUUAAAAUAUUAAUUAUAAUAAUACAUUUGAUAAUUUAGGAUUUAGAUUUAAAAAUUAUGUUUUAUGUUUUAGAGGCCAAGAUAUAAGAUUUCCAUUAACCAAAGAUUUUUUUUAUGUGAAUCUUAAAUAAAAUGUUUGUUUAUUUUGCAAAUUCUUAUCAUUUGUAAAUAAGACAAAUAUAUUUUUAUCAUAUUAUUUUUAAUUUUUAAUAUUUUGUGUCAAAAUCAUCAUCAAUGAUGGUAAUCUUUAUUAGGAUAGAACCCUUAAACGUAUGAUAUGAUGUAACAAAUAUAUAGUUUAUUAUUUAUUUAAUAAUAUUCAAGUUUCACUUUUAUCUAUCCUUAUUCCAUGUAUUAUAUCUCAUGAGUAUUCUAGCCAAACAUUUAUUGCAUUAUACAUGACUUGAAUGCAUUAGGUAUAGACCCCCCAUUUUGUUCUCUUAGCACAUGCAUUAUGAGGUGUUCUUUCAAUACUCCACAACAAUUCCCUAGUGUCCCAUUACUACUCAUACUUUUUGAGCCACCUUGGAGACUCUGGUCGAGGGAUUUAUAUGGCUCCUCAUUGUGACCAUUGGUAACCUUGAGUUAGAUUUAGGUUAUUUUUUUCCUUUUUCUCUCAUGUUAGCCCUUUUAGGUGCACUUUCCGUUUUUAGGAUAGCAUAUUAGGCAUUUCCUAGGACACCAUGCCCCACUUAAGCUCUUAGGCACGUUUUACAUUAGUUCACCCAACCCCCUUAGGUUCACUUAGAUAGAUUUUUUAGGCUUAAUGUACUUAGGUUUGUUUUUUGAGUUGUGAUGGCAUGAUUCUGAGUUUAUGUGAGUAUUUAGUUUGAUUUUUUUUUUUUGUUUUUUUAAUUGCUUCAAUAUUUAGUUAUGAGAUUUUGACAUUUCAUUUUGUUUCAUCAUUAAUUACACUAGAUUAACAUUUGAAUUUUGAUUGCAGUAUUUAGCAUCUAUAUUAUUAUUAUGAAUUAUUUAUUUAUUUUUUGUCUAUUUUUUAUAUUUACUUAUCUAUUUAUUUAUUUGUUAAAAAAAUGCAUGAGGUUGCAUUUUAGUUUUUUUUUUUCCAAAAAUUGCAUGAAUUGAUAUUCAAAUUUCCUUAUAGAUGGAUAUGAGUUAUUUUAUUUUAAUUGGGUUUGGGUUGUCAUUUCUCAUUUUUGGGCUUUGUUUGUUUUGCAUGGGCCCAAGAGUUUUCUUAGGGUGGAAGUCUUGAAAGCUAUAUAAAAAGGGCACAGAAGCCCUAGGCAAUAGGGAGGACAAUCAAAGAGAGAAAAGGUGUUGCUACUUUAUUCUUUUUGUGCGUGUGUGUGUGUGGUUUCUUUCUUUCUUGAUUGUAUAUUGUUGGUGAGAGAGAAUUUUUCCUUACUAUGUAUCUACUAUAGGGCAGUUCAUUUGUUUUUUUAUAUUGUAUUCGUAUGUUGGAGUUGCCUUUGGUUCGGAGAGUCUAGAUCGAUUUAGGGUGGCAUUCAAGUAAGUUAUUUCUUCUUCAUCUCUUUAUUUGUAUUAUGUUUUUGUUCUUUUUAGGAUUUCUUAGAUUUAUCUUGUUUUAUAUUUAUUAUAUUUGUAAGCAUUUUGGUAGUUGAAUAUUUUAGCCAUUUCAUUUAUUCAAUUCUUUGCCUAUUUGAGUUAUAUGUUCAUUAUACUCUAUAUUUUGUAUGUAUGCACAUUUGCUAAACUUUUUCUACCCAUCUAUAUGUUUGUCAUGUUUAUUUAUUAUUUUGUUGAUAUGUGUUGACAUGUGUUUCUAUAUGGUCAUGCGAAAUGAAACAAAAUAGGCUUGGUUGCAGCACACAAGGGAAACGUGAAAAGUGAUUUCGCAUGACCAUGCGAAAUUUUCGCACAGUCAUGCGAAACCCUCCAAGAAGAUGAAAAUGAAGCUGAUGGACUUUCCACUUCGCACCAUCAUGCAAAAUUGCUAGGGGCUCGUGCAAAAUGCAUUUUCUCCAUAUGUUGUUUCAAGUUUUCUAUAUUUGUGCAAUUCCUGUCCUAAAUUUUCUAUAAUUUUGUUUAUGUUAGUCUUGUUGCCUCAUUUUUCAUUUUGUCUUAAUUUUUGUAUAAUUCUAUUAAUAUUAGUCUUGUUGCUUCAUAUUUCAUUGUCUUAAAUUUUUUAUAAUUCUAUUUAUGUUAGUAUUUUUGUCUCAUAUUUCAUUUCAUGCCAUAUUUGGGUUUUGAUUUAUUUUUCUGGCUUGAGUUUUCUUUCUUUUUUUCUUUUUUUUUACUAUGCAAUAAAAAUUUCAGAAAAAUCAGUUUUAAUAAAAUUUCUAGAAAAAUAGUUUUUAAUAAAUUCCAAAACGGUUUUCUUUAAUUAAAAAUCUAGAAUUUUGUUUCCCAUAAAAUGCAAAAAAAAAAUUGUUUUAAUAAAAUAAUAUGGAAGAACCAUUUUUACUAAAUUCAGAAUUUUGGUUUAAUAUAAAAUAAUUCAAAAAAUCAUUUUUUUUUAAUAAGUUCAUAAAAUUCAUUUUUUUAAUAAAAUAAUUCAAGAAUUUCAUUUUUUUUAAUAUAUUCGGUAAAUGGUUUUUAAUUUAAUAAUCCAAAUAUUCAUUUUUUAACAAAUCCAGAAAAUUGGUUUUUUAAUAAAAAUCCUCAAAGUUUGUAAAGUCCUAAAAGUUUGUUUGAUGGAAAUUUUGAAAUUUGUGUUUUAAUAAAUGUUCUUUAGAAAAUCAUUUUUUUAAUAAGUUUGAAAAUUCUAAAAUUUGUGUUUUAAUAAAUGUUCCUUAGAAACUCAUUUUUUUAAUAAGUUUGUUAACUGAAAAAUUGUGUUUUAAUAAAUAUUCUUUAGAAAUUUUUUUUUUAUAAAUAAGUUUGUUAAUUGAAAAUUGUGUUUUAAUAAAUGUUCUCUAGAAAAUCACGUUCUAAUAAAAAUUAUGAAAAUUUGUAAUAUCCUAAAAGUUUGUUUAUUGAAAAUUCUGAAAAUUCUAUCUUAAUAAAUGUUCUUUGGAAAGUCGUUCUUUAAUAAAAUUAUACAUUAUGAAAAUUGUGUUUUAAUAAAUGUUCUUUAAGAAAUCGUUUUUUAAUAAAUUUGUAAAUUCUAAAAAUUGUGUUGUAAUAAAUGUCCCUUAGAAAAUCGUUUUUUUUAAUAAGGUUGAAAUUUUUGAAAUUUGUGUUUCAAUAAAUAUUCUUUAGAAAAUAAUUUUUUUAAUAAGUUUGUUUACUAAAAAUUGCGUUCUAAUAAAUAUUCUUUAGAAAACCAUUUUUUUUAGUAAGUUUAUUUACUAAAAAUUAUAUUUUAAUAAAUGUUCCUUUAAAAAAAAUCAUUUUUUUUAAUAAGGCAUAUUUAAUGAAAAUGCUUAAAAUAAGUGUUUAAAUAAAUAUUUUCAAAGUUUUUCUUCAUAAAAGUCGUGAAAGUCAUAAAAGUCAUAAAAGUUCUCAAAUUUGAUUUAAUUAAAAUUUUCAAAAUAAAUGUUUUAAUAAUUGUUCUCAAAGUUGUGUCUUUUAAAUUUACUUAAAGUUUGUCUCAGUAAAAGUUUUAAAAGUUUUAAUAAGUGUCUUAAUAAAUUCUCAAAAUAAGUGUUUUAAUCCUAAAAAUUCUCAAAUUUUGUUUUUAAUAAAUUCCCAAAGUUUGCCUUAUUAAAUUCUAAAAGUUGCUUAAUAAAAACCCUCAAAGUUAGUCUAAAAAUCCACAAAGUUGUUUUCUCGAAGUUAGUGUUUUAAUCAAUGUCUCUCUUUUCAAAUAAAUUUGAUUUAUAAAUAUUUUUUUCACAAAUAAAAGUUGAAAAAUUUUGUUUUCUUAAUGAAUUGAAAUUUGGUUCCUGUCAUUAAAAUAAAUAAACCAUUUUUCCUUGUAAAAAUAUUUUUUUUCCAAAAGUAGAACUGAUGUUUCUUUAUAAUUAUCGAAUCUUCCUUUUUUUUAAAAAAAAAAAUAAAGUCGAAGCCAAUAUCAUUUCUUUGUAAAUAGAAGAUCAAAUUGAGCUUUUCUUUUUAAUAUAUUUGAAUUCAAUCAAAAUUAUUUUAAUAAAAUCAAGAAAAGUCUUCUUUUUUUUUAAUUAAUUUUGGAUGUGAAUAAAAAUCGAGUCUUUUGUAAAUAAAUUGAAACUUUGUGAGUAAAUAAGUUUGAAAUCUUUAAUUUGGAAUUGUUCCCAAUAUAAAUAAAUUUCUUUUGAACUUCCUUUGAAAUGUUGCAACUUGAACAAAUAAUUAAAUUAUAUUUUGUGCUCUUCACAUUCAUUAAUUGUGUACAUUCUUGUGUAAUCUUUUUCUCAUCUCAUGACUUAUAUGUAUCUUGUUGUCCUGUUAUCAGUAUCCUCAAUAAAUUAAUCAAUUCAUACUGACUCGUUUUGAUUUAUGUUUGCAAUUUUUCAAGAUGAUUGACAUAAUGUGUUUCAAAGGAAAAUCAAAUCCUUCUCACCAAGUAUGUCUUAAAAUAAUUUUUUUUUUUUUAUAACUUCAAAUUAGAAAUGUCUUCUUAGCUUUGAUAAUGAUCUUUUGUAUUUUUUUUUUUAAAUUGCAACGAUUUGAAAACAUUAUAGAAUAGAGUUAUUUAUAAACUUAUUUUUAUGUACAAAUAAAUUAUACAAAUAUGUGAAAUUAAUUUAUUAAUUUAUUAAAUUAAAAUUUAUUUCUUAUUUUUCUAAUUUUUUUUCUUCAAAUGAACUCAAAAUUGUAGCUUUUAACAUGUGAAGCUAGAAAUGUUUGGAAGGUAUAUAAUAAUGAUAAAAUAGGCAAUCAUCAUUUUCCACUUGCAAGAAAAUCAUAAAAUAGGCAAUGGUCAUUUCAAGAUUUGUAUCAUUCAUCAAACUAGUAAAUUUGGAAAUGGAACUCCAUUAGAUUGUGAAAAAAAACUACUAUAAACCAAAAAAUAUAACAAAGAAUAAAGAAAUUAGAAUAUAACUUCCACUUUGAAACUAUUGCUUGUAUGAACUAUUAUCCACUUGCCAACUUAACAGAAUUGACAUAGCCAUAAACCUAAUAUAAAAUAAUCAUUUUAGCAAUCUAGAAUAAUCAAGCAUAAUUUCAAAAUGCGUCUCUCAUGCUUACAAUGUUAUAGACCAAACAAACUAAAACAAUGAUUUUUCUCCACUGAUACAAUCUUAAAUAAAUUUAUUUUAGAAACAACAUAACCUAAUUGCCUAAUGAAACAUCAUUGAUCCAUAGACCAGUAGACAUUUUUCCUGAUUUCAUUUUUUGGCGACAUUAUCAUUUGUGUUAGGAGUUUUUCCUUGUACUUCAUGACCUUGUCCUAUACAAAAGAGUAUAUAAUAGAAUAUUAACGAAAAUUCAUGUUAUUUUAUUGAACAUAAAAAAUAAAAAAUAUUGUAUUCAACACAAUAUAAUACAUUUGCAAUUGUAUGAAAAAAUCCAUUGUUAUCCCAUAAUUGCAUAAACUUGAUUACAAAUAUGCCACAAUCUGUUCUACAAGUAGCAAUUAAGGAAAUUAAAAAUAAAUUAUGCAUCAAAUCAAUAAAUUUAGAACCUCAUUUGCUUUCCAUAGGUAAAGAGGAAUAAAAUUCUUGCAACUUAUGAAUUCAAUUGUUGCAAAACUUCUAAAACAACGAAUUUGAAUUUAGUCAUGUCCAUUGAUGGUCUUCUUUCUUGAAUCCCAAUGACAAUUGAUAGAACGCUUACCUUAACACAAUAUAAAAUUAUAAAUAUGGACAUCCUUAAAAAAUAAUGACAACAAGUCACAUAAGUAAUUGGAUAAUAACUAUAUUUACUAGUUUCUCUGUGAAGACAUCCAUUUGCUUUUUCCUUUCGUCAAUCAAUGAAUCCAACAACUCGAUUCUUUUUCUAAUGAAUAUUCAAAAUGUUUAAAUACCAAUGAUUUCUCCUGCAUAUUGGUAUGAACAGCUGAAAAAGAAAAAUAAAUAAUGAUUUUAUCAAGUUAAUUGUGUUCAUGUAUUUCCUGCACUAUACUUAAAAAUAUCCAACUAUAUAUGACUUUCAUUAAAUUAAAUAAAACAUGUUCAUAUGUGUACAACCGAGUGUUUUUAAAAUAUUUUCAUAAAUUGUCACAUGUAUUUUGGAGAAAAUGUACCCCUCUUAUUUUCCACAUCAAAUUGUAAUAAUAAAAAAAAUACAAAACAUACAUUAGAUUAAAACAAUCUACUUAAAACAAGAAAACCAAUCUAUAAUUCUUACAACAUAUCUUACCUCAAAAUGGGGAGAUAAGAAAUGCUCCCUAUUUCCUUUAUCCUUACCAUUCAAAAUUCGACAAAACAUGGUUACAACCUUCAUGUAAAUGAAUGAAAAUUAGAAAUAUAGUUUUAGAGUAAUUUUAUCUUAACUUCAUAUAACUAAAUAUGAAUACCUUAUUGUUAACUAAUUUGUCGGGUCCCAAGCAUUUUAAGUCGAAUCUUAUCAAGAAGAAAUCGUACAUGGAACACAAUAUUUGGCUACAUAGAAAUAAUUAUGAUGUUAUGAAUUAAAACUAAAUCUUUUAAAUGGUUGUCUUAAUUGUACUUGUUUAUACUGAAUCAAGUUCAACCUGACCUUUCAUCACGUGUAUCGUCCAAUGCAUAUGCUAAAACUUACUUUGCUACAAUGAAGACGUUGAAAAUUUGAUUGAUUGUUGUACCACAUAUGGUGAUUGUAGGGCAGUAGCACAUCGACGUAGCCGACAUAAACAUAAUGGAGGAUGUUCAGUCUAGUAAGGAAUAAUAACAUUCGACUUAACUUCAUCCUCAACUAUAUGUAUAGAAAAUAAGAAAAAAAAUUCAUUAACGAAAAUAACACACAGAGGAAAGACUAGCCAUUAUUAUGAACUCAUUAAUAUUUUGAUAUUAAAAAUUACUAUAAAAAAAUAAAGAUGCAGAAAGUAUAAUGCUAUGUUGCGCUACUGGCUGUGAGGUCGAUGGCCCUGCAUUAUCUUCACCAUGAGCGGAACGAUCAUUCAAUGGUGAUCCAUAUGCUAAUUUAAAAAUGGAUAACAACCAAAUUUUAAAAAAAAAUUAUAGAACAUUUGCAAUUCAAUUAAAAGUAAAAAAAAAAUUUAACAGCUAAUGCUAUAAAAACCUUAUUACCAUGUGGUGGUGAUGGGAAAGAUUCAUUGAUGUCAGGUUGGUUAUGACUUCCGCUUUGAUGAGAAGGUGAUGGGGUUUUGUUUUUAUUAUGCCGCUUUGCUAGUUUAUCAAUUGCUUCUUUCAUUGUUCGAAGCAAUUGGUGAAUUUGUUCCUCCACUACAUUAUACUCUGCUAUAAUUUCCUACAAAAUGGUACAAAGUGUAAAAGAUGUAUAUUAUUAUGCAUAACAUGUUUGGUUUACUCUUUAAAUAAAGGAAUAGAUGUAAAAGGUUCUCACAUCACUAGUCUCUUCUUCAACUUCAUCUACUGGAUUAGUAGGGUCUUCAUGUGCAUCUUCCCCCCUUUCAUCUUCCUGAACCUACAAUAAUAAAAAGAAUAUAUAAUUUUUUUAAAAUUAUUUUUCAAAUAUUAAAAUAAAAAGAAAAUGUAGAAAUAAAAUUUUGUUCCUUACAUCGACUAGUCCAAGGUCAUCAUAAUCCUGCAACUCUACAUGCACCAUUUUCUUCAUCAGGUCAUCACUCUACAAUGCACAUAUGGGGAUGGUGUGUGGCACCAACAUAAUUGGAAUGUAGAAUUUAUUUACAUAAAAAAGCUCAUACACAAAUAUUCCACACAUCAAUACGUUAUUUAGAGAACACUGUUUAAACAUAGAAAAUGAUAUGGAAACCUUGAGCAUUUAAUAAAAAAAGAUAUUUACCUACAAAAAAAAAAAGGUAACCUGUAAACCAUGAGCCUUUACCCAAUCGAAAAUGCCUAAUUCGAGCAACCAAUGUGUCAAGUACAAAUUGGUCCCAAUUAACAUUGAUGUCAAAGUUUCUAGCAAGCAAAGUACACCGCAACUCAUGACUACCAUCCAACUUCAAUGUUGGAGCAAGUAAUGUAGCACAUGAGAAGAAGAUAAACAAUUUUUUAAAGUCACCCAUGUCUUCCAUUGAGAUCAGCCUAUCUCUAAGGAUAGAUAGGUUUUCCAUCCUAUUAUUCCUAUUGGUAGGUGUAGACACUCCAUUUUGUAUAUCUAGUACUUGUCCUAUUAUGUGUUCGUUUGGUACUUUACAACAAUUCCCUGGUAACCCAUUAUUACUCAUGUAACUUAUCUUUUAUGAGCCACCUUGGAGACUCUGAUUGAGAGAUUUAUCUAACCUCAUUACAACCCUUAGCAACCCUAAUUUAGACUUAGGUAGUCAAUACAUGUCUAGCAUAAUACCCUAAGCUCCCAUUUUUACAACUUGGAGGGCUAAAUUGGGUAAAAUAUAAGAAUGUCAAAUAACAUGUAUAUGUGAAAUAUGGACAAAAAAAAAGGAAUAGAUAAAGGUAAUGAUUAAUUAUAUUUAUUAAGAAUAGUGAUUAACUUAAAAAAAAAAAUAGUUAACUUUUGUGAAAAUAUCCCUUAGAAAAGAUCAUGACUUUUAUGACUUCAUUAAGGUAAAUCAAUCAAGCUUCAAGAGCAAUUAUCGAUAAUAUAUUUGGAAAUAUGUAGUAUUAGCAUCCUUUUACAUCUCAUAGAUUGACAUUAUAGAAGAGAAAUGCAAUUAGUAAUUAUAAGGAAUAAAUGUUUUACAUAUGAACAAUUUGAUUAAAGAUGGAUAAAAGAGUAAAGAGUUUAGAUUAGAGAGAGAGAGAGAGAGAGAGAGAGAGAGAGAGAGAGAGGUUGUGCCUUACAAGAAAUGUCUAAACUAAAUAUAGGAUGUAUAUAAGACAUACUAAGGCCAAAAGAAAGAUAUAAAGAACAACUCACACCUAAGUAACAUGAUCAAAGCUAUUUAAAUGAAUCCUCAUUGCUUCCUUACCUAUACAUACAUCUAAAUUGUUGUAAAGGAUUGUAAAUAUUAUGAGUUUGUUCUUUUUUAGUACUACUUCAUUACUAGUGGAAUAAUGGACAAAUGAGUACAUUGUAUUCAUAGCAAUUUAGAUUAUAUUUUCAUAAGGUGGUGAAACAAACAUAUAUGGUAUCCUUCUCAACUCAACUUAGGAAUAGGAAAUAAUAACAAAAACAAUUAUAAGCUAACAAAAUUCAUAUAUAUAGGUAUAUAUUCAUGUGAGAGGAAGCCAUAUAGAAUCUUUACAUUUCAAAAAUCAAGUAAACUUUAAUUCAAGAAAGCAACUUAAAUGUAGGUAAGUCUUCAAAAAGUUUAGAAGAAGAAAAAAAUGUAACCUCAAUAACUAUCCACUUGAGCUAUUUUUUAGAUCAUUUCUUCUUUUGAGAUACAAAAAUUCGAAACCCCCUGCAAAAAAGAAGAUUACAUUAGUGUUUAUUUUGAAACAUGAAAACUAAAAUUAUGGUAGACUUACAUGUUCACAAUAUCUUUUAUAUCUUGGUAUGGUUGUUGUAAUAGCAAGUCUAAAUAGUAAACUGUUUGUAAUUUGAGGUCAAUUACAGCCAAAACCCAAUGAAACCUACAAUAUAUUAACAUAUAAUUUAGAUAAAUAGCAUUUAUAAGGCUAAGAAAUUAAAAACAAUUAUAAUUAACAACUUACCUUGGGUUAUACGGAAGAAAAAUCAGAUCUGCCAAUUUGGAGUCAAUUAGGCGAUCAACAAUGAUCUUUGCUCUUUUUUCAAUUUUUGGGGCUAUUGUUCUAGCCUUAGACACCAGUCCUGGAUGAACAGAUAUAAUUUUCUCAUGUAGUGUAUCAUCUAGAUGUUCAUGCAACCACCUAAUGAAAUAUCACCCAGUUUAGAAUUACUUAAAAAAUAAAAAAAAUAAACGGUUUCUACUUAUUUAUAUCAUGAAUAUAACAUAAAGAUUUACAACAAAAUCUCACCAAAUAUAGAAACAUAUACAAUUCAUAGUCAACUCUUUUGCAAAAAUUACAUCAUUCAUUUCAGUUGUCAAGAGGAAGAUUUGAAAUUUCAUCCCAAAAACAUUGAUUGGAAAGUCAACUUUGGGUGCCAGUUUACCCUCCAACAUUGUUGAAACUGUUUUAAAAAAUAAUUGUAUAUCUCUUGGAUUCUCAUAUUUGAUUUUCUUUGGGGAUGCUUGUAUCUUAUUCAUUUUAUUCUUCCUCUUGCCAAAAUCCUAAACACAUAAAUAGAUGCAUGACAUUAAAAUGAAAAAUAAAUAAACCAAGAGUGUAGGAAAAUAUAACUCAACUUUGAAAGUUUGGGUAUAACGUUAUUCCCCUCAACAUUUUCAUCAUUUAUCACAAAUGCAACAGGCCACAAAACCUCAUAUCCAACACCCUCCCUUAUUGUACUAAUGUUUUCAGAAAGUGGGAAUGAAAGAAGUGCAUUAGGUUGAAGAGGGUAAAGAAUGACCACUAAUAUAUCAGUUCUAUCAAUGGAAAUGUUUGAAUCUCACAAAUAAGUUCCAUAUGCAACAAUGUUUUCUUCAGUUUCAAGAGCUAAUUUGCAUUUAUAAACCUGUAAAAACAUAUUUUCUAAUCCUUCGUCUUUCAUUAUAGUUAUUUUAUAUAUUGUUUUUAUAAAUUUAACUUAGGAAAAGCCAUAUAUACCUGAGUUAGUGGAGAAGCUUUUUGAGUCCUUUCUGCUGAUAGGUUCUCCACAUGAGCACUAUAAUGAGUCUUCUCUCGUAUUUCUUCAUGUUCCAACAAUUGUUUCCUUAUGUUUGUGCUGCUCACUUCAGAGUGGGGUGUGAGGGGUUCUUUUUUUUUUCAGCUUUCAAAGAAAUGAUCUCUUCUUCCAAGCUUUUUACUUUCUCCCUUAGCAUCCUUUGACAUUCCUCUUCUUCAAGAGUUUUUAUGGGUUUUAGUGUGUUGAAUAAUUGUUUGGGAUUUUUUUUCCCACCUUUUCCUCUAACCCGUCCAGGAUGCUCGGAUGUACCCAAUGCUAAAGUGAGGAUAUCCUUUUGGCCAACACAUGUGAUCUUCCCUUCCUCAACAGCCUUUGCCAACUCAUCCUCCAAAAAUAUAUAAGAUGCUUCAAGAGUCAUAUUUAAUAAAAUAAAAAAACAAAUGAAAUUGACUAAAACUAAGUAUAGGUUUGACAACUUACAAUCUUUUCCGCUACAGGCCUCGUAACAUCAUCAUAUUCACCUUUUUUCAAUCUUUCUAGCUUCCACAAGACCCAUCUAUCAAUAGGUUUCCUUGAACCUGUCUUUUGCAUCUAUCAAAAAACAAAAAAGUGAAGCAAUUAAACUUUACAAAAGUAAAUGUCCAACAAAAUAAAAUACACUAAUUCAACUUACCAAUUCUUCUUGAAGUCUUGCAUAUCAUUUCCUACUCACUCAAUGAAUAUAAACGUAUUUUGCCCUCCUUUCUUUUCCUUUUUUUGGUUUAACUUGAAACUCUAUUGACAACCUAUUAGCCACUAACUUUCUCCAGUCUUCAAUUGGAAUGUAAUUAUAUUCAAUUGGUGGCUACAAAAGGUACUCGGGCUUAUCCUUAUAAGGCAGGUGUGGACCCCGCAUUUCGAUGGCUCGAAUGCGUUCCCCACUCGAUGGCGAGCUCGAUUUUUAUUUUGAAAAAUUGAUUUUUAUUGAUUAUUUGAAAAUGACUUGGAGUCGCCACUUAUUUUUGUUUUAUUUUUAAAGGGUAAACAAAAUAAGAAAGAAAAACCCUAAGUGUGACUCCUUAUUUUGGAAAAGGUGAUCUACGAAAAACCGGAUCGGGUUCGGGGGUCAGGUUACUUAUCGGGAAGGUACGGUAAAGACCGUAGCACCCCUCUAAGUCCCUAAAGUCGGGUCUCUACUACUAAAAUGAAGCUGACAUGGCAAUCAAUGAGAAAAUCAAUGAAUACUCAAAUCAAUCAUGCACAUAUAAGUAUCAAAACAUGCGUAUAGCAAGACCAGAAUAAGGACAGAUGCGUACCUGGGCAACGAUCUUCAAUGCGCUAUCAAGAAGUGAGAUUAGUGCACAAUUAAAGGAUGGUCACAUGCAUAUCAUAGAGCAGAAUAAAUCAUGUAUGGCACCCAAAUCAACCAAACAAUCCAUCAAUCAUAAAAUCUCAUAUGUUGGGCCCCCACCAAAGCCCGAUUGAUUUUUGCAUGAAUUAAUUCCAUAAAUUCCCUUGCUUGGAAUUACGGAAUUUUAUUCUAGCUUAUUUUAAAACAUUUUGAAAAUCUGAGGAGUUGUGAAAAUUGCUUGUCAGGGAGAAAAGUGACAGCAAAUUUUUAUUAUAAAGUGGAAACUUUUGGGAACCUAAAGAUUCCAAUGAGGAAACAUGAGAGAAUUGGAAUUAUUUGAAAAACCAGAUUUUUGAGAAAAUGCUUGCAAAAUGGGAUUAGGAACAGUUAUUAAAACAGAGAAUGAGGAAGUAAAAGGUGGUGGCACAUGGUCAAAGGCUGCAUGUCCUAGGUGGUCAUGCAAAGAAGCGGUCUCCUGUAGCUUUUGUAGGGUCCAUUCUCUCCCCACUUCUCAUCCCAUGAGUUCUUUACGAUCCAGUAAGGCCUGCCCUUCAUCCGGAUGGGAUCAUGGCCUGUUGAACCAUGCCCCACCAGUAACACUCCAUGAGCCAUCAUCUCAGAGCAUAUGUAUGGGCGUGACACUUCCCCAAUAUGUGUCUGCAUGAACACUGUAUUGAUGCCCACUACCAUUUGACCAUUUUUCACAAGAUUAGCAGCCAUCUGAUCUUCAUCAAGGAAUGAACCAAAAGCUUUGGCUGCAUCGGGCUUCUGGAGAAGAACUGUUUUGAUUGCAUUCAAUAUCUCAUCCACGGAUCUUCCUGUGCUAAUGUAUUCUGAAAUAACCUCCCAUCUUCAAGACAUUCCUCUGGGAUAUUUCAGCAUCCCUUUUAUCAAGAGCCCAACUUCUUCUCUAUCCCAAGGUUUCUCCUUAUAGUGUGAUCAAAAGAAUGAAGUUGGGGUCACUGAAUUCACCUUCCACUGAAGAGUAGAAAGCAUCAGAAGCCCUAUCCUCUGAAACGUCUUCACUUCAAGCACAUAUUUUAUCUCCUCCACCUGCAGGUCCAAGAGAAGAGGAGCAUCGGUUUUACUGGAGCUUGACUUUCUCUUCUCAGGGGCAUUUUCCUCAUGGGGACUCUCUAUCUGAUCUGUUGAUGCAGCUGCACUUUCUCCCUCAUUCUCAUGGCCAUCUAAUCUGCUUCCGCGGAUGCUGCAUCUGACACCACGGCCUCUUGAACGCGAGUGGAAUCCAGCUGGCAAUGGACCCAAUGGAGGCCUCUCAAUGGGUUUACUUUAAGAGCUUCUUGAGGGCCCAAAGGAUAUUGCAGGACCCGGACUUAGGACGCCAUCUUAUCCGUGUCAUGCUGAGGAAUUCGUUCUUUGUGGUAUCAGAUUGGCUACAGGAGGCCUUAUAGAAGUGAAGCUAGGGAUAUCUUCAGAAAUGGAACUUGGACCCUUCCCUUUGACAGGUUCAUCUCCAUGAGAACCAAAUUUUAUAAGCUCGGUAACUCCAGGUUGUUGAAUGAACUUCCCAGUCUCCUUGUCAUGCAACAAAGCACUUUUUGCUUCAGUUUCAGUCUCCACAGGUGCCGGGGCCGCUUCAAAUCCCACAACCUCCAUGAAUUCACCAUGCUCCUCCAAGAAAUAACCAACAACACUAGGUAGCAUUUCCAAUUCACUUCACGACCUUGGAAUGAGCAGUUGCUUUAUCAGUUUCAUGGCAGAGGGUGAGCACUGGAGCUUUCCUCUUGACAACACUUUACCUGGAAAGCGGAGAGUGGAUACCGGUAAUCCAUGAUAAAUAGAAACUUCCCCACUUUUCCGGACUGGAGGUGAUCUCCUCAUGUUGCUGGCCUAUAGAUCCAUCUUCUGGAGAAAACACCAGUUGAAAAUUAUCCACUGAAGCAACUGUCACUUGUCCACGGAAGUCCGAGCACCAGCAUACCCAGAUUGGUGGUUUUGGAAUAUAGGUUUGAAGAGUUUGAUGGGUGUGCAAGGUGUAGACAUGGGGCAUGAUAGCAAAGUGGUGAGAUGAGGUGAUAAUGAGUGUAAAUAGGCUUAGAGAGAAAGGUGAAUAAAUAUGGUGGGGGAGUAGACUGUUGACAAUGGGUAUGUAUGAGUCCUAUGCCUGUGGGUAUGGUGAGAGAUGAACUGCAAGUGAUGGGCAUGAUGUGGUGUGGGGUGGAUUAGUGGGAUGACAGUAUACAAAGAGAGCGUGGUGUAGAGAGAGAAUGCAAGAUGAUGAGUGCAUGUGUAGAUAUGGGUGUGGGCAUGGUGGUAUGAAGCGUGUGGUGGAUGAUGGACUGAAGGUGAUGGGCAUGACAAUGGGCAUGAACAGGGAUGGAGUCAUGUGGGCACGAGACGAGCAUGAGCGCGGAAUGAGUGUGAUGCAACCAUGCAUGGUAUGAAAAGGGUUUGGUGUAGUGAGAGAAAGUAGAUUAUUGGUGAUGGGUAUGAAUAAUGGCCGGGUUUGCAUGGUCCAUGCACUUGGAUGGGUGAGUUUGGGGAUGCUAGCAGAAGCCUUGGAAGGAAUACGGGCAGCCAUGCACGCGUGGGGUUUCAUGGAUAUCGAGUCAGGGUAUUUUGCUGGAGGAAGAGAGCAUGGGUCUGCACAAUAUGGGGAUUGGGAUCUCCUACGGACUCCCUAGCUAAUGGAGUUGUGAAAGGGAGACCAUCUGCUUUUCCGAUACCAGAUUAUGGGAAGUUCAGUGAUGGCUUCUCAAAAAUGGACCUUGAUGUUAACAAACCACCCUUGGGCAAUUUAGCAAUCCCUUCAUUCUCAGAAGACUCCGUCUCCAACAGACCAUAAUGAUACUGAACUAAUCCAUGUGAAACGGACAAGAAAGGCUCUGCUCGUGAAUGUUCCCUGGCAUAACCUCCUCUAGAAUGUCAUCAGACGAAACAAAACUAGAGAACCAGGUAUCUAGAACAAGUAAGUCUUCUCACUGGGCCAAACCCUCAACAAGCCUGUUGCAUUUCUCUGAUUUCUCCCACUGUUCUGCCAAAGUCUUUAUUUAUAAUAUAAUGGUUUAGAAAUAUCCUCCAUUAAUCACUCUGCCUUUGACCAACCCUGGUUAAGGAUCCAUACAUCAAAUCUGAUUACCACUUCUGGCCCACAACCGCUCGAGUUGAUAAUGAUUUUCCUCCAUAUCUACUCCUGUUCAUCUUCAUAAAAUUCCUUGGAAUCAUCAGUAUACUCACUGCAAUCUGUGGUAAAGACCACCACAUCCUCAUCGACAUCUUACUUUUUUCCUCUACGAAUGGCGCCUCACACUACUCACUAUUCUUUGGAUCUGAACCACUUUUUUUUUUUUUUUUUUUUUUUCAAAUAUUGGAUGUCAAGCCUCAACAGCAUAUAGUAGUCAAUUUGUACCAUCCCCAAUGUAUGGUAUGCAUGAUGCCCCGUGCUCAAAUUGCUCAAAAAGAACAGAGGAAUAUAGCUAAGAAAACAGGGCAUAGGAGAAAGGAACAAAAAAUAAAUCAAGGGCAACUGCAUUUCAGGACAUAUCAAUGUGUUCCCACUGGUGGAUGAAAGAUAUGAACAAAUUCAAAACAAAAAAUACGCCACAUAUGUUCAGGUGCCUAGCAACGAAAUAUGAUGCAAGUCCUCACCCAUUUUCUUAAACCAGGUUAAUGAAACAGCGAAAGGAUUAACAUCACAGAUGGAAACAUGACAAAUACAAACAACAUAUACACCCAGUGAAAUGAUAUUCAGAAUAAUGAAAUCAUACGGCUAAAUAUAAGCAUACCUGAAUGUGAUAGAUGUCCUACCCAGCUUUUCUUACUUUCUCUCUGUUUUCCUUGCCUUUCUAGCUCCGACAAUCGAAUCACCUUCUCUCUUACUCUUCUUUUCUCCCGCUUGAAAAACCUCCCUCUGGAAAUAUAUCUCUCCCCCAGCCAGACGACACCCACCUGCCUUGCAGUUGCAAGCCUCCAUUACCUUCAGAUUUUUCUGCCACCUUCCUCUUCUAGGCCCAUUUCCCCACUACUCUGCACCACUACCUUGCUAAUAACAGAAGACGCUCCUCAAUACAACGGCCUGCAGAUCCUCAUGCCACCUGUCAACCUUCCAUUGGCACUUCAAAAACAACAUACGAUUCUGCAUUGCCCUCUCAAAAGGAGACACGUGAUUGAGCAAGGCUCUUCCACGUGGCCAAAACGGGUAGCUGCAUGAAAGGCCCCAAAUGGGGGUCUACAAAUAUGCCCCUCUUUGGUAGAGUUCAUGAGUGUAAAGAACAUGAACACUGGAGUGAAAAGUAAGUGUGAGUAGUGAGUGAAAUGAAGUGAACUCUACCGAAGAAUCAAAGAGACCCCCAUAGGGAUAUUGGUGAAACGCGAAGUCACCCAGGCUAGUAGACGAACACAAAGGCUCUAAUCCUAAAAGAGAAAGAUGUCACAAAAUGCCUCUGCGGCCAUACUAAGGAUCCAAGCUCCCUCUAAGAUGUCUCCCGAAAGUGACUCGAAAAACCAAAUGCUAGAGGUGAGUAACGGUCGAGUCACCCUAGGGUACGGACAAGAAUGCGUCUAAAGGAGACUGCCCUAUGUGGACUACAUGAUGAAUACACGAUAAGCACAAAGUAACGAAGUGAGGAGGACGAUAAUAAGUGCAAAUCCAAUGAAGGUGAGACACGCAAUGCCACUGAAUAGGAAUGCUAGGAGCUGUGACUCUACAUGACAAGAUUGACUCUAAACACUAAACUAGGAAACAACGGCUCUGGAAGCCAACCAAAAACUAACUCUAAAAACUAAACUGAGAAUAACAGCUCUGGAAGCAAACCAAAAACUAACUCUAAAAACUAAACUAGAAAACAACAGCUCUGGAAGCCAACCAAAAACUAACUCUAAAUGCUAAACUGAGAAUAACAGCUCUGGAAGCAAACCAAAAACUAACUCUAAAAACUAAGCUAGAAAAUAACAGCUUUGUAAGCAAACCAAAAAAACUAACUCUAAAAGCUAAACUAGGAAACAACAGCUCUGGAAGCCAACAAAAACAAAAAAAAAACAAAAAAAAAAAAAAAAAAAAAAAAACUAACUCUAAAAGCUAAACUAGGAAACAACAGCUCUGGAAGCCACACAAAAAAAAAAACUAACUCUAAAAGCUAAACUAGAAAAUAACAGCUCUGGGAGCCUAAACAAGACGACAGUAAUGGCUCUGGAAGCCUAAACAAGAUGACAGUAAUGACUCUGGAAGCCUAAACGAGAUGACGGUAAUGACUCUGGAAGCCUAAACAAGAUGACAGUAAUGACUCUGGAAGCCUAAACGAGAUGACGGUAAUGACUCUGGAAGCCUAAACAAGAUGACAGUAAUGGCUCUGGAAGCCUAAACAAGAUGACAGUAAUGGCUCUGGAAGCCUAAACGAGAUGACGGUAAUGACUCUGGAAGCCUAAACAAGAUGACAGUAACGGCUCUAGAAGCCUAAGCAAGAUGAUAAUAACGACUUUGGAAGCCUAAACAAGAUGACGGUAAUGACUCUGGACGUCGAAACUAAAAAGUGAUGAUGAUGACUCUGAACGUCAAACUGAGAAGUGAUAAUGAUUCUGAACGCCGAAACCGAGGAUGUGACUCUGAAUGUUGAUCUGAAAAUCGAUGAUAGCUCUGAACGCCGAAACUGAGAAGUGAUGAUGAUGACUCUGAACGUCAAACUGAGAAGUGAUAAUGAUUCUGAACGCCGAAACCGAGAACGCGACUCUGAACGUCGAUCUGAAAACCAAUGACGGCUCUGAACGCCGAAACUGAGAGAAGUAGUGAUGAUGGCUCUGAACACCGAAGCUGAGAAGUGAUAACGACUCUGAACGCCGAAACCGAGAACGCGACUCUGAACGUCGAUCUGAAAACCGAUGACGGCUCUGAACGCCGAAACUGAGAGAAGUAGUGAUGAUGGCUCUGAACACCGAAGCUGAGAAGUGAUGAUGAUGACUCUGAACGUCAAACUGAGAAGUGAUAACGACUCUGAACGCCGAAAUCGAGGAUGUGACUCUGAAUGUCGAUCUGAAAACCAAUGAUAGCUCUGAACGCCGAAACUGAGAAGUGAUGAUGAUGACUCUGAACGUCAAACUGAGAAGUGAUAACGACUCUAAACGCCGAAACCGAGGAUGUGACUCUGAAUGUCGAUCUGAAAACUGAUGAUAGCUCUGAACGCCGAAACUGAGAAAUGAUGAUGAUGACUCUGAACGUCAAACUGAGAAGUGAUAACGACUCUGAACGCCGAAACCGAGGAUAUGACUCUGAAUGUCGAUCUGAAAAUCGAUGAUGGCUCUGAACGCCGAAAACGAGGAUGUGACUCUGAAUGUCGAUCUAAAACCCGAUGAUGGCUCUGAACGCUGAAACUAAGAAGCGGUGAUGGCUCUGAACGCCGAAACUAAAAGGUGAUGGUGUCUCUGAACGACGACAAAUGGAAAAGUGGCUCUGAACGCCGAACUGAAAAAUGUGACAUGAUGACUCUAAAUGUCGUAAACCGUGAAUGAACGGCAGCUCUGAACGCUAGACUGCAAGGAAACAAUGAGGGGGAAAUAUGCCCCAGUGUGGCAUGCCGCUGCAAACCUCAAACUACUAGAAAUGGCUAAAAGGGACUCUACGAGUCUCGAACGACGCACCACUGAGAGCUCAUGUCAACGAAGAGCUUAGGAACAAUGGUCAGUGAGGCGAAUACAAUAUAUCUCGGCUGAGUGAUGGAAACUGCGAUGGACAUGUGAGAGAACGAUCGGCUCCAUGGCUAAAUGAGGGAAAUAUGCCCCAGUAUGGCAUCAGAUGUAUCCGAUCUAUCCUGAUAACCCGAGAAUAGCACCGAUGGGACGCGUAACAGAUCUGAUAUGUACCCCACUGAAAUGAUGACGCGGGAAAUCCAGGCACCUAAGAUAACCCCAUCCAGGAAUCACGACUAUAUCAAAGAGUAUGAAUCUGGCUGAACGAAGUCAAGAGAGGCUCCUCGGAGUAUCCGGACAAAAUGAAAUCAAUCAUCAACCUGGCGUGUAUCUCAUGGCCGUGGAUGAUCAUGUAAACCAGUGGGGAUCUAUAAAUCUCGAUCAAGAUGGGGAAUAUGCCCCAGUGUGGCAUCGAAAAUGUAACAUGUCAAAAAAAAUCAGAUGAACUCAAAUCAUCUAUGCCUGCAACUGGCUAGAUGGCUCUCGAUAGACUCCACUAAGGAAUCAUCGUGAGGAUUGCGAAUAUAUCAUCAUCCCUGCAUACAUCUCGCAAAUAAGGAUAAGCACGCAACUCCCUCAUGAUCUGUAAAUCUCAUCCGAACGGAAAUAUGCCCCUGUAUGGCAUCGAAAUGCAGGAUAGGUCGGAGAUCAGAUAGCAUGGAAUCAUCUAUCCUAUAACAUGUGACCUCUGCGAAGAUCCAUAAAAAUCCUCCGAAACGGAAUAUGCCCCAGUAUGGCAUCUGACGUGCGACAAAUCAGGAAAAAACAGGUGACAUCGAAUCAUCCCUCAUCAAACACGUGAUCCUGGUAAUCCAAACACGGUCGAAACGGAUCUAAACAUCUGAGAAGUGUCUCCCAGAAGAAGAUGCAUGGCAAAUAUCUGGAUGUCGACUGAAUCUCAAACACCUGUCCACAUAGAAGCCGUAGAAGACGAUAUCUGAUCCCAUGGCCUCAGGGUGGUCUUAAGACACGGGACGUAAUGUAGGCUAGGGUGAUAGGGUGAUAGAAACGAAGGGAAACUAAGCUCAAAUACCCAAUGAUCAAAACCCAUGCCCUCGUGUGUGAAAUGCAACAUGUACAGAAAAUCCUGUGAGCCCUGGACCUGAGGGUGUCUAAUGUGAAUAUGAUGUCAAUGAGGAAACAAGUGAAGCAAAUCAAACUGAUAAUGAGAUAUGUAAUGGUGAUACGAAGGGAAUAUCAAACCCGAGAUGGGUCGUGGUAAGAAAAGAAUAAGAAGUGAAGUGAGAAUGACGAAUCAGAAGCGAAAACGAGGACGAUGAUAAUGAAGCGAAUAACAUCAAAAGGAGUGAUGAUCAACUCUGAUCAGACAUGGAAUGAUGUCACAUCAACUACGAACAUAAUGAUGGAACGGACAAUAACCCAGAGCUCCCAAAAGAAAGUCACUCAUCUCGCUCACAAAAUAUGCAACAAAAUGAAUACAAAGCCUGAGGGAUCCCGGGAAGCUCACAUACGAACUCCCGUCAACAAACAUACUCGAUCAAGUGGCCCUCGAAUAUCAAUACAUACACUCAGUGAUGGAUAACAAUACAUACCUGGUUUUUAUUUCUUUUUCCAUUUUUUUUUUUCUUUUUUUUUUUUUUUUUUUUUUUUUUUUACCCCCAAAGAUGACAUCAAAAAAGGAUAACAUACUCUCAAAUGUCAAUGUAACAUGAACUCUCUCUGAUGAUGUGACUUUCUCAAACUAAGGAUCCCUGGACCAACGUCCGUAUGAUAGAUAGUGGAAAUGACAUGACUACCCUCCAUGUAGUGAACUGAGGAAGAUCACCCCUCGGGGUGAAAGAAGAUGACGUGAAACGAACAGUAGAUAAGAUAAAGAAAAUAUGAUGAAUAACACGAACAGUGAGAUGAGAUGAAAUGCAAUGAUGUAGUGGCGAGCACAGAUAAUGAGAAGAACGUGCCCCUAGGUCCAAGGCUCAAUGAAACUCUCAAACAAUGCAUGCAUACACUAAAGGGCCCCAAUCCCGGUGUGAAAAUGUGAGCAAGGCUAUAAGAAAUGAAGGUUAUGAUGCGCGUGCGAGGCUCAAAUGGGCUAGCAAUGGACUAUAUAUAUCAGAAACGGGAUAAAGGGAUAUAGCUAACCGAAAUGAUAGCCACCCAUCCUGCGACCAUGGUCUCAAACAUAGUACCUCUUUAGCUGAUCCACAUUAGUCGGCUCUGAGAACUGGUUUCCAUCCAAAUCCAUCAACCAUGCGGCGCCCUCUGGGGACAACUCUCUGAUGAAGUAAGGCCCGCUCCAACUGGGUCUGAACUUCCCUCUAGGAUCUCUGAUCAAUCCUCUGAUGACUCUCAAAACUAAGUCACCUACAUGCAGUGGUCUGGGCUUGACCCGCUUUUUGAAAGCGCGGGCCAUCUUCCUCUGAUAUGCACGAACAUGGUCUGCUGCUCUCAAUCUCCUCUCAUCUAGGAGAUUGAGCUGAUCAAAUCGAGCCUGAGCCCAAUCCGUCUCGGGAAUCUGCUGCUCCAAGGCUACCCUCAAUGAACCCAUCUCGAUCUCAACUGGUAGCACUGCCUCCAUACCGUACACCAAUGAGUAGGGUGUGGCUCCUGUAGAGGUGCGAAAAGAAGUCCUGUAAGCCCAUAGUGCGAAAGGAAGCUUCUCGGACCAAUCCCGAGAAGUCUCAACCAUCUUCCGCAAUAUCCUCUUAAUAUUCUUAUUCGCGGCCUCUACUGCCCCAUUCGUCUGCGGCCUGUACGCAGACGAUCUAUGAUGCCGGAUGCUGUAUCUCUGUACUAAGGUGUCAACCUCUGCUCUGAAAUGCACCCCUCUGUCUGAAAUAAGCUCGUGAGGGACUCCAUAGCGACAAAUGAUGUGCGAUCUAAUGAAACUGGCAACUCCAGAUGAUGUCAAUCUCGCAUACGAGGCGGCCUCCACCCACUUGGUAAAGUAAUCAAUAGCUACCAGGAUGAACUCAUGACCACUGGAAGAUUUCGGCGAAAUCUUCCCGAUGAUAUCGAUACCCCAUACUGAAAACAGCCAUGGUGAAGUCAAUGCAUGCAACUCUGAGGGCGGCACGUGAAUGAGAUCUCCGUGUAUCUGACACUCAGGACAUCUCUGGACGAACUGACAACAAUCCGUCUCCAUAGUCAACCAGAAAUAGCCGGUCCUCAUGAUCUUACGGGCCAACAUAUGCCCUCCCAUAUGUGGUCCACAAACUCCCGCAUGAACCUCUCUCAUCACUCGAUCGGCAGAGGCACGGUCUAAACACAACAAUAGCAUCCCGUCAGCUGAUCGUCUAUACAGCGUCUCGCCGCAAAUGACGAAUCGGGCAGCCAACUGUCUCAAUGCUCUCUUAUCCUUGGCCGUGGCGACCUCAGGAUAUACGCCGAGUCUCAAAAAGUGAUAUAUGUCGUGAUACCAUGGCAAACCAUCAUUUGGCUCUACAUCAUCAAUCAAACAACAAUACGCAGGAGCAGAUCUCGACUCGAUCAACAAUGGUCGAACAGUGGCAUCGGCGGGAAUGUCGAUCAUGGAAGCUAGAGUAGCUAAAGCAUCAGCAAACUGGUUCUGCGCUCUAGGCAGAUGUGUAUAUCUCAUAUCCUCAAAUCUCGCGACCAGUAGCUCCAAAUACGCGUGGUAAGGCCUAAGCUUCACAUCUCUAGUCUUCCACUCGCCCUGUAUCUGUCUCAAUACCAGAUUGGAGUCACCAAACACCUCCAUCUGUCUAAUCCCAAGCUCGAGGGCUGUCUCUAACCCCAAGAUACAUGCCUCAUACUCAACAAUGUUGUUCGUGGCCAGAUGUUGAUUCGAGAAUGCCAAACGAACAGAUCUGGGAAUGUGAUCACCAUGAGGGGAUAUCAACAAAACGCCUAUCCCGUAUCCAGAAUGGUUGGCUGCACCAUCAAAGUACAUGCGCCAACCCGACAGACUAGUCACAGCUGCGACAUCCUCGUCUGGAAAAUCAUCGUCAAUAGCUCUGGCAUCAGAAACUGGUAAUGAGGCUAAGUGAUCUGCGACAAUGCUCCCUCUGAUGGACUUCUGAGUGACAUAAUGAAUGUCAAACUCAGUCAGAAGUACCAGCCAUCUCAUAAGGCGACCAACUAGGUAUAUCAAGACGAGGAAUCAAAGGUCCGAUCCUACAAAGCACGAAGAACGGAAUAAGGAUAUGGCUCGGGGAAUGUAUAGAAGAAAAGAUAAUCUGAACGGGAACAAGCAAAGCAUCCAAGUGAAGAUGAGCGGUCCGACCGUACUCAAAUUCGUCCUGAUCUCAGUGCACUCUCAUCUGGAGACUAAACAGAGGGAAAAUCGGAUCCAAAACUACGGCUACAGAGGCACGGAAAGCCCUCAGAUGCACCCACGUGUAGGGAGGGAAUCCUAAUCGAAGGAUCUAUGGCUCAACCUACAAGGUCAAGGUGGCUCUAAAUGGAUAAGGGUGGACUUUAAAAUAUCCCUAGCAGAAGCGAUCAUACCCUCCGGCGAUACGCAACCCUCUGCACGCCUCCGAAGAGACGGGGCGCUUCCAUGCAAGGUGGUCAUCACCUCCACACAUGCACUACCUCGCAUUCCAGGGGGUUUCCUAUGGUGAAACCUCUCAAACUCUCAACACUCAAUAGUCUACUAGCGUGCACAGUGAUGGUGUGGGUGCAUCCGAAACCCUAAGAAGCUAAAGCAGGAUAUGAAACACACUGGCCACAUAAAUAUCCAUGAAACCUAGCUCCGGGCUAUACAGGUCUUCAAUGAUCGGACUCCAAUCGACAUCAAAGUGUCGCUCUCCUCCAGAANNNNNNNNNNNNNNNNNNNNNNNNNNNNNNNNNNNNNNNNNNNNNNNNNNNNNNNNNNNNNNNNNNNNNNNNNNNNNNNNNNNNNNNNNNNNNNNNNNNNAGGCAUGUCAAGAAUGGCUCUAAUCUUGUCCGGAUCCACCUCUAUGCCUCGCUCACUGACUAUGUAUCCCAAGAGUUUCCCAGAAGUCACUCCAAAAGUGCACUUCUUGGGAUUCAGUCUCAAUCUGAACUGUCUGAUCCUCUCAAAGAACCUCUCAAGAGCUGCCAAGUGAUCUGAUCUAUCUCGGGAUUUCACUAUCAUGUCGUCUACAUAAACCUCGACAUCCCGAUGCAUCAUGUCAUGGAAGAGUGUGGUCGCUGCCCUCUGAUAGGUGGCUCCUGCGUUCUUCAAUCCGAAUGGCAUGACUCUAUAGCAAUAAGUACCCCACUCGGUAAUGAAGGACGUCUUCUCCAUGUCCUCUGGAGCCAUCAAGAUCUGACUGUACCCGAAAAAUCCGUCCAUAAAGGACAACAUCGAGUGACCUGCUGUACUGUCAACUAGCAUGUCGAUGUGUGGGAGAGGGAAAUCAUCCUUAGGACUGGCCUUGUUGAGAUCUCGGAAAUCAACACAGACUCUCACCUUGCCAUCCUUUUUAGGAACAGGGACGACAUUGGCCAGCCACUCCGGGUACUCGACCACUGAUAGAAACCCCACACUGAGUUGCUUCUGAAUCUCCUCUUUCACCUGCAAGCUCCAACGAGGGUGCAAUCGUCUCAACUUCUGCUUAACCGGUCUGGCAUGGGGCAGAAGUGGCAAACGAUGCUGGACGAUGGAUGGAUCAAGGCCCGGCAUGUCCUCAUAGGACCAUGCGAAAACGUCCAAGUAGGAUCUGAGCAACUGGAUGAGACUAUCUCUCUCAUCUGAGGAUAAAUCUGACCCGAUCCUCAACUCCCUAGGCUGAUCUGCGGUGCCGAAAUCAACAAUCUCUAUGUCUCCUAUAGCAGGUGAAACCCUCUGAUCAACGGGAUCCGAAUCGGAAACAGAAGAUGAGUCAUCAUCUGAGUCGUGCUGUGCAAUCUCAUCAUCAAUAUCAAAAAUCUGUGGUGUGGGUGAAGAUGGUGCAGAUAAAUCAAUAUCCCAAGAGACAGGCAGAUACUCAAAAAUGCUCAAAUCCAUAGAUGAAACAUCGGAAACAAUGUCAGAACAGGAGACGAACCCCGACAGAAUGUCAAAUGAAAGAGGUGGGUCCACAAAGUCGGACGCUCCCUCAACAAUGCCAACAUGGCUAUCAAUCAAAUCAUCAAAAACUAUAGCAUCCUCAACAAUCUCCAGAGUAGGGGUUGUCUGGAUCUCCUCAACGAUCUCGAUGAAAGACACCCCGAAAAGAUCGAAUGGUGAAGUGAGCCCAGGAUGAACUCUCUCCUCGAUCGGGCUCAAGCUCAGGGCGAGCAUCUCGUCGAUGUACUCGUCGUGUGGGACGGCUCCGUCCACUAUGUCUUCGACCCCAGCAAAGGUCCCAUGCUCAUCGGUCUCGUCCGGGAAGCAAAGCGUCAUAAGGCUCGUGCGAUCUGGAGACGAAGGAGCAAUCAACACAGAAGUCGAAGAGCCAGGAGCUCCGUCUCUCAAUCGUAACUGCUGGACAAGGCGCUGAAGCUCGACCUCCUGAGUGGUGCUAAGUCCUCCAAUGAUCAUGUCCGAACGGGUCAAUGGCUCUGAUGCCCUCACAAAAUAAUCAGAUAAGCUCCUGGUGUAUGGACGAAGAGGAUAGUAGAAAGGUGUGUGGGUCAGUCGAGCUCUCACUCUCUCCUUGCGCAAACGCGCCAUGUAGAGAUAAUCGGCCUCAGUGGGGAUGAACCCAAGUCCGAACGGUACGUCGUGAUCAGGGAUGGCUAUGAACUCGCUCGGUCCAUGCUGACGUCGACCCAACCCCAUGCCGGGUAGAUAGGACAUACUCCGCAUGAUAUCGAGCACCACUGUGCUCCCAUGCCGGUCAAAGGACAUGGCCACAAAAUCCCGGCAGAAAUCCUCUAUCUCCACAGUCUGCACCUCAUCGAAGGUGAAUCCAGUCAGAAAAAGAUCGUCAUCAGUGUGACUAAUCUCGAGCACAAGCUCGGCAGCAAUGAACAUGUCUCCCACAGACUGCACCACGACGACCUGACCAUCGUGAAUAAACUUCACCUUCUGAUGAAGGGAAGAAGGAAUGGCCCCGACUCUGUGGAUCCAUGGUCGGCCCAGAAGCAGGUUAAAGGAUGUAGGAAUCCUCAAAACCUGGAAUACAGCGACAAAAGUGGCCGGACCGAUCAGCAACUCGAUCUCCAAUGUACCCAUGACCUCCCUCCGAGUACUGUCAUAUGCGCGAACGGUCUGAGUAGUGGGACCAAAAUCAGAAGGAGCGUAUCCAAGGGCGAUGGCAGUGGCAAGAGGACAUACGUUCAGGGCCGAGCCAUUGUCCAAGAGGACAGAUGGGACUCGGCGGCCUGAACAGCCAACAGAUAUGUAGAGUGGGCGAGUGUGGUCUGAGCCCUCCGGUGGCAAGUCAUCAUCGGAAAAGACGAUACAAGUGGCUCUGCCAACCGUCAUCAUAUGAAUGAGUCCCUCGGGAGUGGUCGUGGUAUCAACUCUGAUCUGGCUCAGAGCUCGAGUCAGUGCAUCCCGAUGAGUACUGGAGGACGCUAAAAGGCUCCAGAUAGAAAUACGAGCCUGAGUGCUCUGCAACUGCCUCAAAAUCUCAUCAUUCUCUGCUCUGACCUCCUCCUGGGAUGACGUAUCCCCUAAGGGUCUAGCGGCAGCGGCUGGAGGUGGCUGUCUCACUACUCUCCCUCCCCGGAGGAUAUACUGAACGUCCGGAGUCUGAGGAUCAUCACUGUGUGGAGCCUGAACCUCCUCAACAUCUGGGAUCAGAAUGUACGGCGCCUGAACGCUAUAGCGCGUGAAUGUCAGAGGCUCGGAAGUGGCUGCCUGUACAGAUGCUGCCUCAGGAACUAAUCGGAAUGGAGCAGGAAUCUGUGGCUCUAGGGUCACCCCACUCGUCUCAUAAAUCCCAGCUGGCAUGAUAGGCUCCGGGUCUGAAUCAUCCCAACUCAACAUAUGGACAUGAUCAUCAGUCUCAUCGAAGUCCAAGAAAUGAAUACCACCGGCUGGUGGAGGAACUGCAUGUGUGGUGUGGGUCGGCAACGGGUUUGUGGUCACACUCGGCUGACCCAAGUGUACCAAACCCUGGUCUAUCAGAUCCUGAAUAGCAUGCCUCAGAGCGGUGCAUCGAUCGGUCUCAUGUCCAGGCCCCUGAUGAUAAGCACAGUGUAAGUCCAUCCUAAACUGAGCUGGAAUCGGCUGAGGUAGUGGUCGAGGAGUGAGAGCAGUCAAUAAACCAGCCUCCGUAAGCUUCCGAAGAGCCUGGCUCAACGGCAUGCCUAUCUGCGAGAACUGCCUCUGCGUCCUCAAAGCGAACGGAGCAGAAGUCUGCUGGGCUCCAGGUCGGGGAUAAGGCGCCGCAGGUCUCGCGGUGAACUGAGCAGCGUAGCAUGGCUGCCCUGUGGCUGUGUAGGAGACCGCGGGUCUCUCAAUGCCCUGAGUGGCAUAAGAAGGUAAAACCAAUGUCUGUGGCAUGUGCGUCUGAUCGUAAGCCGGCCGAGGUGCCCGUGGCCUGUACUGAUGAGAUGCGUAGGAAGAAUGAGGCUCGGAAAACUGUGGGAUCGGCUGAUGGCGUCUGAGAGGCCUCUGACUGGAUGAACUGAUAGCACCAACCUCUGUCGGUCUCGGUCCUACGAAUGGUUUCUUCCCCUUAACAUCACUAGGGGAAGAAUCUGCCCAUAAACCUCUCGUGAUGCCGUCCUCGACAUCAUACAAAGCCAUAACCAGAGACCCAAAAUCUGUGAACGGGACCCCGACCACAUGUCUGGCGAUCCCCGGCUGUAGGCUCCUCAAAACCAUCUGAAUCUGGUCUCUCUCUGAUGGUCUAUCCACUAUCUCAGCUAUCUUCCCGCGCCAGCGGGAAAUGAAAGAAGAAACGGACUCCUCUGUCCUCUGCCUCAGAGCCUCGAGCUCUCUCCUCGAUACGUCUACAACAGUGUUAAACGAAAACUGUCGUAGGAACUCCUGGGCCAAGUCAUCCCAUGUACGGCGUCUCGAGGACUCUAGAGACGCAAACCAGCGCUGAGCCGCCCCACUCAAAGAUAGGGGGAAAAGAGUGAUCAUCUGAGGCUCGUCCAGUCCAUGAGCCCUCAUCACGGUGCUAUAAAGUCUGAGGUGGAGGCGCGGACAACCAAUACCAGUGUACCUCUCAAUAUCUGGCAUCCUGAACUUAGCCGGCAAGCUGGCUACCGGCAUAGCCCCAAAAUCAUCCCAAACAACGGAUCCAUCUGACACUCUCAUCUGUCUCAUACACUGCUCGAUGCGGUUCAUGCGCGCAUGCGUGUCAUCAGCGACAACGGCCUGGGCGACUGCAAGUGGAGCGAUCCCAGAAUGCCCGUGUAAUACAUAUGGUGAUGUCUGAUGCACUGAAGGAACUGGUGGGGGUGGUGGAGGUGGCACCGGGUCAUAGGAUACCUCGUCCUGAGCGAUAUGUGGCCUGCUCUGCUGGUCAUUGAUCUCCUGCCUAAGGCCAGCCAGAGCCUCCUGGAUAGAAGCCAUGGCAGUCGUGAACUGAUCGACCGUGACAACCUGCUGAUCCAUAUCUGGUGUAUCUGAAACCCGAACUAAUCUGCCCUCUACUCUGAUCCACGAAACUAUACCCAGACUGAGAGUAAAAAUCCUGAUCCUGAAAGUACUCCUCCUCUGCUCUGAUCCACAAAAGGUAUAUCAAGACGAGGAAUCAAAGGUCCGAUCCUACAAAGCACGAAGAACGGAAUAAGGAUAUGGCUCGGGGAAUGUAUAGAAGAAAAGAUAAUCUGAACGGGAACAAGCAAAGCAUCCAAGUGAAGAUGAGCGGUCCGACCGUACUCAAAUUCGUCCUGAUCUCAGUGCACUCUCAUCUAGAGACUAAACAGAGGGAAAAUCGGAUCCAAAACUACGGCUACAGAGGCACGGAAAGCCCUCAGAUGCACCCACGUGUAGGGAGGGAAUCCUAAUCGAAGGAUCUAUGGCUCAACCUACAAGGUCAAGGUGGCUCUAAAUGGAUAAGGGUGGACUUUAAAAUAUCCCUAGCAGAAGCGAUCAUACCCUCCGGCGAUACGCAACCCUCUGCACGCCUCCGAAGAGACGGGGCGCUUCCAUGCAAGGUGGUCAUCACCUCCACACAUGCACUACCUCGCAUUCCAGGGGGUUUCCUAUGGUGAAACCUCUCAAACUCUCAACACUCAAUAGUCUACUAGCGUGCACAGUGAUGGUGUGGGUGCAUCCGAAACCCUAAGAAGCUAAAGCAGGAUAUGAAACACACUGGCCACAUAAAUAUCCAUGAAACCUAGCUCCGGGCUAUACAGGUCUUCAAUGAUCGGACUCCAAUCGACAUCAAAGUGUCGCUCUCCUCCAGAAUGCUCCCGUACAUCGAUAUAGCCCGUUGCUAGACCCUACUCCUAAUCUCUGGCUCGGUCAGAGAGCAAACACACAGAAGGUCUCACACUUGCAAUAGUGAGAACCGGGAUGAAAGGAAUGACCGAAACCAAGAGAGUUGGAGGUAAGGGGAUAUAUGUGCGGCCCACAUAGACAGGCAACAUGCAAUCAUGCAGAAGGAAGGCAGUCACGUGUCAUACAGUCAAGCAAAGUACAGGAUAUAUCACUCAUGUCCACACAAAAAGCUACAACUAUCAGGAUGAAUAGCUAUAUGAACAUCAUGCUCAAAAGACGAUCAAGAUAAUAUGCAAGUCAGAGAAAACAACACAGCAAGUCAAAUGAUAUACACCAGUGAAUCCAUGCAUGUGAGGUGAGCAGAAUAAUCAGGAAGAAACAGAAUCGCUAUACCAAGCAAAACAAGGUGAGCAACCUAUGAUAAUCGGCAUGUCAAUGUACCAAACUAAUAUAGCAAUGAAGUACAGAAAAAACGACAUCCGAAGCCCCAAAUCAAGAUGAUCAAUCAUAUCAAUGUCACAACACAAUAUCCAAGCAUACAUCAAAAACUCCCAAUGUGCAAUCAAGAGACAAGUACUCGCUGAUCGACUCAUCAAAUGCCAUGUUUGCUUCAUCUUAAGUUCAAGUUUGACCCUCUAUAGUUCCCCAGCGGAGUCGCCAUUUUGUGGACCCCGCAUUUCGAUGGCUCGAAUGCGUUCCCCACUCGAUGGCGAGCUCGAUUUUUAUUUUGAAAAAUUGAUUUUUAUUGAUUAUUUGAAAAUGACUUGGAGUCGCCACUUAUUUUUGUUUUAUUUUUAAAGGGUAAACAAAAUAAGAAAGAAAAACCCUAAGUGUGACUCCUUAUUUUGGAAAAGGUGAUCUACGAAAAACCGGAUCGGGUUCGGGGGUCAGGUUACUUAUCGGGAAGGUACGGUAAAGACCGUAGCACCCCUCUAAGUCCCUAAAGUCGGGUCUCUACUACUAAAAUGAAGCUGACAUGGCAAUCAAUGAGAAAAUCAAUGAAUACUCAAAUCAAUCAUGCACAUAUAAGUAUCAAAACAUGCGUAUAGCAAGACCAGAAUAAGGACAGAUGCGUACCUGGGCAACGAUCUUCAAUGCGCUAUCAAGAAGUGAGAUUAGUGCACAAUUAAAGGAUGGUCACAUGCAUAUCAUAGAGCAGAAUAAAUCAUGUAUGGCACCCAAAUCAACCAAACAAUCCAUCAAUCAUAAAAUCUCAUAUGUUGGGCCCCCACCAAAGCCCGAUUGAUUUUUGCAUGAAUUAAUUCCAUAAAUUCCCUUGCUUGGAAUUACGGAAUUUUAUUCUAGCUUAUUUUAAAACAUUUUGAAAAUCUGAGGAGUUGUGAAAAUUGCUUGUCAGGGAGAAAAGUGACAGCAAAUUUUUAUUAUNNNNNNNNNNNNNNNNNNNNNNNNNNNNNNNNNNNNNNNNNNNNNNNNNNNNNNNNNNNNNNNNNNNNNNNNNNNNNNNNNNNNNNNNNNNNNNNNNNNNNNNNNNNNNNNNNNNNNNNNNNNNNNNNNNNNNNNNNNNNNNNNNNNNNNNNNNNNNNNNNNNNNNNNNNNNNNNNNNNNNNNNNNNNNNNNNNNNNNNNNNNNNNNNNNNNNNNNNNNNNNNNNNNNNNNNNNNNNNNNNNNNNNNNNNNNNNNNNNNNNNNNNNNNNNNNNNNNNNNNNNNNNNNNNNNNNNNNNNNNNNNNNNNNNNNNNNNNNNNNNNNNNNNNNNNNNNNNNNNNNNNNNNNNNNNNNNNNNNNNNNNNNNNNNNNNNNNNNNNNNNNNNNNNNNNNNNNNNNNNNNNNNNNNNNNNNNNNNNNNNNNNNNNNNNNNNNNNNNNNNNNNNNNNNNNNNNNNNNNNNNNNNNNNNNNNNNNNNNNNNNNNNNNNNNNNNNNNNNNNNNNNNNNNNNNNNNNNNNNNNNNNNNNNNNNNNNNNNNNNNNNNNNNNNNNNNNNNNNNNNNNNNNNNNNNNNNNNNNNNNNNNNNNNNNNNNNNNNNNNNNNNNNNNNNNNNNNNNNNNNNNNNNNNNNNNNNNNNNNNNNNNNNNNNNNNNNNNNNNNNNNNNNNNNNNNNNNNNNNNNNNNNNNNNNNNNNNNNNNNNNNNNNNNNNNNNNNNNNNNNNNNNNNNNNNNNNNNNNNNNNNNNNNNNNNNNNNNNNNNNNNNNNNNNNNNNNNNNNNNNNNNNNNNNNNNNNNNNNNNNNNNNNNNNNNNNNNNNNNNNNNNNNNNNNNNNNNNNNNNNNNNNNNNNNNNNNNNNNNNNNNNNNNNNNNNNNNNNNNNNNNNNNNNNNNNNNNNNNNNNNNNNNNNNNNNNNNNNNNNNNNNNNNNNNNNNNNNNNNNNNNNNNNNNNNNNNNNNNNNNNNNNNNNNNNNNNNNNNNNNNNNNNNNNNNNNNNNNNNNNNNNNNNNNNNNNNNNNNNNNNNNNNNNNNNNNNNNNNNNNNNNNNNNNNNNNNNNNNNNNNNNNNNNNNNNNNNNNNNNNNNNNNNNNNNNNNNNNNNNNNNNNNNNNNNNNNNNNNNNNNNNNNNNNNNNNNNNNNNNNNNNNNNNNNNNNNNNNNNNNNNNNNNNNNAGAAAGGUGAAUAAAUAUGGUGGGGGAGUAGACUGUUGACAAUGGGUAUGUAUGAGUCAUAUGCCUGGGGGUAUGGUGAGAGAUGAACUGCAAGUGAUGGGCAUGAUGUGGUGUGGGGUGGAUUAGUGGGAUGACAGUAUACAAAGAGAGCGUGGUGUAGAGAGAGAAUGCAAGAUGAUGAGUGCAUGUGUAGAUAUGGGUGUGGGCAUGGUGGUAUGAAGCGUGUGGUGGAUGAUGGACUGAAGGUGAUGGGCAUGACAAUGGGCAUGAACAGGGAUGGAGUCAUGUGGGCACGAGACGAGCAUGAGCGCGGAAUGAGUGUGAUGCAACCAUGCAUGGUAUGAAAAGGGUUUGGUGUAGUGAGAGAAAGUAGAUUAUUGGUGAUGGGUAUGAAUAAUGGCCGGGUUUGCAUGGUCCAUGCACUUGGAUGGGUGAGUUUGGGGAUGCUAGCAGAAGCCUUGGAAGGAAUACGGGCAGCCAUGCACGCGUGGGGUUUCAUGGAUAUCGAGUCAGGGUAUUUUGUUGGAGGAAGAGAGCAUGGGUCUGCACAAUAUGGGGAUUGGGAUCUCCUACGGACUCCCUAGCUAAUGGAGUUGUGAAAGGGAGACCAUCUGCUUUUCCGAUACCAGAUUAUGGGAAGUUCAGUGAUGGCUUCUCAAAAAAUAUUGGUCCACCUUGAUGUUAACAAACCACCCUUGGGCAAUUUAGCAAUCCCUUCAUUCUCAGAAGACUCCGUCUCCAACAGACCAUAAUGAUACUGAACUAAUCCAUGUGAAACGGACAAGAAAGGCUCUGCUCGUGAAUGUUCCCUGGCAUAACCUCCUCUAGAAUGUCAUCAGACGAAACAAAACUAGAGAACCAGGUAUCUGGAACAAGUAAGUCUUCUCUCUGGGCCAAACCCUCAACAAGCCUGUUGCAUUUCUCUGAUUUCUCCCACUGUUCUGCCAAAGUCUUUAUUUAUAAUAUAAUGGUUUAGAAAUAUCCUCCAUUAAUCACUCUACCUUUGACCAACCCUGGUUAAGGAUCCAUACAUCAAAUCUGAUUACCACUUCUGGCCCACAACCGCUCGAGUUGAUAAUGAUUUUCCUCCAUAUCUACUCCUGUUCAUCUUCAUAAAAUUCCUUGGAAUCAUCAGUAUACUCACUGCAAUCUGUGGUAAAGACCACCACAUCCUCAUCGACAUCUUACUUUUUUCCUCUACGAAUGGCGCCUCACACUACUCACUAUUCUUUGGAUCUGAACCACUUUUUUUUUUUUUUUGUUUUUUCAAAUAUUGGAUGUCAAGCCUCAACAGCAUAUAGUAGUCAAUUUGUACCAUCCCCAAUGUAUGGUAUGCAUGAUGCCCCGUGCUCAAAUUGCUCAAAAAGAACAGAGGAAUAUAGCCAAGAAAACAGGGCAUAGGAGAAAGGAACAAAAAAUAAAUCAAGGGCAACUGCAUUUCAGGACAUAUCAAUGUGUUCCCACUGGUGGAUGAAAGAUAUGAACAAAUUCAAAACAAAAAAUACGCCACAUAUGUUCAGGUGCCUAGCAACAAAAUAUGAUGCAAGUCCUCACCCAUUUUCUUAAACCAGGUUAAUGAAACAGCGAAAGGAUUAACAUCACAGAUGGAAACAUGACAAAUACAAACAACAUAUACACCCAGUGAAAUGAUAUUCAGAAUAAUGAAAUCAUACGGCUAAAUAUAAGCAUACCUGAAUGUGAUAGAUGUCCUACCCAGCUUUUCUUACUUUCUCUCUGUUUUCCUUGCCUUUCUAGCUCCGACAAUCGAAUCACCUUCUCUCUUACUCUUCUUUUCUCCCGCUUGAAAAACCUCCCUCUGGAAAUAUAUCUCUCCCCCAGCCAGACGACACCCACCUGCCUUGCAGUUGCAAGCCUCCAUUACCUUCAGAUUUUUCUGCCACCUUCCUCUUCUAGGCCCAUUUCCCCACUACUCUGCACCACUACCUUGCUAAUAACAGAAGACGCUCCUCAAUACAACGGCCUGCAGAUCCUCAUGCCACCUGUCAACCUUCCAUUGGCACUUCAAAAACAACAUACGAUUCUGCAUUGCCCUCUCAAAAGGAGACACGUGAUUGAGCAAGGCUCUUCCACGUGGCCAAAACGGGUAGCUGCAUGAAAGGCCCCAAAUGGGGGUCUACAGCAGGAUAUACUUUUUCGUCAAUGUGUGCCUGAAUGACCUAAAACUAGUCCCAAUUAAUGAUAUGACAUUGUAUUUGCUAUUCUCAUCAACCAAGAAUACACCCGAAAAUAUAAGAUCUUGAUUAUUUAAUAAGCAUGUAAGGUAUACACAAAAUAUAGGAAAAUAAUUUAAGUACAUUACUAUAUACCUUAUAAGAAGAUCUUGAUUAUUUAAUAAUCAUGUAAGGUCUACACAAAAUAUAGGAAAAUAAUUUCAAUAGAUUACUAUAUACCUUAAUGCAAUCCCAUAAUUUCUCCUUCAAUUCCACAGGCAUUACUCUCCAAUCAAUAUGAUAUACUGGCACCAUGGUUUGUGUUAGCACCCCCAAGUAUGAUACAAGUUGUACAUAUCCCUCACCCACUCCCUCACCAUCAUCAUUAUAUUGAAUGUCAAUUUUCACUCAUUCACUUCUCUUUUUAGCAAUUUCAGGUUUUACAGUUGGGCCUCUAAACAUUUUUGGUGAAGUAAUCUUCUGUUUUCCUUCCUUUCCAUCCAUCUACAUGACAAUCAAAAGAAUAUGAUCAAUCUCAUAAUACAUAUAUAUAUAUAUCUUACAUUCAAAAGUAAAGCAUGAUAUUUUAAUAGUUACCUACUCUUUAUCUCUUCUUGGUUGAGACAUCUGUAAAGAUGUUGCACUUUUUGGCCAAGUUCCAAAUAAUUAAGAAUUAUGCACUACUAAACAACACUUGAAAAUGUAUCUCAACUAAAUCUAAAGAAAUUAGUUACAAAAUGAUUUCAUAAGUAGGAAUAAAUCAUUGUUGUACAAAACUUGCAAUACAUGAAAAUUAAUCUUAAAUCUCAAUAUAUAUAAAUAUGAUACUAACUGAAUUUAUUUAAAAUAGCUUAGCAAGUAUAUAAUAGUAAAAAUAUAUUUGAGAAUAAUAAAAUAAAAACAUAACAUUGUUGAGCAUCACAUUGUAGAUUAACAAUAACUCAAAAAUCACAUAAUACACUUAGUAGUCACAAAGCAUAACCCCAAAAAACAAAAACAAAAAACAAGAAAAUUGUAGACCCUCAAUUUUGUCCCUUUAGCACAUGUCUUUAAGUUCACUUCCAAUGCUCCAUAGUAAUUCCUUGGUGGCCCAUUGCUACUCAUACUACUUACCUUUUUUUUAGCCACCUUGGAGACCUUGGUUGAGGGGUUUAUCCAACUCCACAUUAUGACCUUGGCAGCCCUAAUUUAGACUUAGCCACUUUCCUGAACGCCUUAGGCCCACUUAGGUACACUUGGCCCACUAGGCGUCACCUUAAGCCCACUUAAGCACUUUUAAACCCAUUUUUUAUAUGACUUGCAUGAUUGCAUGGCCUACAUGACUUGUGUGGCUUAUAUGGAUUUCUUUAUUAUUUAAUUUCAUUUUAUUUUAUUUUAUUAUAAGUUUUCUUGGCUUUUUGGGCAUGAGGAAAGGGUCUGUCAUCUAUUUUGAAGGAGAAUCAACAGAAUUUUGAAAAAGAGGAGAUUUUGUUUUUAUAGGGAUAGCACAUAUAUUAUUUUCAUGGGGAAAUCGGUUACAAAAGGGAAAAAACUAAGAAAGGAAAGUGGAUUUCCUUUUUGGAUCACAAAAGUUUUUUUGGAGGGAGAUUUUUUUAUUGUCUUUGUAGAGAGACACAAAAAGGAAAAAAGGAGGGGAUUUUCCUCUAACAUAUUUGGGGGGGUUCUUUGGGAAGGCUGAUCUACGCAAAAAAUGAGAGGAAAAAAAAGCCACAGAUUAAGGGGGAAGGGACUCACGGAUUUGGAGGAGGAUUUUCUCCAUGGAUGAAGGGGGAAGGGACUCCCGGAGGAUUUUCUCCAUGGAUGAAGAGGGAAGGGACUCACAGAUUUGAUGAGGAGGAUUUUCUCCAUGGAUGGAGGGGAUGGGUAGCAGAAGAUGAGAGGCUGCUUCGAUAGUGUGAAUUUUUCUGGAAAGGGCCAAGGACCAUAGGAGAGGAUCAGGGACAGAGGCACUAUUACUUUGAGAAGCCCAUGAGUUCUUGAAGUCUCCAACAUAUCCCUUGAGGUAAGCUCUUUAGUGUGAAAUCCAAUUUAUUUUAUUUUCUCUGUUUCUUUUCCUCUUUCUUCUAUUGUCAUUAAGAUUUGCUACUGUUGAUUUUAAGUGUUUCAUAAAUUUGCCUGACUUCUGAUCCCAUUGUUGCUUCUUUGUUUGUGUUCAAGAAUCGUUCAAUUCUUCUUUGUGAUAUUUCAAAACCCUUUUAUUCCACCUGCAUUUAAGCCCACCGAUUCAGACAUGAAGUGUGGCUUUUUGAUAGUUCUUAUUUUCUUCAUUUAUGUUCUUUCUUUCUUUAUUAUUUUUUUGGCUAUUUUCUCCUUGCUCUUGGUGUUUGCACAUUCUUGGGCAUGGGACUACACACUUGGACGUCAAACCAUGGGAUGAUGAAACUGACAUGAAAGAGCUUGAGGCAACAUUAAUCAAAUCAAGAUUCGUGGCAAGACUAUGGCUGCUAUAUUGAGUUAGAUGUUUUCCAUAUGGGUUUGGUUCUCUUUCAUGAAUUUGCGGUUGGUUUAAAGUCUCCAAUUUUCUAUAUGGGAGAAGCAAUAUUAAGUAUUUUGGAUAUCUAAGUUUGUCUCUACUUCUGCAUUGAUUAUAUGUUGUGAGCAUGGUGGGUUUGUGAGGAAGGAAAUGUGUAUCAUUGGGGAAUUUUAAUCUUCAUAGAAUUACCACCACAGAGGACUACAGUGGACUAGGACAUGGUUAUAAAGAAUCCAGGCUAGUUCCCCAGUCUGUAAUUGCAUUGAUCAAUGAUAUUUUUGUCCAGUGGUUCAGUCAUCAGUAGUCACAAUUGCUUGUCCAAUGGUUCAGUCAUCAGUAGUCACGGCCGCUAAAAGGGGGAGGUUAACAACCAAAAAAAAAGAAGUGGCAAUUCCUGAACUAGAGCCUCCGAGAUGGUUUGUUAUAGACCUGCACUAUGUGAACUGGGGAACUGUUGUCUUUCUUCUGUUUAGUGUGGAAGUUGUACUACUUAAGCAAAUGAGAAAAAAGGGGUUUGAUAAUGGGUGUAUGGAAUGCUCCUACAUCGGUAAGAAUAUUUCAGGGUCUUCUCUCGCUGCUGAUGUUCUGGACUAAGGCAAGGAAGAGUGUUUUCUCAUCUAUGAUACUAUUCCCAAUGGAAGCUUGCUGCAAUAUCUGGAUGUGAUUGAUAACAAUGGGAAGGUCCUUGAAUAGUCUACUAGAGUUUCUAUCAUCAACGACAUUGCCAAAGGUGCCAGGUAUUUACAUGAGAAGAAAGUGAUUUAUCAAACACAACAUGGGCCCUACAAAUACUAGAAUGAAGAUGCAUCCAGAAUGAAGACCUCCUAGAAUCCAUACAAUGUUCCAUUGAAACAGUCGAAGUCCACUCCUUCAUUGAUGUUGGUAACACAACACGCAAAGCCUGUACUCAAGCUUCUCUAGUCUCUCCUCAAAUCCUAAUGCCCAACCUCAGUGGCUUAAUACAUCUGAAACUGAUGCCAAACGGAUCCCUGAUGAAGGAAAUUAUGGAUACAUACAAAAGAUUUAAGAAUCAGCUUCAUCAGUACAAGCCCCAGAAGCAGUUUGCUGGAAAUGUACUUAAGCUCCAUGAGCAGACCCGUAAGUUGCAGUCGUGUCUUUGAUCGAGUUAGUAAGCUGCUCUCCCUCAAGGUUCGAACCAGAUAAAGGCAACUGGAGUUACUGCUGGUUACACUUUAACUUCUUCAUGGCCUAUACAGUUGGAAUUGCAGAUGAUAUGCAAGUGCUCAUAUUGAUGGUAUCGCUACAAAAUACUCCGAAAUUGUCGAAACAAAAGUUAUUCAAGCAAAGAUGGCAAACUGCAAUGAGAGUCUAUUGAAGAUCUCAGAGAUGAGAGGUUUGCUGAGUUCAAUAAAGAUGGCAAGUAACUUGAUGCCGAUGUUCACCUCAAGCACGUUCCGCGAUGGUCAUGCUGCUGCAUAUGUAGUGAUUUUGAUGGAAGACAGUAAGCCCAUUGGUGAGAAAUCGUUUUAUAACUUCCCAGAAUGCUUGGGAAGCAUCCCUGCUGUUUAAAUGAACUUCCCGAGAAGUGCUUGUGUAACUUGCUAAGCUGGCUACCUGAGUUGAACCACUGUGAUAUCAGUGGGGGAAAGAAACAACAAAGGCUCAACGAAGAGAUUGUACCCCGGGAGUUCAGAACUGGUGGUUAUGCGUGACGUUAUUCGGGAUUUAUAAUCGAAAAGGCUUCCUACAUGGCCAGAAUACAGAGGAUGAUUGGUUUGGGAUUGAAAAGAAGAUGAUCAUUAUUCAUCAGCUUCAUCCAAUUUUGGAGACUUUCAUGACAAGAUUGUGGGUUGAAGCUGGUCAUGUCUUUUCUUCAAAACAAAUCUUGUUGCCUGCCAAAAGAGGGCUCAUUUCUCAUGUCAUAAAAAAUGCUCAUGUCCUUGGAGAAAUUUGUGAGAUAAAAUGCGAUUAUAGUUUGCUAGCUAAAACUCAUUUCCAAGGUGCCAAUUAAAUCAACUGCCAAAAAGUUCACAGAGCACUACUCUUUGGGAUUUCAAUUCCUAGUGAUAUUGGAUAUAGGGAGUUUGUUUGUGAUAUUUUGUUCGAGAUAGAGUCUAAAAACGCAGGUUCUUCUGACAUGAAAGCCAUUGAAAACUGACGUGAGCCACCGAACAUUUCUGCUCAUGACAAGAAGAGUUGUAGGAAAAGUUGGCCAGGUUGUCUGAUGACCAUUGAUGUCCAAUCAGUUCAACAUUUUCGGCUACAGUAGCACCAGUUGUGAGUGGCUUUCUCAAGACAUCGUUCCUGAUUCCUGAAAGCAUUUCAGAUCAGUAUGAGACUUCAAGAUGGAAAUUAAAGAAUUUCCCAUGACUGCCAGAUUCGGUAGUUUGAUUUGAACAGAAUGGCGUCUCGUGAUUUUUGGAAUCAUGCAAACGAAUACACCCAACAUUGCAAAUGGAUCAAUUUCCUAUGACCUGGAAUCUCAACUAACUCUCUGGGUUAGAGAAUUCCAGUCGUAGCCAUGUCAUGAUACUACAAGACACCAGAAUUUAAAUUCAAGCAGCCAUACAAGGUUUCUUCCAAGCUGAUAGCACCACCUAGCACAGGUUUUGAUACCUUAACCUGUGGACAGAGUUUGCUUUUGGGAACAUUCCAUAUACUCGAAAUGGCAUCAAUGUCUUCUAAGUCACUACUUUUGGAUCAGUAUUUAGAGCUAGAUCUUAAUAUCGUCAUGCUAAAUUGUUGCUUUUGGUUUCAGAGACAUGAAUUGCUUGGAUAAUGCAUCCGGCUUGGCAAUUAUAAUUGUAAUGUCAGUCAUCACCUGCCUAAUGUCUCUAGUUACUGGAUUGUGUUGGCACCAGAACAUCUCCUCUAUAAUUGGCUUCAUAUUCUUCUCUGGCGUAAUUGAAGCUUUCUACUUCUUGGCUUUUCUCAUCAAGUUCCUGGAAGGAGCAUGGAUUUCUAAGCCACUCCUGAACAUGCAUAUAGGAAUGGAUGACGAGUCCAAUAAUCGUGACAUGGUGAAUUCUAGUUUAGAAAUCCCUAAUGCAGGUGAUGGUCAUGCUAAUGCCUUUCAUGCUAGCGUUGAUAUUGAUAUGAAUGGUGCCAGCGCUGAAGAUCAAACUGAGUAAAUUGGGUCUACUGCUGAAUAUGGUACGGAUGAACGACAAUCAAGGCAAAACACUAGUUUUCUUGCUACUGAGAUCCACUACUCAUCAAAAAAACCUAUCCCAAAUCAGUCCAACAAAAGGUGGGAUCUCUUUUUCCUUAAUUUUGCCUUUUUUUAAUAGGCAAAAUGAGCAUAAACAAUACUUUAUAAGGUGUCAAUGAAAAUAAACGUUCUUUGCCAUCUCAAAACCUUUUUAUAAGAUGAAAAUUAAUGUAUCCAUCUAACCUCUUAAGUUGUUCCUUCAUUGCAGGAUCUAAAUCAUCAUCAAUAUCUCCAUCUUCCAAACUAUGAUUAUGGUGGUUUUGAAAAGUGUGAACCUGAACAAUGUUCGAUUCCCCAAUUGCAUGAGCUAUGACUUUCCAAGGACAUUCAUUAACUGUGCAAACAACUGUCAUGUGUUUCCUACUAUUCCUCUUGAAGCAAUAACGGAAUCUACCAGUAAUUAACAUCAAAUAAACGGCAUCACGGAACUCGACAGCAUUGGGGAAGGUAUGUCCACUACCCAUAAUGGAAUUUUCAAACCGCCUUGAGUCACGUUCGAGUAUAUUUGAUUCCGCACAUCUUUGGGAAAACCCAUAUGACUCAAUUGUAAGAGAGUUAUUACAGAUAUCAAUUGGCGGAUCACCACCGGAGGAAAGUAGGUGUGCCAAAUUCGAACCAACAAUAGGAGUAGGGGCACUACAAAUUUAAAAAAAAAAAAAAUAUAUAUAUAUAUAUAUAUAUAUAUUCAUCUGUCUACAUAUAUUUCAAAAGUUGAUAGACAAAGUGAAUGUGAUGUUGGUAAGGCUAUAAGUACCUAUUCGAUACUAUACAGGCUUCAACAACUUCACUUGAUGAUGAGACAUAGGCUCGACAAAACAUUUCGUUGAAUUGAAUAGUGCAGGCAUGUGAUAUUCUAUAUAGGAUUGGUGAAUAGUCUCAUAGUCUAAGAUCAUGUUUGGUAGAGAGACAAAUGGAACACAGAUUUAUGAGAGGACAAGAUUGAAAGUUUGCAUAAAGCAAUUCUCUAAAUUAAGGACAUUUUGAAUAGUUCACUAGGAGAUUACAAGAGGAAAGAGAGAAGUAUGGCUUACAAGCCCACCAUGCUUAUCUCGAUGUAUUUGGAAGUGAAGCAAUAAAAGAAUCUUUGAUGAUGUUGAUCAAUCAGAAUUGUAGCUGAACAAUGUUUUCCUAAAUUUUUUGUUGAAUGGUCUGCUAGAUCAAUAGGAAAUAGAAGCCUUUCUUUUGUAGAUUUCAUUUGAUAUUUCAGCUAGUACUUUAAGGAUCAAGGAGUUUUAUUUUCCCCCUUUUUUUUCUUUUAAAAUCCUUAUGAACAUCACAAGUACAAAGGAAGUGCCCUCUUCUUAGCAAUUGUUUCACAACAUUUUACGUAUCAAAACAUUUUUUUUCAUUCUCCAAAAUGCCAAAAAAAUAAUGUCCAAAACAUUGAUUUUUAUUUUUUUAUUAAUCAAUUAAAUAUAAUUUAAAAUAAAAUAAUUAGAAUUAUAUUUUUUUAAUGAUGAACCUUAACUAAUUUAAAUUAAAUAUAUAUUAUCAAAGAGUACCAUAGUCCAAUGGUAGCAGGGAUUGAACCCAAGCCACAAUUUUGAUUUAAUAAAAAUUAAGAUGGCUAAUUAAUAAUUAAUAAUUAUUUAUAUGGAGCAAAUUGUUCUCAUGAUUUGUUUCCCCUUUUGUUUUUUUUAUCAUACUAAAUCUAAAGCUCAAAAGGGUCAUCCACUUCUCUCACUCGGGCAUCAAGGAGCCCUUUUCUGAAGUUGCCCUCCAAACGAGAGAAUCCCUAAAAAGGCCCUAUUUUCCUCUGCAACUCUCAAUCCUUGUAGGUACUAAUCUAAUCACAUUAUUAAUUUUUUUUUAAACCCUCAUUUGAUUCCCAAGAAAAUCCAUCCCCCAUUUGAUUUCCGGGAAAAUUCAUCCUUGUUUGAUUUUCGAGAAAAUCCAUGCAAAACCCCAAGGAAAACAAAAAAAAAAUGCUUUUUUUUCCUCCCUAUGUUUUCUAGAUCUGUUCUAGGGGUCUCUUUGCUUUUGUGCCAUUGGGUUUAAAUUUCACAAACCCUAAAUCCACGAUUUUUGAGCUAGGUUGAAAAAUAUAACCUUUGCCUGCAAAUCGUGAUCAGAUUACCAAAUAGCAUCUUAUGUUUUUUUUUAUAUAUAAAAAAAAAAUUUGGAUAGAUUUUGCAUCAUGCAUGGGCUAUGCUGGUAGGAAAUAUCGGGAAAUUUCCCGAAAAUACGAUAAAAAAUACCGAUAAAUACCAAAAUAUUUCUCGAUAUUUCAAACACUAGUGGUUCUCAAAUUUUUUUUCCUCAAUGAUUCCCCACAAACAACCGUCUUGUAAACAUAAAUAUUUAAGAUAUAACAAAAAAAAAUCCCCAAAUAUUCUAAAUCACGGGGUCGUGAACAAUGCAAAACAACCUUCAGCCCAAAUAUUUUCUCAACAGCCAAACAAAUCCUUAAAUGGAAAACUCACAUGCGAUUAAUCCAAAAGAAAGAGGAAACUCCACUUCGGUUUCCAGAAACCUGAAAAAUAUUCACCUUUGAUGAAGAAAUAUGAAGAUAUGACUCAACUUUGGCUUCGUUGAAGGUUUUUGGAAGAUGGCUAUUGGGUUUGGGUGGUCAGCUCGUGAAGAGAGACACUAGGGUUAGGCCAAAAUGAGACGAAAUGAGAGGAAGUGAAGAGUCAUGAAAAUGCAGAGCAAACGAGCCAUGAAAAUGUAGAUUGGGUUAGGGCAAAAUGAGAGGAAGUGACAGAGAGUUUCCCCAAAUUUCAAAGUUUAUCGAGUCGGGUGUUCUAUGGGUUUUGCAAAUUUGAUAACUUUUAAGUUUUUGAUUUUCGUGUUUAUUAAAGGCACAACUCUCGGGUGACAUGGACACGAGUGAUGGUUGCUGAUAGGGAUGCAUGGAGGGGUAAUUUCGAAAAUCCAAUUAUAAAUUGUAUAUAAUGCAUGAAAAGGAAAAAAUUUCUUGAAAUAGUGGACAUAUCUUGGGUUAUGCAAACUUGGGUUUUGAAAACAAUAUUAUUAGGAAAUGGGGCUCUCGAAACACAACUUUCCCUAUUUUUUAUAUUCCAAAUAUAAUAGUUCAUGUUAAUUAAACUAAUUAAAUAAUUUAAUUAAGUUAAUUUUUUGAAUCUAAAUCUAACGAGAUUGAAAUUAACUAGUUGAAUCUAAUUCUUACUAGUUUGAAUGUGAAAAUAAAAUUAAAUAAUCAUCUAAAAUAUAACAUAUCCAUCUAUAAUUAAAUAAUCAAAUUAACCUAAGCUUAUUCAAUAAAAAUAUACAAAUUAAUUACAAUUGAAUGUAAAAAUAAUAUUAAAUCAUCCAUAUUGAAAAUAUACUAAUUAAUUGAAAAUACAUUAAUUAAUUACAAUUGAAAACAAAAUUAAUUACAAUUUAAAACAAACAUACCUUAAAAUAAUUGAAUAAUUGAGCAACCUUAGAAAAUUUUUGAGCAAUAAGAGAUCAAAUAAAGAAUGAAAUUAAAUGUGGAUGAAAUGGAUGCAAAAUGAGUUAUUUAUAGGAAAAUUUUGGGCCAAAAUAGCUAUUGAUAGAUGAUUUCACUAUUGAAAAACAGUUUUGGCCGUUGGAUCAAAAUCAGGGCGACAUAUGACCAUUGGAUCAUGAAAUAACCAUUGGAAUAUCAUCCCAACGUUGGACCAAACCCAAAUUCAAUCUGGGGAGUUAGAUCAAUGCAGGCAUGAUGUAGGCCGUUAGAUCACGCUGAAAAGAGGAGGCAAAUUUUCUUUAAAAAAUCGACGAUUUAUCACCGAUAUAUAGACGUUUUUCCAACAUCAGUGAUGAUUGAUUGAUAAAACCGUCAAUUUAUCGCUGAUCAGCGAUAUAUCGACUAGAUUUUGGCAAUUUUUUGUUUUUUUGCCUCUUCGAUAAAUCCCCACAAAAUAUCGUGUUGAAACUCUCCGAUACACGAUAUAUCGAUGACAUACCGCCGAUAUAUCUUUGUGUUCCUAGUGAGGUUGAUGAUUUACUAAUAUGUUUCAAGUGCACAAUGAGGGAUUAAUUCUUAUUGCACACUAGGGCAUAGCCAUUUUAAAUAUCUUUAUCAAAGUUAGUGGUUUGAUUUUUAGAGAACACUUCUUAUUUGUUGAUAUUGCUAUCACCUACAAAGUAUGGUUUUAUACAUCCCUAAUUCGAAACAACAACUAUCCAUUGCAUUUGAGCAAGGUGGAGAUGUUGUUGGUUAUUAUUGCAUGCUAGGGCAUAGCCAUCAUCAUGGUUUUCUAAUCAAGUUAAUGAUGCAUUGACAUUAUGACGGAUUGAUCUAGUUUGGUUGUCUUCAUAGUUUAUUUUUGUCAAUGAAUGGCAUUGUCAUGGAUGAUUUAAAUACAUUAAUUCGAACACAUUCAUUUUGAAAACAAUCCAUGAACACAUUCCAAAAAAAGAAAAAGGGUAUCUAGGGAAUGGAUCAAUGCAUGUAUACUGAUUAUGUUCUAUAUCAUUGCACUGAGAAUAAUGAAUAGGUCUCUUAUGACUGCAUUAUGAUUCGAUAAGACAUUGUCAUAGUCUCCUAAUAGAUGUUUUACUUUAGGGCUUUAAGAGAAGGAAAUGAUCAAGCUUCUUUAUCAUGCAUGCAUGCUCUCAUCAACACAAAGUUGAGGCAUGUCAUUCAUCAAUAUAGAUCAGAAUGAGCCUAAAUAAAUCAAAGUUCUAAGUGGAAAAUGUUCAAUAUAGGGUUAUACAUCUAAGUGUAACAUGAUCGAAUUUUAUUCAAAUGUAUAAACUAUAAAUGAUUACAUACCUUUUUUUUUUUCCGAAUUCGCUCAUACCAUUAAGAUUUUUCAUCCACAAGAUACAACCUAUAUUGCAAAAAAUUAAAAAUUAAAAUAAAAGUGAAAAAAAAUUGUAUUAGAAUAUUAAGAAAACUCUACUUAUAAAUAUAAAAGAAUCCAAUUGUUUAAUAUUAAAAAAUCUCAAAUUUAAAAUCUAAAUAUUGAGGGUAAUUUUCUAUUUUUCCAUCUCAUAAUGAAUGAAACUCUAAUAUCUCCCUGCUAACUUACUAAAAGGGUCAUUAUCAACAUUUUUCACCUUAGAGCGAAUGUAAAAUUAUAAAAUUAUUAUCUGAGAACACCCACUUUACAAAUUAGAGAAAAAAACCUAAAAUAAAAAGGAAAAGUAUACCAUAAGGAAUAUUUAUUUCAAGCUCUUUAAAGUACUGAGAGCACCCAUUUUACAAAAUUGUACUCAAGUCAUGUAACAUUUGAAUCCAACUCAUUGAAACUCAUCAUUUUGUCUCAAAAAAGGUUUUUCAUUUUUUUAUUAUUAAAAAAAACCAUAAGCAGCUGAUUGUAUUCAAGUAAUUCAAUGGAUAGCCCUCAAAGGUAGGCAUCAAUUUAUCAGACAUUCAAACUAAACCACGGCAUCAAAAGAUUAUAACGAUAAGAAUAUAUAUACCUCCAGGCGAAGGAGCCAUUGAUGCUAUUAAAAGUUUGUUCUUCAAAAGAGCUUUAAGAAGUGAUCGAUUGUUCUUCAAGAGAGCUUCCAAAGAGCUUAGGGGGCUUUUUCUGUAUCCAAUUUGUUGAUCUCACUCUCAACCAACAGUAAAAGAAUAAACCUAAUCAGGAAAGAUUAAAGCUAACCAUAAAAGAACCAAACUCACCUCAGUAUAUAUGAGUUGGAUUUUUUUCAAGAGACAAUGAAAUAGAGAUGCUUCUGAGAGGAGAGGGUGAGGACAUGCAAAUGAGGAUUUGUGUGAAGAAAGAAUCGUUUACUUUCCAAAGGGACAUGCGGGCUUCUUCACUAGGAGGAUUUAAGUCAACUGGGAAUGGAUUUAAACAGCUCCAUGGUAACAAAAAUAAAUAAAAAAAUAAAGAAAAAUGUGUCCUCCAACAGUUUAUUGAUACAGUAAAGUGGACAUAUUACACUACCAUUAUGAGAAAUGACACAUUUGAAGGAGAGAGUCUUUUGAUAUAAUUGAGGCAUUAAAGUUUAAGCACUCUAUCUAACUUAUAAUCUUUAUAAAAAAGAAUUUCACGGAGACCAACUCAAAUGUAUAAAUAGCUUAUACAUUCCAACAUAAAGCAACAGCUGAUGGGAAACUGUGACUUCAAGGAGUUUUGGGCUGAAAGAAGGGGAAAGUCCCAUUAUGGUUUUUAGUCGAAUAAACAUGUUGACAGAUUCACACAAAAUCGGGCGGUUCGUCUGAUUCGACGGUCUAACUCUCUGGUUAGAUGAUUCAAUGGCGAUUCAAACUCAGAACAGUCCAUUCCGGCGAAUCAGACCGAAGGUCGGACCGAUUUUAAAACUAUGCAUUCACCAACGAAUCUGAGAAAAUCAAAAUUAAUUUUUACAAGCCGAAUUCAUAAGAAGACGAGAAAGGGAGUCAUCUCUGAACAGUAGACACAGAAGAACUUUAUUGAAAUUGGUGUUGCUUUUUGAAAGAGACGAAGUCGGCCAGCUACUUGGAAAGUUUGACUGGACAAGACUUUGAGUUGAUUUGAUGGGAGGUGGAGCAGUUUAUUGGGACUUCAAAAAUAUUUUUCUCUUCCAACCGUCCUUAGAUUUAAAAUAUUUUUUAUCAAAAUAUUUAUUUAGAAUUUUUUUCUUAAUGGAAUCACUUAUUAAAUACUUAAAAAAAAUUAAUAAAAUUUCCUUAAAAGUUUAAACAUCAUAAGAUAUUUAAAUUUUUGAAUGACCAUGUUUCGUAUUUAUGCCCAUAAUAAUUUCAUAUUAAAUUAAAAUAAAAUAUUUUUAUUUUAGUUAUUAAAUAAUAAAUGAUAUUUAAAUUGAAUUUAUAAUUAAAUGAUUAGUAUCAAAUUUAUUUCUUUUUAAGAUAAACAAAACAAACUCUACUAAUACUAAUAGUAUUUUGAUCAAACCUGAAGCAAUGGUCAUUGUAAGUAUAUUUCCCACCAAAAUAAUAUAAAAGUAAACAAUAAUACCCUUAUUAACUAAGGACAAAAUAAAUUGGAGUUCAACUAUUUUUUUAUUUUAUCCAAAUUUACCAAAAGACAUAAUAACUCCAUUUUUUUUUCGAAUUUAAAGAUUCAAAUAUGACAAAUAUAUAAGAAUUUAUAUAAUUUAAAAUAAGAUAUAAAAAACAAUUUUUAAAAUUUUCUAUUAAUUUUUUUUACCUCAAAUAAGCACUUAAUUUUUUUUUAGAGCAUUUACUAUAAAAGAAUUUAAUUCUCACCUAAAUAGAAGUAAAAAAUAAUUAUUAUUAUUAUAAAUUAUUUAUCUAAAAUUAUAGUAUGAAAAUCUUAAUAAUUUUUUAUAUUGAUAUUAUUAUUUUAAAUUUUUAUUAUUAUUAUUAUUAUUAUUAUUAUUAUUAUUAUUAUUAUUAAUUUUAAUUCAAUUAAUUAAUUUAUAAAUUCCUAACUUAUGUGAAACUUUUAUUUUCUAAAUUUAUUUUUACGAAUCUUCUAUUUUCUUUAUUUAAUUAAACUAAAUUUCUUGGAAACCUAUUUCUUUUAUUAGUAGAACUAAACUUAUUACUAUUAUAAAUUUUAUUACAAUCAUUCAACAUGCUUAAUCCUAUUAGUAUUUUUAUUAUUCUUUAUUAUUACUAUUUCUAACACAUUCUUACUCACGCACAUUAUCAUGUAUCAAUCACUUUCCAUCCACUGUAAUUACGUAUCUCUUUCACUUUUCCUAUAGCUAUUUUUUUUUCUUUUUACUUUUUUUUUCUUAUUUUCAUAUUAAAUCCACCGCCAUUUUUUUGUCUAAACACCUACAAGCACGCGCAGAGUGGCCACCCAACCCAACUCAUUCCUUGCAUCAUCAUAUCAUAUGCACAUAAUGCAACGUCUCCUCAGAGGAUGAUGUUAAUUGUCAGUUGUCACUCAUCAUUUCAUACUUAAAUGCCAUUACAAAUAGAAUUAGUCCAAGAUCUUAUUGAAAAUCUAGUCUCUUCUAAAAGGGAGAAUUGUGUUUUGGGUCCAGCUGAGCCCAAAAAUUAAGAUAAGGUCUAUGUAAUUGACCUAAUUAAUGAUAAGGAUAUUAGAUGUUAACAGACGAAAAGACCCUUUACUUUUUCAACUCAAAUGGUUGUAAAUUAAUGGGUUUCACAACUGGUAAACUUGAAAUGUCAUGUCACCAGAGUGAAAAUUUUGAAUCUUCCUACCCCUUUCUCUCCCUUCGUAAACAACAUAUGCACAAACGAUGUCGACUAUGACUGUCCCCCAAUCGCUUUCUUCAACAGCCGAGGAUUGUGAGCAUUUCAGAAAAGCUUUUGUAAGUAUUUUAUCAUGAUCAUUCCCAAAUCCAAAUGACGGGGGUCUGAAUUAUUUGCUGAUAUUUUGAUUUGAUUAGGUUGAGGCGUUUAUAGGUAUUUUAUCAUCAUCGUCCAGAGUGAAUAAAUGGGUUUCGUCCAAACGGUGAGCUUUGGGGAAGAAUAUUGUUCGGUGAUGAUGCAAUUAAUCUGGAAUAGCUAUCCUUCGGAUCAAAAAUAUUUUGAAAGCAAAGAAGUUGGUCAACCUAACGAAACAGAGAAAAUGAAGAACUCCAAUGAAGAUAUAAACCGGCCACAACUGUGGUCGUGAUGAUGGCAGUGGCCCAACAACCUCGUGUGAAUAUGGAAAUAUGUUAAAUAGGGUAUAUGCCUUAUUGUUGGGUAAGUUUCCAUUUUAUAAAUUGAUGGCUUCCACCAACUGCUAUGUCCACCAAUUGACUACUCAUUGUUAGCAUAUCAAACAUCUAUGUAGUCCAUCAGCUUCAGUUUUAGUGGGUUGUGGGCCAUAUGGUGCACCAGUUGGACAAUGCAAAACCUCCGUUCUCUUUGAUGAGUCCAGACCUCUAAAAAGCCUCGAAUGUAACUAUUGUUCUGUGGCUGACAAACACUGGGCAAGGUGUAUAUGCAUAAGGUGUUGUGUUCCUUUGGAACAUUCUAGGUUAUUCCAUUUUUUACAUUUUUCCUUUUCGUUUUGUAUACCUUGACCUGGUUACAUGAUGCAUGCACAGUUAAUGCUACUUUUGGUCUUAUUGUCUUUCUAUGUGGCUGGAGACUUUUGUAAUCAGGCUUUAUAAGCUCUAGAGGCUUGGGGCUCAUAGAAACUAAUAUCAUGAGAUUAAUUUAGGAUCCACUCUCUCAGAAUCUCUCUUGCUCUUUGUGUUAGCUGUAAGUUCAUGACUAUUUCACAUUCUAUUAAAAAUUCUAUUAGCUAUCUUGAUUUUAUCAAAAUCAUUCUGCUUGAAUUCCUAAAUUUUCUUUUUGAAGAUUUUUCUUGUCUUAGCCCACUCCACCCAACUUUUCCUUUCUUGUUCUUUUGAUUAGUAUCUGAAACAAUUUUUAUUUCGUUGAUCAAUGUAUAUUCUUGCAACAAAUGAAUUAAAAAUUUAAUUUGUGCCCAAUUAGUUUGGUGUAAAUUUCAUCCACAUUUAUCUCAUGUAAUUUUAAUUGGAAAUAUUUGGUGUUUAUGGGAAUAAACAGGAAGCUUGAAAUUGCUAAUCAUUGGCAUUAAAUUGAAGCAGGUUUAGAAAUGAAAGUUCUGGAUCAGGAAAGAAUGGAUGAGAAGGAGAAUUGCGGACAGAAGAAAAUAAUGUCUCCCUGUUUGGCUCUGAAGAAUUGCUUGGAGGAGAAAAGGGUGACUACUCUAAAAGUCAGCCACAGUUAGAAGCAUUUUGGUCUUCUUUAGAGUUUCCUCGUAAAUUAUAGACAAUUGUUAAGCCUGGUGCCACAUGUGAUGUUUAAAAAGUUGUUCACUAGUUGAAUGGAACCCAUCUUUAGGCAUGUUUUUUAUUGAAUAAAAUAUAUGUUUGAAUAAUAAUUUGCCAUGCUUAACAUAUAAUCUUCUUCUGAAUUCUAGUUGGAAAGUUGGAAUUAGCUUCGAAUAGUUUCACAUUAAUGGACAAAUUGCUGUUUUUUUAAUUUUCUUGUAUUGUUAAAAAAGUAUAGGGAACAAAUUGAUACUUCAAUUUUUCCUUAUUUUAUUAACCAAAAGAUUGCAAACAUGAUUAACCUAUGCAUGAGCAGACAUUCAAUAGUGGUUGUAUGGAAUUUUUGUCUGUGUACAAGACAUUUACACUAAGUGUACAAGAUAUAUGUGCUUAAUGUACAAGGGUGUACAAAGGUACCUAUGUUGAAGUAUUUGCAAUCGUUUUAAAAUCAUGUCCAUUUUGAAAGGAUGAGGAACAUUCCCUCACACACAUUCCUUGAUCACGCACUCAUCCUGUUCAAUUUUAUUACUUCAUACAUGUUGAUUGGAUGACCAACCACAGUAAUGAUGAAUAGGAACCUAUAUUGGGUUUUACUUCCCCCUUUUCCCUUAGGCAUCACAUUGGAACAUGAUAGCUCACCCAUAUGCACGCUUUUAGUUUUAGGUAUGUCAAAUUUUUUCCAUUGUAUAAGACAUUUAAACUAAGUGUACAAUGCAAAUGUGCUAACUGUACAAGUGUGUACAAUGCUACCUAUGUUGAAGGAUUUCAAAUGGUUUUGAAUAAAUUGCUUGCUCAUUUAUUUUUUUUAAGGGGGACAUUCCUCAUAGUCAUUCCUCAUUUCCCUUCGUACACAUUCAUUGGAUGAGAUAACACACUUAUGAUGAAUAGGAACCUAAAUUGGGUUUCAUUUUCCCCCUUUUAAUUGAGCCAUGACAUUGGAAUGUGGUUAACCCGCCAAUAUGCACUAGUUCUAUUCUAGCUAGGUUGAAUUUUUGCAAUUGUACAAGGCAGUUACACCAAGUGUACAAGACCAAUUUACUAAAUGUACAUAGGUAUACAAGGGUGUCUAUCUUAGGGGAUUUCAAGUGAUUCUGAAGAACUUCCUAUCUUACUAUUUCCAAUCGUGGGGGACAUUUCUCGCACAUAUUGCUUGACAACACACUUAGUGCAUGCAUUUUAUUUGAUGUCUACUAUGUUAAUUCCUUCUAUUAGCUUCCCUAGUAAUGAUGAAUAUGAACCGAAAUUAGGGUAAAGUUUUUUUUCAUUUUCCUUAAUCCAUGAGAAUGGAAACAUUGGUUACCCACCCAUAUGCACUCGUUCGGUUGUGCCUAUGUGGGAUUUUGUGACUGUACAAGGCAUUUACACUAAGUGUACAGUGCAAAUGUGCUAACUGUACAACUGUGUACAAUGCUACCUAUGUUGAAGGAUUUCAAAUGCUUUUGAAAAAAUUGUUUGCUCAUUUUUUUUUCUAAGGGGGACAUUCCUCAUUUCCAUUUCUACACAUUCAUUGGAUGAGAUAGCGCGCUUGUGAUGAAUAGGAACCUAAAUUGUGUGUCAUUUUUCCCCUUUUCAAUGAGCCAUGACAUUGGAACGUGCUUAACCUGGCCAUAUGCACUAGUUCUGUUGUAUCUAGGUGGAAUUUCUGCAACUGUACAAGGCAUUUACACUAAGUGUACAAGGCCAAUGUACUAAAAGUACAAGGGUGUACAAAGGUGUCUAUCUUACUUUUUCAAAUCGUGGGGAACAUUUCUCACACAUAUUGCUUGAUAACACAUUCAUUACAUGCAUUUUAUUUGAUGUCUACCAUGUUAAUUCAUUCUAUUAGCUUCCUUAGUGAUGAUGAAUAUGAACCGAAAUUAGGGUAAACUUUUUUUGUCAUUUUCCCUAGUCCAUAGUAAUGGAAACAUUGGUUACCCACCCAUAUUCACUUGAAAAUAUGUACCUAUUAGGGAUUUGGUGACUGGACAAGGCAUUUACACUAAGUGUACAAAGCAAAUGUGCUAACUGUACAAGUGUGUACAAGGCUGCCUAUCUUGAAGGAUUUGAAAUGCUUUUGAAAAAAUUGCUUGCUCAUUUAUUUUUUCUAAGGGGGACAUUCCUCAUUUUCCUUUGUACACAUUCGUUGGAUGAGAUAGCACGCUUAUGAUGAAUAGGAACCUAAAUUUGGUGUCAUUUUUCCCCAACUCAGUGAGCCAUGACAUUGGAACGUGGUUAACUCGGCCAUAUGCACUAGUUCUGUUGUAUCGAGGUCAAAUUUCUACAACUGUACAAGGCAUUUACACUAAGUGUACAAGGUCAAUGUACUAAAAGUACAAGGGUGUACAUGGGUGUCUAUCUUACUUUUUCCAAUCGUGGGGAACAAUCCUCACACAUGUUGCUUGAUAACACACAAUUGCAUGCAUUUUAUUUAAUGUCUACCAUGUUCAUUCAUCCUAUUAGCUUCCCUAGUAAUGAUGCAUAUGAACCGAAAUUAGGGUAAAAUUUUUUUUCAUUUUCCCUAGUCCAUGGUAAUGGAAACAUUGGUUACCCACCCAUAUUCACUUGAAAAUAUGUACCUAUUAGGGAUUUGGUGAUUGGACAAGGCAUUUACACUAAGUGUACAAAGCAAAUGUGCUAACUGUACAAGUGUGUACAAGGCUGCCUAUCUUGAAGGAUUUGAAAUGCUUUUGAAAAAAUUGCUUGCUCAUUCCUCAACUGAAAUGAUAAUAACCUUUCAUUGAUUGAUAUCCACGUGGGCCCUCCUCAUGAUUGUCUUCAACCUGAUAAAGGGUAUGUGUUUUUUUUUUCCCUUAGUGAGAAAGCAAAUAAAGGCAUAAUAGAUAUAUGAGUGUGUUGGCUACUAAGUAGGUACUGGUUGGUGUUUGAUGAUGUUAAAAGCCUUUAUAAAGCAGCCUCUAGUAAGCACUGAUUUUGAGAUUUAAGUUCUUUUGAAUUUGAUCAUUUUUCCCUUUCUUUUCCAAGGUUUUUCUUUCCACCUUGGUUUUGUGAAGAAAGCUUGCAUUAUUGGAAUGAUUGUUAUUUAAUGUCGUUGCAGUUGCAAAUGACACAGCUAUUCACCAAAUCCCAACCUCUGUUUUGAAUCUGAGACAAGGUUAACAAUUCGUAUAGUUCAAGUUCUUCAUGGCCUUCUAGAGAGUGAGCAUGCAGCACAUGCAUAAGCAAACAAUAGGGCAAAAGCUCUUUCUGUUCAACUACAAUCCACACAAGGAAAACUUGAUUUACUUCAGCAACAAUUAACAUCAGUUUCUUUGAAUAAAACAGCAAUGGACGGUAAGCUCAACACUGCUUCCCAUGGAAAAUGUUUGAGAGUAGAUGACUUUGACCUGACUAUUGAAUCUGUUGAAGAUAUGGAUGGUAAUGAAAGAAUAACAAGAGAAAAUAAGAUGUCAACGAUCACAACUAGCCCUCUGAAGUUCACGCAGUCAGAAGAUGGUGUUUAAAUAUUUAAGGCCAACGAGGACAACAACAGCCAACAUACGAACCUAGAGGACUAUACAAAAUUCAUUGUGCUGAAACUUAUGAAAGAACUCACAAAACAUCAUUAUGGGGCUGAGCUGCUUCAGUUCAGGAAUCCCAACAAGAGAAACAUCUUGCUUUGUAUGAGAAACACGUGCUUUAAAAAUUGUAACCUGUCUAUAAUCUAACAAGAAUUGACUUGAUAGAUUAGCUUUUUAACCAAGUACUUAGUGCUGAAGAAGGUGUUUUGUGCUUGAACGGUGUCAUUCCCAUUAGUCCAAAAUUUUGGGAUGAUGAUCGCCAUUUUUCGAUGUGCUGAAUGAUUACUUUUAAGGUGUGGAGCUACUGCAUUCUGAGAAUGGUUAAUAAUAAUUUUUAAAAUCAUACAUAAUAAAUUUGAAAAUAAAGACUAAUAAUUUUCAAGUGAUUAUGGAUUAUUCUUGAGUUCCCCUUUUCUCUUGUCUGAACUUGCUAGUUCCCAAUACUAAAGUAGGAGUCCAGGGAUAAUUUCAACACAAAUAUUAACUAUAAGUCUCUGACAAACCUUAUUCUUAUUACCACCCAACUAACCUAAGGGCAAAGUGGGUUCUUAUUACCAAGCCAUGAGCAAUUUUGCCCACCAAAAAACCUAGGACAAAAAAGGGAAAAAGCCACACCAACAUGUAUGAUAACAAAUAAGAGCAACCAUACACUCUAUUAGGCAUAGACAUCUAGGUUAGUGUGGAGGUACUCUUCCACAACCUUGUACAUCCCCAUGGCCUUGUCUUUGCCGGUCUUGAUGUCCUCGUCCUUGAGCUCAAUAUUUGAGUGAUAAUGGCUAGUCAUCUUGCACAUAGAGCCUGAGCCCGAUGCCUUGAACUUUACCUCGUUUGAAAUGGCCUUGUUUUUACACUCUUAAUUGCCUAAAUUUCCUUUCUAAGAGGCUUCAUUUUCCAAUUCUAUUUCCUUUCACACCUUCAAUGGGAAUUUAGGAGACAACUUUUAGUAUUGUGUCUUAGUUUGAUUGAAGGUAAAAUUGAAACCCAUAACAACCCUGACUUGUUUGAACCCCAUGUCAGAAAAAGUAAAAAGAAAAACAACAAAGUGUAUAGAUUCUUCAAAUAGAUGUAUCUGUAAUUGAAACAAAACAGGUGGAACACACCCGUGAACUCACCAUUAACAUUACAAGCAACUAGAAUUAUUGCUGCCUUGAACUAGAUAUCAUAGAGAACACCAAAAGAAAAUAUCUAUAUAUAAAACAUAAAAUCUUUGAGUAAUCACAAUGCUACUUUCUAUUCCUAAUUUUCCGCUUCCCAUCUGUGGGAACUGGGUGCCUUCCAUUCCUGUGCUGUAGGGUCCCAACCCCAUUUGAUAGUUUCCAUGAUGGUGAAGGGCCCACGGUAGAAUUCAAAUUCCUGCAGGAAAAUUUUGAGAACAUUUUGUCAGUAUACAUGGGAACUUACUAGGUAACAAUAGUUGAAAUGAGAAAUAAAUCAGUUUGCAUUACCUUAGUUCUGGACUAUUUGCUGGCUUUGUAUUAGGUUUCUUGAUUUUUGACUCAAUCCCAUUAAUCAUGCAAAUUAUAUUUGCAUUAUUGAAUUGCCAAAGCAAAACGGCAUCAGAAGAAGCACUGAUGGCAGCAUCCUCAUGCAAAUCAUCAUUAUUAGCAAUGUCAUAACGAUUGUUUUCCAUGAAUAUGUUAUAUGAUUGAUCCGGGAAUAGCUUUGAAGAAUUUGAAAUAAGUUUUUGGUAGAAAGCAUCAGGCAAGUUCCUAUUCUCUGUUUCCCAACAUCCUAAAGGGUUUGGAACUCUAGGUACAACAUCUUGCUUAUUCACCAUAACCAUAUAUACCCACUAACUAGAGCCAAUGUCUUUGUCGUCCUCCAAAUAAUUUUGCACAUUACUAUUGACUGGAGGCCAAGGAGGUGAUUUCCCUAGUAACUCCUUAAGAUCAAAGCUUUGGUUCUUUUGCCUCAUCAUGGAAUUGCUGCGUGCCUACAUAAUCAGAACAUCAAACUUGAAUUCUGGUUUCACAAAGACUUGGAUGCAUAAUAAUCAGUCAACUAAAAUAAAGCCAUUGUUUGACAUCUACCUAGACCACAUCUAUGUGGAACCUAAUCAUACAUGAACUAGAAAUUACUUUUUAUGAAAAUUUCCAAUGAAUGUGAUAUAAUACAUAGUUUAUGAUCAUCUUCAAACUUAGGCAUGGCGUGUCAUGAUUAUCAAGAAAUAAAGGUUCCCUCACCAUCAUCAAUUUGCUAUCAUUCAAGUUUAAAUACACUUAUGUUAUUAUUCAAAGCUAAAUAUCAAUGAUUGGGGUAAAGAAAGAGGAAUAUCUCAUCAUGAUUAAAAAAAUAUUUACCUCGAUGUUGCUUGCAUCCCACAUUGGUUGCCUGCAACUAUUUUGAUCAUCUAACAUAUCUCCAGCCCGCUUGUUACAAUGAAAAGGUGAUAAAUCACUGGUUUUUGUUAUGUAUCUUUCAGAACUGUUUGUUUUGGUUCUCCUUUUUCCUUGCCAGAGCUGCCUUUAGAGUAGCAAUCUGAAAUAAUAGUUCAAAGUUUUCAGAAGAAUAAAUAAGAAUUGAGAAGAAUGAUAAAUAAUGAGAGCAUUCAGAACCUGUUCUUUCAGCUCUUUCACAUCUACACUAUCCUUGUUUACACGAGUAGCACUAAGUUCUACCGUGGCAAAUUGCUCUGCAAAUUUAACUGUGCUAAUUGUUUCUCCAUCCGCAUCCAGUUCAGGGCUAAUGUGAACAAACAUUAGUGUCUUAGCUUGCCCCCUUAAAGAGAAUUACAAUCUAAAAGCCAUAUUAUAAUUUUAAAAAUAAAAUUAAAGAAAACAGAAUCAAAUAUGAAGUUCAUACUCUGAAAAUACAUUAGUUUAUUCUUACCAAGUGAGUCUUGAAGAAGUUCUGUUAGUUUACUAUUCCUAUAAGGGACAUGUGGACUCUUCUGGGCAAGGGAAGAGAUGACAUCCCCUAGAGCAGAGAGAGAUCUGUUAAUAUGAUGUUCCUCCUUUAGUCUAUCUCCAGUGACCUCAGAUUUGUCUACUCUCCCACUGUCGGCCAGAUCAACAAGAUGCAUACAGCCAUGAAGAAUAGUUCCUGACAUCAAGUCUCUUCCCUGAACAUGAACAGUUAGGCAUAUGCAAGUUGAUUGAAAAUCAAGUGAGCAAAACCAAUAGAGAUUACUAAAAGAGUAUUCCUAGAUAAAUAUAUAAAGGAAUAUGAUCAUACCUAUGAGAGCAACUAUUAUGGUUUCAUAUGUUCACAAGUGGUAGAGAACCAGGGUUUUAAUUUCUAUGCAAUUUUGAAAAUUCAUUCUAAUAAUAUUUAAUUCUCCCUGUUUACUUACAAUGCAAUGACAAUCAACUUAAGUCAAAAAGCAGUCAAACUCCUACUAAUCCCAUAAUCCCAGUGUUCAUUUCCGCAUGUGGCACCAUAAAAAAACAUUUAAAGAAGUACGUUUGUCCACCAUAAAUUACAUACAAAUGUGCUAACUUUAUACAGUCUCGUCACAAAUUACAAUCCCCAUUAAUCCAUUCAGACACGGUCUUGGUGUGCAUUUUGUGCUGAAAACAACAUACUCCCCAUAAUCUUCAACCUAUAAUGUUUCAAUUUCCCCUGCAUUCAUUCAAGUUGAUAGCAACAAAUCAGCAAAUUAAUUAAUUAGGCUUUUGUAACUAUUUUAACAUUAAUGAGAUAGUCAUAGAUAAUUCCUCCUAUGUACCACAUCGAUUGAUUUGGAGAACCUGCCCAUUGACCACAACUCCAUGAAUUUCAUUACAAAAACUCCGCAAUCGUGCCUACGUCAAUAUCAUUAUCAAAACGUUAUUAAGUAUGGAAUUAUAAAUAAGAGAGGAACUUAAAAUAAGUUGCAAUCCAUUUUAACAUCAUCCCGGACUGCAAGGUCAAUACUCACUCAUUAGGUUGGAGAGGUACAUCAGGUGUUAGGAAAUUGAAUGUCCUCAAAUCAUAAGGUGAUACCUCUUUUUUUUUUGUGCAGCCAACCAUAGGACAACCUUAGCCUGAAACAUUUAUUAACACAACAAUUGAAAUUUUUAUGGGAAGACAUACUUAACAAAUUAUUAGUUGUUACUUGUUACUUUACCAAAUUUUGUUGAAUUCCACUCAAAGUUGUCUUCUUCCUACCAGGACAAGAAUCUAGCAAUUGGAUUCUCUUGUUUGAUAGGUCAUAUAUGCACAGUGUCCAAUGGUUCUUUAUGAGAACCGGUAAGAAGACCUACACCAAUAGACUGCCAUUAAACAUACAUUUAAAUAUUGUACCUUCAUGCAAUAAAAAUACAAAUCCAAGCAUUAAACACAGGAAUCCACCUUGUUAACAUUGACAUAUGGAAUAUCCAUCUGAUACACAUGUGGUUCAAAGCGUCCUAUAACUGCCUCCCUCACUAAGUGUUUUGCCUAGGAGUGGAUUACCAUUUCCUGCAUAUCAAAUAGGGGAUAACAUCAGGUUUGUCAUUGUAGGUAAUGCCUGGUUCAAGACAUGAAAUAAAGUUAAGCAAUGAUUUAAUGGAAUAGUCAUCAUUACAGCUAUGUAGGGGGAUAGAAACAGUUUCGUCUUCGGUUUAUGUUCAUACUGCAACAAUCUACAGUAGGCAUCGACGACCUGAUUUUGUAGAUCAUAAAAGUGUAAGCAACUAAUUAUAUUAAAGCCACACUUUCACUUUCAAACUUAAAAUAAUGCAUAAAGAGGGAUAAGAAGUCAUAUGCACGUCGUUCCCUAUCCAACCAUUCCCUUCGAAACAGCCCAAAUUGCCUCUGGUUAGGAUAGUGUCAUGCAUAGACACUAGUUCCUCACUAUUGCAAACACAUACAAUUUAGUUUUUGUGUUAUCACUAUCAUACAAUGAGAUGAGUGUCUCUGAAGUAUGUUACCUAGCAUCCAAAUCCUCUCUAAAUACCAGUGCAGCUGCUUGUUUUAAGUCCAUUCUGAUGGCAGAUUGUUUAGUUUGUGGUUGGGAUAUGUAUGGGGACAACAGGUUUGGAGCCAUUCAACGCACUCGUCGUCUCUAGACGUUCCUAUUUGUGGGGACAACAUUACCUUUUGGUUCUUCUUCACCAUCUGCAAUACGAGAUUUAGAACUAGUCAGCAAAGGUAUACAUUAUGAUUGAGUACUUGAGUUGUUAACCAUAUGGGUGUUUGCAUAAAUUUUAUCACUUACCGCUUACUACAUUAAUGGGUACACUGGGCUGCAACUCAAACUCAGGGGCAACAACGCGAUCUGGUGUGUCUAUCACAUGGUCUGCAGCAUGUGAAGCCAUGUACUCAUCACCAAGAAAUGCAUGGUCAUCGACUGUGGGAGUGUUGGCUGGUGCAUCGCCAGAGUGACCACCAGCAUCUGAAUUUACCCCACUAUGUCUUCGAGCCCCUAACUUAUGCAUAAGGCCACGCAUUAUUCUCAGCUGCUACUGAAUGCCCCAUUGAUAUUGGUCGAUUGCUCGUUCCGCAUCAUGAUAUUGAUGUCAUUUUUCCUAUCACAUGAUAUUGAUGUCAAUCUUUGAGCACAAAAUAUCACAACAACAUAUUUCUUUAUAGUUAAGAAUCAAAAAUAAAUUACAAUGACAAUGAAAUGAACAUUUAUUAAUUUUUUUAAAAAUUAACAGCUUACAUCACUAUUUUCAGCAUCAACAUUUGUGUCAUGGUCCACAUUAGUCUCUACCUCCAUAGUUCUUUCUACAGUUGGAGAUCUCUAGGACGCCUAUAAUUAGCAUUGAAGAUUAGUAAUUAAAUAAUGAGUGUUAUGCUAGUAAUGACAAUAUAUUUAUGCAUGCAUCACUUACAAAAUCAACCUCAGCAUGUCCGAAUGCUCCAAACUCCUUUAUCUUAACGACUAGUCGCCGCUUAAUCAAAUCAUCAGUCCAUGUCAAUGCUAGGGGCACUAUAAUGGGGACUUGAACUGAAGGAAUUUGGAAUUUAAUGACAUAAUGCAGCUGCAUAAUAAAUACAAACAUCAGUAGGCAAAUGUUACUUAGUUGUGCAAUAAAAUUAUAUAAAAAAAUGGAAGACAAAUACUGAAUAAGUUCAUUACCUGUAGAAAUAAAACACAGCCAUGUACCCAAGAGGUGUUAGACUGUUGGUAUCGCCUAAUUCCCUUAACCAGUUGGUCAAGCACAAACUAGGCCCAAUUAACGUCAUUUCAGAAUCCAUCCUCAUGGAUGGUAUGCCACAAGUUACGGCAACCAUUGAGCCUAGACGUGGGGGCCAACAAUGUGGCACAUGCGUAGUAAAUGAAUGCUCUACGAAACUCCUCGCCUACAGGUAAGUUCAGGAGUUUCUCCUUGCAUGCCCGAAUAGUCCUAAAUGGAUGCUCUGAUGAUGUAAAGGUCACCUGCAGAAUCCGCCCUUCUGUUGGGAGGCCGAAAAUGAGGCCAACAUUGAUGGCUGUAACAGGAUAGUGUUUCUAAGCUGAGAACUCUAUCCGUCUAAAUCCAACAUUGAAAUGUUGGAUUAGAAAGAUACAGAUGUUGUGGCGCACCUCUGUGCAAUUUAAGUUUAAGAGACCUCCAAAUUGGAGGUCUCUUAUGGCUUGUAUUUUUUCCUCUGGUAAACGGUUGCAGAGUUUCUUAAAUCGUGCAGUUGAGCAUCGUGUAAACAUUGAUGGGCCCUGCAUGCAAUGUUUGACAACAUGGCCAUGUUAGGAAUAGCAACAUCAUUGCAGUUGGUAAUGCAAAAAAUAAGUGAAAAAGUAAAGAUGUCAUUUCUCAUAGUUACAAAGACUUGUUUGCUUGUAUUUAGAAAUAAUAUACAGCAGGGUAAGACAUGAGAUGGGGUUAGGUGCUAUUGACAGUGAGAUAUCCUAUAAGAGAGAGGAUUGUUAGUUUAUGAAUAAGCUUAUAUAGAAUAGACAAUAACAGUAAAACUGUACAGAAUAGACUAUAAAAGUACAAAAAUAAAUAUGGGAAUAUUACAUGAUAUAUAAAAGAAGGAAAUCAAGUCAAUUUAUGGAAAUAAAUUGACUAAUUCUAUUAGAGAAAGAAACCAUAAACAAAUCAAUGAAUAAUCCUAUUUAAUUCCCAUUUAGAUUGUAAGACAACUUGAUAGAACCAAAAUCAUUGGUAAUGAAUUUGUGAUCUUCAACAACAAUGAACAAAUGGAGUAAACAGAAAAUGCUAUGGAAAAGUAGAUUUCUUUCAUUGCCUUAACAUGGUUACAAUAAAAUGCUUGAGAAGGUGGAAAUAAAAGCUCACUAACUCAAAGGCCUUUUCUUCGUAUUCCCUCGCACACACUAGGUUUUGUGUCAGGAAUAAUCUUUGCAAUAAUUGUAUUCCCCCAAGUGUUUUCCACUAUACCUAACAACAUACUGGUUGCUAAGGGCCUUGCAUUCAUGGAUGUGAGCAAGGAAAAAAACUUAAAGAGAUCUCUUUGUUUUCCCUGUUCUUUUCAUUCUUCUGGCUAUUUAAAAGGGGUCUAACCUGCUCCUUUUGAUACUUCUGACAGACACAAAAUCUUGAGGAACUACUAGAGCAAGCACUUUGCUAUUGCCAUUGAACAUGGACAAGGUUUGGAAUCCAAGCUUCCGUUGAGAGUAUUCCCACAUGGUAAUUACUAUCAUUGAAUAAUUGUACACUAUCUUCUAAUACCAUGAAUCAUGUGUUCGGCCGAAGUUAAUUCAUACCUAAGUUGUUAGCUGAGUGAGGAUCCAUGGGAAAAUAAAUGAAAACUAGGACUCUAAAUCUAAACUUCUGAAAGUUUUGAGGCUUGAAUCUGAUUCACUGGGCAUAAUAAUCUAAAAUUUGCAAAAUAGAGGAAGUGGUCAUUUCAAAUUAGGUACUGAUACAAUAUGAACUGCUACUACAUAAUUUUUUGUAGAAUAGUAAACAAAGAGUAUCUUUGCCCUUGAAAACAAGAAUAAAUAAGGUGAAUCCAUGAGUCUUGGAGAAUUAAAUGAAUGAAGAGGAGUUUGGAAACCAUAAACUCCAACUGGUAGAUGGCCAAUACAACAAGAACAUCAACUAAGGUAAUAAACAUCAAACAUAGUUUCAAGUAGAGGUUAUGACACUGCUUGUUACACUUGAAACUUCAUCAGCAGUUCUCCUUCAUUACCACAACAGUUUAACUAGCAUUAAGUUAUGUUUUAUGCCAAUGCAUCAGUCUUAAAACCAAAACAUAGUUCACAACAUACACUUAUAAUAUCCUGCUUAAUUACAAGUUUUUUGUUUGCCUAAGAAAUCAAAAUUUUAAUAUCAGGCAGGACUCGACUAGAGUUUCAACAGCUUGGUUGCAUACCCAUUUACAGAUGCCAAAUUAUUAGAUAUUUGAGAAUAUUCUGAGGCUUUAAUUUCAAGACUUAAACUUCAAGAAUUACAAAAAUCUUUAGAGAGAGAGGACUUAAUUAUUUGGACAAUAUUUACAACAACAAUAAUAAUCAUCAUCAUCAUGAAGAUUGAUGUUUCAGUUCUAAUGUUUCAGUCAGUUCAUGCACCAAAUCUUCUAUCAAUUUCACAUGGAGCCGACCUAUUCAUCCACAUUCACAUUUGGUUGAGCGAGAUAUUGGUCCAACACAUUAAAAUACUGCCCCAAAAGGAGAAUUUCUGCCUUAUCGCCCUGGAAUCCCAACUAUUUAAUUGAAUUUUUUUUGAGGUACAAGUCAAGAAAACUUCUGCAAGGGAUUACAAUCAUAUGUGCCAGAUUUUCACAGAGAGCACCAUUUCAUAUGUUUUAAAGGCUGGAUAUACAGUUGAGAGAAUUAGAGUGCGUUUGGAAAUGUUUUUUCUCGAAGUGUAAUUAAAUAAAAAGUUUUCCUUUCUCAUAGAUUAAAAACAUAAAAUAUGAAAUUUUUGAUAAAAUGGAAACCACUAUUUGGGGUGGGUAAGAAUAGCUAAGAGAUUGUAUGCAACAAAAAUCAUGAAGUUAGCUCAAAAUGGGAAUGAAAUUUUUAUUCCAUUAUAGAGUAUUAAGUGCAACCAAAUAUUGAAAUGAAUCUUUGUUAAGAUUUUCUAGAUACCAUUCCAUUCUUAGCAAAGGAACAGUCUUAUUAAUUCUAAAGUAAGUGUUAAGUACCUAAAGGAGAACAAAAAUAAUAUAAAAGAAAAAAAUUUUAAGAAAAUAAAUUGUAAACAUUUAUUUAUCUUCUUUUCCUUGAUUUUCUUAGCAAUCAAAUAAGAAAACAAUUUUAUAAAGUUAGAAAUAGAAAAUAUGAAAUUAAUAAAAUUGAAAACAUUAUUUAGAGGUGGAAUGAGAAAAACUUAGAGAUGUUGAUGAAAUAAAAAUAAUGAAUUAAAUUAACAUAAAAUUGGAAUGAAAUGUUCAUUGCAAUUCAACUUAUUAAAGUACAACAAAUAUUAGAAUGAAUAUUCAUUACCAUUCUAUAACUAGGAAACAAACACAAGACGAACUGAAUGCCUCAAGCAACAUCAACUAUCCAUUAGUUUGAUUUCCAGAAACUAGAAAUCCAAGAUUCACCUAGGAAAGUGUAAGAAGUGAUCUGAAGUAAAUAGAAAUCUUUAGUGCCAGUUAGAAAGUGAGGCUACUAGAUUAGCAGUAAUCUCUAUAUCUGAGCAGCUCUUGACAGUGAACCGAAGUUGAGCGUAAAAAAUAACUCUUGGUCCGUAUAGAAAAUCAAAUUUCAUUUUUUCACUCAAAUAAGCUAAACAAAGGCCAAAGAGGAAAAUAAACACAAUCAAAUUUCAUUCAUUUGGAGAUUUAAAAUUUGGGGAAAGAGACUCACUUCCUAGGGUUAUUUAUCAUUAGUCUCUGACAUGCAAUUUUGAUUCGAGUAUGGCAAGGAUUUCGGUGAGCGAGUUGGUUGUUCAUCAGCAAUCUAGUUGCUGACUCAGCUCCUAAGGUUUUAUGCCUUUGGAAGAAGAGUUCAAUGGCCAUCACUAGCAACGUCUCUCAACAUUGAGGGUUGAAAAGAGUGAAUAGAAGAAAAAUGUCAAACAAUUAGUAAGAAAACAAAAUCACAAGUCAUUUGAAGAUUCUCACCAGUGGGUUCUUAAUAGUUUAAAGUAAGGAAGUGGCUCUUAGUGGGUUAUUGGCUAAAACUGGGGCUACCUAGUAAAACCUGUUGAACCGAUUCCAAACCGGUUCAACCGAUUGAGAAAAAUUCUAAAAUUUAACAAAAGAUUCCUCGAAGAAUAAGGAAUCCAACAAAACAAAAAAAACAGCGCUCAAUUUCGAGCUUGGAUGAGGGAGAACCGGUCAAAACAAUGCAAUGUGUUUAUAAAACGGGGCUGCUUAGCAAAACCUGUUUAACCGGUUCCCAAACGGUCCAACCGAUUGAGAAAAAUUCUAAAAAUUUACCAGAAGAUUCCUCGAAGAAUAAAUAAUCCAACAAAAAAACGACACUCAAUUCUGAGCUCGAAUGAGGGAGAAUCGACUAAAACAAUGCAAUGUGUUUAUAAAACGAGGCUGCCUAGCAGAACCUAUUGAACUGGCUCCCAACCGAUUCAACUGAUUGAGAAAAUUUUUGAAACUUUACUAGAAGAUUCCUCGAAGAAUAAGGAAUCCAAAAAAAAAUGAAUCUCAAUUCCGAGCCUGGAUGGGGGAGAACCGGCCGAAACAAUGCAAUGUGUUUAUAAAAUGGGGUUGCCUAGCAGAACCUGCUGAAUCGGUUCCCAACCAGUACAAUCAAUUAAGAAAAAUUAUGAAACUUUACCAAUAGAUUCCUAAAAAGAAUAAGGAAUCCAACAAAAAAAACGACGCUCAAUUCCAAGCCCGGAUGAGGGAGAAUCGGCUGAAACAAUGCAAUGUGUUUAUAAAAUGGGGUUGCCUAGCAGAACCUAUUGAACCGGUUCCUAACCGGUACAACCGAUUGAGAAAAAUUCUGAAACUUUACAAGUAGAUUCUCAACCGACAAAACAGCCUCCAUACCAUACACUAAAGAGUAAGGUGUAGCUCCUAUGGAGGUGCGAAAAGAGGUACAGUAUGCCCACAAUGCAAAAGGAAGUUUCUCUGACUAAUCUCGAGAAGUUUCAGUCAUCAUCCUGAAAAUUCUCUUAAUAUUCUUAUUCGCAGCCUCUACUGCCCUGUUGGUCUGUGGCCUAUAUGCUGAAGAUCUAUGAUGUCGGAUGUCAUACUUUUGCAACAAAGUAUCUACCUCAACUGGGAAGUGCACCCCUCUAUCUGAAAUUAAUUCAUGGGGAACCCCAUAGCGGCAAAUGAUGUGUGACCUGAUGAAACUAGCAACCCUAGCAAAUGUCAAAGAAUAAGGAAUCCAAAAAAAAAAAAAAAAAAACGGCGCUCAAUUCCGAGCUCGGAUGAGGGAGAACCGGCCAAAACAAUGCAAUGUGUUCCUUGUAGAAGGCCAAACCCGAACCACCCAACCUUAUUAAAACUAAGGCCACGGAUCUCAUUAAACAACCAACAAUGCAGCCUCCCUGAACUCAAGAAACCCAACUGGAAAUUCAGCCACACAGACAUCCACAUGCGGCCACCUAAAUCUCCUGAAACCAAACUGAAAUUUCAUUCACUUGAAGCCUUCCACCUACAGCUACUUAAAUCCCAUGGAACAAACUGAAAUUUCAGCCUCCUAUAGCCUAUGAAUCCAGUUGAAAUUCAGCCACCUAUAGCCCCCUCUCCCCAAUACAACUACUGGAAUCACCAAGAAGCAAACCGAAAUUUCAGCCACAUGGGGCCUCUACAUAUAGCCACAAGACCCAGGGUUUAAGUCCAGAUUAUUGAUGGGUAGCCCCAAAUUUAAAAAACAGAGAAGGUCAUGGAGACCCUUUCUCAAUACAAAGCAAAGGAGGUUUCAAGAAAAACCAAGUGGCAGAAAUGCCCAUACCAACAUAGCCACCUGAAUCUAGCAUUUAAGAAGUUCCUCAAUCCAAAGCUACAAGGCCAUAAGAAUCCUUCCCUUAACAAUCAAAAGGUCACAAUGACCUUCAACCAAAACCAAAACUAAUGAAGGCAGUGACCCUAUUACUCACACAUCAAAAGUAGGUCACACACCCCCCAAUUCUUUAUCAGAACCAACCCAAAAUGAGACAUCCACAACUAACAUAAAAAAUGAAACAUGCAAUAGUUACAUAUCAAGAGCAUCCAUAAAGCUUACCAGAUUGUUCUCCCCUCAAGCAGAAAUUUGCUUGGCUUCAAGGCCGUCUUUCCUUCAAGUUCUCACCAAUCAAGAGCUCCUUACUCUCUUCCCUCUUUGCUCACUUCACGUGCACCCAAAACUUUCUUAAAUGCUCAAAACCUUCUCCACACUCUGUUCUUUUCCCUCACCAAACUUGGACAAAGUUUUGUCCCUUAGAAAAAAAUGCAAAGGAAAAGGUCCUUCUCUAUUUCCAUUUUGCCUUUUUAUACCAGAACCCCUGCUCCUCCCACUUCCACCUUCGUUUUUCCCUCUUUUAGCUCUGGAAAGUGCCCCCAUCAACCUCGGAAUCCAUCUCCAUAAACACUCCUCACAGUCACGAGGUGAGCUGUUCUCUCCACAUUUACUCCAUUGCUUCACCACCAAGAAUCCAUAUGGAUUCAUGGUGGGCUAUAAGGAACCUAAACCAAGGCUCAAAAUGGACCCAAAAUAUUUCCCAAGACCGAUUUGGAGCUUAUGGGCCCUAGUCAUGUAGGAUUUGGGCCCCAAAAUCAGUGCUCUAUACAAGUUGGCCCAACGAAUUGGUUGAACCAGUUGAUAAAAAAAUUGAAAUUUUGACAGAAUAUUCCUUGAAGAACAAGGAGUCCAUAAAAAAAAUGGUGUGUGAUUCUGAGUUCGGAUGAGGAAGAUAUGAUCGAAACAAGCUCAAGUGCUCCGUAUUCGAACCUGCUCCUAUGAACUCUGGCUAAACUAAAGAUUUGGGGAGAUCUCACUUCCUUCUUUUAGCAUGAUGUGAAAAACUAAGGAAUUGGUCAUGACAACACUCCAAAAUGAACUACACACUCACACUACAUUGGANNNNNNNNNNNNNNNNNNNNNNNNNNNNNNNNNNNNNNNNNNNNNNNNNNNNNNNNNNNNNNNNNNNNNNNNNNNNNNNNNNNNNNNNNNNNNNNNNNNNUGACAACACUCCAAAAUGAACUACACACUCACACUACAUUGGACCGCAGAUGAACCUACACAAGGCUCGAAAAUCGAUCAAGCCCAAAAGGGGGUCAUGGUGGUGCCAUAAGGAAAAAAUUGGGUGCAUGUGACAUCCCUAAGAUAAAUGCAAGUGUCGAAGGACAAAAUUGAGGGUCUACAGUAUUACAUUUUUCAAAGAGAUUAUGGAUGUCAUGGAAAACUCUUUAAAGAUCUCAAAUUUAUCAAAUAAUCAAUGGCUCGAUGAUAAUACACUGUUGUUGAUUCCAAGAUUUUCAAAUCCGAGUGGGCUGAUGGUGACUCACAAAACUGUUCUUCAAUUCUGUGGUUCAAAUUAGUGGACUUCUUUAAACCACCUUUCAAAUUGGACAGUUGCAUAGAGGACAAAACUGCUUUUGAUGGAUUUAAAGCUCUUCAAAUCCAUGAACUUCAAAGGUUUUUAGAUUCGUCCUCAAAGCCUAUAUAAGGCCCCUAUUUCUCUUUAGAAGGCAUCAACAUUUUAGUAGGAAAAUUGAGAGCAAACAAGUGAGAUAUCCUCUUGAGUGAAUGACCUUGUAAUUGAGAAAACUCAAAACUCUCAAAGUGUUUGUAAGGCAAUGUUUGGGCCUCAAAUGAAAUGGUAGCAAGGGAGAAAAUCAGGAAAGAGAAAAACAACCAAUGUCUAGGGCUAAAACCAAAUGCUUUGGAGGUAGUAAAAUUAGGGUAGGAUACGUGGAAUUCCAACUUAGAUUUUUGUGAUUUUGUUUUUUCAUAAUCAGUAAAGGCCAUUUUCGAAAAUAUUAAAAAUUCAUAUUCUUCUUCUCAAUUUUGACACUUCCUUUAGGUCUUAGGCUUAAAUGACGAGAACUUAUAUGGACCAAAGAUUAAUUUUUGGGCCUAGCUGGAUCCAAAACACAAUUCUCCCUAUAUUAUGUACACCUGAAACAUUUUUCAAAUUAAUUUUAUGAACUAAUUUUGAAAUAUAUCUUCAUAGCAUCUACACAAAGCAUAUAUAUUGUGUAUGUACUAUUAAUAAAAAUUUGUUUACAUGAAAUUAAAAAUAAUCAUGUUUUAAAAUAAAUAAAAAAAUUAUAUAUGAAAACCUAAGAAUAUACUAUUAUUUCAAUAGAGAUAAAAUUGUUAAAAUACUAAUAAAUUAAAUAUCUUAAAUUGAUAAAUUAUAUGAAUAAAUAAGAAAAGAAAAAAAAAAUAUAAAAAAACAACAUGCAAACAUGUGAAACUAAAAAGUUCAAAGGCAUGAAAUUCAAUAUGGCAAAAAUUCAAAAAAAUGGAACCACAUUUGCAUUUUUAACUUCAUACAUUUACAUUUAUUUUAUUUUAUUUUAAGUUUGUCUUAUUUAUAUGUUAUACAACUCUAUUAUUUUUAAAUUAUUAAUUUAUUGAUAAAUAAAAUAGUAAUUAUUAUUAUUAUCAAUUUAUUUUUGUUUAAGUAAUACUAGAUCCUUAAGUUUACAUGUAUAAUAUUUUUAUCAUUAAAGUAUAUAUUUUUAAUUUCAAUAAUAAUUUUUAAAAGCACUGAAACUUCAAUAGUGAAGUCUUAUUUGGCAAUUACAACAUUAUAAAAAUGAAUUCACAUCUGGCAAUUGAGGUUUUAACUUAAAUUUUUUUUAUAAAAAUGAUAACAUGGGUCCUCCAUGUCAACAAAAGGGGCAUUUUAGACAAAAGUUUAGGAAAGUGGUUAAAAUAAAAUUUUCCCCAUAAUAGGGCUAUUUUGGCCCAAAACACUUCAGAAAAAAAAAAAAAACUCCUAAAGUUUUUGUUCCUUUCUCAUUCUCAUUAAUGUCUAAUAUUGGAGCGAAAACAAAUGAUUAUUAAAACCUUAUAGUCCUAGGUACAUUCAAGCACAAGAAUCAAAAUCAUCAAAUCCAUUCCUAUUAAAAAAAAAUUGGGAUGAAAACAUAAUAUUGAUUCUCUUUCCCCAUUUUUAUGUACCAAACAUGGCCUAAACAUGUGAGAUAAAGAAAAUGAUCAAGCUUCUUUAUUAUACAUGCUUUCUUAAAAGAAAAAAAAAAAGUAGGCAUUAAUUUUAUGCAUUGGUAAUGAUCAAAUUGAACCUAAAUAAAUCAAGUUUUAGGCAAACAUCUAAAUAAACUUGACUUUAUUAGCACAAACAUGAAAAUAUUUAAUAUGGGUUUAUAUAUCCAUGUGUAACAUGAUUGAAUUCUAUUCAAAUGUGUAAAAAUAAAUAAUUAAAUAAUUACAUACCUUUUUUUCCGACUUUGCUCAUGCCAUUAAGAUUUUUCACCCACGAAAAACAACCUAUAUUACAAAAAAUGAAACAAGAUGAGCAACAUUUUUAAUGCUAAAGCAAAUGUUAAAAUUAUAAAAUUAUUAUCAUUGGACACAUACUUUUUUAAACAUAUGAGCAAGCUAAUUGAAAAUAAUAAAUAUAAAAAACAAAGAUUUUUUAUAAUGCUUAUAAAUAAGUUAAAACAACAAAUAAAAAAAAUAUUAAUAUACUAAAAAAUCCAAGUUUAUGAAAGGUAUUAAGAAUCCAGUGUAUAAGUUGAACAAUUAAAUAGGAAUUUAAAAUUAAAAUAUUAUACCUUAAAUUGGAAAUAGCUAGAUACUUGGUGUUUAUCAGAAUCUUAUCUCUACCCUAUACAGAUCAUAAACAAAUUAAAGAAAAAAAAUAAAAUUAGAAGGAAAAAUAUACUAUAAGGCAUAUUUAUUUCGAGCCCAUCGAAAUACUGAGAGCAACCACUUUACAAAAUUGUAUUCAUGUCAUGUAACUCACUGUUUUUUCUCAAAAAAAGUUUUUUUUUUUUAUGAAAAAAAAAAAAAACAUACCUAAACUGUUGAUUGUCUUGAAGUAAUUCAAAGAAUAGCCCUCGAUGUAUCAUAAAUUCACAUUAAACCACAAAAUCAAAAGAUUGUAAAGCUAAGAAUAUAUAUACCUCCAGGGGAAGGAGCCAUUGAUGUUGAAAGCUUGUUCUUCAAAAGAGCUUUAAGAUGUGAUUGUAAAGCUAAGAAUAUAAAUUCACACUAAACGACCUUUCUCUGCAUCCAAUGUUUUGAUCCCCUCUCAAACAUUAACGCUAACCACUACCUCGGUAUAUGCUUCGGAUUUUUUCCAAGAAAGAAUGAAAGAGAGAUGCUUCUGAGAGGAGAGAGAGAGGACACAUUUGUAAAGUGGACGUAAUACAACCUCUACCAUUAUGGGAAAUGACACAUUUGUAGUAUCGGGGUUUGUGGUAUUGGAACUUUCAGAUAAGGAAUUUGAAAAUUUUUAAAUAUAUAAUUAAAAAAAAAAUAGUCGAAUAAGAAAGUCCUUUCAAUAUGAUCUUUAUGAAUAAUAAAGAAAUGUUUGCAUGAAGAUCAACUCAAUAUGAUCCGUAUGUUCUAAUUAAUUUUCUUUUUCUUUUUUUUUUUUCAUAUUAAUUUUAUUAUUAAUUCUACCACCAAUCCUGAGAAGAUCAAAAUUAAUUCCUACAAGCCUAAAUCAUUGAAAGACCUUUUCUCGAGAAAAGAGAGUUCAGAGAUAUUUAUGAACCGAGAGUGGAUACAGAAGACCCUUAUUGAAUGUAGGGUUUCUUUGAAAAGAGACGAAGUCGGUCAACAUCUCUGAAAAGUCUGAAUGGAGAGGACUCUGAGUUGAGUUGAUGGGGCAGCGGACCAGUUUAUUGGGACUUUAACAGAGAUAUUUUCUCUCUAUGACGCUGCCCUUUGAGCUGUCUCCACUUGCAACUUUUCUUUUGUACCAGACCAUCCUAACAAACAAAAAUUUAAAUUUAUAAAAUAUAACUAUUUAAAAUUAAUUAAUAAUUUACAUUUUUUAAUUAAAAUUACUACUUUUAAUGUUUAAUAACAGUUUUUUAAUGAUAUAAGUAUUAUUUUUUAUUAUAAUAAAUACUAUUUUUAAUUGAGGAGUAUAUAAAAUUUGAAUUAUUUAAAAAAAUUUUCUAUUUUAUAAAUAUUUUUAUAUAAAUACAUCAAAACUUUUUUUUAUUUUUUCAAAUGAAUAUAUAUACAUAUAUAUAUAUAUUUUUUAUUUUUUCAAAUGAAUAUAUAUACAUAUAUAUAUAUAUAUAUAUAUAUAUAUAUAUAUAUAUAUAUAUAUAUAUAUAUAUAUAAUUGAUUCUUUAAAAUAUUUUAGACAUUUUAAAAUUUUAUCCAAUUCCUUUUUAUAAAAAACCAUUUUUUAACAUUGAGGUCAUUUCCAAAACUACCCUCAAAUGUUAUUUCAUAUGUAAAACCAAUUCAAUCUUAUUUUAUGUAUUAAUUUUAUUUUAUGAGUUCAAAUAAUAAUAGCAUAAUAAUAUAUAUUAAGCUACAAUACUAAAAUAUUUUAAUUAACAUUAAUAUUUUAACAUUUUGGAUUGGAAAUGCUCUAAUGAAAGAUAUUUUGCUGCCCAUUGCAUUAAAACAAGCAUUUGACAAAACAUUUUAUCUUACAUAUUGGCACAACAAAAUUUCAUUAUAAAUCUACAAAAUAAUCCAUCACAAUGAAUAUGCAAACAUUUUCACCAUGAUUUCCAACCAUGUUUCCCUAUGAUCACUACUAUUUACGAGGAAAGAUUUAAAACUUGUUUGUCAAAAUUGAUUUAUUAAUUAUAGUUUUAAUUAAUAAUUAAUCAAUUAUUAAUUUAUUUUUUUUGUUAUAAAAAUUAUACUUCAAGGAUUUUAUUACAUGUUCAUGGUUUUACACUAUUCUAAAUAAAUCAAAAUUUAGGUAAAAUAAAUUCAUUUUUCUUAAGAUUUAAAUUAAAUACAAAUGCAGCUUAAAAUUCCACCCAUUACCUCCCUUAAAAUACUAUAACUAUUCAAGUUAUACACUACAAUCAAACAUAUUACAAAAAAAAAAAAAAAUCAUUAGUCAGAUUAAUUCAAGAGGUAGUGUAAAGCAUAGUAUGUUAAUUUUGACCAAGUGUUGCAUCCAAUUCUUAUACAAAAGUCUAUAUAUUACAAGAAAUUAAAGUGAGAAAAGGAUUAAAAGUUUAAAAACAUGGGAAUGAUAAACCCCAAGUAAAUAUCUAUUUGAAACCUUGUCAAAAUUUGCCUCAAGUUGACUUUUGAAUUAACUUUACUAUUAUAAUCACUACUACAAAAAUAAUAUAUGAUGUUACUAUUUAUGGUGUCGCAUUUAAAAUAAUGACACCAUUGAACUUAAAAUUUAUAAAGGUGACACAUCAUAUAAAAAAUCUUCAAUUAGGAUAGUUAGAUGAUGCUAAUUUCAGAUUUACGGUGUCAUUUUUUGGAAGUGACACCAUAUGAAAUAAAAAGUUUUAAAUUUUAUAACUCAAUGGGCCCUUUUUAAAAAUAGUGAGUAGGAACAAUUUAUGAAAAGUCCAUUGUUUCCAUAUAUACAUUAACUAAUAUAAAAGAUCUUGUUGCUUAACCCUAACCAUCGUUUUCUUCUCUUUCUUCUCACACCCAUGGUCGGCACACCCAUAAUUGAUAUUCUUUGCUUCGUAAAAUCUCGUGUAAGUCAAAUCUCUUAUCUAUCAUCUUCAUUUUUUUUUAUUAAUGCAAAAACUUUGUAGUAUAANNNNNNNNNNNNNNNNNNNNNNNNNNNNNNNNNNNNNNNNNNNNNNNNNNNNNNNNNNNNNNNNNNNNNNNNNNNNNNNNNNNNNNNNNNNNNNNNNNNNNNNNNNNNNNNNNNNNNNNNNNNNNNNNNNNNNNNNNNNNNNNNNNNNNNNNNNNNNNNNNNNNNNNNNNNNNNNNNNNNNNNNNNNNNNNNNNNNNNNNNNNNNNNNNNNNNNNNNNNNNNNNNNNNNNNNNNNNNNNNNNNNNNNNNNNNNNNNNNNNNNNNNNNNNNNNNNNNNNNNNNNNNNNNNNNNNNNNNNNNNNNNNNNNNNNNNNNNNNNNNNNNNNNNNNNNNNNNNNNNNNNNNNNNNNNNNNNNNNNNNNNNNNNNNNNNNNNNNNNNNNNNNNNNNNNNNNNNNNNNNNNNNNNNNNNNNNNNNNNNNNNNNNNNNNNNNNNNNNNNNNNNNNNNNNNNNNNNNNNNNNNNNNNNNNNNNNNNNNNNNNNNNNNNNNNNNNNNNNNNNNNNNNNNNNNNNNNNNNNNNNNNNNNNNNNNNNNNNNNNNNNNNNNNNNNNNNNNNNNNNNNNNNNNNNNNNNNNNNNNNNNNNNNNNNNNNNNNNNNNNNNNNNNNNNNNNNNNNNNNNNNNNNNNNNNNNNNNNNNNNNNNNNNNNNNNNNNNNNNNNNNNNNNNNNNNNNNNNNNNNNNNNNNNNNNNNNNNNNNNNNNNNNNNNNNNNNNNNNNNNNNNNNNNNNNNNNNNNNNNNNNNNNNNNNNNNNNNNNNNNNNNNNNNNNNNNNNNNNNNNNNNNNNNNNNNNNNNNNNNNNNNNNNNNNNNNNNNNNNNNNNNNNNNNNNNNNNNNNNNNNNNNNNNNNNNNNNNNNNNNNNNNNNNNNNNNNNNNNNNNNNNNNNNNNNNNNNNNNNNNNNNNNNNNNNNNNNNNNNNNNNNNNNNNNNNNNNNNNNNNNNNNNNNNNNNNNNNNNNNNNNNNNNNNNNNNNNNNNNNNNNNNNNNNNNNNNNNNNNNNNNNNNNNNNNNNNNNNNNNNNNNNNNNNNNNNNNNNNNNNNNNNNNNNNNNNNNNNNNNNNNNNNNNNNNNNNNNNNNNNNNNNNNNNNNNNNNNNNNNNNNNNNNNNNNNNNNNNNNNNNNNNNNNNNNNNNNNNNNNNNNNNNNNNNNNNNNNNNNNNNNNNNNNNNNNNNNNNNNNNNNNNNNNNNNNNNNNNNNNNNNNNNNNNNNNNNNNNNNNNNNNNNNNNNNNNNNNNNNNNNNNNNNNNNNNNNNNNNNNNNNNNNNNNNNNNNNNNNNNNNNNNNNNNNNNNNNNNNNNNNNNNNNNNNNNNNNNNNNNNNNNNNNNNNNNNNNNNNNNNNNNNNNNNNNNNNNNNNNNNNNNNNNNNNNNNNNNNNNNNNNNNNNNNNNNNNNNNNNNNNNNNNNNNNNNNNNNNNNNNNNNNNNNNNNNNNNNNNNNNNNNNNNNNNNNNNNNNNNNNNNNNNNNNNNNNNNNNNNNNNNNNNNNNNNNNNNNNNNNNNNNNNNNNNNNNNNNNNNNNNNNNNNNNNNNNNNNNNNNNNNNNNNNNNNNNNNNNNNNNNNNNNNNNNNNNNNNNNNNNNNNNNNNNNNNNNNNNNNNNNNNNNNNNNNNNNNNNNNNNNNNNNNNNNNNNNNNNNNNNNNNNNNNNNNNNNNNNNNNNNNNNNNNNNNNNNNNNNNNNNNNNNNNNNNNNNNNNNNNNNNNNNNNNNNNNNNNNNNNNNNNNNNNNNNNNNNNNNNNNNNNNNNNNNNNNNNNNNNNNNNNNNNNNNNNNNNNNNNNNNNNNNNNNNNNNNNNNNNNNNNNNNNNNNNNNNNNNNNNNNNNNNNNNNNNNNNNNNNNNNNNNNNNNNNNNNNNNNNNNNNNNNNNNNNNNNNNNNNNNNNNNNNNNNNNNNNNNNNNNNNNNNNNNNNNNNNNNNNNNNNNNNNNNNNNNNNNNNNNNNNNNNNNNNNNNNNNNNNNNNNNNNNNNNNNNNNNNNNNNNNNNNNNNNNNNNNNNNNNNNNNNNNNNNNNNNNNNNNNNNNNNNNNNNNNNNNNNNNNNNNNNNNNNNNNNNNNNNNNNNNNNNNNNNNNNNNNNNNNNNNNNNNNNNNNNNNNNNNNNNNNNNNNNNNNNNNNNNNNNNNNNNNNNNNNNNNNNNNNNNNNNNNNNNNNNNNNNNNNNNNNNNNNNNNNNNNNNNNNNNNNNNNNNNNNNNNNNNNNNNNNNNNNNNNNNNNNNNNNNNNNNNNNNNNNNNNNNNNNNNNNNNNNNNNNNNNNNNNNNNNNNNNNNNNNNNNNNNNNNNNNNNNNNNNNNNNNNNNNNNNNNNNNNNNNNNNNNNNNNNNNNNNNNNNNNNNNNNNNNNNNNNNNNNNNNNNNNNNNNNNNNNNNNNNNNNNNNNNNNNNNNNNNNNNNNNNNNNNNNNNNNNNNNNNNNNNNNNNNNNNNNNNNNNNNNNNNNNNNNNNNNNNNNNNNNNNNNNNNNNNNNNNNNNNNNNNNNNNNNNNNNNNNNNNNNNNNNNNNNNNNNNNNNNNNNNNNNNNNNNNNNNNNNNNNNNNNNNNNNNNNNNNNNNNNNNNNNNNNNNNNNNNNNNNNNNNNNNNNNNNNNNNNNNNNNNNNNNNNNNNNNNNNNNNNNNNNNNNNNNNNNNNNNNNNNNNNNNNNNNNNNNNNNNNNNNNNNNNNNNNNNNNNNNNNNNNNNNNNNNNNNNNNNNNNNNNNNNNNNNNNNNNNNNNNNNNNNNNNNNNNNNNNNNNNNNNNNNNNNNNNNNNNNNNNNNNNNNNNNNNNNNNNNNNNNNNNNNNNNNNNNNNNNNNNNNNNNNNNNNNNNNNNNNNNNNNNNNNNNNNNNNNNNNNNNNNNNNNNNNNNNNNNNNNNNNNNNNNNNNNNNNNNNNNNNNNNNNNNNNNNNNNNNNNNNNNNNNNNNNNNNNNNNNNNNNNNNNNNNNNNNNNNNNNNNNNNNNNNNNNNNNNNNNNNNNNNNNNNNNNNNNNNNNNNNNNNNNNNNNNNNNNNNNNNNNNNNNNNNNNNNNNNNNNNNNNNNNNNNNNNNNNNNNNNNNNNNNNNNNNNNNNNNNNNNNNNNNNNNNNNNNNNNNNNNNNNNNNNNNNNNNNNNNNNNNNNNNNNNNNNNNNNNNNNNNNNNNNNNNNNNNNNNNNNNNNNNNNNNNNNNNNNNNNNNNNNNNNNNNNNNNNNNNNNNNNNNNNNNNNNNNNNNNNNNNNNNNNNNNNNNNNNNNNNNNNNNNNNNNNNNNNNNNNNNNNNNNNNNNNNNNNNNNNNNNNNNNNNNNNNNNNNNNNNNNNNNNNNNNNNNNNNNNNNNNNNNNNNNNNNNNNNNNNNNNNNNNNNNNNNNNNNNNNNNNNNNNNNNNNNNNNNNNNNNNNNNNNNNNNNNNNNNNNNNNNNNNNNNNNNNNNNNNNNNNNNNNNNNNNNNNNNNNNNNNNNNNNNNNNNNNNNNNNNNNNNNNNNNNNNNNNNNNNNNNNNNNNNNNNNNNNNNNNNNNNNNNNNNNNNNNNNNNNNNNNNNNNNNNNNNNNNNNNNNNNNNNNNNNNNNNNNNNNNNNNNNNNNNNNNNNNNNNNNNNNNNNNNNNNNNNNNNNNNNNNNNNNNNNNNNNNNNNNNNNNNNNNNNNNNNNNNNNNNNNNNNNNNNNNNNNNNNNNNNNNNNNNNNNNNNNNNNNNNNNNNNNNNNNNNNNNNNNNNNNNNNNNNNNNNNNNNNNNNNNNNNNNNNNNNNNNNNNNNNNNNNNNNNNNNNNNNNNNNNNNNNNNNNNNNNNNNNNNNNNNNNNNNNNNNNNNNNNNNNNNNNNNNNNNNNNNNNNNNNNNNNNNNNNNNNNNNNNNNNNNNNNNNNNNNNNNNNNNNNNNNNNNNNNNNNNNNNNNNNNNNNNNNNNNNNNNNNNNNNNNNNNNNNNNNNNNNNNNNNNNNNNNNNNNNNNNNNNNNNNNNNNNNNNNNNNNNNNNNNNNNNNNNNNNNNNNNNNNNNNNNNNNNNNNNNNNNNNNNNNNNNNNNNNNNNNNUUGAUAUACAAAUAUUAUUGGAUGAUGUAAUAUGUUACAAAUUAAUUCAUAAGCAUUAUGAAAAUAUAAGUUAAAUGUAAUAUGAUUAUUAUAUUUAUGGACAAUUUACACAGGUUAGUCUUAUUUAUUAAUAAGCAUUACAAAAAUCUACAAACUAAUCAACAAAAAACAACCAUAUCUUCCAUAAUCAUUUACAAUGAUGUGACACCAUAAAUUAAAGGUGAUACAUUUAACGUGACACCAUAACUCAAAGAUGAUGCAUUUAAUAUGACACCUUAUAUAUUUCAUACAACUCUAUAUCAAAUUAAGCAUCACUAAAAAUAUAUGGUGUCUCUUCUAAAUGUGUCACCAUUUAUUUGCUUUGGUGUUGCUUCCAAAUACAUCACCAAUUGAUACCCUCUAUGGUGUCAGUGGAUAAGGUGACGCUAUGUUGUAGUGACACCCUAUGUUUAUAGUGACUUAUUAUAAAUGUCACCAUAUAUCUUUUUCCUUGUAGUGAAUGGAAGUAUAAAUUUUAAAAGGAUUCUCUGUGAUUAUAGGAUUUAAUUCUAAUACUCUUAUACGUAGCCAAGGGUCAUUGGACUCAUGGCAGCACACAAACAUAUCCCCUUGUAUCUAUGGAAAUUGACAUGCAAAAUACAAAUAUUUCCUCUUACAUCCCUAUUGUGUUAUAGCAUGAGUAUGAAUGUGUAUUGUCAUCUUAAGCAAACUAAUGUUGUUGCCAAUUUUUCUUGGACGCUUUUUUUAAAAAUAAAAAUAAAAUAAUGUAAGGCUAUAUAGCAGAUUCAAUUGAUAUUUUUUUCAUCUUGUCCUACAUAUGAAAAUUACAAGUAGUUCAAGAAUCCUUGUUGAAUGAAAUUGACUGAAAACAAAUCUUAUUUAUGUAAAUUCUCAAAUACUUACAACAAGAAGCCCAAACCCCCACCCCAUCUUCAUGAACUUCAUAACAAAAUACUAUAAUCCUCCCUAUGAAAUAGAACUAAUUAAUUUAAUAUCAAUAAAUCCAAAUUGCUUUCAACAUCAGGCACAAGGAGGGAUUUGAAAGUUUGUGGUUUUAUACAAUAGAACCAUCUAGAGGGAGGUUGAAUAGAUAAUCUUUUAUUAUUAGCUCAAAAACUUCAAUUUUUAUUUUAUUGUAUUGAGUUAUAUAAUUGUUAAUGUUUAAACAUCUUAUAUCGUAAAACUACUUGGAGGUGAUUUAGUGUCUUUAUGUAUUGGCAAUUCUAGGUUGAAAUUUUCAUUGUAUUCGCCUAACUCAGUUACUUCAAAUCCUUCUUCAAACUCUUGUCAUUCCUAAAUUGCUCAUAAUUGAAGAUUGUUAAAGGAGAUAGUUGGUGUUCUUGAGGCAAUUGAUGAUAUUAAACAUUGAUCAACCGAGUUUUAAACUUUUAUUCUUUUGCUGAAAAUUGGAGUUGAAGUUUAAGGAUAUCAAAUUUUGUAUUUAAAUUAUUUGGAUCAAUUACUAAUUGAUCAUGCUAAAAGGUAACAAUUUAUGUUGUAACAUGAAUUUUACAAUCUCAUCUUAUCUAUUAGAAUUUGAUCAAAUCUAUAAAAUCUUUAUUUUUUCCAAACAAAUCUGAGUUAUUAGAUGGAGAUUAAAACCUUAGUAUUUAAGCCCCUUUUUUUUAGAAAAGGCUUUAACAAUUGUAAGAGCUAGGUGGCUUUCUUGAGCUUCAAAUUCUUUAUCUAUUUUGGGAUGUUUGGUUUGAUUUUUUUUUUUAUUUUUUUUUUAUGGGUUUUAAGUUAAAAAUCUUUCAAAAUGAGUUGAUUCAAUAUAGGUUUCAUUCACACUCUUGCAUUUGUCAUCUUUAGGAUAAAAUCUAAAUUUCUUCUUAUGUAGGUUCAAGAAAAGGUCGAAAGUUUGGUGUGAACUUUAAGUAUGCUUUAAAAGAAGAAAGUGGGUAACUUAAGUUUGAAGGUACUAGGCAAACAAUUCCAAAGAGGAUUGAAGGUUUGAGUUAAGUAAAUCCUUGUAUUCAGUUUUUUUUUUCAUAGUGUUUGUUUUUUUUUAUCAUCUAUAGGCCUGUGAUAGUUUACCUAUUCAAAGGUUUUGUAUAUUAAAUCUUGUUGUUAUUAUCUCUUUAUUUCUAUCUUAUAUUUUCAUUAGUCUAUGUUGUGUCUAUGAAAGUUCCAUUGAUUUGUUAUAUAUGUUGGUUGAUUGAGAAAAUGAACUAAAAAAUGAUCAUUUAACCUUUGGCAUAGUAUGAAAUAAUUUAUGAUUUAGUAUUAAUGAGAAUUAAAACUUUGUAAAUUAUCAAAACUAUGUAGAUUUGAGCUCAGAUGUUGAAGCAUCUCUUAAAGGCAGUUGAGGUGCUCUCAACACUUGACUAUCACUUGAGCAUCUUUUUAAGACUCUAGGGUAUGCUUGAAGCUCAACUUCAAAAUUUUAUUUUUUGAUUAAAAUAAACACCUACUUUUUCAAUUUUCAUAUUGUCUACUUCAUGUAUUCUUAAAUCAUCAUUAUCCUUUUUGUAACUCCCAAUAUUUAUUAGCAUCUUUCUGAGUUGAUUCUACAACAAUCUUGCAUCUUCAAAAGAAGUGGAAGUCAAUGGAACCAAAUUGUCAACCUAAUCUAAAUAGAUUAAUGUACCAUCACUUUAAUUAGGAUAUAAUUAAUCAAUUAAAAAAAUAGCAUUUAAUCAUAUAAAGAAAUAUAUGAUUUAUGUGAAAAAACCACCAAUAAAGCAUCCUAGAGACCUUACAUAUAUAAAAGUCAUAGGGUUCAUAGAUUGUCAAGUUAAAUUCACUAAAUAUGAAGAAUAAGUACAUAGAUUUAGCUAGUAAUUAUUACUCUCCCUCAAACUUAUAUUGGUAGUCACCAAUUCUCAAUUCCAUAACAUAGUUACUUCCAUGCUGCUUAGUGGAUUGCUCAUGACCUUAAGGGAAUGUGAUAGACAAUGUGAACUAAAAACAAGGCAAGCUCAUUAAGAUGUUCCUUUUUAAUGCAUAAGGUGUGCAAUAAAAUGAGAUCGAGAAUCCUAUGCUUUGAGAGAAGGAUACUACAGUAAAAAAUGGUACCCAAAUACUAUUGAAUGACAACAUAGCUCUUGUUGCUCCUUUAUUUUUAUUUAUUUUAUUUUUUUAUUUUUGUAAUUAUCUCUUUUUUUGUUUUGAUAUCAACAUUAGAAAUAUAGAAGUCCAGAAAUUUUUUUUAGUGCUUGCAUAUUGAAGGUUCAUGCUAUAAGAGUUGGAAAAACUUGAAUAGAAACUCCCUUGAAUGAUGUAUCAAAGCUCAAUGUAUCAAUGUUAACAUAAACAUUUGAGUAGAGUAGGAUAACAUUUCUAUGUCAUAUGAAGAAAUAUACUAAAAGGGAACCAUGAAUACGAUUGGAGAAAUAUAUAUUAUAAUUUAGAGGAUUAUUAUGGUCUAUUGGUCAUAUUCAAAUGGAAGUAAUAUGGUAAUCAAUAUUUCCAUGUCAUUUGAAGAAACAUAAUAAGAGGGAACCAUGCAUGGAUAUGAUUUGAGAAAUAUAUAUUAUAAUUUAGAGGAUUACUACCUUAUAUUGGUUAUAUUCAAAUGAAAGUAAUAUGGUAAUCAAUAUGUAAUCGGUAAGAAAAUAGGUUAUGAACAAGUCAUAUUAUAACUACCUCAAAAAUCAAUAAUACAAGGAUGAAAGAGGUAUACUGAGGAAGGGUCACACCUAAAGGAUCACUUUAUUAGCACAAGUAGGAAAAUGUUAACAUAGGGUUAUGCAUUUAAGUGUAACAUGAUUGAAUUUUAUUACAAUGUCUAAAAUUUAAAUAAUUGCAUACCUCUUUUCUGAUUUUGCUCAUGCCAUUAAGAUUUUUUAUCCACAAGAAACAACCUAUAUUACAAAAAAUGGAAAAAUUAUUUUAGAAUAGUAAGAAAUUUAGGGUUCUUAUAAAUAAAAAAGAAUAUAAUUUUUUAAUACUUAAAAAAAAAAUUCCAAAGGUAAGAAUCUAAAAGCCUAUUUGAUUGUGUGAUUUAAAAACAAUUUUCUGUUUUUAAAAAUAGAAAAUUGUUUUUAAAAAUUUCUAAUUAACAUUGUUGGGUUGUCAUUCUCUAAAAACAAUUUUUAAAAACAAAGUGAAAUAGAUAAUAAUUUUUAGAGAAUAAAUAUGAAUUGUUUUCACUAGUUUUUACAAAUAAAAGAAAAAUGUGGAUUCAUUUGGGUUAUGUUUUUUUAAACUUGUUUUUUAUUCUUCAACUUAAAAAUAAUUUUUAAAAACAAAUUUAAGAAAAUAUGGCCAAAAAAACCCUAAAUGUUUACAGUAAUUUUCUAAUUUUUCAUCUCAUAAGCAAUCAAACUCUAACAUCUCACUAUUAACGUAUUAGAAAUGCAUUAUCAACUUUUUAAGUGAUACAACAUUUUGCAUAUUAAAGGGAAUGUAUAAUUAUAAAAUUAUUUUCAUAGGACAAAUACCUUUUUAAACAUAUGAGCAACCUAAUUCUGAAAAAGAGAAAAAAAGAAUGAUAAAGAGCACAAUAUUUUUUUUUUGUAUAGUGCUUAAAAAUUAGUUAAAACAACAAAUAAAAAAUAUUAAUUUACUGAAAGAUCUAAGUUUUUGAAACAUAUUAAGAAUCCAUUGUGUAAGUUGAACAAUUAAACAAGAAUUCAAAAUUAUCCUAUUGUAUUUUAAACUGGAAGUAGCUAGAUACUCACGAGGUUUAUCAAAAUCUUGUCUCUAUUCUCCAUAGAUCAUAAAUAAGUUAAAGAAAAAAUAAAACCAAGAAGAAAAAAAUACUAUAAGAUAUAUUUAUUCCAAGCUCGUCGAAAUACUGAGAGCACCCAUUUACAAAAUUGUAUUCCCGUCAUGUAACAAUUGAAUCCAACUCAUGUGACUCAUUGUUUUUUUUUUCUCAAAAACAAGUUUUUUUAAUUGCAAAAGAAAAAAGACUUAUCUGUUGAUGGUCUUGAAGUAAUUCAAAGGAUAGCCCUCAGAGGUAGGUACCAAAAACCACAAUAUCAAAAGAUGGUAAAACUAAUAAUAUAUGAAGAGUCGGUACAUUAAGUGAGAUUUUUUUAUAAGAGUACUGUAGUUUUAGAAAAUAAUUCUCAAACUACCGUAGUAGGAAAAAUAAUUCCAAAUCCACCGUAAUUUUUGUCAGGUAUGAAAGAUGAAUUUUUUUUUUAAAUCGUCUCUUCAAAAUACUAUUUAUAACAUUUUAAAAAAAAAUUUUAAAUCAUCUUUCUAAAAUAUGAGAAAUUGUCUCUUGAAAAUACAACUUUGGAAAAAAAAAAGAAGAUGAUUUUCAGAAGAAAGAAAAACUAAGAAGUAAUAAAUCAUCUCUUGAAAAGACGAUUUUUCACCAACAAUUUUCACAAAAAAAAAUUCAUAAAAAAAAGAAAAAGAGAAAACUUCAAAAAUCCAUUUUUCCAUUCCCUACUAUACUUAUACAAUAAUACAAUUAUUAUAAAUAUAUAUUAUAAAAUUAAUUAAUUUUAUUUACUAAAUUUAAUAUUUUUUCUAUUAUUUUUUUCUAAAAAAAAAAUUAUUAUUAAUUUAUUAAAAAAAUAAAAAAUUGAGAAAUUGUCUCUUGAAGAGACGAUUUUCACCAAAAAAUAAAAAAAAAGAAUAAAAAUAAAAAUUCAAAAAUCAAUUUUUCCAUUCUCUGUCAUACUUAUACAAUAAUAAAAUUAUUAUAAAUAUAUAUUAUAAAAUUAAUUAAUUUAUUUACUAAAUUUAAUAUAAGAUAAAUAAUAUUUAUCUAUUAUUCUUUUUUCUUUCAUUUUGGAAAAAAAAUAUUAUCAAUUUAUGUGAAAAAUGAGUUUAAAAAAUAAAUUUAUUAUUAAUUUAUUAAAUAAUUAUUUACAAAAUAAUUAAUUUUGUUUUUUUAUUUUAAAAUUAAUUUUAUUAUAUAAAUUUUAAAUUUUAAAAUAUUAAUCUUUAAGUUAAAAUUUUACUAUAAAAAAUGAAUAAUUUCACAUAUUUUUAGGCGAAUUUUACUUAUCAUAAGGCCUCCACUACACACAUCAUUUCCCCUAAUCCAAUAAUGCACUACACCCAUAGACCAUAGGAGAAUCUUACCUAGUACACUCUAUCACUUCAUACACUAUUACACUACAAUUCCAUUACAACACUCAACCAAUUUGACAAGAGUUUGAAGUAUUGUCAUUUCUUUUUAAAUGUUUAAAUACUCCACCAAUUUGAUCGUUUCAAGUAUUGUCAUUUCUUUUAAAACAUUCAAACGUGUGUAUAUAUAUAUAUAUACACACACCCCAUAUCCUACACACUAUACCCAUUCUACCUCUUCCCAACUUCACUUACAAUAUAAAUCAAUUUCAAACUUCUUCAUCCUCAUUUUCUCUUUCUUCCCCAUUUGAAACCAAGUUUUUCACUUUCCAUCGCUUUUAUCCAAAUCUCCCAUUUCUCUUUGUGGAACUUCUGGGUAUAUCUCCUAUUUUUUCUUCAAACACUCACACUGUUUAUCUUGAAAGGUAAUAUUUUUGCUUUAUUUUUAUUUCAAAUUAUUUUGUAAUAUAUGGUUUUUAUUAUUAUAUAAGUUUUAAAAUUUAUUUGGAUUAUGCAAUAUUUGUUUGAAUAAUAUUUAUUGGAAAUUAUUAUUUUAAAUAGAUUAAAUCAUUAAAAAAUAAAUAAAAGUUAUAUUAUUUUAUUUUUAGAUAAUAUUUUUGCCCUUGUUUCAUAUUUAUUUUGUAAUGCAUGAUGGAUAUUUAUUGUUAUACAUAUAUUAAUUUAUUGGAUUUAUGUUAAUUUUUUUAGAAUAUUAUUUGUUGUAAAUUAUCAUUAUAUAAUUCAAAAAAUAAAAGUGGUAUUAGUUUAUUUAAUUAAUAUGGAAUAAUAGGAUUAUUGAUUAUGUUUAUCAAUCAAAUAAUAUGUUUUAUAAAAUAAUAAAAUUAAAAAUUAAAAAGAAAAUAAAAUAUUAGUAAAAUGAGAAUGGAAAAUAAUAAUAAUAAAAUAAUUAUAUAUCUAUGUAUUUGCAUAAAAUAUUAUUUUAAAAAUAUUAAAGUCUAAAAAAUAGAAAUACAACAUUAUCUGACAUUAUGAAUUUAUUCUAUAUAUUUUUUUAAAAUUAAUGUUAGCCUUAAAUCAUUGAAAAAAUUGUUGUAAAAAUAAAAAUAUAAAUAAAAGUAGAAGUAAAACUAAAAUGUUAUUUGAUAUAUUUAAAUGAAUAUUUAAAUGUAUAGAAUAUAAAAUAAAAAAGUAAUGGUGUAUAAUAUAAAAUAGUAACCGUGCGUAUUAAAUGUAUAUAAUAUGUAAAUUUAUAUUUAAAAUGUUAAAUAAUAGCCAUAUUGUGGAUCCCGCAUUUCGGCUCAUGCGAUUUCCACUCGAUGACAAGUUCGAUUUUUAUUCGAAAAUGAUUUUAUUUAUUAAAAAAAAAUAUGACUUGAAGUCGCUACUUAUUUUUGUUUUAUUUUUAAAAGGGUAAACAAAAUAAGAAAGAAAACCCUAAGCGUGACUCCUUAUUUUGGAAAAUGUGGUCUGUGAAAAACCGGAUCAGGCUCGGGGGUCAGGUUACUUAUUGGGAAGGUACGGUAAAGACCGUAGCACCCCUCUAAGUCCCUAAAGUCGGGUCUCUACUAAUAAAAUGAAGCUGACGUGGCAAUCAAUAGGAAAAUCAAUGGAUACUCAAAUUAAUCAUGCACAUAUGGGAAUCAAAAGCAUGCAUAGAGAAUGAACAGAACGGGAGUGGAUGCGUACUUGGAACAUGAACGAGCGAUACGUUAUCAUAAAAAUAGAGUCGGUGUACAAUAAAGAAUACAAAACAUGUCACAUGCAUUACCAAACAAUGAUUAAGCUGUUCGAGGGAGGAUUGAAAUUUAUUCGAGGAUUGGAGUCUUAGAGAUUAUUUAAAAAUCGAAUUUUUAGGAAUUAAAUAUAAGAAUGAGAAUUUUAGAAAUUAAAUUAGAAAUAAAUUGGGACUUCGAGAUUUAUUCGAGAAUUGGAGAUUUGCAAAAUAAAUUUAAGGACUGGAAUUUCUAAAAUUAAAUUUGAAAGAAAUUGGAACUUUGGAAAUUAUUUGGGAGUUUGGGAUUUUUAAGAAUUAUUUGAGAAUGAAUGAAAAUUCGAUUUGAAAGAAAUUAGAGUUUCAAAAUUUACUUGAAAGUGAAAUUUUAGAAAUUAAAUUCGGAAUUAUGGAAUUUUUGGAAAAUUAAGUCUUAAAAAUUUGAAUCUUGGAAAGUUAAAUUUAAAAUUAGAAUUUGAAAAUUAUUCCGAGAAUUGAAUUUUGAAGAAUUAAAUCUAAAAAUUGGAGCUUUGGAAAAUUAAAUUAAGAAUUUGAGUUUUGAAAAUCAACUUUAGAAAUUGAGGAUUCGAAAAAACAUUCAAAAGUGGAGACCUUGAAAAUUAGAUUUAAGAAAAGAAUUUUGAGAAAUUAAACUUUGGGAAUAAAGAUUUUGAAAGUUAAAUUCGAAAAUUAAAAAAAAAAAAUGGAAAGUUAAACCUUGAUAUCAAAGAGGAAGAAUUUGAAUAAAUGAAUAAAUAAACAAAUAUAUAUAUAUAUAUAUAUAUAUAUAUAUAAAAGAAUAAAAUGGAGGUGGUCGUUGGGGGUGCGGGCCAAGGGUGGCCCCGUGAAGUGACAUGAUCACCUCAUGAUUACCAUCUCCCUAAACUUUAAGCUCCGCCAUACCAAAUAACCGCAAUCAGUCCAACGGUCUCUGAUGAUCGAGAGUUGUUUCAUCAAGAGAGGGUAUUUCUCCAUUGAUUUUAGGAACAUGAGGAAUAGAGACCAUCUGAUUUAAUAUUUUGCCUACUUCACCAUCGAGUGCAUUCUCAUCUGUCAGAUCUAGAGAAUAUGACCAACCCUCCCCAUUGUGUGACUUUUCGUCAGGACUAGAACAUGAACUAGAAAGUCCCAUACCAUCUAUAUCUUUCUGGCCGCUCUCAUGCCUAAAUCCAUAAUUUUCCAUAGAUUGAUCGGGCCAUUCUUUUGGAAGAAUAGAUACUUGCAAAUCCUCUACCACUUCAUGUGAAAAUCUAGCUGUUUCGUCAAUAGCAAGUUGUGAUAGUUCUUCUUAAAGAGCAUGUUCGAUAAUCUCACCAUUCUCCGCAUUGCCACAUUCAUUAUCAUAACGAUCUUCCUUUAAAUGUUAUCCAUCAUAAUAACUUACAUCAUUUUGCACAAUGGUGCCACCAUACCCGCACUUAGAAAACGGAUCAUCAUCAGAAGCCGGAGACCCCACCGAACAACAAUAGGAUCUUGCCCACAUGCGAUCAUUUGCAAUGAUAUCAAUGUCGGCUGCAUUGAUCUUGACAGCAGCUAAUUCUUUCUCCUUCAUUCUCAUGGCAUUCUCGUUAGCAUCGGUCGACAUAAUGACAAUAAGCAGUUUUUGAGGUUCUUCUUGAAUUUUAUCAAGGAGAUAUCGUCCAUCCAUGCAGCUGCCCCAUUAUUUUACUUUGACCGGGACCUGAAAAACUUGCCUCACUAUUCAUUCCCGCAUNNNNNNNNNNNNNNNNNNNNNNNNNNNNNNNNNNNNNNNNNNNNNNNNNNNNNNNNNNNNNNNNNNNNNNNNNNNNNNNNNNNNNNNNNNNNNNNNNNNNCAAGCAUGACAAUAUUAAGAUCCAACUCUAGGUAUUGAUUCAAAAGUAGUGGCUUAGGAGGCAUCGAUAUUAUUUUGAGUGUAUGGAACGUUCUCAAAAGUGAACUAUGCCCACAGAUCGGAGUAACAAAACCUGUAUUAGGCAAUGCUGUCAGCUUGCAGGGAGUCUUUCAUGACUGCUUAAACUCGAAUUCGGGCAUCUUAAAGUACCACAACAUGGCCAUAGUUGAAACUCCCAAACCCGAAGAGAGUUAGUUGAGGUUCCAGAUAAAGAAAAUUGGUGCGCUUGAGCUCAUCAGGUGCAGAAGGUAUGACCUUAACCGAUUCGGUGGGUUUGGGGUUGUAAGGUUUAGUGGUUGGAAUGUUUUGGUAAGAAGAAUAGGAUGAGAGACUAGUUGAGCUAAGGGAUCAAAGUUGAGUUGUAUCUGAUGGGUGAUCCAGAUGACGGUUUUCUUCUUGUUAAGUGCAACAGAUGAAAAGUUGGAUGGGGUAUGAGGAGUAUUUGGCUUUUGGUUUAUGCUCGGUAUAGAACAAAUGUCAUGGGAAUGCGUUGAAAGGAUGCUAGGGAAUCGUACGUACGUGUACACAGCAUCUGCGUGGGAGGCUAGAGAAAUAAUGGGUGGGAAAAGAAAACGGGUCAAACGUAAGGGGUGAUUUGAAGAUAGUGAGAGAAUGAAAUAAGUGUGUAUGCUUGUGGUGGUUAUCGAAAAUGUGAGGGGUGGGGAGUGUGAUAGCUUCAAUGGGUAUGAGAAUAGGGAUAAGCCGACAGGGAGCACGAUAGAGGGUGGAUUUUGCAAAAGGUCUUGUGGGCCAUGCAAAGGUGGAAGAGAUGGGGUACAUGGUAGGUAUUGAAAAAUGGUGUGUGGUGUAGAGAGAUGAAACGGGAGGUGAGCAGUGAGUGGGAUGUAGGGGUAAAAGGGUGGCCAUGCACACAUGUGGAGUAAACCCAUCAAUAUUGCACUUCCCAAUUCAUCCCGUGGCCGAUGAAUACAACAUCCCGGUGCUACUUCUCAUACCCAUUUUGCAUUUUCUGAAUGUCAACACCUGAAUAUAGCUUUGAAUGCUGAAAAGGUGGCGACAAACACCCGAUCAUGAUAGGAUGAUGGCUCUGAAUGUCAAGCUGGGAAGGAAUGGUGGCUUUGAAGGCCCAAACCGAGAAGAUAUGGUGGCUUUGAAUGUCAAACUGCGGAGAAUGAUGGCUCUGAACGCCCGAAUGUGAGAACGACGGCUCCUUGAACGCCUGAAACUGUGAAGAGGUAGUGGCUCUGAACGUUGAACUAAAAAGAGAUGAUGGCUCUGAAUGUCGAAACUGAAGAUGCAAUGAUGAUGGCUCUGAACGCCGAAACUGAAAAUGUGACUCUUAACAUCAAAUUGAAAAUGCGAUGAUGGCUCUGAACGCCGAAACUGAGAAGCGACGAUGAUGGCUCUGAACGCCAAAACCAAAAAUGCGAUGAUGAUGGCUUAGAGUGCCGAAACUAAAAAUGCGACUCUGAACGUCAAGUUGAAAAUGUGAUGAUGAUGACUCUGAACACCAAAACUAAGAGGCGAUAAUGAUGGAUCUGAAUGCCGAAACCAAAAAUGCGAUGAUGAUGGCUCUGAACGCCGAAACUGAAAAUGCGACUCUGAACGUCAAGCUGAAAAUGUGAUGAUGAUGGCUCUGAACGCCGAAACUGAGAAGCGAUAAUGAUGGCUCCGAACGCUGAAAGAAAAAAUGAGAUGAUGAUGGCUCUGAACGCUGAAACUGAGAAGCGGUGAUGAUGGCUCUGAAUGCCAAAACGGAAAAUGAUAUAAUGACCCUGAAUGCCGAACUAUGAACAUGGCUUUGAAUGCCAAACUGCGAAUAAAUGGUGGCUUUGAACGCCAAACUAAAAAUAAUAGCCAUGAAUGCUAAGCAAAAACAACGGCUGUGAACGCCAAUGAUAACUAUGAAUGUCAAGCUGAGAAANNNNNNNNNNNNNNNNNNNNNNNNNNNNNNNNNNNNNNNNNNNNNNNNNNNNNNNNNNNNNNNNNNNNNNNNNNNNNNNNNNNNNNNNNNNNNNNNNNNNCAAAAACAACUGGCUGUGAACGCCAAUGAUAACUAUGAAUGUCAAGCUGAGAAAGACAACUUUAAACGUCGUAAUUGAGAGGACAUGGUGGCUUUGAACACCAGGCUGAAAAUGGAUGACUUUGAACAUCAUAACCGAUAAUGGAUGGUGGCUCUAAAUGCCAAACUGUAAGGAAAUGAUUAGGGGGGGGGGGGGGGGGGNNNNNNNNNNNNNNNNNNNNNNNNNNNNNNNNNNNNNNNNNNNNNNNNNNNNNNNNNNNNNNNNNNNNNNNNNNNNNNNNNNNNNNNNNNNNNNNNNNNNAGUCUCAUGACCCGCUCGAUGAAAUCACGAGGUUUGUCGGAGUGUCGCAAUAAGCCGAACUCCUCUAACUCAUAAUGCUCUGCCGAAAGAAUCUAUCGUCACCCCGAACGGAUAAUCCGAUAGUCUUAGGGAGUAGUCUGGUAAGAGACAUACCACGAUCUUGACAUAACAAUCUACUGAAUAGUCUUGGCUAGUGAGGCUAUCAAAACCCGAAUAUCGUGCUCCACUGAAAGCUCAUCUCGACGAAAAGCACAGGAAUAGUGACCAGUGAAGCAAAUGCAAUAUCUCUUGACUGAGUAAUGAAAACUAUAAUAGAUCUGUGAGAGAAUGAUCAUCUCCAUAGCUAAAGGAGGGAAAUAUGCCCCAGUAUGGCAUCAGAUAUAUCCAAUCUGUCCUAAUAACUCAAGAAUAACUCUAUGGGGACAUACAAAGGAUCUAACAUGUACUCCACUGAAAUAGUGACGCAGGCAUCCACGCGCCUGAGAUAACUCCUUCUAAGAAUCACGACUAUAUCAGAAAACGUGAAUCUGGCUGAAAGACUCAAGAGAGGCUCCAUGGAGUAUCAGGACACAAUGAAAUCGAAUCAUCAACCCGAUGUGUAUCUCAAAAUCGAGGGUGAUCAUGCGAAUCAGUGGGGGAUGUACAAAUCUCGACUGAAAUGGGGAAUACACCCCAGUGUGGCAUCAUAAAUGUGACAAGUCGGAAAGUCAGAUGAGCUCAAAUCAUCCAUCAUCGAAUUCGUGAUCCAAGUCAUCCAUGUCUAUAACUGAAUCAGACCCACAGAUCAAAGGGGCGUCUCCCAGAAGGAAAGCAUGAUGACAUCUAAGUGUCGAGAAGUGCAGGCCUAACUGGGCAAUUCCCAAGAGGCUCCAUUGAGGAAUCAUCAUAAAGAUACCGAAUAGAUCAUCGUCUCGAUGUACGUCUUGCAAAUGGGGAUAAGCGCGUAACUCCACCAAGAUCUAUAAAUCUCAUCCUGAAUGGUAAUAUGCCCCAGUAUGGCAUCAAACAUAUGAUAGGUCGGAGACCGGGCAACAUGAAAUCAUCUAUCAUCGAACAUGCGACAUCUGUGAAGAUCCAUAAAUCUCAUCUAAAAUGGAAAAUAUGCCCUCGUAUGGCAUCAGGUGCAUAAUAGGUCAAAAGAACAAGUGACAUGAAACCAUCUCUCAUCAAACAUGUGACCUCUGUGAAGAUCCGUAAAUCUCAUCUGAAACGGAAAUAUGCCCCAGUAUGGCAUCGGAUGUGUGACAGGUCAGAAGAACAAGUGACAUGAAACCAUCUCUCAUCAAACAUGUAAUCCUGGUCAUCCGAAUCCAUAACUGAAUCAUGCCCACAGAUCUAAGAUGUACCUCCCGGAUGGAGAAGCAUGAUGGCAUCUAAGUGCCGAGAAGUGCGGGCCUAGCUAGAUGGCUCUCGGCAGGCUCCACUGAGGAAUCAUGAUAAGGUAACGAUCAUGUCCACGUCUUAGUGAGCAUCUAGUAAGUGAUGAUGAUCGUGCAAGUCCAUGAGGAUCCAUAAACCUCUAAAUGAAAUGGGAUAUGCCCUAGUGUGGCAUCAGAGGUACGAUAGGUCAAAAAUCGGGUGACACCAAAUCAUCCAUCGUCAAACACAUAAUCCCGGUAAUUCGAACACAACUGAAUCGGACCUACACAUCAAAGAGGCGACUCCUAGAAGAAGGAAGCACGACGAUAUCUAAAUAUCAACCAGAUCUCAAACACUCGUCCAAGUAGAGGCUGUCAAAGAUGACAUCUGAUCCCAUGACCUCAGGGUGGUCUUAAGACAUGGGACGUAACGUAGGCCAAGGUGAUAAGGUGAUAGAAAUGAAGGAAAACUAGACUCAAAUACCCAAUGAUCAAAAACCCACGCCCUCAUAUAUGAAAUGCAACAUGUAUAAUGAAUCUCGUGAGCCAUGGACCUAAGGAUGCCUAACAUGAAUAUGAUGUCGAUAAGGAGACAAAUAAAGCAAAAUGAACUGAUAGUGAUAUGUGUAAUGAUGAUGUGAAGAGAGUAUCAAACCCGAGAUGGGUUGCUGUAAGAAAAGAAUAAGACGUGAAGUGAAAAUGAUGAAUCCAAAGCGAAAACGAGGAUGAUGAUGAAACAAAUAACACAAAGAGGAGUAGUGAUCAACUCAAAUCAGACAUGGAGUGAAGUCACAUCAACAAUGAACGUAAUGAUGGAAGGGACAAUGACCCAGAGCUCCUAAGAGAAGGUCACUCAUCUCGCUCUCAAAAUAUACAAUAAAAAUGAAUACAAAGCAUAGAGGGUCUCAGAAAGCUCACAUACGAACUCCCAUCAACAAACAUACUCAAUCAAGUCACCCUCGAACAUCAACAUACACACUCAAUGAUAGAAAAUAAUACACAUGCGUUUUGUUUUUUUUUUUUUUACAUAUAUACAAAUGUACACACCUUGAACAUGAACAAAAUAAGCCUAAAUAUGAUAUCAAUAAUGGAUAGACGCUAUCUCGAAAGCUAAGGUAACAAAAACCCUCUUUGACAAGAUAACCUUUUCAAACUAAGAAUCUCUGAACCAGUGUCCGUUGGAUAGAUAGUGGUAAUGAUAUGACUACCCUCCAUGUAAUGAACUGAGGAAGAUCACCACUCGGGGUGGAAAGAAUAUGAAGCAAAACAAGUAGUAGAUAGAAUAAAGAAGAAUAGAUGAAGAACACAACCAAUGAGAUACAAUGGAAUGCAGUGAUGCAAUGAUGAGAAGAGAUAAUGAGAAGAAUGUGCCCCUCGGUCCAAGGCUCAUGAAACUUCCAAACAAUGAAUGCAUACACCAAAAGGGCCCCUAUCCCGGUGUGAAAAUGUGAGCAAGGCGAUAAGAAAGAAAUGCUAUAAUGCUCAUGCGAGGCUCAAUGGGCUAGCAACAGACUAUAUAUCAAAAGGGAAUAACAAGGUAUAUGGCUAACUGAAAUGACGGCCACCAUCCUACGACCAUGGUGUCAAACAUAGUACCUCUUUAGCUGAUCCAUAUUGGUCGGCUUUGAGAAUCGGUUUCCAUCUAAAUCCAUCAACCAUGCAACAUCCUCUGGGGUCAACUCCCUGAUGAAGUAAGGUUCGCUCCAGUUGGGUCUGAACUUCUUUCUAGGAUCUCUGAUCAAUCCCCUGAUGAUCUUCAGAACCAAGUCACCUAUCCGUAGUGGUCAGAGCUUGACCUGCUUUUUGAAAGUGCGGGCCAUCUUCCUCUGAUAUGCACGAAUGUGGUCGGCUGCUCUCAAUCUCCUCUCAUCUUGGAGAUUGAGCUGAUCAAAUCGAGACUGAGCCCAAUCUGCCUCGAGCAUCUGUUGCUCUAAUGCUACCCUCAAUGAACCCAACUCUAUCUCGACUGGUAGCACUACCUCCAUAUUGUAUACCAAAGAGUAGGGUGUGGCUCCUGUAGAGGUGUGAAAAGAAGUCCGGUAAGCCCACAAUGCGAAAGGAAGCUUCUCAAACCAAUCCCGAGAAGUCUUGAUCAUCCUCCGCAAGAUCCUCUUAAUAUUCUUAUUCACGGUCUCUACUGCCCCGUUCGUCUGCGGCCUGUACGCAGACGACCUAUGGUGUCGGAUGCCAUAUUACCGCACUAAAGUGUCAACCUCUGCCCUGAAAUGUACCCUUCUAUCCGAAAUCAGCUCAUGAGGGACUCCACAGCAACAGAUAAUGUGUGACCUGAUGAAACUAGCCACUCCAGAUGAUGUCAAUCUCGCAUACGAAGCGGCCUCCACCCACUUGGUGAAGUAAUCGAUGGCGACCAGGAUGAACUCAUGACCACUGGAAGAUUUCGGCGAAAUCUUUCCGAUGAUGUCAAUACCCCAUACAGAAAAUGGUCAUGGUGAAGUCAGUGCAUGCAACUCCGAGGACGGCACGUGAAUGAGAUCUCCAUGUAUCUGACACUCGGGACAUCUCUGAACAAACUGGAAACAAUCUAUCUCCAUGGUCAACCAGAAAUAGCCAAUCCUCAUGAUCUUACGGGCCAACAUAUGUCCUCCCAUAUGUGGUCUGCAGACUCUUGCAUGAACCUCUCUUAUCACUCUAUUGGCAGAGGCUCGGUCCAAGUACAAUAAUAGCAUCUCGUCAGCCGAUCGUCUAUACAAUGUCUUGCCACAAAUCACCAAUCCGGUGGCUAACUGUCUCAAUGAUCUCCUAUCCUUGGCCAUGGCAGUCUCAAGAUACACGCCAAGUCUCAGAAAGUGAUAUAUGUCAUGGUACCAGGGCAAACCAUCAUCUAUCUCCGUAUCAUCAAUUAGACAACAGUACGCAAGAGCAGAUCUCGACUCGAUCAACAAUGGGCGAACGGUGACAUCAGUAGGAAUGUCAAUCAUGGAAGCUAGAGUAGCUAAGGCAUCAGCAAACUGGUUCUGCGCUCUAGGCAGAUGGGUAUAUAUCAAAUCAUCGAAUCUCCCAACCAGUAGCUUUAAAUAUGCGUGGUAAGGCCUAAGCUUCACAUUUCUAGUCUUCCAUUUGCCUUGAAUCUGUCUCAAUACUAAAUUGGAGUCACCAAACACCUCUAUCUGUCUAAUCCCGAGCUCUAGGGCCGUUUCUAAUCCCAAGAUACAAGCCUUAUAUUCAACAAUGUUGUUCGUGGCAGGAUGUCGAUCCCAGAAUGCCAAACGAACAGAUCUGGGAAUGUGAUCACCAUGAGGGGAUAUCAACAAGACGCCUAUCCCGUAUCCAGAAUGGUUGGCUGCACCAUCAAAGUACAUGCGCCAACCUGAUAAACUGGUCACAACAGCCACAUCCUCGUCCGGGAAGUCAUCAUCAAUGGCUCUGCCGUCGGAAACUGGUAAAGAAACUAGGUGAUCCACGACAAUGCUCCCUUUGAUGGACUUCUGAGUGACAUAAUGGAUGUCAAACUCGAUUGGAAGUACCAACCAUCUUAUGAGGCGACCAACUAAGGCGGGUUUGUCAAACAAAUAUCUCAGAGGAUCUAAAUGGGAUAUCAAGUGCACUAAAUACUCUAUCAUAUAAUGUCUCAGUUGGCGUGUGGCCCAAACCAAUGCCAAACAGUAACACUCAAUCAUGACAUAUCUUGUCUCAUAGUCUAGCAUCCUCUUACUCAUAUAAUAAAUAGCUCGGUCCUUGCCUGAAUCAUCAAGCUGAGCUAACAUACACCCCAAUGCUACGUCUGAAACUGAUAGGUAUAGGAGUAAGGGACGACCUGGUGUAGGAGGCGCCAAGACUGGAGGUGACAACAAGUACUCUCUGAUCCUCUCAAAUGCACGCUGACACUGAUCAUCCCAAAUAGUAGGUUGACUCUUCCUCAAGAGUCGAAAAAUGGGCUCACAGAUGUCUGUCAAUCUGGCAAGGAAUCUGCUGAUGUACUGAAGUCUACCUAGGAAGCCUCUGACCUCUCUCUCUAUCCUCGGUGCAGGCAUGUCAAGAAUAGCUUUGAUCUUAUCCGGAUCUACCUUUAUGCCUCUUUCAUUGACCAUAUAUCCAAGGAGUUUCCCAGAAGUCACUCCGAAAGUGCACUUCUUGGGAUUGAGUCUCAAUCUGAAUUGUCUAAUCCUCUCAAAGAACCUCUCCAGAGCUGUCAGGUGAUCUGGUCUAUCUUGGGAUUUCACUAUCAUGUUGCCUACAUAAACCUCGACAUCCCGAUGCAUCAUGUCAUGGAAGAGGGUGGUCACCGCUCUUUGAUAAGUGGCUCCUGCGUUCUUCAAUCCGAAUGACAUGACUCUAUAGCAAUAAGUACCCCACUCGGUAAUGAAAGACAUUUUCUCCAUGUCCUCUAAAGUCAUUAAGAUCUGAUUGCAUCCGGAAAAUCCGUCCAUAAAGGACAACAUCGAAUGACCUGCCGUACUGUCAAUUAGCAUGUCGAUGUGUGGAAGAGGAAAAUCAUCCUUAGGAUUGACCUUGCUGAGGUCUCGAAAAUCAACACAGACUUUCACCUUGCCGUCCUUUUUGGGAAUAAGGACGACAUUGGCCAACCACUCCGGGUACUCGACCAUUGAAAAAAAUCCUACACUAAGUUGCUUCUGAAUCUCCUUAUUUACCUGCAAGCUCCAACGAGGAUGCAAUCGUGUCAACUUCUGCUUAACCGGUCUGAUAUGGGGCAGAAGUGGCAAACGAUGCUGGAUGAUAGAUGGAUCAAGGCUUGGCAUAUCCUCAUAGGACCAUGCGAAAAUGUCCAAGUAUGCUAUGAGCAACUGGAUGAGGCUAUCCCUUUCAUCAACAGAUAAAUCUGAUCCGAUCCUUAACUCCCUAGGCUGAUCUGCUGUGCCGAAAUAAAAAAUCUCUAUGUCCCCUACAACAUGUGAAACUCUCUGAUCAAUGGGAUCCGAAUCGGAAAUAGAAGAUGAGUCAUCGUCUGAAUCAUGCUGUGCAAUCUCAUCAUCAAUGUCAAAAAUCUAUGAUGUGGGUGAGGAUGGUGCGGGUAAAGCAAUAACAUGAGAGACAGACAAAUACUAAAAAAUGCUCAAAUCCAUAGAUGAAGAGUCAGAAACAUCGUCAUGACGGGAGACAAAUCCCGAUAAGACAUUAAAGGAAAGAGGUGGGUCCACAAAGUUGGACGCUCUCUUAACUAAGCCAACAAGGCCAUCAAACAAGCCAUCAACAACUAUAACAUCCUCAGCAAUCUCCAGAACGGGGGCGACCUGGAUCUCCUCGACAAUCUCGAGGAUGGACACCCCGAAGAGAUCGAAUGGUGAAGCGAGCUCAAAUGGGGCUAUCUCCUUGAUUUGGCUCAAGCUCAUCGCGAUCAUCUCAUCAACAUACUCGUCAUGUGGCACGACUUUGUCUAAUAUGUUGCUGCUCUCGAAAAAUGUCCAGUAAUCAUCGAUCUCAUCCGAGAAGCAAAGCGUCAUAAGGCUCGUGCGAUCUGGGGAGGAAGGAGUGAUCAACGCAGAAGUUGAAGGGCCAGGGGCUCCGUCACUCAAUCGUAACUGUCGGACGAGGCGCUGAAGCUCGGCCUCCUGGGUGGUGCUAAGUCCUCCGAUGAUCCCAUCAGAUAGUGCAUGUGGCUCCGACGCCCUCACAAAGUAAUCUGUUAGGCUCAUGGUAUAUGGGUGAACAGGAUAAUAAAAUGGAAUAUGGGUCAGUCGAGCCCUCACCCUCUCCUUCGGCAAUCGCUCCAUAUUACGAUAAUCAGCCUCAGUGGGGAUGAACCUGAGUCCGAAUGCUACGUCGUGAUCAAGGAAGGUCAUGAACUCACUAGGCCCGUACUGACGCUGCCCUAACCCCAUGCCGGGAAGAUAAGACAUACCCCUCAUCAUGUCAAGCACUAGAUACUGUGCUGGUCGAAAGAUAUGGCUACAAAGUCUCGACAGAAAUCCUCUAUCUCCAAAGUCUGCACCUCGUCGAAGGUGAAUCCGAUCAAAAAAAGAUAGUCAUCAGUGUGACUAAUCUGAAGUACAGGCUUGGCAGAAAUGAACACAUCUCCUAUAGACUGCACCACAACGGCCUGGCCAUCAUGAAUAAACUUCACCUUCUAAUGAAGGGAAUAAGGAAUGGCCCCAACUCUAUGGAUCCAUGGUCGGCUCAGAAGUAGGUUAAAGGAUGUAGGAAUCCUCAAAACCUGAAACACGACAACAAAAGUGGUCGGACCAAUCAAUAGCUCAAUCUCCAAUGUACCCAUGACCUUCCUCUGAGUACUAUCAUAUGCGCGAAUGGUCUGAGUGGAGGGACCGAAGUCAGAUGGUGCGUAGCCGAGGGCAAUGGCAGUGGAAAGAGGACAGACGUUCAGGACCAAGCCAUUGUCCAGAAAGAUAGAUGGGACUCGGCGGCCUGAACAAUCGACAGAUAUAUAAAGUGGACUUGUGUGGUCCGAGCCCUCCGUGGCAAGUCAUCAUCGAAGAAUACAAUGCAUGUGGCUCUGCUGGCCGUCAUCAUAUGAAUCAAUCUCUUAGGAGAAGUGGUAGUAUCGACUCUGAUCUGGUUCAAGGCUCGAAUCAGAGCAUCACGGUGAGUGCUCAAGGAUGCCAACAGGCUCUAGAUGGAAAUACGAGCUUGGGUGCUCUGUAGCUGUCUCAAAAUCUCGUCAUCCUUUACUCUGACCUCCUCGAGAGCAGAUAUACCCUCAACUAACCUAGCUGCUACGGGAGGUGGCUGUCGCAACACUCUACCUCAUUGGAGAAUAUAAUGAACAUCUAGAGUCUGAGAAUCAUCAACACGCGGAGCCUGAACCUCCUCAACAUCCGGGAUCAAGAUGAAUGAAGUCUGGACGCUGUAAUGUGGAAAAAUCAAUGGCUCAACAAUGGUAGUCUGUACCGAUGCCGCCCUGGGAACUAAUUCGAAUGAAACGGGCAUCCAAGGCCCCAAAGUCGCUUUGUCCAUCUCAUAAAUACCAUUUGACACAAUAGGCUCUGGGUUUGAAUCAUCCGAACUAAGCAUAUGAACGUGAUCAUCAAGCUCAACGAAGUCCAAGAAAUGUAUGCCAUCGGCCGGUGGAGGAACGACAUGUGUAGUGUGGGCAGGUAAUGGGUUUGUGGUCACAUUCAGCUGACCCUGACCCAAGUGCACCAAACCUUGGUUGAUCAAAUCCUGAACGACAUGCCUCAAAGCAGUUCAUCGAUCGGUCUCACGUCCAGGCCCUUGAUGGUAUGCACAGUGCAAAUCCAUCCUGAACUGAGGUGGAAUAGGCUGAGGAGGUGGCCUAGGGGUGAGAGCAGUCAAUAACCCGGCCUCUGUAAGCUUCCGAAGAGCCUGGCUCAAUGGCAUGCCUAAUUGUGAGAACUACCUCUGCGUCCUCAAAGCAAAUGGAGCAGAAGCCUGCUGAGCUCUGGGUCGGGGAUAAGAAGUUAUGGGUCUCGUAGUGAACUGAGCAGCAUAGCACGAUUGUCCUAUGGCCUUGUAUGAGACAGGUGACCUCUCGAUGCCUUGGGUGGCAUAGUAAGGCAAAGCCAAAGUCUGUGGCAUAUAGGACUAAUCAUGAGUCGGACGAGGCGCCCGUGGCCUAUACUGCUGAAGUGGAUAUGAAGGAUGAGUCUCUAGAAGCUGUGGGACCGACUGAUGGCGCCUGAGAGGUCUUUGACUAGAAGAACCGAUAGCGCUCACAUCAACUGACCUCUGUCCUCCAAAGGGUUUCUUCCCCUUAACAUCACUAGGGGAAGAAUCAGUUCACAAUUAUCUCAAGAUGCCGUCCUCGACAUCGUACAAAGCCAAAACCAACGAACCAAAAUCUAUGAAGAGUACCCCAAUCACGUGUCUGGCAAUCCUGGGCUGUAGGCUCCUCAAAACCAUCUGUAUCUGAUCUCUCUCUAGAGGCCUGUCAAUGGUCUCGGCAAUCUUCCUACGCCAACGGGAGAUGAAGGAUGAAACUGACUCAUCUAUCCUCUACCUCAGAGCCUCGAGCUCUCUCCUUGAUACAUCCAUCAUAGUGUUAAACGAAAACUAUCAUAAGAACUCCUAGGCCAAGUCGUCCCAUGUCCGGCAUCGUGAAGACUCUAGGAAUGCGAACCAGCGCUGGGCUGCCCCACUUAGAGAUAGCGGGAACAAAGUGAUCAUCUAUGACUCAUCCAAUCCGUGUGCUCUCAUCACUGUGCUAUAGAGUCUGAGGUGGAUGCGAGGACAACCAAUGCCCGUAUACCUCUCAAUGUCCAGCAUCCUGAACUGAGCCGACAAACUGGCCACCAGCAUACCCUCAAGAUCAUCCCAAAUAGCUGAUCCAUCUGACACUCUCAUCUACCUCAUAUGCUGCUCGAUACGGUCCAUAUGUGCAUGAGCGUCAUUAGUGACUGUGGUCUGAACGAUUGCAGGUGGGGCAACCUCAGAAUGCCCAUGCAAUACAUAAGGUGAGGCCUGAGGCACCAUUGGAACAGGUGGUGGCAGUGGCUGUGGCAACGAAUCAUGAAGAGUCUCAUCAUGAACUACGAGUGGUCUGCUCUACUGGCUGCCAAUCUCCUGCCUGAGGCUAGCCAAAGCCUCUUGGAUAGAAGCCAUGACGGUCGUAAACUGAUCCACUGUAACAACCUAUUGAUCCAUACUCAAUCUCUCGGAAUACCGGACUAAUCUCCCCUCUACUCUAACCCAAGAAGACGUAUCCAGACUACGAACAAAGAUUUGAUCCUAAAAGCGCGAAGAAAUGAAUAAGGAUAUGGGACGAAGAAAGCACAGAAGAAAUGAUAAUCUGAAUGGAAACAAGCAAGACAUCUAAGUGAAGGUAGACUUUCUGACCAUACUCAAACUCAUACUAAUCUCUGUACACUUUCAAUUGAAGACUAAAAAAGGAGUAUCGGAAUCCAAACUGUGGCUACAGAGGCUUUGAAAGUUCUCAGAUGCACCCACAUGUAGGGAGUGAACCCUAAUCGAAUGAUCUACGGCUCAACCUACGAGGUCAAGGUGGCUCUAAAUGGAUAUGAGUGGGCUUUAAAAGAUCCCUUAAGCAGAGGCGAUCAUACUGAUUACUACUCAAAAAGUGCUAUUUGAUAGCUUAUAAUUAAUCCUUUUAAACACUUUUGAGUAGUAGUUUAGGCCUUUUAACUCAAUUGGCAUGUUAAGGACCCUUGAAAGGAAUUUUAAUCACUUUGUGUAAGUUUUGGUGUUUUUGUUAGUAAUUUGAUCAUCAAAGCAAGUCAAGACUGAGGAGAGCUAUGAGGAAUCUUGGGCAAAGCUUAGAAGUCAUUUGCCAAGAGUAAAUCCGGAUUGCAAGGAGAAAAAGUAAAGAGAAUCUGCCAAGAAGCAUAUUCUUGAUGACAGUCGUAUCAGCCACUUUUGGAGCCUCUUAUGAGGUCCAAUUGAUGCAUGCUAUAUACCAUUUCAAAGCUCAGGAAGUCAACAAUCCAAUGCUACAAACGGUGUAUAAUUCAGAGUUGAAACGAAGAAGUUGCAGCCAUUGCAAGCCAAUCACUCCGAGCUGAAGGAAGCAUUUUGCAAAGUGCUGCGAAAUCACCCUUUUGUUGCGAAGUGAUUCCGCAGCCUUUUUGUACAGUAGGGUGUAUUUCCUUCUGAAGUUGCCCGACAUAUACCGCGAGAGGGAAGUUGGGAACCUCAAGGUGGAAGCCAACUUCGCAGCCCUGCGAAGAUAGCAUGUUGUUGCGAAAUGAUUUCGCAGCCCUCUUGAGUGUCUGAGAAAUCUCGCAGACACCAUUUUCUCUUGCGAAAUGGUUCCUGGAGCCUCCCGAUAUUUGCUACCGACAUUGGGAGAUAUUUUACAUCAGAUUUUUGUUGUCUAAAUCCCAAAAUACUCCUUGUAAGCCACCAAUUACAAGAUUCCUUAGCUUUUAAGUUAGUAAAAAGAGAAAAUAUCUAUGUAAUAAUUAGUUUUAUAUUAUGUUCAUAUAUAUACCUCUCGGGAGCCUGUUCUCAGGGAGGAGAUCCUUUUGUAAAGUUUUGGGUAAGCAAGUAAAGUUUAUUUUUUUCUACUGCCUUACCUUCUCACUUUGUAUUUUUUAGUUAAUACUAAGUUAUGAACUCUCUGAGGAGUUUUCCCCAGAGAAUGAGUAACUAAACCUCUAAUUCCUUGGAGCUAAGGUUGCCGGGGAAGGUUCCAAGUGCAAGAAUGCAAAGCUUUGUGGUUUUAGCUAGUAAUGAAGAGGAAGUGAAAUCCUUUAGUGAUUUCUAUGUUUUUAGUUAACUUAAAACACCUUAGAGUCACCUGGGCCAACACUUGGUAAGGCAAGUGAUUUCCAACCAUGGAAAUGCACUAGUUUACCCCUUGCAAGCCUCUGGUAGGUGACUUCAGGGUAGGAUUUUCUAGAAUAGCCAACACUUGAUAAGCUUUUGGACUCCAAGGAGACAUCCAUUAGUUAUCUCUUGCGAGCUUUUGACGGGUAAUCCAAGGUUAAGGAUCACCUUGAAUGGUUAAGGCUUAGUGAGAGGCUUAAACCAUUGCAAGUUGCAUCAGUGAGAGAAUUAAAGUGAAAUCUAAUUGAAGGAUGAAUCUGUACAACACCAGCUAGAGAAUUGACUAUAUGUUGAAUCUCUAACGCGAGGAAAGGAACCAUCUGACCGGAGCUAGGUCUUUUGCAUAAGGAACCACCCCAGUGAACCUAACUCUCCAAGGAAUGCUUUUCUUCCUAAGUUAUUCCGAGUACUUGUUAUGUUAGUUAGUUUAAAUCUUUACCAAUCAAAGUUUGUGUUUUAUGUCUUAAGCUAACCUUGAAAUGAAACAAGACCAAUUCACUUGGAAUUGGUAUCAUUGAUAGCUUGCUAAUCCUUCCCAGUGAACGAUCCUAGAGCCGCUAUACUAUAGUAGCUUUUUCUUUGCUACCCUAGUAUAUGGUGUUAUAGGUUAUAAAUUUUGUUGAUUACUCCCUCAAUCAAGGAGCACCAGCUGGACACGAAUCAGCUGAGACACCAAUUGGGCACGAAUCACAUACCCUCCGACAGUAUGCAACCCUCUGUACGUCUCCGAAGAGACGGGGCGCUUCCAUGCAAGGUGGUCAUCACCUCCACACAUGCACUAUCUCGACAUCCCAAGGGGGUUUCCUAUGGUGAAAACCUCUCAAACUCGCAACGCUCAAUGGUCAACUAGAGUGCACAGUGAAUGGUGCGGGUGCAUCCAAAAACCCUAGGAAGCUAAAACAGAAAGAUGAAACACACUGGCCGCACAAAUAUCCAUGAGACCUAGCUCCGAGCUAUACGAGUCUUCAAUGAUCGGACUCCAAUCGACAUCAAAGUGUCGCUCUCCUCCAGAAUGCUCCCAUACAUUGAUAUAGCCUGUCGCUAAACCCUACUCCUAAUCUCUGGCUCGGUCAGAGAAUAAGCACACAGAGGGCCUCACACUUGCAAUAGUGAGGACCAGAAUGAAGGGAAUGACCGAGACCAAGAGAUUUGGAGGUAGGGGGAUAGAUGUGCGGCCCACAUAGACAGGCGACAUGCAAUCAAGCAGAGGAAGGGUAGUCAUGCGACAUGCAGUUAAGCAGUAGACAGAAUACAUCACUUAUGCACACACACAAACUAUGACGAUCAGGAUGAAUAGCGACACGAACAUCAUGCUCAAAGACAAUCAAGAUAGUAUACAAGCCAAAGAAAACAACAUGGCAAGUCAAGCGAUGUGCAAUAGUGAGUCUAUAUAUGUGAAGUAAGUAGAACAAUCAGGAAGAAUCAGAAUCGCUAUACCAAGCAAAACAAGAUGAGCAGUCUAUGAUAAUCAGCAUGUUAAUGUACUAAACUAAUAUAGCAAUGAAGCACAGAAAAAGUGACAUCCGAAACCCCAAUCAAGAUAAUUGAUAUAUCAAUGUCCCAAUACAAUAUCCAAGCAUGCAUAAAAAAACUCUCAAUGUGCAAUCAAGAGACAAGUACUCAUUGAUUGACUCAUCAAAUACCACAUUUGCUUCAUCCUAAGUUCAAGCUUGACCCUCUAAAUGAUCCCCAACGGAGUCGCCAUUUUGUGGACCCUGUAUUUCGGCUCAUGCGAUUUCCACUCAAUGGCGAGCUCGAUUUUUAUUUGAAAAUGAUUUUAUUUAUUAAAAAAAAAAUAUGACUUGGAGUCACCACUUAUUUUUGUUUUAUUUUUAAAAGGGUAAACAAAAUAAGAAAGAAAACCCUAAGUGUGACUCCUUAUUUUGGAAAAUAUGAUAUGUGAAAAACCGGAUCGGGCUCGGGGGUCAGGCUACUUAUCGAGAAGGUACAGUAAAAACCAUAGCACCCCUCUAAGUCCCUAAAGUUGGGUCUCUACUAACAAAAUGAAGUUGAUGUGGUGAUCAAUAGGAAAAUCAAUGGAUACUCAAAUCGACCAUGCACAUAUGGGAUCAAAACAUGCAUAAAGAAUGACCAGAAUGGGAGUUGAUGCGUACCUGGGCCACGAACGAGCAAUGCGCUAUCAUAAAAAUGGGGUCGGUGUACAAUAAAGAGCACAAAACAUAUCACACGCGUCACCAAAUAGAACUUAAAAUUGUUCAAGGGAAAACUAGAUUUUUUAAAUUUUAUUUGAAAAUUGGAGUCUUAGAGAUUAUUUGAAAAUUGGAGUUUUAGAGAUUAUUUGAAAAUUGGAUUUUUAGAAAUUAAAUAUAAGAAUGAGAAUUUUAGAAAUUAAAUUUGAAAAAAAUUGGAAUUUUGAAAAUUAUUUGAGAGGUUGGGGGUUUUUUUUUUUAAAAAAAAAUUAAAUUACGGAAAUUGGGACUUUAGAAAUAAAAUUUUGAAAGAAAUUAGAAUCGAAAAUUGUUUGAGAAGCAGAAACUAUGAAAAUUGAAUAAAAAAAUUGGAAAUCUUGAAAAUCAUUUUAAAGCAUAAUUUUUAGAAAUAAAUGAAUAAAAUGAUAAUAAUAAAUAAGUAACGGAAUAAAUGCGAGAAUUGGAACAUUGGAAACUGAAAAAAAUUAAGUUCGGAAAUUGAAAAAUUGGAAUUUCAAAUAACUAAAUUUGGAAAUCGAAAUUUUAAAGAAUUAUUUAAAGACGGAAUUUCAAAUAAAUGAAUAAGUGAUUAAAUAAAUUAAUGAAAUAAUAAUAAUGACGAAAUAAUAAAGAUUAGGUAAAUAAUUGCGAAAAAUAGAAUUUUAGAGAUUGAAGAUUGAAUUUAGAGAUUGAAAAUUUGAGAAAUUAUUUAGAGAUGAGAUUUUAAAUAUAUGAAUAAGUGAAUAAAUAAAUGAACAUGAUAAUAAUAAUAACGAAAAUAAUCAUUUAACAACUGAAUGUGAAUAGUGAAAUUUUUUAGAUUGGAAAUUAAAUUUGAAAAACGGAAUAUUGAAAAAUUGAACUUUAAUUAUUAGAAUUUCUAAAAUAAAUGAAUGGAAUAAUAAUAAUAAUAAUGAAAAUAAUAUUUAAAUGAAUGAAAGUGAAUAGUGGAAUUUUUUAGAUUGAAAAUUAAAUUUGAACGUCAGAUUUUUCAAGAAUUGGACUUUAGUGAUUGAAAUUUUUAAAAGAAAUAAAUAAAUAAAUAUGGAAUAACAAUAAUAAUUAACAAAAAUAAUAUUUAAACGGAUGAAAGUGAAUAGUGAAAUUUUUUAGAUUGAAAAUUAAAUUUGAAAGUUAGAUUUUUGAAGAAUUGAACUUUAAUGAUUGAAAUUUUUUAAAGAAAGAAAGAAAUAAAUAUGGAAUAAUAAUAAUAAUAAUGAAAAUAAUAUUUAAACGAAUGAACGUGAAUAGUGGAAUUUUUUAGAUUGAAAAUUAAAUUCGGAAGUCAGAUUUUUGAAGAAUUGAACUUUAAUGAUUUGAAUUUUUAAAAGAAAUAAAUAAAUAAAUAUGGAAUAAUAAUAAUAAUAACAAAAGUGAUGUUUAAACGAAUGAACGUGAAUAGUGGAAUUUUUUUAGAUUGAAAAUUAAAUUCGGAAGUCAGAUUUUUGAAAAAUUGAACUUUAAUGAUUGGAAUUUUUUUAAAGAAAUAAAUAAAUAAAUAUAGAAUAAUAAUAAUAAUUAACAAAAAUAAUAUUUAAAUGAAUGAAAGUGAAUAGUGGAAUUUUUUAGAUUGAAAAUUAAAUUUGAAAGUCAGAUUCUUGAAGAAUUGAACUUUAAUGAUUAGAAUUUUUUUAAAGAAAUAAGUAAAUAAAUAUGGAAUAAUAAUAAUGAUUAACAAAAACAAUGUUUAAAUGAAUGAACGUGAAUAGUGAAAUUUUUUUAGAUUGAAAAUUAAAUUCGAAAGUCAAAUUUUUGAAGAAUUGAACUUUAAUGAUUGGAAUUUUUUAAAGAAAUAAAUAAAUAAAUAUGGAAUAAUAAUAAUAAUUAACAAAAAUAAUAUUUAAAUGAAUGAAAGUGAAUAGUGGAAUUUUUGAGAUUGAAAAUUAAAUUUGAAAGUUAGAUUUUUAAAGAAUUGAACUUUAAUGAUUGGAAUUUUUUAAAUAAAUAAAUAAAUAAAUAAAUAAAUAUGGAAUAAUAAUAAUAAUUAACAAAAAUAAUAUUUAAAUGAAUGAAAGUGAAUAGUGAAAUUUUUGAGAUUGAAAAUUAAACUUGGACCUUGGAGAACUAGACCUAAAAUUAGAACCUUAGAAAAUUAUUUCAUGAAUGGAAACUUGGAAAACCGAUUUUUUUUUUUGUUUUUUUAAAAAGAAAACAAAGUUUAGGUAAAUUGAAUUUUCGAGAAUCAAAAUUUUAUAAAUCGAAUUUAAAAUUAAAUUUUAGAAAAUUAUUUCGAAAAUGAUAUUUUGUAUAAUUAAAUUUAAAAUCUUCAUAAAAAUCAUAUUUGUAUCAUUAGAAAAAGGACUUAAGAGGGCCAAAUACUUGGCCCAUUAGGGCCUACACUAAUCUGGCCUAAACUUAGAGGAUGGGGCUUAAGGCCCACCUGAACCAAUCUAGGCCCACAACUUAAAGCUUUGGGAGCCCACCAACAAAAUGGCUACCAUGAAGAUCAAAGGGUGCCACCUCCUCAUUUUUUAAAAGCUAGAGGGAUGGCUAAUGGGUAGCAGGUUAGCGGUGAAGAAUAGGGCCUGCAUGUCGAUGAUGGCUGUGAUGAAAUAGAGGAAUGGAGUGGGAGUUGCUGCCCAUGAACUACCGCGCGGGCAAGCGGACAAGAGCAUGGGUGCGGUGGAGGGCUUCGUCGUCUUCACCGCCAAGCGCCACUACCUUACCGCCACAAGUGCCGGAGGAGGUGAAACAGAAAGCGGAGAAGGGGACAACUGCUCCCCCGCCGACGCUAUCGUCCAUUUUAAUGACGACUCUUGGAGGCGAACCCAGCGGCACCUCUCUCGGCCAUUUUCACGAACCCUUCACGCUCUGCUCGGAGCUUCUUGAUGCUGCCUUUGAUGCGACUUUGGAGCUACGUCGGCGUGGCUGCGGGAGUGAGGAAGACUGCCACCUUAGGAUCUUUUGGAUCGAGCGGCCCAACCUUGGCUGUUAGGCGGUAGUUGUGUGGCUGUCCAUGAAGGAUGGGAACGUGGCAAUGGAGGAAAAUGGGUACAUAAAAAAAAAGGUGGGUAUGAAAGGUAGUGAAGGCAUGAAGGGUGUUUAACUUUGGAUUUGGGUCCAUGCGCGUGGAUAAAGUUGAUGGUGAGCAUAUGUUGGAGGGGGUUCUCGGUAGACAAGAGUCUAAGAUUUUCAUGGAAGUUUCAAAUGGAUCCUCAGGAACAGAGCAGGUUCCAAAGUCAUGCUAAAUUCAUUUUCUUGCUAUACCCGGUGGGUGAGGCGAACAACGAGCAUCCAUGCUAUUAAAUGAAUAUCAAAAUAAAUAAAAAAAUUUGAUACCUUACUCAUUUAUAAGAGAAAACGAAGAAGCGAAAAAGAAGAACAAAACAGAGCAAGUGAAGCGAGCUUAGGCUCAACAAGGUCCAAUCCUCAACAAGUGACGUUCAAGACCAGCAAUGGCAAAUGAGGAAGAAUAAAAAAUAAAAAUGAAAUGAAAUAAAAGAAAUCUGAAAGCAAAGGCAUCCAAUAUGGCCAUACCUGAGUUUCCCUAGUGAAGCUUUGUCUCGCUUCCUUUGACUGGUUUUUUUCUCCAGCUGCUUUCCCCCCUUCUGAAAAGUCCUUCGUUCGAGCUCACCCUUUUUUCUCUCUCCUCUCGUCUGGCUUCUCCUCCAAGCUAUUACCCACUCCCUUGUUCACCGAUCAGCAAGCAUGUCAUCUUCAACCACCACCAUGGCUAGCAAUGCUCCUUACCACCCAUCUAUGCAAUUGGUUCUCGGCAUAAGGAAGGGUUCCCCCACUCGUCUAAGGUGCUGCCCGCUCCUCCAGGUGGUGAGAAAGCAUCCUCCUAAUGCUAUAAAAUCCCUCAAAAAAACUAAUAGCCUUUAGUUUUUAAAAAGGGGUCUACACAUUUAUAAUUACUAAAUAAAUUAUUUUAAUAUACAAAUUAUUACUCUUUCUUUUUAAAUUGAUUAAUACUAAAAAAAAAUAUAUCUCUUAAUGUUGAAAUUUUUAUUGAAAUUUAAUUUUUUUUUUUAUUUUAUUCCUUUUACAAUGAAAUUUUAAAUUAAAUAUUAAUAUUUUUAAUUUUAAAAUUUAUAUAAUAAAAUUAAUUUAAAAAUUAAAAUAAAAUAUUUAGUAGUAUUUGGGCUUUGUAGUAUUGAAACUUUGGUAUAAGAAAUUUGAAAAUACUUCUAUAAUUAUUAAAAAAAAUUAGUAGAAUAAGAUAGUCCUUUCAACAUAAUUGAGACAUUAAAUUUUAAGCACUCUAAAAUUAUAAUCUUUACAAAUAAUAAAGAAGUUUUUGCAUCGAGACCAACUGAAUAUGAUUUGUAUGUUCUUAAUUUUCAUUUUCUUAUCUUUUAUCUUCCUAUACCUACAAGCCUAUUUAGAGAAAGACCUUUUAUUGAAAAAUGAGAGUUCAGAGUUAUUUCCCUUUGAAAAUAGAGUGGAUCGGAAGGUCUUUAUUAAAUAUAGGGUUUCUUCUAAAACGAGAUGAAGUAAAUUAGCAACUCUGAACAAUCUGAAGGAAAAGGAAUUUGAGUUAAGUUGAUGGGGCGUGCGACACUUUAUUAGGACUUUAAGAGAUAUUUUCUCUUUCACGCUAUCCUUUGAAAUUGAGUUGUGUCCGUUUUCAACUUAAUUUUUUGCUCUCUGUUUUUCUAAUGAAAAUAUAUCUUUUGUUGGGAGAAAAUAUUUUGUUGAAUAUAUAUAUUCAAAUGGAAGGUAAGCAAAAAAAAAUGAUAAAAAAUGGGUGUGAUGAAAUUUCAAAUUAUUGAUCAUCAUAUGUAUUUAACCUAAAUCUUAAAAAAGUGAAUGAAAUUAACUCGUUAAAUUUGUUCAAUACCACUUUUUAUAAAUAAUUUUUUAAUCAUGUAGCAUUCAAAACAAAAAACAUAUAAUUAACGAUAACAUGAAAUUAUUAAAAUAUUUAAAAUUAAAUAAUAUAAAGAAACAAUAAAAUGGUUCAUUUAUAUUGUUAGAACCAUUGUUUUAAAAACUGGUCACUCCGAUCGGUCGGAUGGUCCAUCAAUGCCCUUUCCAGUCUGAUCUAGGGAAAUGGACAGAGACAACUGACAAUCAGACCAUCGACCAUUCUUCAUGGACCAGUCAAGGUCAAAACCUAAAUGGCCUUGCCCAAAUCCAUUAAUUCCUAACCCGUUUGCUUGUUCCCAAGGUUAACUGACAUACCAUCGACCAUUCUUCAUGGACCGGUCAAGGUCAAAACCUAAAUGGGCUUUGCCCAAAUCCAUUCAUUCCCAACCUAUGUGCUUGUUCCCAAGGUUUGUAAGUAUAAAUACCCAUCUAUUGGCCCAAAUUCAUUAUUUCAAGCCCAUUUGCUUGUUCUCAAGUUCUACAGGUAUAAAUACCCUAUAAGUGGUUUAUAGAUUUCCAAUGUGGGAUGAGUUUUGAUAAUAAUGAAAGGAGCUUUGCAUGGUGGGGAAUUGAACCUAGGACUUAUUUUUAACAAAAUGUUAGCACACCACUAUGUUACAAAGCUAUUUGAUUAAUAAUUUGAUAAAUAUCUAUAUAUCUGUUUUUUAAUUUCUAUCAUAUAAAACAUUUAAACAAAUAUAAAUAUUUAUAUCUACUAUUAUUUUUAUAAUAAUUAUACAUAUCCUAUUUAAUAAAAUUUAAUAUAUUAAUACAUUUAUAUUUAUAUUUAUCAUUUAAUUUGACAAAUUGAACAUAAAAAAUAAAAUAUUAUUAAAAUUUUUAAUAAAAUAUAUUUUAAUUUAUUUUAAUUUUAUUAAAAUAUAAAUUAUAUAUUUAUAAUGUCAUCGAUUUGAUCGCGGUUUGACCACUGGUUCAACUAGUGAACCAUGAACUGGUAACUUUUUCGGUUCAAUAUUCGAUCCAAUUUUGAAAACAUUAGUUAAAACUUUUUUAUUUAUAGAAAAUGGUAAUAUGCUUUAAAGUUGUAGGAUGUUAAAAGCCCAAAUACAUGCCUACAUAUUUUCUUAUUUAUCUCCUAGUAUUUUUACCAAGUGAUAGAUAUAUUGGUGGCCAAGCAUUAUCAUCAUCAUUAUUUAUCUCCUAACAUCUUUAUGAAGUGAUAGGUGUAGGAAGAGUGUAAAUAAUUUUUAUUUUUAUUUUAUUUUAUUCUAUUAGUUUUAUAUUUUUUGGGAAGAGUCCUAUUGGGAAUUAUUUUUAUUUUAUUUUAUUCUAUUAGUCUUAUAUUUUUGGGAAGAGUCCUAUUGGGAUUGUGCUAGUGGAGUCCCAUUCCUUUUAUAAGUAGAAUCCUCUUCCACUUUGAGUUAUCUUUUGAUUACAAGCAGAUUCCCAUUAGGAUUGUGUUAAUGACCUAUAAAAGCAGGUCACCUUUUGCUCUCUAUAUGCCAAUACCAAUUUUUCAAAGAAUUUUUCAGAGCGUUUUUCAACCAUCUAUUUGGAUGAAUUUUUUCAAAAACCCGAACUGUAUACAUCUCACUUACAGAAUGCACCCAAGGCGACAUCUAGGUGUUGAAUCCCGGAGAUAGACCAUUGGUACCCUAGUGUACCGAAUUUGUCUUCGAGUAGGAUGAAUCUAUUUCAAGGACAGUGUUUGUCAUGCCUCAUUCGAUAAGUUUUUCUUCUUAUUAAUUAUGUUCUUUGUUUGUGUCUUUUGGGCUAGUCAUUUGUUUCCAUACCCUUAAUCCAACAAUCUUGAAAUAUAUCCAAAUGUAAGCUUCUCUAGUUCACACCCAUCCUAACACCUCUAAAAUUGAUCCCUUCAAUGGGACAUUCUUUAAGAGAUGGCAGGAAAAGGUUUUCUCUACAAUUGAUGUAGUGAACUUAGGACACAUUUUGACUGACCGAAUACCAAAAGAUAGUUCUCAUUUGUUACCAACCUGGGAAAUUGGAAAUAAACAAGUUAGGCAUGCUAUUCUAAGUACCCUUUCUAAUGAACUUUUUGAUAUUUAUUGUCAAUUUAAAGUUGUAAAAGAAAUUUGGGAUGCAAUGAAUAAAAAAUAUAGUUUGGAAGAUACAGGAACUCAAAAAUAUGCCAUAGAGAAUUUUAAAAAUUUCCAAAUGACUGAGGAUAGAGAUGUAUCAUCUCAAAUCCAUGACUACCACUUGUUGAUUAAUGACUUAGCUAUUGAAGACAUUAAAUUACCCGAACCUUUUGUAGCUGGUUAUUUAGUAGAGACUUUUCCAGAGUCUUGGAAAGACUACAAAAAUAACAUGAAACAUAAAAGGAAACAAAUGUCCCUAGAGGAUGUCAUAAUCUAUAUUAAGAUUGAGGAACAAAACCGAAAUAGGGAUAAUGCUGAGAAAGUUAAGGACUUGUCUUCUAAGGCUAAUGUAGUAGAAGAAAAACCUAAACCCAAAAACAAUAGGUCCAGGAAACAAAACUCUAGGAACAAACCCAAUGCAUCAAACAAGAUCCAAAACCCAAUUAUUAAAAAGAAAAAGAAAAAGUAAGGAUCUUGUUUGACUCUAAUAAAAUAGUUUUAACCAAGAAUGAUGCAUUUGUGGGGAAGGGCUAUUGUAAUAAGGGUUUAUUUAUGUUGAAUGUUUAUGAUAUUAUCAAUAAUAAUGCAUCUUCUUCUUUUUCUGCUUACAUAGUUGAUUCUUGUGAUAUUUGGCAUGGUAGACUAGGACAUGUGAACUUUUCAUAUAUGAAGAAAAUGGUUGAAUUGAGUUUAAUCCCUAAAUUGUCCUUAGAAAACCAUGGAAAAUGUGAAUCUUGUGUAGAAUCUAAAACCACAAAGAAAUCUUGCAAAUCAGUUGAAAGAGAAUCAAAUGUACUAAGUUUAAUACACAGUGACUUAGGAGACCUAAAAAAUACAAUGACUAGAGGUGGUAAACGAUUCUACAUAACUUUCAUAGAUGACUACUCAAGGUAUACAAGGGUAUAUCUUUUGAGAAACAAAGAUGAAGCAAGAUAUGCUUUCAUCAAGUACAAAAAUGAAGUGGAAAAUCAACUAAGUAAGAAAAUUAAAAGACUUAGAACUGAUAGGGGAAGAUAGUAUGAGUCCAACCUCUUUAAUUCUUUUUGUGAAGAUCAUGAGAUCAUUCACAAAAAUACUCCUCCUUAUUCUCUUGAGUCUAAUGGAGUAGCAGAAAGGAAAAAUAAGACCUUAAAAGAAAUUAUGAAUGCAAUGUUGGUAAGUUCAGGAGCACCCUUGAACUUAGGGGGGAAGCUAUCCUAUCUGCAUGUCAUAUUCAAAAUAGAAUACCUUAUAAGAAAACUGGAAAAACUCCUUAUGAGUUGUGGAAGGGUUAUGCACCUAAUAUAGCAUACCUGAAAGUGUGGGGGUGUUUAGCUAAAGUUCUUUUCCCUGAACCUAAAAAAUGAAAACUAGGUCUUAAAACCUUUGAUGCAAUGUUCAUUAGCUAUGCUGAGAAUAGUGCGACAUAUAAGUUUCUUGUUACUAAGUCAGAAAACAGUCUUGUAGAUGUCAAUACUAUUAUGGAAACAAAGAAUGCAGAUUUCUUUGAAAACAUCUUUCCUAUGAAACUAAAUGGUGAACAACAAGUUUAGAAAACAAGUAGAGACAAGUCUAUUGAACCUUCUGAAUUUGAACCUAGAAGGAGUAAAAGUGAUAGGAAAGAAACAAACCUUGGAGAUGGUUUCUACACCUUCCUAAUAGAUGAGGACCUUAAUCCUACAAAGAAGCUAUAACUUUUCCUAAUGCGCCAUUUUGGAAAGAGGCCAUUAACAGUGAAAUCGAAUCAAUCAUGUAUAACCAUACGGGGAGUUAGUAGAUUUACCUCCUGGUACAAAGACUAUUGGUUGUAAGUGGAUCUUUAAAAGAAAGUUAAAAUAAGAUGGGUCCAUAGAGAAGUAUAAAGCUCAUUUAGUUGCCAAAGGCUUUAAACAAAGGAAAGAUGUAGAUUACUUUGACAACUUUGCCCUUGUGAAUACAAUAGCAUCAAGUAGAGUAUUGAUCACUCUAGCUUCCAUUCAUAAUUUGGUUAUACACCAAAUGGAUGUUAAGAUUGCAUUCUUGAAUGGGGAUUUGGAAGUGGAAAUUUAUAUGGAACAACUUGAGGGUCGUGUAGUUCCAGCGAAGGAGAAAAAGGUGUGUAAGUUGGUUAAAUCACUAUAUGGGUUAAAACAAGCUCCCAAACAGUGGCACAACAAGUUUGAUCAUGUGUUAGUAACUAAUGGAUAUUCCAUUAAUGAUGCUUAUAAGUGUAUCUACAGUAAGUAUGAGGAUAACACAUGUGUAGUCAUCUGCCUUUAUGUUGAUGACAUGCUGAUCUUUGGAACUAGCCUAGAGGUUGUGUGUGAGACCAAGAAAUUCCUAGGUCCUAAGUUUGAUAUGAAAGACCUAGGAGAGGCAGAGGUGAUUUUAGGAAUUAAAAUAACUAGAACACCUAAUGAGCUUAAACUUUCUCAAGAGCACUAUGUAGAAAAGAUCCUAAGGAAGUUUGAACGCUUUGAUUGUAAACUAGUGUCAACUCCUUAUGAUCCCAGCUCACUACUGAAGAAAAAUAAAGAACAUAGUGUUGCCCAAAUAGAGCAUGCUCAGAUCAUAGGGGACCUAAUGUACUUGAUGAACUGUACUAGACCUAACAUUGCUUAUGCAAUAGGUAGAUUGAGUCGAUACACCCAAAGUCCUAAUCAGGACCAUUGGACUAUUGUUCGUAGAGUCCUUAAGUAUUUGAGAGGCACCAUUAGUGAUUUAGUGGAUUUCCAAGUGUCCUUGAAGGAUUUAGUGAUGCAAAUUAGAUCUCGGAUUCAGAUGUGAUGAAAUCCACUAGUGGAUAUGUUUUCAUAUUUGGUGGAAGUAUAGUUUCUUGGAAGUUUACCAAGCAAACUUGCAUUACUCGGUAUACUAUGGAGGUUAAGUUAAUUGCCUUAGAAAAGACAAGUUUUGAGGCUGAGUGGCUUGAAAACCUCUUAGCAGAUAUCCCUUUAUGGACGAGACAAACCUCGCCUGUGUCUAUGCGUUGUGAUAGCCAAGCUACAAUUGCUAAGGCUAAGAGUAAAAUAUUUAAUGGGAAGAAUAGGCAUAUAUGGCUAAGGCACAAUAUUGUGCGGUAGCUUCUUGAAACGAAUUUGUGAGGUCAGAGUUGAAUUUGGUCGAUCCUUUGACCAAACCACUAAAUAAGAAACUAGUGGAAGAAACAUUGAGGGGGAUGGGGCUUAUGCCUAUUACAGAAGUUAAGAGUGGUGGUAACCCAACCUAUUAGAAUGGAAAUUCCAUGAAGUAGGUUCAUAUGGGUAAUAACAAAUCACUUGUUGACUUGAGGUGCUAUAUCAACUCUAAUUGUAUGAGGGUCUAUCCCUAUGGUGUAGAUAGAGCGUAUUUUGCAUUGAUUAAGGUUGAGUGUUUACUCUUAAUGAAUACCAUAUUCCUUAUGGAUGGUAUGUUUAAAUGCAUAACAUACUUGAUGGAUUCACCUAUAUGAGAGUGGAGCCGGGGCCGCUUCCUAUGAGAACUUAGGUAGUUUCUCUAGAACUCUCAUGAAUAUCCAGGUAGGGCGCAUGGCCUAUUUGUGCCAACCCAUUUUGUACAACUCGUAGUGUAAUUGAGAAAACCAAUGUGGAUAAAAGUUCAUUGAGUUACAUCAAGAAACACUGGUUCAUAGAAAUUUAUUUUCACCCUGUUUUGUGAUUCAAUACCUAUUUGUCUUAAGACUAGUUCAUAGCCUUUGGGUACCAGUACUAAUGCAUUGGAUUUUUUUUCCUCAAAAAAUAAAUAAAUAAAUAAAUAAUCACGUUUACACUUUGUGGGGGAUUGUAGGAAAAGUGUAAAUAAUUUUUAUUUUUAUUUUAUUUUAUUCUAUUAGUCUUAUAUUUUUGGGAAGAGUCCUAUUGGGAUUGUACUAGUGGAGUCCCAUUCCUUUUAUAAGUAGAAUCCCCUUCCACUCUGAGUCAUGCUCUGAUUACAAGUAGAUUCCCAUUGGGACUAUGUUAGUGGCCUAUAAAAGCAGGUCACCCCUCGCUCUCUAUAUACCAAUACCAAUUUUUUAGAGAAUUUUUUUAGAGAGUUUUUCAAAUAUUCUUUUCAUACAUCUAUCUAGACGAAUUUUUUCAAAAACCCGAGCUGUACACAUCUCGCUUACAAAGUGCACCCAAGGCAAGAGCUGGGUGUUGAAUCCUGGAGGUAGACCACUGGUACCUUAGUGCACCGAAUUUGUCUUCGAGGAGGGUGGAUCUAUUUCAAAGACAAUGUUUGCCACACCUCAACCGACAAGGCGGCACAACGUGCACAACCAUUUUUUGAUUUUUCUUUGGGAAUUUUGCUUUGUUUAGGAACUUUGCUAAAAUGGGCACUUGACCUUGAUGAACAUUUUUCCUAGAUGGACACUCGGCCUUGGUGGGCAUUUUACCUAGAUGGGUGCUUGGCCUUGAUGGACAUUUUGCCUGGAUAGGCACUUGUUCUUGAUAGGUAUUUGCUUAGAUGGGCAUGUCACCUUGUUGGGCACUUGGCCUUGAUAGACAUAUCAUCUAGAUGGGCAUUUUGCCUUGAUGGGCACUUGGCUUUUAUGAGCAUUUUGCCUAGAUGGGUAUUUUACCUUCUUUGAUCUUUCAUAGGUUGGAACUCUAUAGGUGGUGGGGUUGUGUUUUGGGUUGUAUUUUCCAGGCACACAUGUGUAGGGGUAGGGAAAUGCUGCAUUUCCUCCUGGUUUUAGCUCUAGAUGUGCUUAUUGCCAUGCACACAUGUAAGUAUUGUUCUGCUUCUUCUUCUUGUGUUUAAGGGUAAGUUGAGUUUUUUUUCGUACUCUUACAUUUUCUCUCCAUCUUUCUUUGUCUUUAUUUUGUUGUGCAGAUGAAGUGUGGCAUCAAGGAUUUUAGUAGGCGGAAAGGUGAGCUUCACUACCACGUUGCUGAAACUGACCAACUGAGGUAAGUCAGGUACUUUUUUUGCAGCUAAAGCUUUUGGUUGGGUGCUUUCUUGGCACUUGACGAUUUGACCGAGUGCUUCUUGGAACCUAAGGCUAUGGUCGGGUGCUGUUCGGCACCUAAGACUUUUUGGUUGAGUGCUUUUUUGGCACUUAAGGCUUUGUUGGGCUCUAUGCUUGGCUGGGUACUACUUAGGCACCCUAGGCUUUGUUGGGCACUAGGCCCAACUGGAUGCCACUUAGGCACCUUAGGCUUUAUUGGGCUUUAAGCCUGGUUAGGUGCUACUUGGGCACCGUAGGCUUUGUUGAGUGCUAGGCCUAGCUAAGUGCUACUUGGGCACCCUAGGCUUUAUUGGGCUUUAAGGUUGGUCAGGUGCUACUUGGGAACCUUAGGCUUUGUUGUGCUCUAGGCCCAACUAGGUGCCACUUUGACACCUUAGGCUUUAUUGGGCUCUAAGCCUGGUUAAGUGCGACUUGGGCACCUUAGGCUUUAUUGGGCACCCUAGGCUUUAUUGGGCUCUAAGCUUGGUCGGGUGAUAUUGGGCACCUUAGGCUUUAUUGGGCUUUGGACUUAGCCAGGUGCUACUUAGGCACCUUAGGCUUUGUUGGGCUCUAGGUCUGGUCGGGUGCUACUUGGGCACCCUAGGCUUUAUUGGGCUUUAGCCUUGGCUGGGUGCUACUUGUGCACCUUUGACUUUGUUAUGCUCUGGCCCUGAUCAGGUGCUACUUGGGCACUUUAGGCUUUGUUAAGCUCUAGGCUUGGCCGGGUGCUACUUAGACACCUUAGGCUUUUAAAGUCUAAUGCUUCUUUAUACCUAAGGUUUUUUUUUUUUUUUUUUUUUUUUUUUUUUUUUUUUUUUUGCGGUCAUGCGAUGCGUAACAUAUUUGAUUUGAAAAAUACAACAGUUGACGAUAUUGCUUCCCCAUUUGGGGAUCUUUGCUUUUAGAUGGAUUAGGCCAUUUGGUAAGAGUAGGAAGUUCUUCUUUGGUAGAUCCACCAGCGCCUCUUUGUCCACUGAUAGUGUCUAGGCAGUUGCAUUGAGUCAGGCCACCAAGAUCUAGUUCUCCCUUUUGAUUCGGUUAACAAGUCUUCUCAGUUUGUCCAACUACCUUCGAUACUUGUUAGCUACGGUUCAGUUGUUUGUUGUGGCCACUCAUAAGUUGUUGGGAUGACACUCUCACCAUCAACAUAGUUAGCUGCCAAUGUAGUCACCAUGGUUGGCUUUUGUUUCAUUCCCAUAGAUGAUGCCAAUUGUUGGUGCACAAUCUUUCUAGAUGUGAUGAUUUGGUGACUAUCCGGGUCGCUAUCCAAUCUUCUAUUGUCACCUCCUCUAUUGGUGGGUGUCUUGGUUCUCUAGGAAAAUGAUAUUUUUUUUCCUUGUUCUUCUUUCUCCUUUAUAGGUUAGAGUUAGACGUUGGAGGUUGUGUGGAGUACACGAUUAGCUUGGCAGGUUUGUGUUAGGCAGUGUGUGGUCGACUAUCCCUAACGCUUCAUGUUGAUGUGACAAGAUGAUGUUUUCCUUAGAGAUUUGUUCCUCAUACAUGUCUUGUUGUUGCCUUUGGUAUUCAUGCCACAUGAUCCAUGUUGGCAGCCUAAAAACUUCUUCCCAGUGACCAAUUUUUUAGUUCUUCUAGGAUCAGUUGGAGUGGGCUCUCGGAUCACUAUAGGUUUAAAUAGAGUCGGGAUGACUUCUCGAUCGGGAGACAAUAUUCAGCCGAUACAACAUCCGGGUACCCCUUCUUGGCAAAAUUCGGCACCCUCAGGAGGCAGCUUUUAUAGCGAAAUCUGCCACCCCCGACCCGAGUAAGCAGGUAGACCCACAGGUUGGCUGGCUUCUAUGGUUUGUACCUCCAAUUAUAAUGGAAGUAUAAAUUUUAAAAAGAUUCAGUGAUUGUAGGAUUCAAUUCUAAUGCUCUUAUAGUAGCCAAGGGUCCUCGGACUCAUGGUAGCACACAGACAUGUCCUCUUCUAUCUAUGCAAAUAGUCAUGCAAAAUACAAAUAUUCCCUCAUACAUUCUUAUAGUUUUACAUGUAUAUGAAUUUAAUUAUUUUAUGUUCUGACUAGUGAGUAGAAAGUGAGUUAAGGUCUCCGACAACAAGGUCUCCAAGCAACCAUAUUUCCCCAUUUUAACCUCGCUACUGCCAUUGAUGCGGUAGUAGAGUAUAACUGGCACAUAUAGAUAUGCCAGAAGAGCAAUCGAGAGCAGAUAGCUUCAAAUUCUGAAUGUGAGGUUCAGUUGGAGACUGGUUUUAUUAGCCUUUUAGAUAUGAUUUGAACCUCUAUUUUAGACAAGAACUUGGAGCUUCUGAAUAUAUGUAGUACAACUCCUUUGGUCAUGUAUAUAUGUGCAUAUUGCGUUGAGAUAGACAACAUACAAUCACUUGGCAACACAAUAUUAAAACUUUCAGAAUAUCACAAAAUUUGAUUGAUGUCAAAGACUCAUUCUGGACAUUUAGGAUAGGAGGUUACAAUAAAGCCAUUAACUGUACACAUAAGUUCAUUUGCAAGAAUUGGGAACCAAUUUAGAAGGUCAAGUAUAUUCGCUGUCAACAAGAAUGACGCCCUCCGAUUUAAGAUCUCUACUGAGGAGGAACCCAGUUUGAUCAAGAUUCUAGGAUCAAACAACAGAGUCAAAGUCAAAUCAAGAGCAACGUUCCAACUUGUCAUGAAGACCAAGAAUAGUAAUUGCUUUUGAGCAAGCAGUGAAAUUAUUUGCAAUCAGACAAUCAUCUUCUUCUUCAAGAAAUGCUGUAAUGAAAUUCUUACCAGUUGUGUCUGAUUCUUCGAAACAUGAAGUUAGCAAACAGAUUGUUCAUAUAUAAUGUCAGUUGGCAUAAAUGUAGUGUUCAAUCACCAAGCCACAAAGAUGAUACAACAGAACAGUUGCAGCAGGAAAACUUGGUUGUUUAUUCAAAAUCAAGUAAAUCUCUAGGUCCCUCAUACCACGAUUGCUCCCAAUAUUUAGGUCUUGGCGUAGACAAUUCCUUUCGUGUCUAUGUGGACAGAACAAUGCUUGGUGUUCUAGUUGUUGUCUUUCACCAUGGUCUAUAGAAAAAAUGUCCAGAAAAACAACUAAUGAUCAGUAGAAGUGUAAAAGGGAAGAAAGAAAACUACUGAUAGAUUGGAUCAUGACAGAUAUUUAUUUUUCCUAAAAGAAUGUAAAUGUAUGGUUGCUCUUUGAGUACAGCUCUCUACAGCACAAAAAUAAGGCAAUCAAAUGAAACAAACCAAGAAAACAACAAUAUUAAAAGAGUUAUGAAAUAUCACCAGAUGAGAUCCAACAGUAAAUUAAGAAACUUUAUAUAAUCUUGUUUACCUUAGGGCCAUGUCUGGAGGAGUUCCAAUUGUAGGCCUAGGGCCAAUGUUGAUAGGCACAUGCCCAGAUCUUAGACACCCUCAAGAUGAACAGUAGCAGCUACUCUAGGCGCUCCUACUGCACAGGCAAAAAACAAGUUAGUCAAUGUUUCUUGGCUAUUGGCUUUGGCUUGGACCUUGGUGGUUAUGUCAAUUUUAGAUAAAUAUGUUAAUAAUCCAAUGACUAUACUCCAAGAUUGAUGAUAUAUAUGCAAUAUAUCAAUUUGGAAAUGUCGAUAUAAACAUUUAAGGAAUUUAAAUUAGUCAAUUUUCAACAAUCUAGCAUUCAAAAGUGUACAAAAUGGUUAUAACUUGAAAGUUUGAAUAUAAACUGAGGUACAAUAUUCCUAUAGGCUCAAGUCUCCCUAGAACAAGGCAUCACAUCACAUAUUUAUGUGGCCUUAUGUUUGAGGUAAGCACCUUAUCUAUUGGCGAGUUCAUCAAUAAUAAGCUUUUUGCAAGAAAUUGGAGACCUAAAAUUACUCUAAUACUUCUUUUAUUGAACAUUAAAUUUUCUUAAAAGUGUUAUCGAUUAUCAAACAUUUAUAUCAAUGGUGGAAACUAGUUUGCUACCAAAGUGAAGGUCAAAGUCCUAAUUAUCAUUUCACUAAACAAUGUAAUAUAGUAUUAUACAAUUAUUGCUUUUAAAAGAAAAUUUACAAGCUAACUAGCGAAAUUUAUGAUUAUACCUUUUUCCGACUUCACUCACGCCAUUGAGCUUUAUAAUUUGAUGAAACAAGCCUAAAUCAAAAUUAUACAAAAAAAAAUAAAGAAUUGGAGAAAACAAACUUGUAAGCACUAAAUUUUGUACUUUAAAAGAGGAAAUAGGAUGCCAAUUGUAGGUUUAAUUUAAAGAAACCUUAAAAAAAUAUUUUUAAAAUUAUAGGAAAACCCCCAUACCUUAGAAAAGAUUGGGGCGAACAGUCUACCUUUUGGCGAUGUUCACAUCUUGAGAGGAAUGACUUCUUUCUUAGUAGAUCUGAUGAUGGUGUUGAUCUUUGGGAAGAGAUGAUUAGAAGGCUACGUUGAAUUUUAGUGAGUGAGAGAGAAAGCAACACCCAAAACCCUAAAGCAAAAAAGGAAUUAAUAACUUAAAUAGAUUCCAUUUUUUCCUUAUGACAUGUCUACCUUAGUAAGGUUUUUAUGGCAGUGAUACCAUUUGGAUAAUUAAGUCAUUGAUUUUGAUGGAUCUUUUCCAUUUGAAUUUUUAAUAUAUAAACUUAAUCUUUUUACUUGGGGUAAUAUAUUUGGUAUUUUAGGAUUUCCUUUUUAAUAAUAUGCUUUUAGUAGAUGGUUUAACUAUGUCCUAGUGUAAUAAGUAGUCUUGCAUUACAUUAUCUACUAUGGAGUAGGAGUGUGUUGCUUGUUCAAGGGAUGUAUGGGAAGUUGUUUAUUUGAUGAUAUACUUUCAACACUUAGAGUCACGACUUGAGCUAAUAAGUUUAUCAAGAUCUAAGCAUUGAUGGUGUUGCUACUCUAUUGUAUAGCAAGGAUCCAAUUAGUCACAUUGUAGGACAAAACACUUAUAGACAAUUGAUUCUACUACAUUCAAGAUAUUGUUGCUUAAGGGGAGGUAGAGUCAAAACAAGUAGACAAUUGAUACAACUACACACACAACAUAGAGACAAAACACAUGAAUAAUACUAUGGUUGAAUAAAUUAAUUGGAUGACAUCAAGCUAACAUUGAUCUAGUAUAAUUAUUUGGAGCCUAAAUGAGGGUAUGAUGAGAUGAUAAUUAUUUUGUCAUCAACAUAGUGAACAACAUAAAUUAAAAUCUUGAAAUGUCACCUUAGCCAACCUAGUAGAAAUGAUUCAUCAAAAUAUUUGAAUGUGAGAUCUUAAAUUGGUGUUUGACAAAUAAAUAUGGUAAUAAACAUAUAUUAAGUAUAUAUGAAGUGACCAAGCUGAGAUUUGUAUCAUGUUAUUAUAGGGAAUCCCGAAUCUCUUUGUUCCUUAUCCUAUGAUUAGGCUAGGUACAUGCGAAUCUUUCUAAGUUUUUCUAAAUCGUAUGAACAAUGGAAAAAUUGUGUUUUAAAAUAAUAACAAGAUUUAGAAUUUGCAUUAGAAAACAUUACCUUAGAUUUGGAUGUUCCCAAAUCUAAUUCACGUAGUAAAGGAGAAGAUUGAAGUUUUCAGAGGUCUUGAACACCCAAGAUCUUCCACCAGAUGACUUUUCCUUGAUUUUAGAUCUUAAUUGGUGAAGAGGAAGGAAGACUAAAAAGGCUAUGGUUCUCUCUCUCUUUGAAUAGUGAAAAAUGGCUCACUUCAAAAAAGUAAUGAAAACCUUAUUAUUUAAGGGGUAUUUAUUGGGUUCCCUAAUUGGGUGUAAGUGACUUAAGCGUACUAAAGGUUUGAAUCAUUUAAUUUAGCUCAAAAUGAGUCUUAAUUGAUUAAUUAACCUAACAUAGUUAUCUAAUUAAUUAAUUAGCUAAAUUUGGAGACUUUGUUCACUUACCCCUAUGCAACCUUGCAUAAUUACCAAAACACCCUUAUACGUAAAAGUGAACCAAGAGUUGUGUCAUCAAGGUAUAUGAGCUUAGGUGGAGACCAUUGAGACUUAUAGGACAGUACUAGCUACCCCAAAAUCUAAUUUUGAAGUUGAUUUAACAUUUCACUAUAGAGAAUCAAUUGCACUAUAAUACCUUAUGUAAAUAACAAUGAGAUGCUAAGUGGUCGAGCCCAUGACUUAUUAUCCAUUGCAUUCAGUCUCCCUAUGAACUGGUGUUUGUAGUCUAAUAAGGUGAAAACUAUCAACCUUUCAAGACUACCUCUACUAUCUUUGAAUUACAAAUCCUCUUAUUAUGUAUUUAAUUGAUAUAUCUUAAGUCUCCAAGAGUCUAUGUCAAGUUCCAUUUAAGAAACUACUAUGACCAUAGUUUACAUGAACAUACCUCCUUAGGAUCACUUAAGGGGACACUCUGUCUCAAUCCUCUUAGAUUUCAUGGUACUUCUGUUACAAAUACUCAUUGUCAUAGACUUGGAUCAAUAGUGAACCAAUCCAUAAGGAACAUAUCUUACGAUUUCAUUAGUAGGUCAAAGUCACUACUAACUUUAACACAAAUUCUAUAUUCUCUCAAGGUUAAGAGAUAAAACAAUGAAGCAACUUGGUGAAAUCAUGACUAUUUAAUAGCUUUAUGUCAUGAUUCACCAUAAGUCUUGUCUAAUGUGUAACCAUAUGCACUAGUAUACUCACCAUGGAAAACCCAUCCUGAUAACCAAGACCAACCAUUCCUCUAAAUAUGAAGUAGCAUACUAUAACCUCUAAUGGGUUACCUAGGCCUAUGAAUCGGUUGUGAACAAGUCAUUUACUUACAAUGAAUCCAUUUCUUAAAUUUUUUUUGCAACUCUUAAUGCACUCAAGUCCUGUACAAUACAAGAUAUAUAUAUUAAAAUGCUUACAAGGUAUAAUGUAUAGGAUUAGGAUAAAUAAAAGUGAACUAAAAGUUUAUUAAUAAAUAAUAAAAUUUUAAAUUUAUUACAUCGUGUCAUGCUUUUAUGAAACCUUUAAAAUACUAAGAGCAACCUUUCAUAAUCAUGAAUUAAACUUUAGUUUCAACUUCUAUCAAAGGCUAAAUGAGAAAAGCUAUCAUAGAGGAGGCCUCAGCCAAUGGGUAAGAUGCACUGUUAUACCAAACAAUAAGUGGAAAAUACAAUUUUAUUAAUACUUGAGAAAAAAAAAAAGAAAGAAAUAAAAGGAAGAUUUUACACUCAAACCAAGCAUUUAUUUAUAAUGAAGUGCAGUCUCCGUACGCACAUGUGGACUUAUUGGAAAAUCAUACAAAUUAUUGAAGGACGACCUUAGCUAGGCUAACAGUCUCCUAAAUAGGCUAUCUUUUAUAUAUCUUUGCAUUCAUCCAUCUCCUCAUUGUCUUUGAUUUUAGAUGGUGAGGAUGUGAAAGUAACAGGAAGCAGUGGACAAUUGUUCACAGUGAGGCUUAGCACAUCAGCUCUCGAAUAAUGUCCUACCACAUCGAACUGGAACUUUGCUUUAGGAAUCUCUCCACGAACAUCUACAUAUCAAGUGAUCACAAAAAUAUUUCAUCGGUCCAUGAUAAAUAUCAUAGAAUAUCAAGUCUUCGAUAAAACUAAGUUUGCAGUCCUCUUAAACCUAAAGAAUCAACUCAUUUGCCUUAUCUGCAUACUGAAAUAUUUGGAUAUAUAAUUGGAGAAGUUAGGGCCAUACCAAGAUCAGCUGUGAAGAGGCCUUCUCCUUCAUAAUUCGGUCCUGCUAGAAUUUCGCCAUGGGGCGAAAUGAUGACACUACCUCCAGCCCAAACAAUAGAAUCUGGAGUGACAUCUUCUUCUGUAGGACUGUAAAGAUACUCAGGUGGAGGUGGGUAAUCUUUCCUCCGACAGAACUGGAUGGGUGAAAGAACAUAGCAUCCACCCUCAAUAGCGACGUGUCUCAUUGUAGCUACCCAUGUAUCCCCGGAAUCGGCAGUAGGAGCACAAUAUAUCUCAAUACCUAUAGAGAUGUACAUUCGUAUUUUGUGAUCAAUCAAUCCCAUAUCAAAGCCAUAAUGUAUUUCAAGCCUAUUUAUAGGCUAAAACCCUAACAACUUAAAAAAGAGUACUGAAGUAUUUCAAGCCAAACCAUAUUAGUUAGUGAAGAAAAAGACAUACCUUUGCCAUACAUUGAUGUCCUGAAAAGCGGCAUUCUAUUUUCCCAACAAAUGACCGAACCAAGUUUUCCAUAUGGAGUAUCAUAAACUGGAGUAGUCGAGCAAUCUCCGAAACCCCAGAACAGCCGCUCCCAAUAUGUUGGCAUGAGUUUCCUAUGUUUUCCAAGGUAAUUACCUUCAGGAUCAAAGAAGAGAACAGUGCAAUACAAUGUGUAUCCAUCUCUCUCAACAACACCUGUCACUAAGUAGACUUUGUAUUUCGCAGCCAUUGAUGCCAAUCUAUCCACUUCAGGUCCUGAAAAUACAUUAAUAUGAGAUCAAAGAUGAAAUAUGUAAGCUGAUGGCUCAUCACAAAGCAUAAGUAGAUUUUUUUUUUCUUGGUUCAUUCAUCAAACGUGUCUUGUUUCAAUAACUAAUUAAGUGGUUCAGUUCUUUGGCUAUUUAAGGGAGAAAGAGAGAGGUAACUGACCCGGCACAUUAAUGGCAGAAGCAUGGUACUUGCGGAAACUUUCUUUCCCUCUUGGCGACUGGUCGGCGAAAUUGUAUCCCCGGGGAUACCCACCGAUAAAUGCUUCAGGAAACACAACCAGUUGGGAUCCUAGUGCAGCUGCUUCUUUCAAAAACCUCUCAGCCUUAUCUGCUCUCAAAAUCACAUUGCAAGAAUUAAUAAUCCACGACUUAGUAAAUUAAUUGGUUGAAUGGACAGAAUGAAAAUUAACUUCAAGAGAUCCCGAAUGACUUUUUGGUUGCUGAGAAAACUCAAGGAAAAAGAGACCUAGAUGAAACUUGAAACUCUCAUAUUUUCAGCUGUUUUGUAACUAAGAAAAGAGAAACCACCUCAACCCAACUCAUUAAAAUAAUUGUAAAAGCAGUAAUUCCUUGAUUGGCAGCUGAAAAUAUGAUCAGGGUUCAAUCAUCCUUUUCUUUUUUUCAGUCUCUGAGCAACCAAUUAGAUCACAUAUUCCAUUACACAAGUUGAACAAUUGAAAGAAAUGGUACGUUACCUAGAGUGGCAGGAGUAUCAUAAAAGAUACUAGAAGCUUGAACAACGGUGGCUCUAACAGUUGAAGACAUUGCAGAAAUCGUAUGCUUUUUCGUUUCCCUUUUGUUUGAGGAUUCCUUACACAACGUUCAGUAUAUAUAUUGCCCAUGAACAUGAGGUUCUUCUGCCAUUACUUGAACGAGACGAAGAGGCUGUGAAAAGUCUACCUUGGUUUUCUAUAUUCAUUGUGAGCUUUUCUCCUCAUCACAAAUUUUGAAGUUAUCCGCAGACAUUGUGGACCAGCCACAUGACUUGUACAAAUUGAAAAUGACUGUAAGAAAAUGACUCAGCCAAUUCAAGAUAUUUGUCAUUAAAAGAAUAGUCAUUAAAAGCACAAGAUAUUUGUCAUUUUUUUUUUUACAAAAACGACUGAGUCGUACAUAGUGUUAUGGUUAUAGACGCCCAAAAGAAGUCUUUUUGUGCCUUGUAAGAAAACCUUAGCCAAUUCAAGAUGACCACAGAAUCAAAAUAAGUUUUAUCGCUUUCUUUUUUUUCUACAGGUACGAUGAUUAUCUUUGAACGAAAAGAGGGAGCCGCCCACAUGCACAUAAAAAGGGAGUAAUGAGUGAUUCAAUGGCAGCUAUGGUAGAAAAAUAAAAAGGGAACUAUGCUUACCCUCACGUUGAUUCAAGCAAAUAUAUUUUUUAGGAAUUCUAAUUUUCAUAUUUCACCCCAAACACAUAAUCAAUAAAUUUAUUCUUCAAAUAUGUAUUUUAAUAACAACCAAAAUGAGAAUUCUAUAGUUAUCCCUUUUAAAAUCUUUAAUAUGACAAGUCAUCAUUUGAUCUGUUUGAUAUCCUCUCCAUAUCAUGUCUUUGAUAUCCUAACUUUGACAUUUUUUUAUUUAUAUACGCUGAAGUGAAUACACUUUCAUAUUUCUUUUUAUUCUUUUAAUAUUUUCAUAUUUAUUAACUUAGUCAUUUUUUUGAAACAUUAACAUAAAAUUAUAAUAUAUGAUCAAUAACUAAUAAGAACAAAUUAAACAUAAAUAUAAGUACGGAAUGGACAGAAAAUAAAAAAUUUAUCCUACAAAUAAUACACUAUAUAGUUUAAAAUAUUAAUUAUAAUAAUAUAUUUGAUACUUUAGGGUUUAGAUUAAAAAAUUAUGUUUUAUUUUUUAGAGGCUAGGAUAUAGGAUUUCCAUUAACCAAAGAUUUUUUGUAUGAAUCCUAAAUAAAAUGUGUAUUUAUUUUGCAAAUUCUUAUCAUAUAUAAAUAAAAUAAAAUAAAUAUAUUUUUAUCAUAUUAUUUUUAAUUUUUAUUAUUUUGUGUCAAAAUCACAGUCAAUGAUGGUGGUUUUUGUUAUGAUAUAGCUCUUAAAAGGAUGUUAUGAUGCAAUAAAUAUGAAGUUUAUUAUUUAUUUAAUGGUAUUUUGAUUUUACUUUUAUUAAUCUUUAUUUCAUGCAUUUUACCUUAUGAGUAUUCUAGCUUGACAUUUCUUGCACUAUACAUAACUUGGGUGCAUUAAAAAUUGCAUGAAAGAUCCAAGUUAUAGGUUCCUUGCAAGUAAAUGAUUUGUUCACAACCGCUUUGUGAACUUAAGCAAUCCAUUUGAUGUCGUAGUUCACUACCUCUUCAUUAGAGGAAUGAUUUAUCUUGACUACCAAGAUAGAGUUCUCAUGGUGAGUACACUAGUAUGAUGAGUUAUAAUUUAUAAUGUAAGGUUGUUGGGUAGUCAUAACUCACUAAGUUGUUAUAUUGUAUUAUCUUCUCAACCUUGAGAGGAUACUGAACUUGUGCCAAAGUCUAUAAUUGUUUGACCUAUGGGUGAGAUUCUAAAGUGAUUAUAUAUUCCUUACAGAUUGGUCACAGUAGAUAGAAGUCAGUAGUAAUAAGUAUUCUCAAUACAAACAUCACGAUAUCUCAUGGAAUUUGAGAUAGUGUUGGGUCAUAAUAAGGACAUGUGAUCAUGAAAUCUAUGGUCGCAUUAAUUCUUUAAAUGAAAUUUGAUAUAUGCUUUUGUGAGUUAGAGUAUGCUAGUUGAUCAUAUAAUAAGAGAAUAUGUGACUCAAGAAUGGUAUAGGUAAUCUUGAAAGGCAAAUAUCUUUCACCUUAUUAGAUUAUAAACACUAAUUCCUGGGGAGACUAUAUGCAAUAGAUAGCAGGUCACGAACUUAAGCACUUUGUGUCUUGUUGUAAUACACAUAGGGUAUUGAAGUGUAGUUGACUUUCUAUAGUAAGAUGUUGAGUCAAUUUUAAAAUUUGAUUAUAAGGGAGCUAGUACUAUCCUAUGGGUCUUAGCAGUCCUUGCUCAAGUUCAUAUAUCUCAAUGGCAUGGUUUAUGAGGGUUGGAUUAACUCAUGAUUCACUUAUGUGCAUAAGGCUGUUUUGGCAAGUAUGCAUGAUUACAUAGGAGUUUGUUGGGACAAAACCUUAUAAAGUAUGACAUGAUGUAAUAGAUUUAGUUUCAUUAAUAAAUUUAUUUAUUUACUAUUCUAGUUCCCUUGUAUUAUCCCAUUGGCAUUAAUUGGUUAUCAAAGUAUUUACACCCAUAUCACUUGCAUUGUACAUGACUUAGGUGUAUUUAGAGUUGACCAAAAAAUCCAAGUCAUGGGUUCUUUGCAAGGUAAUAAAUAGUUUAUAGUAGGUUCAUGGAUUUGAGCAAUUUAAUAGAGACUAUAGUGUACUACUUCCCAAUUGGAGAGAUGACUAGUCUUAGUCACCGAGAUGACUUUCCCAUGAUGAGUGCAAUAAUGUGUAUAGUUACACAUUGGACAUGACCUAUGGUGAAUCAUGACAUUAAUUGUUGGGUAGUCAUGAUUCACCAUGAUACUAGAUUGUAUAAACUCUCAACCUUGAGAAAAUAUUGAGUUUAUGCUAAAAUCAACAAGAAGCUUUUAUCUAUGGGUGAGAUCCUAAUGUGGUCAUAUAUUCCUUACAAAUUAGGUUACAGUUGAUGAAGGUUGGUGGCAACAGGUAUUCUUAAUAGAGACAACAUAAUAUCUUAUGAGAUUAAGACAACGUGUCUCUUGGGUGAUCCUAAAGACAUGUGAUCAAGAUGACUAUGACCAUAGUAAUUCCUUUAGUAGAAUUUGACAUAUGCUCUUUGUAAGCUAAAGUAUGUAAAUUGAUCAUUAAUAAGAGGAUUUGUAACUCAAGGAUUGGAGAGAUAAUUUUGAAAGGUUGCCAUCACUACCUUGUUAGAUUACAGACACCAGUUCACGGGGAGUUUACAUGCAGUAGAUAGUAGGUCAUAGACCUAAACUUUUCCUUAUUGUAAUUAUAUAGGAUAUUGGAGUGUAGUUGACUUUCUUUAGUAAGGUGUUAAGUUAACCUUAGAAUUGGAUUCAAAGCGAGCUAGCAUUUUCCUAUAGGUUCCAAUGGUCCCUGCUCAAUCUCUCAUUUAAUGGUGUCACAUUUGUUUAAGGUAUUUUAGGUUUGUAGUUAACAAGUGUGCAUUAGGGGGAAUUUAAUAAAAAUACAAGGUUGGACUAGAUAUUGUGAAUAGACUUUCUAGAUUGGCCUAAUUUAUUAAUGGAUUCCAAUAUGGCUAAUUAAUUAAUUAGGAUCUAAGUGAGUUAAAUUAGGUAACCUAAGCCCACUUUAGGCUUAAGUCACUAAAGUUCACAAGGAAGCUUAUAAAUAACUAUUUAAAGCUUAUUGGGUUUUAUGAGUAACUUAAGCUUGCCUUGGGUUUGGGUAAGUUAUCAUAACCUAAAAAAGUUCUUAAUUGAGCGCUUAGAUUAAUCAAUUAGCUUAGUCCAGAAAUACCUUUCACCAACUCUAUUGGAAACUUUGAAUUACUCCAUUUCAUGAUCUAGGAUCAAAUAGGGUGCAUGCAACUAUCUUUAGGUUUUUCUAGAUCUAAUGCACUAGAAAAAUAUGGAUAUAAAAUCCAUAAAAUGUACUAGAUUUAUAGAUUAAAACUCAUACCUAUGAUUUCAAUGUUUCUAAAUUAAAUCCAAUCCCUAAAAGAUAUCAAAGAUGUUUUAAAAGUCAUCUAUCAAACAAUUUUCCACCCAAUCUCUCCCUCCACAAAUAGACCCUAGCACAAAAAAAGGUGAAUGCUGGAAUUUUCGUCAAUUAUUGGAUCAAAACAAAAUUUAUAACCUAAUUCACUAUUCUAUAGCAGCUUGUACCCGAUCAAAAAGUGGUUUUAGUACAAACUAUUGUAGUAUAGUGGUUUUUAGGUGUCGUCCACUAGGAUGGAUUGUUCUCGGUAAUUAAGGCUUGAAUGAGAUGAUAAGAAAUUAUUGCAAUCAAGUGAAAAUGAUUUGACAAUUCAUGAUAAAAGUUCAACAUAACAAUGAUUUCAAAUUUAGAGGAAAAUGAAGGGUAAAAGAGAAGAAAAUUAAUAGAAGAUGAAAUUCUUGGAGGUAGGAUUUUCUAGAAAAAAAUUUCCACGGUGAAUAGAUGUUGAGAUCUAAUUUUCAUCAAGUUAGAUUGAAAACCUAAAUUUUCAUCUAAACCAAUUUUUGAUUUAGCUUUAGGUCUAGAUCUAAUUUCUCUUCAAAUUAGGUCAUUUAAUCCAAGAGAUCAAUUCAAAUUAUAUAUUCAAUUCAUCUUAAACUAUCUUCCAAUGAUUCACAUAAUGCAACUAUUCAAUCUCAUCAAAUCUAGCUUUAAGAAUUUGAUGAAUCUACCUAGCUUGCAUUGUAGUAAUCAUCCAAGACAAUUUGAAGAGAAAAAUCCUCAAAUUUCAAUUAAUCAAUCAAUUGGAUCAAAUUACCUUUUCAAUUCAAGCUCAUUUCUCUAAUUCACCAUAGAUUUUGCCUCUAGAUCCUCCCUCCUUUGAGAAAAAUGAGAUUUAGCCACUCAUGCUUGGAGAUUUUGCCUCACAAAACAUUUUUGGCUAGCGAGAAAAUGAAGGAAAGUGGAAAAUUCUAGAGAAAGAGAAAAUAUGGAAAAUUCUACAAUUAGAAAAUGUCUAAUUUUUUUUGAAAAUGAGUAAAUCAAGUUUCUAUUUAUAGGCCAAGGUCAAGAGGACACUUGGCAUCAUCUAAGAGGUCUUUUAAAGGCUUCUUCAUCAAGAAAUUUGGAGUUUAGUAAUAAAAUGUCCAUUUCGCAAGAGAUCCAGCACUUUCACACGAGCUCCAUCAAUUUCGCAUGAGUGUGCGAAGUGGAAAAUGCAUCAGCACCAAUUUCGCCUUCUUAGAGCAUUUCGCAUGACUGUGCGAAAUUUUCGCAUGGUCGUGCAAAAUCAGCUUCAAGAUUUCCCUUUGAGCUGUAGCCAAAAUUGCCUUCUGGUCCAUUUCAAUUUUAUACUCUGUGUUUUUGGGAUGAAUGACAUGUGAAAGUUGGAAUUUGCUAAAAAAAUAUACAUAUAUUUUUUUGAGUUAAUGUUUGUAAGCAUAAUUCUCCCAAAAACCGGUCAUGCUUCAUCAUAUUGUAUGUUUGUUUUUUUUUAUAAUGUGUGGUUAUUCAUCUUUAUAUUUGUGUAAUGGAUUGAUAUCUAUAAAUUAAGAGUAUCAAUUGAUAGGUAGAUGAAUCAAUUGAUUGGGCAUCUAAGAGUCUUAUGUGUAGAAGACUAAAAUUAUAAAUGGGGAGUUAGAAAACUUUUCAUUUAUAUGAAUAGGGUGUUACAAUUUUUGUAAUCCUAUCAUUAUGAGAUUUAAUUUGUAUAUAAAGUUUAUGAGUAAUGGAGGAAGAUGGAAAAGUAUAACCUAUGCAAUUAUAUAAAUGCAUUCAAGUUGGUAACCCACAAUUAUCCAUUAAUUUGUACAUAAUGUUUGUAAAUAAUGAAUAUAACUCCCGUGUAGUCUUUGAUGCAUGAGAAGACUAAGAGAUAUAAAUCUCUUUUAUAAGAUCAAGAUCCUAAGUCAUACUCUCAUUCUUAUGUCUUUUUGUUAUUUUACUUAUAACAACAUAUAACACACAAGUGACCCGUCUACUAUAUGAGAGUAGUGAGUUGAAGAUCUUGAGCAAAACAAUUCACAAGAUGACUCAAGCUCACUUCAAAAGUAUUAUCAAUAUCAUGGAUGAAGGUAAAAAUAUGAUCAUUAUAUUAUCAUUGCUUUAGCAUUUAUAUCUAUUAUGUUUUAUGCAUCCAAAAUUGAUUUUCCAAAAUAAUUGUUUUCACAUAAAGUUUAGUUAACAUGUACUUCUAUUUUAAAAUUUUAAAAUUUUAAAAUAAAUUUGCAGAAAUCACUUUUAAAUGUUUUUUUAUAAAAAAAAAUUUAAAAUAUGAAAGAAUCACAUAUUUUUUCAACUUUGAAAAAUAGACCUAAUAAACAUAUUUAACAUUUAUAGCAAUUAAAAAUUAAUUAAUAUUUUUUAAAAAAAAAUUAAAUAAAAGCAAUGGUGUAUCCAAAUAAUACCUUAUUCACCCAAUUUAGUUAUCAUAUGCCUUUAGUACCGAAGUGGCUGACUAAAUUUUUUCUCAAGGUAUAAUAAUGCUAAAAGAUCUUUAACCAAAACAUGGACUUCACUCUUAUUUCUUCCUACCACUUUAAUUUCACCCAACUUCACCUAUAGAAGCUCAUUCAUGUCUUAUCUUGUUUGUCUAGUUUGAACCUCAUGUUGCUCAAGUCCCAAAAGGAAUAAAAUUUCAUUCAGAAUAUAAUUAUGCACAAAAUCCUCAUUAGGGUUAGAGUUUGCUCCUUCAUUAAUUAAUUAUAAUGGUUUAGGGUCAGAAUAACAUACUUUAUUAUGUUAAAGUAUCCUAAACUUUGUUAGCAAACACAUAUGGCUGAAAGCGAAGAAUGAUCAAGAGUCCAAGUACUAACAAAGGGCACUUAUGAACCAUAGGUUGAGGAAAGUGGCUUGAGCCCAAGCUUGGGGCUUAGGUUAUUUUUUGUUUAUGCAAUACUUAAAUCCAAACUUAAAGGUGACAUUAGAAACAUAUUUCAAUCUCAUAUUUUAUCCUCUUAACUAUUGGACCUAAUUGCACUCGACAUGGAACUUGUUUAUGCAUUUUGGGAAUCACAUGCAUUUUAGUCCCAAAAUAGCUAUGCAACUUUUUUUUCCACCUAAUUAAGUUCAAAAUUAAGGGGGUGUUUGGUAAAACUUAAUACCUUUUACUAAUGACUUAAAUUGACUUUAAGUUAAAUUAUAUUUAACUUGCUAACUUAAAACUUAUUAUUUAAUUCUUACUUCAAGUAUUAAGGUUGUUUAAUAAAAUUAAUUUAAAACAUAUUUUAAAUCAUCAAAUUGAUAUAUUAUCCUCAUAAAUUAUAACUAGAGUAUAAGAGGUUGAGUGACAAUGAAGGUCGUGGAGUAGUAAAGAAAAUUGUGGAGGUAACUAGGAUAAAUGAGAAUAAAAAAGUAGAAUGAAAAUAUAAAUUUUAAAAUAAGUUAAUUGGUUUUACUUUUUCUUAAAAUUAUUUUUGAUUUUAAGUCAUACCAUUAAAUUAUUUUAAUAAACAUAAUUUACUUAAUAACUUAAAUUAAAUUAUUAAGUUGUUAAUUUACCAAACACCUACUAAUUUUCAAAUUCUAAGUUUAGCUUUGCUUUGCAGUGAAUGCAUUUAGGAUUAUCAAAGAGGUCAUCAAGGGUUUCAAACAUAUUUUAUUGCUCAACUUCUCGAAGAGGGACUUCAGAAGAGAAGAUUCCAUAAUUCUAGUUUUGUAUGCGAUUGUAUGUAUCCUACCACAUGGAGACGAUUCCUCAGCAUGCUGAUUUAUUAUUAAGUUCAUGUGAAUUACGUAUGGAAUUCCAAUUGAUGUGAACAUAAAAUUAAUUGAAUUAUGUGACAUUUUUUUUACGCAGAAUAAAACAUAUACAGUUGGAAGAUAUCUCGAGAUUCUGAUUUUAUAUCUGGCCCUCAAAAUUCUAUUUCACUGUCAGGUUGUGGACGUUCCACCCAGCUGGAGCAGAUCCCUUGGCAUGCUGAUAUGCCAACUAUUGAAAAGUCUGCACCCAUUUUCUAUAUUCAUGAGCUUUUCUCCUGUUCGAAUUAGUUUUGAAGUUAUCUACAGACAUGACUUGUACAAAUUGAAAAGUUUUAAUUAGGGCAGCAAAAGUAAUCCCUUCAAUUUUAUUAUUAUUGUUAUUAUUAUUACCUUAUAAAAAGAAUUUACCCAAUCAAAAGUGAUCGCAUAGUCAAAAUAGAUUUUAUUUUUUCUUAUCUUACAAUAAUAUAAAAAAAUAUAUAUAUACUUUCAAUCAAUGUCUCAUAUUUCUAACACGUACGCGCUCUAGAAUUUCUCGAAUUGUAGUCUAGAGUGUCAACUUUUAGUGUUUGAUCAAAAAGGCCAUAAACAAAUAUAUGAAAAAAGUAAUCAACAAGCAGAGGAUUCUUUUUGAAUAAAAAAGACCCACUUACAAGCAUGGAUUAUAAAUUGUCUUCAGUUGCGGCUGAAACUUUCUAUAUGACUUUAAAGAAAAAAGAGGUCAUAAAUAGAUAGCUGAGAACAAGUUGAGGGAUUCAAAGGCAGCUAUGGUAUAAAUAUUGUUUUAUAAAUUAAACCUUUUGUACCGCCUCUACAAAGGAACACAAAAUUGAGAGAUUCAAAGGCAGCUAUGGUAUAAAUAUUGUUUCAUAAAUUACUUUUCAAAUUUAAUUUGAUAGCAAAAAUUUAAAAUAUAAAAGUAUAAAAAAUUUGUUUCAUUCCCAAAAUUUUUGCAAAUAAAAUUUAAAGUAAUAAAUUAACACCAUGACUCUUUUCACAUCUUAUUCUCAUUUCUAUCAAAGCAAUGAUAGUAAUUGUCUUAUCUAUAAAUUUUAAAUGAUGUAAGAUCAUUGAAUUUUUAUUUUCUUUUAAACUUCUUGUUAUGUAAUUAUCAAACAUAUUUUUUUAAGACAAGAAAAAAAUUACACCGAACAAAUAGAUUUGAUACUUAGAAUAAUUGAAAACAUAAUUCGUAUUUUCCAUUUUUAAAAAUAAUAAAAGCAAAGGUGUUUCAAAACAAUACCUCAUUUGCUCAAUUAAUUAUCACAUUUCCUAAGUACAAAAGUAGGCAAGUAAAUUUUUGCUCAAGUUACAAUAGUGCUCCAAAUCCUUAUCCAAGAUUUUGAUCCUAUUUCACAAUUGUUUUUUAAAACAGUUUUUUUCUUCUCUACAACAAAAAAAAAAAAAAAACAAGAAAAUGUGUUUGAGAAUUGGAAAAUAAAGUGUUUUCAAAAAAACAUAUGUUAGUUGUUUUUAGUUUUUCUUCAUUAGCUUUUUUGAAGGUUGUUUUUAAAAAUAAUUAUACAAAUAUGAAGAAUUAUUAAAAAUAUAAUUUUAUAGACAAAAGUUAUUUUAAAAUUAUAUGCACGAGUUUUGGAAAGUCUUGCAAAAUAAGCAAAACUAUAGGAAAAAUAUGCAAAUAAAAUUUGUAUUAAAAUCAUUGGGGGCCCCCGCAUUUCGGCUCAUGCGCUUCCACUCGAUGGUGAGCUCGAUUUUUAUUUUGAAAAAUGAUUUAUUAUUUGAAAAAUGACUUGAAGUCGCCACUUAUUUUUGUUUUAUUUUUAAAGGGUAAACAAAAUAAGAAAGAAAACUCUAAAUGUGACUCCUUAUUUGGAAAAGGUGGUCUGUGAAAAACCGGAUCGGGCUCGGGGGUUAGGUUACUUAUUGGGAAGGUACGGUAAAAACCGUAGCACCCCUCUAAGUCCCCAAAAACGGGUCUUUACUAAUGAAAUGAAGCAAUCAUGACAAUUGAUAAGUAAAUCAAUGGAUACCGAAUGAAAAUCGAAACAAAAUACCCAAAUGAAUUUGAGAGACAAAGAACGUACCUGAGUGACGAGCUGAUUUAUUUCAUUGGAAACAAAGGUUAGUGAACAAACACAAAUGAUCGUGUGCAUAUCAUAGAAUAGAACAAAUCAAUCACAUAUAGCAAUCAAAUCAAUCAAUCAUAAAAUCGCAUAUGUUGGGCCCCCACUAAAACCCAUUUAUUUUUGCAUGAAUUAAUUCUGUAAAUUCCAUCACUCGGAAUUAUAGAAUUUAAUUCAUGCUUAUUUUAAAACAUUUAAAAAACAGAGGAGAUGUGAGUAUUGCUCAUCAGAAAAGAAGAUGGCAACAAAGUUUUAUUAAAAAUGGGAUUUUUGGUACCUAAAACUCUAAGGAUGAAAAUUUUGGAGUUGAGAUUAUUUAAAAAGUUAGAAUCUGAAAAAUUAUUUUUAAAAAAAGAUUUAGAAAGUUAUUUUCAAAACCAAAAGGGAGAAAUAGGAGGUGGCAUGUGGCCCAAAGGUGGCCAUGCGGAGGUGGCCAUGCAAAAACAUUUUCUUCUGGGCCAAGGGAGAGACUGCGCUAUAGGGAUCAAUGGUAUUGUUGGGCUUGUCAUAACUCUAACCAGGAUAGGAUCCCAGCCACAUAUAGCUGUAACUAGGUUGCUACAUUGAAAGAGUACCAAGAGAGGCACCCUAGCUUAACGGAGGUCAGGCCUGGUAGCCUUGCGGAGGAUAUCUCUAACCAUUGCCAGAUUUCUGAUAUGAUUCUCACUGAUGACUUCGUUGACCAACUGUUCAGCAAACUCAAUCUGUUCACUGGUACUGCCUAUGUGUGCAAUUCUCUCCAUUGAUAUGUCACCAGAAAGGAAAUGCAAAAGUAUAAACUAGAUACGAGCUCCUGUCUUGGCUUGCAUAUUUCUAAUGAUCUCACCGCCCUUACCAACUAUCAGACCAACCUUGUUGUUUGGUACUUUCAUCACGAGCUGUCCAAACCCAGUCCAACCAAUUAACCUUCAAGAAAUUAUGCCAAACCUCUUUGCUUAUAUCUGUUGUGUCAUUCCAUAAGAAUUGAACGCACCCAUAUGUAAGCACCCGUGAUGUGUCGUCACACUCCAACUGCAAAUUAAAUCGAACAAGACCUUUCAUGGAAGCAUCUCUGACAUCUAAAUGAGACCCUGUCAAACCUUGAAUUAUCUGGAGUUCAUCAAGUGCAUCAUCAAAUGCUCUUCAUUCAGAGUGUCCAACUUAGCAAUAGCUUCAUCAAAAACCUAUUUAUCCAGAUUACAAGCAUGAUCCAGGGGAUUCAGAAUCUUAUAGUAAAAGACGGAGAAGUUAAGUGCAAGCCUCAAGCAGAUAAGACGGGUUGAAGCCAAUUCCACAGCUGCAAUAUCCUACGCUGAUUUUAUAAGCUACGAGAGUGCUCUCCGUCGCCUCUCUCAUCUCGGCUCCGGUCUUGAAUGCUGAUAGAUAACAACGAUAAUCGCUCUUCAUCUUUAAACAAAGCGACUUUGGGUCACUAGCCAUAGCCGAAUGAAUAAGCUACGAAUCCAGCAGACGAAGAGUAUCGUCACAGAUGGAGGAUUGUUGAAACAUAACACGCAUAUAAUGGAAACAGACUCGUGUUGGCUCCUGCCCGCUCCCAAUGGGUAUGGCCCUCAUGCUCAUUGACAUGUUCGAAGACGUCAACAAGCGCACCAUAGACCUUCUGUAGGCAGAGGAUUGGGUUUAAUGGGUUUAGAAAGAAUUUGUGGCAUGUAUGGGUAUGGAAAUAGGUGUGAAUGAUAGCCUUGCAUGCAUGAGGAGUGGUGAAUAGGUUGAAGAGAGUGGGUUUAGAGGAUAGAAAUAUGGGUAUAGUUGUGGGUUUAGAAAAUGGGUACAGUAUUAGUGGGACGGGUAGUGGAAAAAUGGAUUGGAAGGCAUUGGAAAAUGAGGUCUCUAUGGUGGCCAUGCAUGCGUCAAAAAAUAGAAAGGAGUGCAUGGAGGUUAAAUGGAAGGAUGAAUGAUGGAAGUAGCAGCUUGGGUAGGUGUAAGCUUUGGAUUUGGGUAGGUAAAAAAAAUGAGAGAUAGGUAUGAGAUAGCCAAUGAGAGAUCUGCACCAUUUGGCAUUGUGAUCGCUCGGUUUUUGUCGUUUAUUGGAUCAAAACAAAAUUUAUAACCUAAUUCACUAUUCUAUAGCAAUUUGUACUCGAUCAAAAAAUGGUUUUAGUACAAACUACUAUAGUAUAGUGGUAUUUAGGUAUCGUCCACAAGGAUGGAUUAUUCUCGGUAAUUAAGGCUUGAAUGAGAUGAUAAGAAAUGAUUGUGAUCAAGUGAAAUUGACUUGAAAUUGCAUGAUAAAAUUCCAAAAUAACAAUGUAUUCAAAUUGAGAGAAAAAUGAAGUGUAAAAGAGAAGAAAAUUAAUAAGAGGUGAGAUUCUCGGAGUUAGGAUUUUCUAGAAAGCAAUUUCCAUGGCGAAUAAGUGUUGAGAUCUAAUUUUCAUCAAGUUAAAUUGAAAACCUAAAUUUUCAUCUAAACCGAUUUUUGAUUUAGCUUUAGGUCUAGAUAUAAUUUCUCUUCAAAUUAGGUAAUCUAAUCCAAGAGAUCAAUUUGAAUCAUAUAUUCAAUUCAUCUUAAAUUAUCUCCUUAUGAUUCACACGAUGCAACUAUUCAAUCUCAUUAAAUUUAGCAUUAAGAAUUUAAUGAAUCUACCUAGCUUGCAUUGUAGUAAUCAUCCAAGACAAUUUAAAGAGAAGAAUCCCCAAAUUUCAAUUAAUCAAUCAAUUGGAUCAAAUUACCUUUGCAAUUCAAGCUCAAUUCUCUCAUUCACCAUAGAUCUUGUCUCUAGAUUCUCCCUCCUCUGAGAAAAACAAGAUUUAGCCACUCAUGCUUGGAGAUUUGAUCUCAUAAGACAUGUUUGGCUACCAAGAAAAUGAGAGAAAAUGAAGGAAAGUAGAGAAUUAUAUAGAGAAAAGAAAUCUGAAAAGUUCUACAAUUAGAAAAUGUAUCAAAAGUCUUUAAAUGAGUCAAUCACAUUUUUAUUUAUAGGCCAAGGUCAAGAUGACACUUGGCAACAUCUAAGAGGUCUUUCGGAUGCUUCUUCAUCAAGGAAUUUGGAGAAAAUACAUUUUCGCACGAGCCUUAGCAAUUUCGCAUGAUGGUGCGAAGUGGAAAACCAUCAGCUUCAUUUUUGUCUUUCUGGAGCGUUUCGCAUGACUGUACAAAAUUUUCGCAUGGUUGUGCGAAAUUGCUUUUCACUUUUCCCUUAGUAUGCUACAGCCAAACCUAUUCUGUUUCAUUUCACAUGGUCAUGCGAAAUUGAAAAACAUGUUUUUUCGACUCCUCUUUGCAAUUCUUUCCAUUUCUUCAUUUUUAAUCCACCUCUACCACUUUCAAUUCAACUCCAAAUCCCAAUCCAAACCGAUUGCAUUGCUUAUUUCAUUAUGCAUUUGGAUCAUCAUCAACUUUAUUUGUUUUCUUCAAUUUGGUUCAUCUCUUUUGUCACCAAUUUAUCAAAAUCAUACCUUAAAAUGACUUUAAAACUUCAUAAAACUUGUUAGUAACUAUUGCAAGGGCAAAAACAUGUUAAUUGAGUGUUUUAGGCAUAAUUACUACUCAAAAGAUGUGAAAAUCAUGAGAAUUAUUAUCUAAAAUAUGCUCUUUUUGAGUAGUAAUCAUUCCCCCCAACCAACACAUUGCUAGUCCCUUAGCAAUUGUAUGACAAAAAGAAAGAAAAAUAAGGCCAAAGAAAAGAAAUCAUAACUCACAUAAGCAAAUCAUUUGAAAAAAAAAAUGUUUGAAAUUUCCAUAGCAUAAAUGGUUGAUAAACAAGCACACCCUACUAUCCAUAGGUAUCAACAAAAUCCCAACUUAUUUACUAUCUCUAAUAGAAAUAAUAUCAUGCUAAUCAAGGUAUCAAAAACAUAUCCAUCUUCAUUUCCCAAACAAUCUUUGUAAACAAGUCUUGAGUGUAAUUAAGCUAGCUCCCGAAUAUAGUACUCAAAACUAAUCCUCCCCCCAACCUAGCUCAAUUUAUCUCAAACAACAAAAAUCACUCUCUCAUAGGUUAAGAACACACCUAUCUUUAUUUUAUUAUUAUUUUUUUUACAAAUGACUUAUUGUAGGAGUGCAAUGCUAAAGGUAUCUCCAAGUAUAUGGUCCAUGUAGCGGGGAUUCAUCGAUGACUCCCAAUCAUAAGGCAUAGGGCACCAAGUUUAUAGGACUAUUUAACUAGCCACUAACUCCUCAGACUUCACCCCGGACUCCUCAAAUUAGGAUCCAAUACAUUAACACCUACAAUUGAGUUCAUACCCCACCUAUCCACCCAUGUAACAAGCAUUGAGGUCGGUGGCUCCCAACCAAAAUGGCUUAGGGCACCAGGCUUUAAAGACCUUUGGGCCAUAUACCCCUCGGACCUUGCUCAGGUUUCAAGGCAAGCAUAACUCAACAUUUUUAUUCAUCAACUCUUUUUUUUUUUUUUUUUUCAAUUGGGCACAUUGGCCUCUUUUUAAGGUGUCUCAACUCAGUUCAAGAGUAAUCAAUGUUACAAGAUAAUUAAGUCUAAGUCUUAAGGUUAGAAUAGUUUUUCAUCUUAUAUCUGGGGUCUAGAGUGCAUAGUAUGUGUCAAGACUCAAAUAGAAAUGACAAUUUGGAAAAUGAAGACUUUAAAGUCAAAUCAACUUUAAUUCACAUAACCAAUCUUCUAAGAUCAAGCAAAUAAGCUAGUAUUCUAAAUCAACUUUUUUUAAGUUAGGUUUGCUCAUUCAUCAAUCACAAAUGCUAUAGUCAUCUCAAAAAAAUCUCACCAAAUAAGUCACAAAUGUGAUUUAUGAAAAAAAAAAAUUAUAGAAAAACUAAUAACAUAUUUCCUUCUCUUCAUUUUUAACCCUCCCCCAACCUAACUUGUACAUUGUCCUCAAUGUGUAAUGAAAAUAUACAAAGAAAGGAAGGAAAGAUACCUCAAUCUCUCAUGAAUUUCAGUUUCAAUAGCUAAAACAAAAAUAAGAUCACACAUGAGAAUUGUUGGAUAUGAAUGACAUAAGAGAAGAAAAUAUGAAAACAAAUCUAUUAAAAACCAAAAAAAAAAAACUAUGUUAGAGACACAAUGUAUGGAGUAAAAUCAAGGUAUAGAUGAUGACAAUGUCCAAAGAAAACAUGAUUUCAAUGAUAAGUCAAUGAUUCUCAUGGAGUUUUUGAAAAUUUCAGACAAGUGUGCAAACUAGACAAGAAGGUGGUGUGUGUUGCAACCACUUUUUCUUUUGAAAUAAUUUGGCACAAUCAUGCGGAAAUUCGCAUGUACAUGCGAAUUGGUCAAGAGAGCUUUAUCUUAUUAUAGUCUUCAGCAUAAUUUUCGCAUAGUCAUGUGAAAAUUCGCAUGUUGAUGCGAAAUGGAUCUGAGGCUUAAAACUGUUGUAGUCAUCCACAUUAGUUUCGCACAGUCAUGCGAAAACUUCACAUGAGUGUGUGAAGUGGUCCAGAUGGCUCAUUUUACUACAGUCUUUAAGAUGGAUUUCGCAUAGUCAUGCGAAAUGCUCUAGAGGGUUCAUUUUUACAACUAUCAUUUUCAGUUUUGCACAGUCAUGCGAAAAUUUUGCAUGACCAUGCGAAUUGUGACAAAGACUCAUUUUGUACAUUUCCGAAGAUAUGAAAACUCCCCUAUUUUGGCAUGACUGUGUUAUUUUGGCAUGACCUCCCUGUUUUGGCAUGACUAUGCAAAAUGGUGAUGGGCCAUUAAAACUCUUUUUUCCUUUGCUUCAUGCAUUCCAUCCAUCCAGAAAGUCCUUCAAAACACAAGUCAAAGAAUUGAGAUGGAUUUAUUUAAUGGAAACUAAAAAAAAAAUCAAAAUCCAAAGGAAAUGAUAAACCAUUGGGCUAGCUAGCCAUUGACAUGACUAAGCCCAUUAACCUUUGCAUCAAUACUCAAUUUGGAUAUGGCUUGCAAACAAUGAAUGGACCAACUCCUUGGUACUUAAGCUUUCCCAGAAAAAUAUGUGGCUUGAAAUAACCUUCUUUGAACUUGUUCUUUUGAAUAAGUUGGUCAUGCCAUUCCUUGAGUUUCUUUUUCAUGGUCUUUGGAUUAUUUUUCAUACCAUGCUUCAUUUUUUUCACUUUCUUGAAGCUGAAAGACCAUUUCAUUAACUUCAAAGGUUGAAUUUCUUUAUUGAUCCUCCAAACUUCAAUCCGUUCAUUGGAAAUUGCUUCACUAAGUUUUGAAAAAUUAUCUUCAACCUUUUCUUUCACUAGCACUUUCAUAGGCAAUUCAAUCAAAUAAGCCUCCUUAAGUUCCUCCUCCUCCUUGGUACCAUGCUUCUUAUAUGAAUGAAAAAUGUUUAGCUCAAUUGUCAUGUUACCAAAGGUAAGUUGCAUCACCCCACUUCGACAAUUAAUUAAUGCAUUUGCUGUGGCAAGGAAAGGUCGGCCAAGUAUAAUAGGAACAUGGUUGAGUCCACUAGUUCCUUGUUUCAUAUCAAGCACCACAAAAUCAACCGGAUAAUAGAAGAUAUCGAUUUGGAUCAACAUAUCCUCAAUAAUUCCUCUUGGAAACUUAACCGAUCUAUCCGCCAAUGAAAGUGUGAUGGAAGUAGACUUUAGUUCUCCAAACCCCAAUUGCUUAUAUACCGAGUAGGGAAGAAGAUUCACACUUGCCCCCAAGUCUAAAAGUGCUCUUUUCACAAAAGUGUUGUCAAUCUUCACCGAGAUAGUUGGACAUCCCGGAUCCUUAUACUUGAUUGGGGUUUUACAUUGGAUGAUUGCACUAACUUGUUCAGUCAAGAAAGUUUUCUUUUUCAAAUGCAUCCCUCUCUUUAUGGUACACAAAUCCUUAAGAAACUUGGCAUAGGUUGGAAGUCUUAUCAUGUCAAGGAGUGGUAUAUUGACUUUGACUUGCUUGAGAACUUCAAAAAUUUCUAGAGCAUUAUUUACCACUUUCUUGGAUUGAAGAGCCAUAGGAAAAGGUGGAGCUAAGAGCAUAUCUUUCUUCUUAACCUCUUCUUUAACAAUCUCAUCUUCCUUUGAUCUAUCAUCCUCAUUCACCUCUUUCCAUUUUUCUUGUUCUUUCACAUUUUCCUUUUGUUCCCCUCUUUUAUUCUCUUUUGGUUUUGGCAUAGGUUGAUCAACUUGCUUACCACCUCUUAAGGUAAUGACUGCUUUGACUUCAUCCUUCUCAAUAGAACUUUCACUUGUCUCUCCAAUUUCAUGGACUCCACUUGGAUUUUGUUGGGGUUAUGAAGAGAAUUUUCCUUUUUCUUACACUGUAUGCAUGCUUGUGAGUUUAGAAAUAGCAAGCUGCAUAUUAUCAAUCUUUUGUGUGAGAUUGGUUUGCAAGCUAUCAAAUUUCUGAUUGAAAGAUGUCUCCACAUGAUCUAUUCUUUGGUUUACUUGAAUAUUGAUAUUCUUUUGAUCACCAAUAAAAUCACCCAAAAUUUUACUCAAGCUUACAAUAGCUUGCUCAACCAAAGAAAUUUGUUGUGGAGAGUCUUCCAUGACUUGUUGGCUUUGUGAGUAUUGACUUGAAGAAAAUUGUUCUUGUCCACAAUUCCAUGACAUGUUUAGAUGAUUCUCAACAAGUCUUUCCCCCAUAGCUAGUAUUGUAGGACAAUCACUCACUUCAUGUUCUAUAGAUUGACAAUUAGAACAUUGCUCCUUGUAAAUUGGAUUAUCAUAUAUUGCAUUCACCACAUGAAAUCCCUUAGCUUCAAGUUCCUCUAGCCUUUUUGUCAAAGCUACCAUUUUAGCUUGUAGAUCAACAUCUUCAUUCAACAUAUACAUUCCUCCAUUUGAAUUGCUUUGAGACUUGGACUUGUGUAAAUCCCUUUCAUGUGGCUCAUUCCAUGACCUUAAUAUUUUAGCCACAUAAUUCAAGAAUUCAAAAGCUUCAUCGGGACUUUUGCUCAUAAAGCCACCUCCACACAUGGUUUCUAGCAAUUGCUUCAUAGUUGGCGACAUGCCCUCAAGAAGUAACUCACCAACAUCCAUGUGUCAAAACCAUGAUGAGGACAAACAUUGAUUACUUCCAUAUAUCUUUCCCAACAAGCAUAAAAUUUUUCAUUGUCCAAUGCCACAAAGUUGGUAAUUUGCCUCUUCAAGCCACUUGUGCGAUGUAUGGGGAAAAUUUUCUUUAAGAAGGUUGUUUGUAGUUCCAACCAUGACCUUAUGGUUUGGGGCCCCAAUGAGUUGAACCACAACUUAGCCUUAUCCUUCAAUGUGAAUGGAAAAAGCUUCAAUCUCAUAAGCUCAAUGGAUGUGUUUCCCUCAUGAAAUGUAUGAAAAACCUCUUCAAAAUCCUUGAUGUGAGUAUAAAGAUUCUCAUUCUCCAUUCCAUGAAAUUGAGGUAGAAGGGGUACCAAGUGAGUUUUUAUCACAAUAGCCUCAUUAGGAAGAACUAUACAUGAUCCCAUGCCUAUCCUUUGAGGAUGCAUAUAUUCUCUCAUUGAUCUAGACAUGUGAGAAUUGCCAUUGUUUGGUCCUUGUUGAGUUUGUUGAUUUUCCCCUUGAUUUUCCAUUUCCUCAACAAUUGGAUCACAAAACAAAGAUGAUUAGCAAUAUAAGUUUUUUUUCAAUCUCUCCCUUGAAUUUUAUUCUCAAUGUAGUAUGCAAUGGAGAGCCUACAAAACAAGCUUAGAAAAACCAAAACAAACCAAGAAGAACAAAAAGAGAAAUAAAAGAUAAAAAUGGAAAAAAAAAUAAUAAUAAGAAAAAUGGAGAAUCGAUAAAGAGAACUUCACCAAUCUUGUGAUGUGGAUCACAAGGGCUAAUCCUCACCAAAAAAAAAAAUGCCUCAAUCACCUAGGCACCAUCCCCGGCAACAGUGCCAUUUUUGAUUGCUCGGUUUUUGUCGUUUAUUAGAUCAAAACAAAAUUUAUAACCUAAUUCACUAUUCUAUAGAAAUUUGUACCCAAUCAAAAAAUGGUUUUAGUACAAACUACUGUAGUAUAGUGGUAUUUAGGUAUCAUCCACAAGGAUGAAUAUUCUUGGUAAUUAAGGAUUGAAUGAGAUGAUAAGAAAUGAUUGUGAUCAAGUGAAAUUGACUUGAAAUUGCAUGAUAAAAUUCCAAAAUAACAAUGUAUUCAAAUUGAGAGAAAAAUAAAGUGUAAAAGAGAAGAAAAUUAAUAAGAGGUGAGAUUCUCGAAGUUAGGAUUUUCUAGAAAGCAAUUUCCAUGGUGAAUAGGUGUUGAGAUAUAAUUUUCAUCAAGUUAGAUUGAAAACCUAAAUUUUCAUCUAAACCGAUUUUUUAUUUAGCUUUAGGUCUAGAUCUAAUUUCUCUUCAAAUUAGGUAAUCUAAUCUAAGAGAUCAAUUUGAAUCAUAUAUUCAAUUCAUCUUAAAUUAUCUUCCUAUUAUUCACAUGACGCAACUAUUCAAUCUCAUUAAAUCUAGCAUUAAGAAUUUAAUGAAUCUACCUAGCUUGCAUUGUAGUAAUCAUCCAAGACAAUUUGAAGAGAAAAAUCCCCAAAUUUCAAUUAAUCAAUCAAUUGGAUCAAAUUACAUUUGCAAUUCAAGCUCAAUUCUCUCAUUCACCAUAGAUCUUGUCUCUAGAUUCUCCCUUCUCCGAGAAAAACGAGAUUUAGCCACUCAUUCUUGGAGAUUUGAUCUCACAAGACAUGUUUGGCUACCGAGAAAAUGAGGGAAAAUGAAGGAAAUUAGAGAAUUAUAUGAGAAAAGAAAUCUGAAAAGUUCUACAAUUAGAAAAUGUAUCAAAAGUCUUUAAAUGAGUCAAUCACGUUUCUAUUUAUAGGCCAAGGUCAAGAUGACACUUGGCAACAUCUAAGAGGUCUUCCGAAUGCUUCUUCAUUAAGGAAUCUGGAGAAAAUACAUUUUCGCACGAGCCUUAGCAAUUUCGCAUGAUGGUGCGAAGUGGAAAAUCCAUCAGCUUAUUUUUUGUCUUUCUGGAGCGUUUUGCAUGACUGUGCGAAAUUUUUGCAUGGUCAUACAAAAUUGCUUUUUACUUUUCCCUUAGUAUGCUGCAGCCAAGCCUAUUCUAUUUCAUUUCGCAUGACUAUGCGAAAUUGAAAAACAUGUUUUUUCGACUCCUCUUUGCAAUUCUUCCCAUUUCUUCAUUUUUAAUCCACCUCUACCACCUUCAAUUUAGCUCCAAAUCCCAAUCCAAACUAAUUGCAUUGCUUCUUUCAUUAUGCAUUUGGAUCAUCAUUAACUUUAUUUGUUUUCUUCAAUUUGAUUCAUCUCUUUUGUCACCAAUUUAUCAAAAUCAUACCUUAAAAUGACUCCAAAACUUCAUAAAACUUGUUAGUAACUAUUGCAAGGGCAAAAACAUGUUAAUUGAGUGUUUUAGGCAUAAUUACUACUCAAAAGAUGUGAAACUCAUGAGAAUUAUUAUCUAAAAUAUGCUCUUUUUGAGUAGUAAUCACAUUGCAACACCCUUAUUUUGUUAUACCCAUUUGUAUGCUUAUCCUUUACAUAAGGAGCUUGUCUGACACCUUUAUAGAAGCGGACAAAAAGCAUGGCUUGCUUGUAGAUCCAGUGCAACUUUCAGUAACACCCAACCCCUAUCAUUUUGACCCAAAAGGAUCUAUACCUAUGAUCAUUGAACUCAUUCCAUUUUGAGAACAAUCUUCAUGAACUCAUAAACGAAAUAACUUAUUGAAACUGAAGGUAGCACCUGUGGUAAGCCGAUUUCAAUAUAUCAUGCACACCAUAGAAAAUUGCACCUGAAGGUGCCAUACUUAUAGUGGAAGGCACCAAACCCUUGUAAAUGGAGAAGAAUCCUUCAGUUCGGAUCAUAUGGAGGAAAUGCCAAUAACACUACCCAAGGCUUUACCACCCGGUGCCACCAUCUUGGUCUGGAUUUAACAUGGUACCCAAUAGUAAGCGGAGUAUGGUAGUAGUAAUUCUAGCUGCAUCACCAGCAAUUGUCUUAAUUAGCUCAAAUAUAUGCUUCUGUUCACCAUGAACUAUAUAUUCCAGCUUUAGUCUCCUUUGAUUGCAUAUCAUUUCCUCCACAAAACUUUCGUUUACUAUCAUCAAACUGCCAUCCUAUACCACAAUGGUCCCAUCAACCCUACUGACCAUCCAAAUGUCAUUAAAUGAGCUAGAAGCUGGGGACUCUCAACAGCAAGAGCACCUUGAGGUUGAAUGAAUUUAGAAUAACCCACUGAAAACUCUUAUAUAGCUUCUUUAGGUGGAGAUGAGGAAGGAGAAUAGCCAAAAUAGAGCACAACAGAGUGAGCAAAGCAUUAAGUGGGAUCCCCCUUUCAUAUUGAAAUCAAGGGGUUCCAGCCAGUGGUGCAACAGGAGAGUUUAAAACAAAGAUCCAAAUGAGAGCAUCAAUAAACUCCCACCAUGGGAGUGAGCCAUAUUCAAAAAAACAAAUAUAAGAGAAAAGUAAUGCAUCAUCACAUACCCAGACAAUCGUCCAAUGCUUAGAAAAAAAAAAAAACCAAAACAACCAGAGAAGAUGGAAGAUAAAGAAAACAGAGUGAUGAGUGAAAAUAAUCCAAAAAGCUAUAUCAAAUGUACCUAGAAAUGCUCUUUCCAAUUUUCUUUUCUUCCCAACUACCUUCAGCAAACUAGAUUUGCUUUCUCUCCUCUGCUCCUAAUCAAACUACACCCUCAAGCAAUCUGAAAAAUGCAAUCCUCUCUCUCACAACCUCAGCGCACCAACCAUCUCUACUUCUCUCAUUGUUGCUCCAACUCCUUACAAAAAUAUCCCCUCUUUGUCUCUCCUCCCAAGCUCUUUCUCUCUCUCUCUCUCUCACUUCUCCUCAGCUAUGCUCUCUCAAUCCCUCUAAAAAAAAACAUCCUUCUCUCGCUCCUCUGUAACCUCAAACUUUUCUCUCAAGCUAAAGGAAACUUCUCCCCCCGAUAUCUCCUCUCCUCCCUAGCAACCAAAAAUACCCCUCCUCUGCCAGAAUGCCUCACCUUCUCUCUCCUACGCUCCUCCAUAACGGCCUGAAGAUUCUUAUGCCAUGCAUCAGCCGCUGAUUGCCUUCAGAAAAGAUCACUGCCUAUCCAUCCUCUCAUGCACAUGUUGCCAAAAAUAAAAAAAGGUGGUAAAGAAUGCUCCCUAAAAUGCCCUUACCUAUAAACCAAAACGAGGGUUUUACAGGCGCACAAUAUUUGUGGAAAAAUAUUCUUUGCUGAAGAAUAUUUUUUAAAGAUCAAUUGAAAGCCUAAAGCAGCUUGUUCCCAAAUGAAUUUAUUGAAUGGUGAAAAACACGUGUGUUGCGAUUUUUUGGAUUUGUAGGGGGUAUUUUAUAAAGCUUUUUUCUCUUUGUGAAACUCCUUUUCAUAUGUGAAAUUGUUUUAUUUUUAUUUUAUCAUUUUCAUUGAAGGAAGUUGCAAAUAUUUAUAGAUAAAAUUUUAAAAAAUAAAUUUAGAAUUUCUAAGAUUUGAUUACUUAAUUAAAAAAAAAAAUUGGUUUCUUGAUUUUAGCAACUUGUCUUCUUCAUUAAGGAAGUUUGCUAACAAGAGAAUAUUUACUUCUCAUUUUAUUUUGACUUCAAUUGGAAGACUUGUUUCAUUUGUUUACAAAAUUUUCCAACAAGAAAAUAUUUAUUUCUAAUUCUCUUUUGAUUUCAAUUGUUUGAUUUGAUUUGAUUUUGCAAGACUUUAUUUUAUAGCCUUCCAAAUUUCACUACGUGUCAUUUUUUGAAUUGAAUGCCACAUGCUCAAUAUAUAUGACUCAUCACUUAUUAAGCCUGAGUUUUGUUGAGCUAAAGAGUUACAAUUUUGAAGACUAAUUUGGUAGUAUUUUAAUCCACUAAAAUUUUUUGUCUACAAAUGCCCCCUCUUCAAAAUAGAUCACACACAUGCAUUGUAAUGUAUAAGAGGUGAGUCUUGAAGUUAGCCUUUUGAAUCUUCAAUAUCCUUCUUUGAUUUUUUUUUUCGAAGAAAUAUUUUAAUAGGAAUUUCCUAUUCAAAAUACUUUUCUUCAACUUUUUUCGAACAUUGCUUUAUUUAUUUAUUUUUUUUCUACCUCGUAUCAAAGAAAAACCUUGUGUUAAUGGGAAAGCUUCUUAUUUGAACAUCUAUUGUCUUUUCUCAUGGUAUUUCACUUCCAAUUUGUCAACCUAGAAGAAGUCCUUCACCCUAGCUUGUUCAAUUGCAUCUUAGACUUGGUCACAUGCCUUUAACUUGCAAUUCUUCCUCCACUUUGUCUUUUUCUUUUUUAUUUGUUUAAAAAAUAGUACAAAAUAUUUGAGCAAGACCAUAAGCAAGAGAAGAGAGGUGGUGAAUGGAGCACCAACUAACCUUAGGUCAAGAUCUUGAGCAAGAGAAGUAAGGUGGAGCGUAGAGCACAAACUUCUCUAGAGCAUGGUAGGCAUACCAUCAUGGAGUUGUCUUCUGCAUGGAGCAUGGUAGGGCAUUAUAUAUAUGAUAGGGUGGGCCAUUAUGUAACAAUGAAGAACAAAAAUCCAUGGUGUACAAUUGGGAACAACAAUUCAUGCUAUCAAGCUUCAACCUUUUUUUUUUUGUUUUUUUUUUAAUCCCUAUCUCCACCCCCCGACCCAAUAUUUUUUCAAGUUUCCAGAUUCCUUUUGAUUCUUUCUCAUUUUAUUUUUUUCAACUCUUUUUUUUCCUCCCUUUUUAACCAUUGUUUUUAAGGAAGAAAUAGAUUCACCAUCCCUUACCACAAGGUCAAUCUCCAUUGCUUGCAAAGACAAAUUUGCUUUUUGGUGUUUUUUUUCUUCAAAAAUUAUCUUAACAUUUUAAGAUAUAUAUAUAUAGAUAUAGAUAUUUAAAAAACUUAAAUAUCCAUAAUAAAAAUAAAUAUUUAAGGCUCUUGACUUGUUUAAAUUGGCUUGACUUGGAUACUUAGCGGGACCAUACUUAACACCCAUGUAGAUGAGCUAUAAUCUUGAUGGUAGGUUGUGUUGUAUUUUUUGACAUUUAAUGUGGCUUAAGAGUUAAAGUCUUCACUCAUGCAAAUUAGCUUGGUUUGGAUGCACAAUGGUCUCUAACUUCUUAAUGCUUAAUUAAACUUGGAACCAUAUUUAACACCCAUGUAGACAAGUCAUAAUCAUGACAUGGAGCACUAUUUUAUUUUAACUCUUAAUGCAACUUAAAUAUUAAAGUCUUCACUCAUACAAAUUAACUUGGGUUAGAUGCACAAUGGUGUUCAACUUGGUAAAAUUAAUUAAAAUUGAAACAUUUAACACCCAUGUAAACAAGUCAUAACUUUCACAUGGAACAGUGUUGUAUUUUUAGCUUAAUGUCGCUUAAGUGUUAAAGUCUUCACUGAUGUAAAUUAGCUUGGCUUAGAUGCAUAGUAGCAUUCAACUUUUUAACACUUAAUUUAAAUUCAUACCAUAUUGAAAACCCAUGUGGACAAGACAUAAUGAGAAAAUAAAUGGCUAAUCUAAAUAGAUAAAAAUACCUAACAAGGAAGGAGGGGGGUGAAUUGGAGUUUAAAAAAAAAAUAUAUUUUUAAACACAAUAAAAUUAAGUACAAGAAGCACAAAUAUAAAGAGAUAAGUUAUAGAAAUCAAACUCAGAUUUAUAGUGGUUCGACACUUCCUUGCCUACAUCCACUCUCCUCAAACUCCUAACCGAGUGAGGGUUCCACAUAUACUUGAAGCUUCAACCAAGCUUCUAAUCACUUUUUACACUUGGAUUUUAGCUCCAAUGGGCUCUUACACAUUCUCUUCAAGUCUCUACUCACUUGAAGAUUUUAACACACAAUUAACAGUUUGAAACUCUCAACCUAGCUCAACAAUGGCUCAAAUACAACUCAAGGCUAGGAUGAAUCACAAAGGUGCAUUAAAUAAUAUGCAAAUGAAGAUUUAAUGCACUGAGAAAAGAAUGAGAGCUUUUAUGGCAAGAACAAGUAGGUAAACAAAUCAAUGGAGGUGUUCUCUUACUCAUAAAUGAAGUGGAACUCUCAAUUUAUAGGUUUCUAAUCUCGGAAGCUAAAAAACCAAAAAGUAACCUCGAUUGGUCGAGUUAGGGGUCGACAGGUUCACUAGUCGUUAGAGCAUUAAAUGCGUGGCAGGUGAUCGUUACCCUCGACCGGACCUUGACUGGGAAGGCAAAUCUCUCAACUGGGAAAGAAAGGCUAUUGGAAGAGAGAAGGCUUUUUGCAUCUUUUGACUAGACCUCAACCGAGAAGGAGCAACUGAUCGACCAGUACCCUAGCCGGUUGAGCCGGUUGGCCAGUGCCUCAACCAAUUCACCAUUUUUUGGCCCUAAAACCUAUCUUUUUGUGGUCUUUUUUGCUUCUAACACUUAAACAAGGUCUUUAGGUAAAAUAAUAUGUCAAUUUUGAAACGCUUUGCCUAAGGUUCAUUUGAUAGAACUCGGAUUUUGAUGGAAAUGUGACUUUAAUGCGUAAACCGAGUUUUAAAAGAUGUAUGAAAUGAUAUGAAAAUUCUAAGUACACUCAUGCAUUCAUUUUACAUAGUUUUCUAUAAUUAAAAAGUCUUUCAAAAGUCUUGAUCUUGCAUCCAUUAGAUCAUUUGAUUAAUUUCCAAAUUAAUAUUUGAAAUUCUUUAUAAUUCAAACCAAUUAGUAACUUAACCAUGGUUUGUUAUCAUCAAAACAUGAUUAGGAGAACCCUUGGGCUAACACAUAACAUUGUAGCAAUGUUAUAUUUUUUACACUUAAUGCAGUUUAAGUUCUAAAAUCUUCAUUUCUAUGAAUUGGUUCACCUUGGAUGCAUAGUGGUGUCUAAAUUAUAAUACUUAAUUAAAAUUGAAACCAUAUUUAACACCCAUGUAGACAAGUCAUAACUUUGACAUGGAGUGGCAUUGCAUUUUUGACACUUAAUGCAACUUAGGUGCUAAACUUUUCACUCAUGAGAAUUGGUAUGGGUUGGAUGCAUGUGGUGUCGAACUUUUUAACACUUAAUUAAAAUUGGAACCAUAUUUAACACUAUCUAGAUAAGUCAUAACCUUGAUGUGAAGCGACAUUGUAUUUUCAACACUUAAAGCAACUUAGGUGCUAAAGUCUUCACCCAUGCAAAUUAGUUCAUCUUGGAUGUACAAUGGUGUCCCAUUUUUUAACAUAUAAUUAAAAUUGGAACCAUAUUUGACACUCAUGUAGACAAGUCUAGCCAUGAUGUAAAGUAGUGUUGUAUUUUUAAAACUUAAUGCAGCUUCAAUGGUAAAGUUUUUACUCAUGUGAAUUGGCUUGAUUUGGAUGCACAAUGAUGCCUAACUUUUUAACAUUUUAUUAAAUUUGGUAUCAUAUUUAACACCUAUGUAGACAAGUCAUAACCUUAAUGUAGAGGUGCUGUAAUAUUUUUGGUACUUAAUGCCGCUCAAGUGCUAAAGUCUUCACUCAUGUGAAUUUUUUUGGUUGAGAUGGACGUCUCUAACAUUUUAACAUUUAAUUAAAAUCAGAAUCAUAUUUAACACUCAUGUAAAAAAGUCAUAACCUUGACACAUAGUAAUAUGCAAUGUUUUAACAUUUAAUAUGACUUAAGUGCUAAAGUUUUCACUCAUGUGAAUUGGCUUGGCUUGGAUGCAUAAUGGUGUCUAACAUUUUAACACUGAAAUUAAAAUUAGAGUUAUAUUUAAUAAUCAUGUAGACAAGUCAUAACCUUGACGAGAAGCAAUAUUGUCAUUUUGACACUUAAUAUUGCUUAAAUGCUAAAGGCUUCACUCAUGCAUAUUGACUUAGCUUGGAUGAACAAUGGUAGCUAACUUUUUAACACUUCAUUAAAUUUGGAUUAUGGUUAACAUCCAUGUAGAAGAGUGAUAAACUUGAUGCAAAGUGAUGUUAUAUUUUUGGUACUUAAUAUAGCUUAAAUACGAAAAUCUUCACUUCUAAUAAUUAACUUGGCUUGGAUGCAUAGUGGUGUCCUACUUUUUAACUCUUAAUUGAAAGUGAAAUCAUAUUUAACAUCCAUUUUAUGCUAGUCAUAAACUUGAUAUAGAGCAAUGUGCAACUUUUUAACAUUUAAUGCAACUUAGGUGCUAAAGUCUUUACUCAUAUGAAUUAACUAAACUUAGAUGCAUAUUCGUUUCCAACUUUUUUAAUACCUAAUUAAAAUUAAAACCAUAUUUAAAAACCAUGUAGACAAAGGCAUAAUCUUAACAUGGAGCAGUGUAUAACUUUUAGCACUUAAUUAAAAUUGGGAUUAUACUUCACAACCACAUAUUCCUCCUCCUAUUUUUCAAUUUUUUCUUGUGGUGAUGAUUGAACUCAACUAGUUUGUCCAAGUUACCUGCAUACCUUAACAGAGAGGGGAUCAAGUCAAACUUAGUUCAAAGUAUUUUUUUAAUAUCUAACUUUUGCCAAGGCUAAUGAUUUUAAUCUUGAAAGCUUGUCUUAACUUUUGACUAUAUAUGUAGUGUUUUCAAGUUUCAAUUUAGCGACCUAUGAAUUGUACAAAUUGAAAAUGACUUCACUCAUGUGUAAAAAUAAAAGAUAUUCAUUCAUAGUUUUAGGGCAACGAAAAGUAAUCGACCCUUUUUUGCAUUAUUAUUAUUAUUGUUGUUGUUAUUAUUAUAAUUAUUAUAUUACCUUAAAAAAAAGACCUUCUCCAAAAAAUUUAAUCUACAAGUACUUGGAUUCUAUUUGAAUAUAAAAAGAGCCACUCAUAUGCAUGAAUUAAAUAUAUGUCCCAUGGAUAAGUUGUACUUAGCCACGGCUGAAGCUUUCCAUUAUGACUUGAAGGGAAAAAAAAAGAGAGGAGAAUAAUGUCAUUAAAAAACUGAUUGCCAUGUGCCUAUGCCUGCCAGUAGAUGGCUGAAAACUAGUUCUAUUCUUUUGUUUUUGCCUCUACUAAUGAACCAUAAUUGAGAGAUUCAUUGGCAACUAUCGUAUAAACAAUGGUUCAUAAAUUACUUUUAAAUUUUGAUAGCAAAGACUCAAAAUGUAAAACCAUAAAAAAUUUGUUCUAUUCCCAAAUUUUUUUAAAUAAUAAAUUAAUGCACAUGACUGUUUUCACAUCUUAUUCUCAUUUCUAUCAAUGCAAUAAUUGUAAUCAUCUUAUCUAUUAACAUGGCCUAGAGCCAUAGAGCUUCCUUUUCUUUAGUCCUAGAGCCAUUUCAGCUAAGAGUAGUCUUUCCUUAGCAUUUCCGGUCCAAAGCUUCCAUUUCUUUAGGCCUAGAGGCAUUUUCAGUCCAGAGCUGCUGUUUCUUUCGGCCUACAACCAUUUUCAGCCUGAAGCUGCCUUUCUUUAGCAUUUUCAGCCCAGAGCUACCUUUCCUUGGCAUAUCAGCCCAAAGCUUCUAUUUCUUUAGGCCUGGAGCCAUUUCAACAUACAACAUUGGUUUCUUUGGCCGGGCCUUGAGCCCUUUUCAACCCAGAACUGUCAUUUCUUCUAAAUAACUUCUCUUUUAAAAAACUUCAAUUUGUCUUUCCAAUAAAAAAAUUUAAGGCUUUGUUCUAGGUUUCAAGAAGCUGGCAUAGAAAAAAAAAAGGAAAAAAAAAAUUCUUGAUGGCAUAAAGUAGGACAUGGCCGGGAUAGUUUGAAAUACAUAAUUUUCCCCAUUCAAAUGCAAAACAUAUUAAAAGAACAUUUGGCAUGAUUUUAUGAAGUGAUUCUAUCUUUUCUAAUACUUCAAAGUUAUGAAGUGAUUCUAUCUUUUCUAAUACUUCAAAGAUAAAUUUUUUUGAAGUAUUAGAAAAAUUAGAAACAUUUCUUAAAAUCACUACCCUUAACUAUAUUUAGAUACUUUAACCAUUUCAAAUGCUACAUGUUGUUUCCUUCUACAUUUCCUCUUUAUUUUGUUUUUCUCUUACAUUUUUCCUCAAAUUUUCUAAAAACCAAACAUAACCUAAAAGAAAAGAUAAUUUGACUUAUUUUGAAAGUUCUUUAUAUAUAUAGUUUAUAUGGAAAAUUGUUUCAUGUUAAUUUAAUAAAGCAUUUAUAAUAUUGAGAUCGCUCUUUCAUAAUCAUAAAUUAACCUUUAGUUUCAACUUCUACAAGAGGCUAAAUGAAAAAAGCUAUCACAGAGGAGGCCUCAGCCAAUGAGUAAGAUGCACUGUUGUACCAAACAAUAGGUGGAAAAUACAAUUUUAUUAAGACUCUGAGACAAAAAAAAAAAAAAAAAGGAUGAUUUUACACUCAAAACAAGGAUUUAUUUAUAAUGAAGUGCAGUCUCCAUAUGCACAUGUGACUGCAUUUACAGCAUAAAGAAAGACAAGGAAAUUAACAAAUGUUGGACUCAUUGGAAAAUCAUACAAAUUAUUGAAGGAGGACCUUAGCUAAGCUAACUGUCUCCUAAAUUGCCCAUCUUUUAUAUAUAUUUGCAUUCAUCCGUCUCAUCAUCGUCUUUGAUUUUAGAUGGUGAGGAUGUGAAAGUAACAGGAAGCAGUGGACGAUUGUUCACUGUGAGGCUUAGCACAUCAGCUCUCGAAUAAUGUCCUACCACAUCGAACUGGAACUUUGCUUUAGGAAUCUCUCCACGAACAUCUGCAUAUCAAGUGAUCAUCAAAAUAUUUGAUCAGCCCUUUUAAAUAUCAGAGAGUAUCAAGUCUUCCAUAAAACCGUGUUUGCAGUCCUUUUAAACCUAAAGAAUUCACUCAUUUGCCUUAUCUGCAUACUGAAAUAUUUGGAUAUACAAUUGGAGAAGUUAGGGCCAUACCAAGAUCAGCUGUGAAGAGGCCUUCUCCUUCAUAAUUCGGUCCUGCUAGAAUUUCGCCAUGGGGCGAAAUGAUGACACUACCUCCUGCCCAAACAAUGGAAUCUGGAGUGACAUCUUCUUCUGUAGGACUGUAAAGAUACUCAGGUGGAGGUGGGUAAUCUUUCCUCCGACAGAACUGGAUGGGUGAAAGAACAUAGCAUCCACCCUCAAUAGCAACGUGUCUCAUUGUAGCUACCCAUGUAUCCCCGGAAUCGGCAGUAGGAGCACAAUAUAUCUCAAUACCUAUAGAGAUGUACAUUCGUAUUUUGUGAUCAAUCAAUCCCAUAUCAAAGCCAUAAUGUAUUUCAAGCCUAUUUAUAGGCUAAAACCCUAACAACUUAAAAAAGAGUACUGAAGUAUUUCAAGCCAAACCAUAUUAGUUAGUGAAGAAAAAGACAUACCUUUGCCAUACAUUGCUGUCCUUAGAAGCGGCAUUCUAUUUUCCCAACAAAUGACCGAACCAAGUUUUCCAUAUGGAGUGUCAUAAACUGGAGUUGUCGAGCAAUCUCCGAAACCCCAGACGAGCCGCUCCCAAUAUGUUGGCAUGAGUUUCCUAUGUUUUCCAAGGUAAUUACCUUUAGGAUCAAAGAAGAGAACAGUGCAAUACAAUGUGUAUCCCUCUCUCUCAAUAACACCUGUCACUAAGUAGACUCUGUAUUUCGCAGCCAUUGAUGCCAAUCUAUCAACUUCAGGUCCUGAAAAUACAUUAAUUUGAGAUUAAAGAUGAAACAUGUCAGCUGAAGGUUCAUCACAAAGCAGCAUAAGUAGAUUUUGUUUCAACAACUUAUUAAGUGGCUCAGUUCUUUAGCUAUUUAAGGGAGAAAAAGAGAGGUAAUUGACCCGGAACAUUAAUGGCAGAAGCAUGGUACUUGCGGAAACUUUCUUUCCCUCUUGGCGACCGGUCAGCGAAGUUAUAUCCUCGGGGAUACCCACCGAUAAAUGCUUCAGGAAACACAACCAGUUGGGAUCCCAGUGCAGCUGCUUCUUUCAAAAACCUCUCAGCCUUAUCUGCUCUCAAAAUCACAUUGCAAGAAGUAAAUUAAUUGGUUGAAUGGAGAGAAUGAAAAUUAACUUUUAAGAGAUCCCGAAUGACUUUUUGGUUGCUGAGAAAACUCAAGGAAAAACAGACCUAGAUGAAACUUGAAACUCUCAUAUUUUCAGCUGUUUUGUAACUAAGAAAAGAGAAACCACCUCAACUCAACUCAUCAAAAUAAUUGUAAAAGCAGUAAUUCCUUGAUUGGCAGCUGAAAAUAUGAUCAGGGUUCAAUCAUCCUUUUCUUUUUUUCAGUCUCUGAGAAACCAAUUAGAUCACAUAUUCCAUUACACAAGUUGCACAAUUGAAAGAAAUGGUACGUUACCUAGAGUGGCAGGAGUAUCAUAAAAGAUACUAGAAGCUUGAACAACGGUGGCUCUAACAGUUGAAGACAUUGCAGAAAAUUGUAUGUUUUUUCGUUUCCCCUUUGUUUGAGGAUUCCUCACACUGCGUUCAGUAUAUAUAUUGCCCAUGACAUUGUGGACCAGCCACUUGACUUAUACAAAUUGAAAAUGACUGAGUCAUCUGUGAAAAGCAAUUUAAGAUAACAUUCAAAAUUAAUAAGCUUUAAUUUUUAUUUAUAUAUAUAUAUACAUAAUCUACAAGUUGUUAUCAUUAUAUUUGAAUAAAAAGAGGGACCCGCCCACAUGCAUGGAUUCCAUCCAUCUAGCACACAGAUAAAUUGUCUUUAGUGGCGGCUGAGGCUUUCUAUGACUUAUACCAUAUAUCUAUACACCCCAGUAUAUAGCUAAAAACUGGGUAAUGUAUUGGCCCCUACCUAAAAUUAUUGAUUGAUUCAAUGACAGCUAUCUGAGAAAAAUAAAAAAGGGAGAACUAUUCUUACGCUUGCCUUGAUUUAAGCAAAUAUACUUUUAAUUAGGAAUUCUAAUUUUCAUAUUUUACCCCAAACAGAUAAUCAAUAAAAUUAUUCUCCAAAUAUGUAUUUUAAUAGCAACAAAAAUGAGAAUUCCAUAAUUAUCCCUUUUAAAAUCUUUAAUAUGACAAGUCGUAAUUUAAUGUGUUUGGUAGCUCUCCUUUUUCUUUUUUUCUCCUCUACAUCACUUUCUCCAUAUAAUGUCUUUGAUAUCCUCUCCAUAUCAUGUUGUUGAUAUCCUACCUUUGACAUUUUUUUUUAUCUAUGUGUUGAAGUGACUACACUUUUAGAUUUCUUUUCACUCUUUUAAUAUUUUCAUAUAUAUUUAUUAACUUUAAUAAAUUUUUGAAAACAUUAAACAUAAAAUUAUAAUAUAUGAUAAAUAAUUAAUGAUAACAAAUUAAAUAUAAAUAUAAGUAUGAAAUGGACAAAAAAUAAAAAAUUUAUCCUACAAAUAAUAGACUAUAUAGUUUAAAAUAUUAGUUAUAAUAAUAUAUUUGAUACUUUAGAGUUUAGAUUAAAAAAUUAUGUUUUAUUUUUUAGAGGUUAGCAUAUAAUAUUUCCAUUAAACAAAGAUUUUUUUAUAUGAAUCCUAAAUAAAAUGUUUAUUUAUUUUGCAAAUUCUUAUCAUAUGCGAUAUAUAUAUAUAUAUAUAUCAUGUUAUUUAUAAUUUUUAUUAUUUUGUGUCAAAAUCACAGUCAAUGAUGAUAAUUUUAGUUAGUAUAGAGCUCUUAAAAGGAUGAUAUGAUGUAACAAAUAUGAAGUUAUUAAUUAUUUACUGAUAUUCUGGUUUUACUUUUAUUAAUCCUUAUUCCAUACAUUAUAUUUUAUGAGCAUCCUAGUUUGACAUUUCUUAUACUAUACAUGGCUUAGGUGCAUUAGAAGUUGCACGGAAGAUCCAAGUUAUAGAUUCCUUUUUUAAUUCAAUAUUUUAAAAAAAAAAUUAUACUUUCAGUCAAUGUCUCAUAUUUCAAACACGUACACACUCUAGAAUUUCUCGAAUUGUAGUCUAGAAUGUCAACUUAGUGUUUGAUGAAAAAAGGUAUAAACAAAUAUAUGAAAAAAGUAAUCAACAAGCAUAGGAUUCUAUUUGAAUAAAAAAGAGCCACUUACAUGCAUUGAUAAAGGAAACUCCAACUCAGCUAGCAUACAAUCCAUGCCAAAGCAGAAUCUUUACGUAAGAAGUUGAUAAUGCAAUUUGCCAGGAAGGAAAACUACUCUCCAUAUUUGUAAUGUGGAAAAUCAAGGUUGGAAGGAAAUUUUCACUUACUUAUUCUGUAUAAUAUUCCCUUUUUUUUUUUUUUUUGUAAAGAAAGUAUGUAUUGUUUAUUUAUUUUUUAGAAAACAAUUAGUAAAGUGUGGUGCGAAUUCAACCUUUCAAAAAUAGUUUCUAUUCUUCAUGGUAUCGGAGCUAGUUAAUCUAAAACAAUCCAAAGCUUCCAUGGAAACCCCAGAAAAUGUUCUUAGCAUUCAGGCUUUUCAUCAAUGCUCGAGCCUCAUCUCCAUCAAACUGAAUAUGUCCAAUCUCCUUUUGUGGCACUCACAAGUUCUUCCUCUUGUGCGAAGCCUUGGAUUAGUCCAUCAUCUCUCUGAAAAUAGACACGCAUAAGAGGGGAUAAUGGAUAGUGAAACAAAGGAGACCUAUGAUUAGUCAAUAGAGACAUGGUCUCACAAUGAUGAUCUACUUACCUCCUGGCUUCUUGGACCCAUGACAGAAGAAGUGAUUCUUUUAUUGGAUGGAACAGAGAUUGCCUAUGAUGUUUGGAACUCUCUGGAAGAAAAACUCCUUCCAAUGACCAAAGAGAAGGAUAUGCAAUUGACCAAUAGACUCCGAGGGCUGAAGAAAGGCACAAGGUCCCUUGAUGAAUAUCUAAGGGAGUUCAAAGAAAUUUUUGAUGCAUUAGCUACAGUUAGAAAACCAGUAAGUGACCUAGACAAAGUUUUUCAACUAGCUCAAGGUCUCAUAACUAAAUACAUGGAUUUUCGGGUGGCCAUGUUAUCAAAGCCACCAUAUCCCUCUUACAAUCAAUUUGUUCUGGCUCUACAAGGGCAUGAACAAAUGAUUAUGAUAGAAAAUGAAGAGAACAAAGAGUCAAUAAACCAUGAACAAGCCUAUUUUACCCAAUGAGGAAGACGAAGAAAUCAAGGAGGAAGAUUUCUUUCUAGAGGUCAUGACUUCAUUCUAGCAAGACGAUUCAAUCACAAUGCUACCAAUGACCAAAGGCAGAAUGUUCAUCCCAACACCAGAAAUCCAAGAAAUAGCUUCAACAACCAGCUUCCACCAGAACAAAAACUCCAAAAAUCUAAAGGUACUCUUAUUUACCAAAUUUUUAAUAAAGCUAACCAUUCAGCUUUGGAUUGCUAGAACAGAUUCAACUAUUUGUAUCAAUCAGAAGAGAUUCCUCAAGCUUUGGCUGCUAUGGCUCUAAAUGAAGAAGAUAAGGAUCCUAAUUUUUAUGUGGACUCGAGAGCAAAAACCCAUAUAACAAAUGACCUAGGUAAGAUUACCCAAGUAAUUCCAUAUAAAGGGCAUGAUGCAAUUUUUGUUGGAAAUAGAGAAGCUGUAAGAAUCUCACAAAUUGGUGAAGCUAGACUAAAAACUAAACAUAUAGAUCUAAAGCUUAAAAAAUUAUUGGUUAUUCCAAAAAUUAAGAAAAAAUUGUUAUCCAUUGGACAACGUACCUCUGAUAACCCAUGCUCCAUAGAAUUCUCAUCAACUAGUUUUGUCAUUAAGGAUCAACUUCAACAAGUGCUAGCUAGAGGAACUAAGAAGAGAGGUCUCUAUGCAUUGGAGGAAAAUGUGAUUCAAGCCAUGAUAGUUACUAGGUCUAGCAAGGCACCAUAAGAAGUGUGGCAUCAACGCAUGGGGAAUCUGCAAACAAAAUCUAUAAAGCUUCUACAAGAUAAGAAUUUCAUUGAAGUAUCUAGUUGGAUGAAAUCAACAAUAGUUUGUGUUAGUUUUCAAUUAGGAAAAAGUUGUAAAGUUUCUUUUGGCUUAAAAAAUAAAAUUUCCAGCAAUCUUCUUGAAAAAAUUCAUUGUGACUUAUGGGGACUUGCACCAAAUAAUUCAACUCAAGGAUACAAGUAUUAUGUUGUCUUUAUUGAUGAUCAUACUCACUAUACAUGGCUUUAUCCCUUGAGAAGAAAAUCAAAUUUCUAUGAAUGUUUUUUGAAGUUUCAAAAUCUGGUUGAGAAUCAACUUGAAAGAUAGAUAAAAAUCUUCCAAAGUGAUGGUGGAGGUGAGUUUCAAUCAAUUAAAUUUCAAAAUCACCUAAGCAAGUGUGGAAUUUUGCAACGAGUCUCAUGCCCAUGAACUCCAGAACAAAAUGGGGUUGUAGAGAGAAAGCAUAAACACAUUGUUGAAAUGGGUUUAACAAUGCUUUUCAAUGCCAAAUUACCAUUGAGUCUAUGGGUAGAUGCAUUCCAUACUGUCGUAUACCUUAUUAAUCGACUGCCUUCCAUGGUGUUGAAAAUGUAGAGUCCAUUCUUUAUGUUUUUCAAACAAUAUCCAGAAUAUAGGAGCUUGAGAAUUUUUUGUUGUCGAUGUUUUCCAUACCUUUGAGACUACGGGAAGAAUAAAUUCUCACCUAAGAUAUCUCCAUGUGUUUUUAUUGGAUAUAGCUCUCUACACAAGGGUUAUAGAUGCUUGCAUCCUUCAACUAAAAGAGUUUACAUAUCUCAUCAUGUCAUCUUCAAUGAAAAUUGCUUUCCUUAUGCUAACUCUCUUGUUAAGAAAAAUCAUUUACAGAUUCCUAUAGAAAUGGUAUCAUUCUCAACUUCAGAUGUUUUUUGUGAGACUUAAAAAAUGGAUCACCAAACUAAGUCUUGGAAGGAGAACACUGCUAACCAAUCAAGCAACUCCAAGAAGUUCAACCAUUGGUCAUGCACUACUAGGUAAAGAAACUGGUUUAGUGUUGACGGAAGAAUUUCUACUAGUUGUAUUACUAACCAAAAUACAAAAGCAUCAUGUGUUAAUCCGACUGGAACUCCCACUACUAUUACUGUUGAAAUUUCCACUAUUGUUACUAGUAAAAAUGACCAUAAUACCGUCAUUACUACUGAAACUCCCACUGAUGUUGCUCUUGGUUCUAGUGGCCACAAUUUCAACACUGCAACUACUAUUGGAACACUCUCCUAGAUUGAGUCUACUAGUAGCUACAAGCCUGCCAAUGUUAGUAAUUUUCCUUAUAUCAGUAAGCACCUAGUAGUUGAUCUCUCUUUCCCUUAAAAAUGGCAGAAAAAUGAGCAUGUUGGUUCAUCUCCGCAAAACAAAUCCACCAGUCACAGUGUUGAUGAUGAAGUUCCUGAUAUUAGCAAGCAAAUUGUUGUUGACAUCUCUUCUCCUCAGGGCUAACACAUAGAUAACAAAGAAACUCAUAUGAUCACCAGAAGUAAACUCAAGAAUGAUCCCAGUUUAAAGUCUCAAAUGGUUACUUUUGUUGCCAUAAGAAGUAAUAUUAGUGAGCCAAAAACAUAUUGUACAACAUUGAAAAUUCCCUAUUGGUUCAAACAAUGCAAGAGGAAAUUAAGGAUUUAAUCCAAAAUCGAACAUGGGAUUUGGUUCCUAGGCCUCCAACUGCAAAUAUUGUGGGUUCUAAAUGGGUGUUUAAAACAAAGCUAAAGGAAGAUGGAACCAUAGAUAGAUACAAAGCACAAUUAGUUGCUAGAGAUUUUUCUCAAAUACCGGGUUUGGACUUUGGAGAGACCUUCAGCCUAGUUAUAAAGCAUACUAUAAUCAGAUUGAUCCUUUCAUUAUCAGUAACCUUGGGGUGGACAAUGAGGCAAUCAGAUGUUAAGAAUGCCUUCAUACAUGGGUUUCUAAAGGAAAAAGUACUCAUGGAACAACCUCCAGGAUUUAUAAACAAGGACUUUCUGAAUCAUGUCUACAAAUUGAAUUGUUCUCUUUAUAGCCUUAAGCAAGCUCCAAGGGCCUAGUUAAAUAAACUAUUUCAAUGUCUUCUUCAUCUGGGGUUUUACUGUGGUAAAAUAGACUCGUCUUUAUUUAUUCUUCGCAAAGGUCAGUCUAUUGUUUUGCUACUUAUCUAUGUUGAUGAUAUUAUAGUCACAGGCAAUGAUAACAACAUCAUUAGUGACCUCAUCAGCACCCUGAGUAGUGAAUUUUCUCUCAAGGACUUAGGAUUUUUGCAUUAUUUUUUGGGAUUGGAGGUUAAAUAUCUUCUUAAUGGGUUGUUUCUUUCUCAAACAAAGUACACUAGAGAUCUCCUAGAGCACACAAAAAUGAUGGAGUGUACUCAUAUCAACACAUCCAUGGCUCUUAAGUCCAUCAUCACACCUUCUGAUGAACAACCUAUUGAUCCUACAUGAUAUAGGUAACUUGUUGGAUUCCCCUAAUAUUUAACCUUCACAAGGCUUGAUUUUGUGCAUGCAGUAAACAAGGCCUACCAACAUUUCCAAGCACCCACUAAAGUUGACUUGCAAGCUGUCAAACGCAUCCUUAGAUAUUUGAAGGAAACAAUGGAGCAUGGAAUCAGGUUUUUCAAGCAAAGUUCGCUUCGUCUCACUGGUUUUUGUGAUGCUGAUUGGGCAGGAUGCACAAACACAAGAAGAAGCACAUCUAGGUAUUAUAUUUUUCUAGGAGCCAAUUGUAUCUCAUGGUCCUCAAAGCGACAACCUACAAUUUCUAGAUCAAGCACCGAGGCCAAAUAUCGAUCCCUUGCGUCCAGUGCUGCAGAAAUAACUCGGCUUACUUUCCUUCUCCAUGAUAUUGGCAUUCAACUAUGUGAACCUUCUCAAUUUCUAUGCGAUAACCUCAGUGCCCUUCACAUGACAGUACAUCUCGUCUUCCAUGCAUGGUCCAAGCAUAUUGAGUUGGACUAUCAUUUUAUUCGGAAAAAAAGUUGCAAGUGGAGUUUUGAUUACUUGUUUCCUUCCAUCGUCCUUACAAGUAGCUGAUAUAUUCACAAAGACACUCCCUAAGACUUCAUUCCAAGUCUUUCGAUUCAAGCUAGGAGUGCACAAGUUACCACUCACUAGCUUGCAGGGGGCUAAUAAAGGAAAGUCAAACUCAACUAGCAUACAAUCCAUGCCAAAGCAAUCUUUACGUGAGAAGUUAGUAAUGCAAUCUGCUAGGUAGGAAAACUACUCUCAAUAUUUGUAAUGUGGAAAAUCAAGGCUGGAAGGAAAUCUUCACUUACCUGUUCUGUAUAAUAUUCCCUUUUCUAUGCAAAUAAAGUAUGUAUUGUUUAUUUAUUUUUUAGAAAAAAUCAGUAAAGCGUGGUACAAAUUCAAUCUUUCAAAAAUAGUUUAUGUUCUUCAUGCAUGGAUAAUAAAUCCCAUGGAUAAAUUGUAUUUAGCAGCGGCUGAAGCUUUCUAUAUGACUAAAGAGAAAAAAAGUCAUUAAAAAACUAAUUGCCAUGUGACUACGUCUACCAGUAGAUAGUUGAGAACAAGGUCUAACUCUUAACCUUUUGUACUACCUUUACAAAGGAACACAAAAUUGAGAGAUUCAAAGGCAACUAUAGUAUAAAUAUUGUUUCAUAAAUUACUUUUCAAAUUUAAUUUGAUAACAAAAAUUUAGAAUACAAAAGUAUGAAAAAUUUGUUCCAUUCCCAAAAUUUUUGCAAAUAAAAUUUUAAAGUAAUAAAUUAACACCAUGACUCUUUUCACAUCUUAUUCUCCUUUCUAUCAAAGAAAUGAUAGUAAUAAUCUUAUCUAUAAAUUUUAAAUGAGGCAAGAUCAUUGAAUUUUUAUUUUCUUUUAUUUUCUUGUUAUGUAAUUAUCAAACACAUUUUUUUUUUAAGACAAAAAAAAAUUAGACUGAAGAAAUAUAUUUUUGCCCUGAUUUAGUCACUUGGAUUGCAAUUCGAAGGAUGGAAAUAAAAGUGUAUUCUUGGAGUUAAAGAUCAAUUGAAAGCUUAAAGCGGCUUGUUCUCGAAUGAAUUUAAUGAAUGACGAAGAAUACAUGUGUUGUAAUUUUUUGGAUUUGUAGGGGAAUUUUAUGAAGCUCUUUUCUCUUUGUCAGGCUUCUUUUUUUGUAUGAUUUUUUUUCUUCAUCAUUUUCAUUCAAGGAAGUCGCAUAUAUUUAGAGAUGAAAUUAAAAAAUUAAAUUUAGAAUUCCUAAGAUUUGAUUACUUAAUUAAAAAAAAUUGGUUUCUUGAUUUUAGCAACUUGUCUCCUCUAUUAAGGAAGUUUGCUAAUAAGAGAAUAUUUAAUUAUCAUUUUCUUUUGACUUCAAUUAGAAGAUUUGAUUCGUUUGUUCAUAAAAUUUGAAAACAAAAAAAAAAAUUAUUUCUAUUUUUUUAUUUCAAUUGUUUAAUUUAAUUUGAUUUUGGAAGACUUUAUUUUAUAGUUUUCCAAAUUUUGUUACAUGUCAUUUUUUGAAUUGCAUGUUACAUAUUCAAUAUACAUGACCCAUCACUUAUUAAGCAUAAAUUUCGUUGAGCUAAGGAGUUACAAUUUUGAAGACUAAUUUGAUAGUAUUUUAAUCCACUAAAAUUUUUUAUGUCUACAAAUGCCCCGUCUUCAAGACAAACACACACAUGCAUUGUCAUGUAUAAAAGAUGAGUCUUGAAGUUAGCAUUUUGAAUCUUUAAUAUCCUUCUUUGAUAUUUUUUUUUUCAAAGAAAUAUUUUAAUAGGAAAUUUCCUAUUUCAAAAUACCUUUCUUCAACUUUUUCCAAAAACGACUUUAUUUUCUUCCUUUUUUUCUACCUGGUAUCAAGGAAAGACUUUGUGUUAAUGGGAAAGUUUCUUAUUUGAACAUAUAUUUGCUUUUCUCAUGGUAUUUUCACUUCCAAUUUAUCAUCCUACAAGAAGUCCUUCACCCUUGGUCGAUUGUAUCUUAGACUUGAUCACAUGCCUUUAACUUGUAAUUCUUGCUCCACUUUAUUUAUUUUAUUUUAUUUUAUUUUAUUUUUAAAAAAGAAUACAAUGUAUAUGAGCAAGACCUUGAGCAAGAGGAGCAAGGUGGAGGGUGGAGCAUGAGCUAGCCUUAGGGUAAGACCUUGAGCAAGAGAAGUAAUGUGGAGUGUAGAUCACAAACUUCUCUGGAGCAUGGUAGGCAUACCGUCACAGAAUUGUCUUCCACAUGGAGCAUGGUAGGGUUUAUACAUAUGAUAGGGUGUGCCAUCAUGUAACAAUGAAGAACAACAAUCCAUGGUGUACAAUUGGGAACAACAAUUCAUGCUAUCAAGCUUCAACAUUUUUUUUUACCCCCAUCUCCAUUUUUUCAACUUCUUUUUUUUUUUUUUGUCCUUUUUUUUUCCCUUUUUUUAAGCAUUGUUUUUAAGGAAGAAAUAGGUUUGCCAUCCCUUACUAUGAGGUCAAUAUCCAUCACUUGCAAAGACAAAUUUGCUUUUUGAUAUUUUUUCUUCUUCAAUAAUUAACUUAACAUUUUAAUAUAUAUAUAUAUAUUUUAACAAACUUGAAUAUUCAUAAUAAAAUAAAUAUUUAAUGUCUUUACUCAUCCAAAUUAGCUUGACUUGAAUACUUAGUAGAUCCAUACUUAACACCCAUGUAGACGAGCUGUAACCUUGAUGGCAGGUUGUGUUGUAUUUUCGACACUUAAUGUGCCUUAAGAGUUAAAGUCUUCUCUCAUACAAAUUAGCUUGGUUUGGAUGCACAAUGGUGUGUAACUUUUUAACACUUUAUUAAACUUGGAACCAUAUUUAACACCCACGUAGACAAGUCAUAAUCAUGACAUGGAUCACUGUUUUAUUUUUAGCUCUUAAUGUGGCUUAAAUAUUAAAUUCUUCACUCAUACAAAUUAAAUUGGGUUAGAUGCACAAUGGUGUUCAACUUGUUAACAGUUAAUUAAAAUUAGAACCAUAUUUAACACCCAUACAAACAAGUCAUAACUUUGACGUGGAGCAGUGUUGUAUCUUUGGCUUAAUGCCGCUUAAGUGUUAAAGUCUUCACUCAUAUGAAUUAGCUUCACUUAGAUGCAUAGUUGUAUUAUACUUUUUAACACUUAAUUUAAAUUUGGACCAUAUUGAAAACCCAUGUGAACAAGACAUAACCUUGUAGUGGUGUUAUAUUUUUGACACUUAAUGUAGCUUAAAUGCUAAAGUCUUCACUUCUAUGAAUUGGUUCACCUUGGAUGAAUAGUGAUGUCUAAAUUGUAAUAAUUAAAAUUGAAACCAUAUUUAACACUCAUGUAGAUAAUCAUAACUUUGACGUAAUGGCAUUGUAUUUUUGACACUUAAUGCAGCUUAGGUGCUAAAGUUUUCACUCAUGAGAAUUGGUAUGAGUUAGAUGCAUUGUGGUGUCCAACUUUUUAACACUCAAUUAAAAUUGGAACCAUAUUUAACACCAAUGUAGAUAAGUCAUAACCUUGACGUGAAGCGAUAUUGUAUUUUUGACACUAAAUGCAACUUAGGUGCUAAAGUCUUCACCCACGCAAAUUGGUUCAUCUUGGAUGCACAAUGGUGUCGAAUUUUUUUAACAUAUAAUUAAAAUUUGAACCAUAUUUGACACUCAUGUAGACAAGUCAUAACCAUGAUGUAGAGUAGUGUUGUAUUUUUAACACUUAAUAUGACUUUACUGGUAAAUUCUUUACUCAUGUGAAUUGCCUUGAUUUGGAUGCACAACUAACUUUUUAACAUUUUAUUAAAUUGGGUAUCAUAUGUGUUGUUUUUUUAACACUUAAUACGACUUUAGUGGUAAAUUCUUUACUCAUGUGAAUUGUCUUGAUUUGGAUGCACAAUGAUGCCUAACUUUUUAACAUUUUAUUAAAUUGGUAUCAUAUUUAACACCAAUGUAGACAAGUCAUAACUUUAAUGUAGAUGCGGUGUAGUAUUUUUGGCACUUAAUAUUGUUUAAGUGCUAAAGUCUUCACUCAUGUGAAUUUUCUUGGUUGAGAUGCACAAUGGUGUGUAACAUUUUAACAUUUAAUUAAAAUUGGAACCAUAUUUAACACUCGUGUAGAGAAGUCAUAACCUUGACAUGGAGUAAUAUGCAAUUUUUUUAUAUUUAAUAUGACUUAAGUGCUAAAGUUUUCACUCAUGCGAAUUGACUUGACUUGGAUGCAUAGUGAUGUCUAACAUUUUAACACUUAAUUAAAAUUAGAGCUAUAUUUAAUAAUCAUGUGGACAAGAAAUAACUUUGACGUGAAACAAUAUUGUAAUUUUGACACUUAAUGUUGCUUAAAUGCCAAAGUCUUCACUCAUACAUAUUGACUUAGCUUGGAUGAAAAGUGGUAUCCAACUUUUUGACACUUUCUUAAAUUUGGAAUUAUGUUUAACAUCAAUAUAGACAAGUAAUAACCUUGACGCAGAGUGAUGUUAUAUUUUUAGCACUUAAUAUAGCUUAAGUGCUAAAAUAUCCACUUCUAAGAAUUGACUUGGCUUGGAUGCAUAAUGGUGUCCUACUUUUUAACACUUAAUUGAAAGUGAAAUCAUAUUUAACACCCAUUGUAUGCUAGUCGUAAACUUGAUAUAGAGCAUUGUGCAACUUUUUAACACUUAAUGCGACUUAAAGUGCUAAAGCCUUUACUCAUAUGAAUUAAUUGAACUUAGAUGCACAUUUGUUUCCAACUUUUUAAUACAUAAUUAAAAUUAAAACCAUAUUUAAAAACCAUGUAGACAAAGACAUAAUCUUAACAUGGAGCUAUGUAUAACUCUUAACACUUAAUUAAAAUUGAGAUUACACUUAACAACCACAUAUUCCUCCUAUUUUUCAAUUUUUUCUUGUGGUGAUGAUUGAACUUAACUAGUUUGUCCAAGUUGCCUAUAUACCCUUAACAGAGAGGGAAUCAAGUCAAACUUAGUUCAAAGUAUUUCUUUUAAUCUCUAACUUUUGCCAAGGCUAAUGAUUUUAAUCUUACAAGCUUGUCUUAACUUUUGACCAUAUAUGUAGUCUUUUUAGGUUUCAAUUUAACGGCCUAUAUAUGACUUGUACAAAUUGAAAAUGACUUCAAUCAUGUGUAAAAAAUAAUAAAAGAUAUUCAUUCCUAGUUUUAGGGCAACGAAAAAUAGUUGAUCCUUUUUUAUAUUAUUAUUAUUGUUGUUGUUAUUAUAAUUAUUAUUUCACCUUACAAAAAGACCUUCUGCAAUUAAUAUUUUAUACAUAUAUAUAUAUAUAUAUUUUAUCUUUUAUAUAUUUAGUUUUCAUAGUAUUUUUUAAUUCAAUAUAUAUAUUUUUUAAAUAUCUAUACUUUCGGUCAAUGUCUCAAAUUUAAAGCACGUGCAUGCUCUAGAAAUUCUCAAGUUGUAGGCUUGUGGCCUACAAUGUCAACUUAGAGUUUGAUGAAAAAGCGCAUAAACAAAGACAAAAAAAUUAAUCUACAAGUACUUGGAUUCUAUUUGAAUAAAAAAGAGCCACCCACAUGCAUGGAAUAAAUAUAUAUCCCAUGGAUUAGUUGUAUUUAGCCACGGCUGAAGCUUUCCACUAUGACUUAAAAAAAAAAAAAAAGAGGAUAAUGCCAUUAAAAAACUGAUUGCUACGUGGGUAUGCCUGCCAGUAGAUGGCUGAAAACUAAGUUCUAUUCUUUUCAAUAGUUGAGAGAUUCAAUGGCAACUAUCGUAUAAACAAUGUUUCAUAAAUUACUUUUAAAUUUUGACAGCAAAGACUAAAAAUGUAAAACCAUAAAAAAUUUGUUCCAUUCCCAAAUUUUUAAAAAUAAAAUUGAAAAUAAUAUAUUAACGCCCAUGACUGUUUUCACAUCUUAUUCUCAUUUCUAUCAAUGCAAUCAUCGUAAGCAUCUUAUCUAGAAAUAUGGCCUAGAGCCAUAGAGCUGCCUUUUCUUUAGUCCUAGAGCCAUUUCAUGAGCUAAUAGUAGUCUUUCCUUAGCAUUUCCAGCCCAAAGCUCCCAUUUCCUUAGGCCUAGAGACGUUUUCAGCCCAGAGCCGCUGUUUCUUUCGGCCUAUAACCAUUUUCAGCCUGAAGCUGCCUUUCUCUAGCAUUUUCAGCCCAAAGCUUCCUUUCCUUGGCAUAUUAGCCCGAAGCUUCUAUUUCUUUAGGCCUGGAGCCAUUUCAACCCAGAACUGUCAUUUCUUCUAAAUAGCUUCUCUUUUAAAAGACUUCAGUUUGUCUUUCUAGUCACAAAAUUUAAGGCUUUGUUCCAGGUUUGAAGAAGCUGGUAAAAAUCUGGCUGUUGACUAAGCUCAACUAAAAAACAGUAAAGCUUGCUGACCUGGGUAAUAAAUAACAGCUAUCUUGGCAGUAUUGUUAGUUAGUUAGAGGUUUUUUUUUUACUAUUAUAAAAGGUGCAGACUUGGGAAAACUGAAAUAAGGUAUUCAAUUGUACAGAAUAGAGAGCAAGAAAAGCAGAGAGCUUUGAAAUCCAUAACCACAGGUCUGUUUCGGUUUUCCUAUAGAGAAAAGAAAGAAACAGAGGUGAGGAGGGUUCUUGGGGAAAGCCUAUAAGUUCUUUGUUUUUUAUUCUUGUGUAAAUUCUGGUUGGUACAAUUUAAUAAAGGCUUCAGGAAAUCAGUGUGAAUGUAGAUCAAGUUGAUCGAACCACGAUAAUUCUCUUGUGUUCUUGAUCUUGGUUGAUUGUCUACAAGCUGUUUGAUUUUAUUCCUAAGAGAAGUUCUUGCAAACUGGUUGUCUUUUUCUGGUUUAGUUUCUGCUCUAAUAGUCCCUAAUUCAAGACUGGCUUUUCUCAACAGCAUGGUUUGAAACACAUAAUUUUCACCAUUCAAAUGCAAAACAAUUAACUAAUUUCAAAUGCUAUGUGUUGUUUCCUUCUAAUUUCCCCUUUAUUUUUUUUUCUCUCCUAUUUUCCUUCAAAUUUUUGGAAAACCAAACAGAGCCUAAAAGAAAAGAUAAUUUUACUUAUUUUGAAAGUUGUUUCAUGUUAAUUUAAUGAAGCAUUUAUAAUAUUAAGAUCGCCCUUUCAUAAUCAUGAGGUAACCUUAGUUUCAACUUCUACAAGAGGCUAAAUGAAAAAAGCUAUCACAGAGAAGAAGGCCUCAGCCAAUGAGUGGAAAAUACAAUUUUAUUAAUACUUGAUAUCAAAAAAAAGAAAAAAAAAAAAAAGGAUGAUUUUACUUUCAAACCAAGGAUUUAUUUAUGUUGAAGUGCAGUCUCCAUAUGCACAUGUGACUGCAUUUACAGGAUAAAGAAAGACAAGGAAAUUAACAAUGUUGGACUUACUGGAAAAUCAUACAAAUUAUUGAAGGAGGACCUUAGCUAGGCUAACUGUCUCCUAAAUUGCCCAUCUUUUAUAUAUCUUUGCAAUCAUCCAUCUCAUCAUCAGCUUUGAUUUUAGAUGGUGAGGAUGUGAAAGUAACAGGAAGCAGUGGACGAUUGUUCACAGUGAGGCUUAGCACAUCAGCUCUCGAAUAAUGUCCUACCACAUCGAACUGGAACUUUGCUUUAGGAAUCUCUCCACGAACAUCUGCAUAUCAAGUGAUCAUCAAAAUAUUUGAUCAGCCCGUGAUAAAUAUCAUAGAGUAUCAAGUCUUCCAUGAAACCAUGUUUGCAGUCCUUUUAAACCUAAAGAAUUGACUCAUUUGCCUUAUCUGCAUACUGAAAUAUUUGGAUAUACAAUUGGAGAAGUUAGGGCCAUACCAAGAUCAGCUGUGAAGAGGCCUUCUCCUUCAUAAUUUGGUCCUGCUAGAAUUUCGCCAUGGGGCGAAAUGAUGACACUACCUCCAGCCCAAACAAUAGAAUCUGGAGUGACAUCUUCUUCUGUAGGACUGUAAAGAUACUCAGGUGGAGGUGGGUAAUCUUUCCUCCGACAGAACUGGAUGGGUGAAAGAACAUAGCAUCCACCCUCAAUAGCGAUGUGUCUCAUUGUGGCUACCCAUUUAUCCCCGGAAUCGGCAGUAGGAGCACAAUAUAUCUCAAUACCUAUAUAUAUGAACAUUGGUAUUCUGUGAUCAAUCAAUCCCAUAUCAAAGCCACAAUGUAUUUCAAGACUGCUUAGAUUAAAACCCUAAUAAUGUAAAAGGGUGCUGGAGGUCCUAUUUGGUAAUUGUCUUCGGAACAGUUUUGAGAAAUAGUUUUUGAAAGUUGUUCUUUAAUAGUUUAUAAAACAUAAGAAUAUUUGAAACCUAAAAUAUAUUCAACUUAUUAAAAAUAAUUUUUAUAUUUAAUACUUUAUUUUUAAAUAUUCUUCAUAUUUAUAUAAUUAUUUUUUAAAACAACCUUAAAAACAAAUGAAAACAAUGAAGAAAAAAGUUUAAAAAAUAUUAUCUGAAAACAUUUUGUUUUAUGUUUCUAAGAAAAAACAAAAAGCGGUAUUCUAAUUGUCAAUUGUGUUUUCCUAAAUUUUUUUUGGAUAACAAAAGAUUCCUCUAAAAUAUAAUUGUGAAACAAAGCCAAACUAUUUCAAGCCAAACCAUACUAGUUAAUGAAGAAAAAAAAAUGGUAAAAGAUGUACCUUUGCCAUACAUUGAUGUCCUGAAAAGAGGCAUUCUAUUUUCCCAACAAAUGACCGAACCAAGUUUUCCAUAUGGAGUGUCAUAAAUUGGAGUUGUCGAGCAAUCUCCGAAACCCCAGAAGAGCCGCUCCCAAUAUGUUGGCAUGAGUUUCCUAUGUUUUCCAAGGUAAUUGCCUUCAGGAUCAAAGAAGAGAACAGUGCAAUACAAUGUGUAUCCAUCUCUCUCAACAACACCUGUCACUAAGUAGACUUUGUAUUUCGCAGCCAUUGAUGCCAAUCUAUCAACUUCAGGUCCUGAAAAUACAUUAAUAUGAGAUCAAAGAUGAGACAUGUAAGCUGAUGGUUCAUCACAAAGCAGCAUAAGUAGAUUUUGUUUCAAUAACUUAUUUAAGUGGUUCAGUCCUCUAGCUAUUUAAGGGAGAAAGAGAGGGGUAACUGACCCGGCACAUUAAUGGCAGAAGCAUGGUACUUGCGGAAGCUUUCUUUCCCUCUAGGAGACUGGUCCGCGAAGUUGUACCCACGGGGAUACCCACCGAUAAAUGCCUCAGGAAACACAACCAGUUGGGAUCCCAAUGCAGCUGCCUCUUUCAGAAACCUCUCAGCCUUAUCUGCUCCCAAAAUCACAUUGCAAGAAUUAACAAUUCAUGACUUAGGAAGUAAAUUAAUUGGUUGAAUAGAGAAUGAAAAUUCACCUCAAGAUAUCCCAAAUGACUUUUUGGUUGCUGAGAAAACUUAAGGAAAAGGAGACCUAAAUAAAACUCGAAACUCACAUAUUUUCAGCUGUUUUGUAACUAAGAAAAAAGAAACCACCUCAACCAACUCAUCCAAAUAAUUAUUGUACAAGCAGUAAUUCCUUGAUUGGCAGCUGAAAAUAUGAUCAGGGUUCAAUCAUCCCUUUCUUUCUUUCAGUUUCCCAGCAACCAAUCAGCUCACUGAUUCUCUUACAGAAGUUGCAGAAUUGAGAGAAAUGGCACGUUACCUAGAGUGGCAGGAGUAUCAUAAAAGAUACUAGAAGCUUGAACAACGGUGGCUCUAACAGUUGAAGACAUUGCAGAAAUCGUAUGUUUUUUCGUUUCCCCUUUGUUUGAGGAUUCCUCACACUGCGUUCAGUAUAUAUAUAUCGCCCAUGAACAAGAGGUUCCUCUGCCAUUACUUGAACAAGACGGAAAGGCUUUGAAAAGUCUGACUUGGUUUUCUAUACUCAUGGUGAGGUUUUAUCCUCAUCACAAAUUUUUAAGUUAUCCGCAGACAUAGUGGACCAGCCACAUGACUUGUACAAAUUGAAAAUGACUGUCACAUGGGAUUUUUUGUAAUUUUUAAAAAUAAUUCCCAAAUGUAGUGGAAAAAAUAAUUCUAAAUCUAACAUAGUUUUUGCAAGAUAGAAAAGAAAAAAAUAAAAAUCUUUAUUUCCUUUAAAAAAAAAUUAUAAUGAAAGAAUCGUCUUUUGAAAAGACAAUUUCUCAAAUUUUUUUUUAAAAAAUAAAAUCUAUCGGUUAGAAAUUGUCUCUUGAAAAUCGUCAGAGAUGAUUUUCAAAAAUUCAUUUUUUCAUUUUCUCUUUUUUUUUUUCAAUAAUAUUUUACUAAAUAAUAUAUUUAUACAAUUAUGAUUUUUUUCCUUUUAAAAAAUUAUAAUGAAAAAUUCUCUUUGGAAAAGAUGAUUUCUUAAAUUUCUAAAAAAUAAAAAUAAAAAUCUAUAGGCUAGAAAUCAUCUCUUGAAAAGACGAUUUUCGGAAAAAAAAAAAAAUUAGGGAGAAAUUGUCUCUUUCUCCAUUGAUUAAAAAAACUGGAGAAAUCUUCUCAAGAUGAUUUCUUAAAAAUAAAAAGAAACAUAGAAAAAAAAGUCAGUCAAUUUUCAAAAAUUUUGUUUUCUAUUAGGAAAUAUAUAUUUUACCAAAUAAUAUAUUUAUACAAUAAUAUAUAUAUAUAUAUAUAUAUAAAUUGAUUAAUUUUAUUUACUAAAUUUAAUAUGUAAAAAUAAUUAUAAUUAUUGAUAUAUUUAUCAACAAUAAUAUUUAUAAAAAUAUAAAUUAUGUUUAGCAUCCGAUAUUUAAAAAUAUUAUUUUAUAUUAAGUUAGACAUUAAUUUUAAAAAUAUUUUGUUCUUUAUCUUCAGUUUUAUCUUUAAAUUAAUUCCAUUAAUUGUAACUAAUAAAUUAAUUUAGUUUUAUAUUUUUAUUAUUUAUAAUAUAAAUAAUAUUUUAUCUCAUUCUCUUUUUUACUAUCUCACCUUUCUCUCACCUAUUUAUUAAUGGAAUCAAAUUGAAUAAUUUUUCAAUCAUUUUUCUCCAACAAAUUGAACAUGAGAGAUAAAUGAUUAAAAAUUAUUAAUGUCAAAUGCAUUUUUAAAGUAAAUAAUUUUUAAAUACCUCAUCAAAUAUUAUUCUUUUAUUAAAACUUACAUAAUAUAUAAUAAAUAUUUUUUAAAUACCUUGGAAACUUACAUAAUAUAUAAUAAAUAUUAUUCUUUAUUUCAAACUUAUGUUAUUUAUCAUAUAUAUUAAACAAUUUUUAAACACCUUAUAAAAUAUUAGUAUUCUUUAUUUGUUCUAACUUGCAAAUUAGACAUAAUCAAAUAUUAUAUAUUUUUUUUCAAACUUAAGAAUAUAUAAUAAAUAUUUUUUAAAUACAUUGGCAAAUAUUUUUUUUUCUUACUUACAAAAUUAAAAAUAUGUUGUACAUUAUUUCUUAUAGGUCUUAACGACAUAGUUUGGUUAAAAAAAAAAAAAAAAACUAUCAAUAAUCGUCCUAAUGUCAAGCUCAAGUUGUUUAAAAAUCGCACAAAACCUAUUAGGAGCCUUGUACACCCUUGUAUACUUGACACAUUUCUCUUGUAUAAUUAGUGUAACAUUGUACAAUGGUGCAAAUUUCAUAUCCCUCCUAAGUUGUGUCUAUAUAGGUGUGUUAACCAUGUUUCCAAUGGUUUGGUUGAGAAAAAAAUGACUUAUGGUCAAAUUUUUUUCUCCAAACAUCAUUAUUGGGAAAAUCAUUGGAAUUUCCAUGUGGAAGUUAAAUAAAGUGCAUGACAUGGGUAUACAAUCCUUGGGUGACAAGGAAAAUAAAAAAGUGGUUUAGAAUCAAUUGAAAUCUUUCACAAAUGGUAGUCUUGUAUACCCUUGUACACUUAGUAUAUUUCCCAUCUUUAAUACCUUUGUAUAGUGGCACAAAUUUCAUAUCCCUCCUAAGUUAUGUUCACAUAAGUGUGUUAGCCAUGUUUCCAAUUAUUUGGUUGAGAAAAUGUUGGAUGAAUUAGGGUCAAUUUUUUUUUCCCUAAACAUCAUUAUUGGGGAAAAUAUUGGAAGUUCCAUGUGAGAGUUAAAUAAAGUGUAUGACAUGAAUGUAUAAUCUGUGGGUAACAAGGCAAAAAAAAAAAGAAAAAAAAAGGGGUUCAUAAUUGAUUGAAAUCUUUCACAAAUGGUAGCCUUAUACACUCUUUUGCACUUAGUACAUUUCUCUUGUACAAUUAGUGUAAUACUUUUGUACAAUGGCACAAAUUUCAUCUCCUUCAUAAAUAAUGUAUCCACAUAGGUAUGUUAACCAUUUUCUCAAUGGUUUGGUUGAUAAAAUGUUGGAUGACUUAGGGUUAAAUUUUUUUCCCUAACAUCAUUGUUAGGGAAAACAUUGGAAUUUUCAUAUGAGAGUUAAAUAAAGUGUAUGACAUGAGUGUACGAUCCGUGGGUGACAAGGAAAAUAAAAAGAAGUGGUUCAAAAUUGAUUAAAAUCUAUCACAAAGGGUAGUCUUGUACACCGUUAUACACCCUUGUACACUUAGUACAUUUCCCUUGUACAGUUAAUGUAAUACCCUUAUAUAGUGGCAUAAAUUAUAUAUCCCUCCUAACUUAUGUAUUCACAUAGAUGUGUUAACUAUGUUUCCAAUGGUUUAGUUGAGAAAAUGGUGGAUGACUUAGGGUCAAAUUUUUUUCGCCAAACAUCAUUACUGUGGAAAGUAUUAAAAUUUUCAUGUAGGAGUUACAUAAAGUGUAUGACUUAGGGUCAAACUCUUUUAAAUAUUUUUAUUAUUUUCAUAUAAAAAAAUAGUACUAAACAAGGUUUUCAAUUUUCAUUUUUAAAAAUAUUUUUCAUUUUUAAUUAAAUGUAUUUUUAAAAAGAGACAAUAUAGAAAAUAAAAAUUAUUUUAAGAAAUAAAAAAAUAGAAAUAAAAACUAGAAAAAUAUUUUUAAACCAGACUUAAACAUAAUCUAUUUAAUUUUUAACUACUUGUUUUCAUCUAAAAUGAGUAAAUAUACUUUUCAACCCUUUUAUAUAAUAAAAAUUCAAUCUUUACUAUGUAUUGAUAUAAUCCACUUCCAAAAUUAAGUCAUAUGAAAACAUUUUAAUUGGAUAUUUAAAAUAAAAACUCUCCAUCCAUCCUUUUUUUUUUUUUUUCUUAUUUUGAUAAAUUUUUAAUUAAUACAAAUCAUAAAAAAAAAAAAAAAUACUUAGUAAACAAAUUUGCAACAUUUUAUAUCACUUAUUAUUAAAAGUCAUGUUCAAAUAGUUAUUAAAAUAAGGAAGGAAGAAGAUUAAAAAAAAAAUUGAACUUUUUAUUUUAUAAUAGUAAAAAAAAAAAAAAAAACUUUAAAAUACUUUUUAGUAUAAAAAAAAGAAAAGAAAAAAGAAAAUAGUGAAUAGAUUUAUUUUAAAUAGCGUUUUAAUCAUUAAAUGAUUUACUUCUAAAAAGUAAAGGAUAAUUUUUAUUUAUUUAAAUUAACAGUUUUAGAAAGUAUUUUCCAUAAUAGUUUUUGAAUUAUUAAUAUAAUUUUUGUUUAUUUAUAAUUUAAAAAUAGAAAAUAAUGUUGAUUUUUCAAUUAUUUAUAAAAGAGUUUUAAAAAACAAUGAAAAAUCCAAAAAUGGUUAAGUAAGAAAGAAUUUGUUGGUAGUGGCAUGUUAAUAGUGGUAGAAUAAUAAUAAAAAAAAAGAGUCAAAUGAUUAUUUUUGUCCAUUACUAUCUCAUAUCCUUGUAAUCAAUUAUGGGUGACAGGAGGACCUUAGCUCAAUUAUCAAGUAGAGCUAGGUCGGAAACACAAUUCUCCCAAUAAUUUCCGGGCAUGAUAAUCAUAUUUAAAUAAAAAAGAGGGAGCUGCCUACAUGCAUGGAUUCCAUUGUCUUUAGUGGUGAGUAAGGCUUUCCAAGAUCAAUACACACACACACACACACACACACACACACACACACACACACACACACACACAUAUAUAUAUAUAUAUAUAUAUAUAUAUAUAUAUAUAGAGAGAGAGAGAGGUAAAAACUAAGUCUAACCCAGGGAGGAAAAUAUCGAGUAUCGGUGGACCUUGACAUGAUAUAUGAGGGAGAAAUAUCGGUCCCUUGAUUUUUUGACAAUUUAUCGUGAAUCUUGCUGACUUUUUGGAAUUUAUCAACAUUUUACCUAUUUAUCACGAUAUUUUGGACCGGUCAAUGCGACCUCUACAGUCAAAUAAAUUCAUUUAUUUGAAUACCAAAAAUAUAAAAAUUAUCAUGAUAAUUUUCUUCAUAGUAUUUUUAAUAUCAUUAAUAUAUUAAUUAAGUAUAAAAAAUUAUACAUAUAUUAUCAUUUAUUUUAUAUCAUUUAAUACAAUGAAAUUAAAUGAAUUAUAAUUUUAAUAUUAAAUAUAUUUUUAAGUUGGACAUAUUAUAAUCAAAUAUCACAAUGUUAUUAUCAAAUAAUAUUUGAUAUAAUUUAAUAAUAAAUGUAUACUUAUGAAAUUCAUAUUUUUUAUUAGCAUAUACAAUAUUAUUAUCAAAUAUAAUAAAUUAUAUUAUAUAUAUCAAUUACAAUUCUAUUAUACUUUUAAUUUUAUUUUUAAGAGUUUUUUCUUACAUUUUUAUAAUUUCUGAUCAAUUUUAGGUUCAUCGAUAUUUUAUGUCAAAAUAUCCGUCGAUGUAUCUGUAAAAUGAAAGUACCGAUAUAUCCGUAAUUACCGAUAUUUUCAUCCUUGGUCUAACCUUGUGUAUUGGCCCUUCCAAAAUUUGAGUGAUUCAAUGGCAGCUCUAGUAAAACAUAAAAAGGAAGAACUAUGUUUACCCUCAUGUUCAUUCAAACAAAUAUAUUGUAUAGGAAUUCUAAUUUUCAUAUUUGAUCACCCCAAACACACAACCAAUAAAAUUAUUCUUUAAAUAUGUAUUUUAAUAGAAACUAAAAUGAGAAUUCUAUAAUUACCCCUUUUUAAAAUCUUUAAUAUGAAAAGUCAUAAUUUAAUGUAUUUGAUGGCUCUCACAUCUGUUUUUUUUUUUUUUUUUUUCUCCUCUACGUCACUUUCUCCAUAUAAUGUCUUUGAUAUCCUCUCCAUAUCAUGUCUUUGAUAUCCUACCUUUGGCAUUUUUAUUUAUUUAUAUAUGUUGAAGUGACAACACUUUCUCUUCCCAACCUCUUUACUUUCAUAUUUCUUUUUACUCGUUUAAUAUUUAUUAACUUUAUUUAAUUUUUUGGAAUAAAUAAAUAAUGAGAAUAAAUUAAAUAUAAAUAUAAGUAUGCAAGCAACAUAAAAUGAAAAUUUAUCCUAAAAAUCAUACACUUGAUACUUUAAAAUAUUAAUUAUAAUAUAUUUGAUAAUUUAGGAUUUCGAUUUAAAAAUUAUGUUUUAUUUUUUAGAGGCUGGGAUAUAAGAUUUCCAUUAACCAAAGAUUUUUUAUAUGAAUCCUAAAUAAUAUGUUUAUUUUGCAAAUUCUUAUCAUAUAUAAAUAAAAUAAAUAUAUUUUUAUCAUAUUAUUUUUAAUUUUUAAUAUUUUGUAUCAAAAUCACAAUUAAUGAUAGUGAUUUUGGUUAAGAUAGAGCCCUUAAAAACAUAACAUGUUGUAAAAAAUAUAGAGUUUAUUAUUUAUUUAAUGAUAUUUCAAUUUCACUUUUAUCUAUCCUUAUUUUAUGCAUUAUACCUUAUGAGCAUUCUAACUUGACAUUUUUUGCAUUGUUCAUGACUUGGGUGAAUUAAGAUUUACAUGGAACAUCCAAGUCAUGGGUUCUUAUAAGUGGAUGAUUUGUUCAUAGUCGCUUUAUGGACUUAAGCAAUCCAUUUGAUGUUGUAGUGCAUUACCUCUUAAUUUAAGGGAUGACUAGUUUUGACCAACAAGAUGGGACCCUCAUAGUGAGUGCACUAAUGUAUAUGAUUGCAUUUUAGAUAAAACCUAUGGUGAGUCAUGAUGUAAGAAUAUCAGGUACUCAUGACUUCACCAAGUUGCUAUAUCGCAUUUUCUAUCAACCUUGAAAGAAUAUUGGGUUUGUGCCAAAGUUUGUAGUGACUUUGACAUAUGGGUGAAAUCCAAAAGUGAUAAUAUAUUCCUUAUGGAUUAGGUCACUAUAAAUAGAAUUAAGUAGCAAUAAGUAUUCUCAAUAGAGGAAUCAGAAUAUCUCAUGGAGUUUGAGACAUUAUGUCCCUUUGGAUGAUCCUAAGGACACAUGAUCAUGAAAUCUAUAGUCGUAGUAAUUCCUUGAGUGGAAUUUGAAAUAUGCUCUUAUGGGUUGGAGUAUGUCAAUUGAUCACAUAAUAGGAGGAUAUGUAACUGAAGAAUGAUAGAAGUAACCUUGAAAGGCAAAUAGUAUUCACCUUAUUAGAUUAUGAACAAUACUUCAUAAAGAGACUAUAUACAAUGGAUAGUAGGUUAGGAACCCAAGUAGUGCAAUCGACUCUCUAUGGUAGGAUGUUGAGUCAACUUUAGAAUUGGAUUAUGAGGGAGCCAAUACUAUUCUAUGGGUCAUAGUGGUACCGACUCAAGUUCAUAUAUCUUAAUGGCAUAACUUAUGAGGGUUGGAUUAGUUAAUGAUUCAAUUAUGUGCAUAAGGGCAUUUUGGUAAAUAUGCAUGGCUGAAUAGGAGUUUGUUGGGACAAAGCCCUAUAAAGCAUGAUAUGAUGUAAUAGAUUAAGUUUCAUUAAUAAAUUUAUUUAUUUAUUAUUCUAGUCCCCUUGUGUUAUCCCAUUUGCAUGAAUUGGUUAUUUGAGCAUUUACGUUCAUAUCACUUGCAUUGUACAUGACUUAGGAGUAUUAAGAGUUGAAUAAAAGAUCCAAGUUAUGGAUUCUUUACAAUAUGAUAAGUGAUUAGAAGUCUAUUCAUGGAUUUAGCAAAUCUAGUAUAAACUAUAGUGUACUACUACCUACUAAUUAGAGGGAUGCCUUGUGAUGGUCAUCGGGAUAACUUUCUCAUGGUAAAUGUGUACAAUUACAUAUUAAAUAUGACCUACGAUGAAUCAUGAUAUUAGUUGUUGGAUAGUCAUUAUUACCCAAGGUUUUAUACUACAUAAAUUCUUAAGCUUAAAAGGAUAUUAAGUCUAUACUAAAAUCAAUAUGAAGUUUUGACCUCUGGUUGAGAUCCUAAUGUGGUCACAUAUUCCACAUAGAUUGGGUUAUUGAAGGAGACCGGUAACAAUAGGCAUUUUUAAUAAAGGAACCAUAAUAUCUCAUGGGAUUAAACUUCAUGGGUGAUCUUAAGGGCAUGUGAUCAGGAUAAAUGUUACUAUAGCAAUUCCUUUAGUAAAAUUUGAUAUAUGCUCUUUGUGGGAUGGAGUAUGUCAGAUGAUCACUUAAUAGGAGGAUCUAUAACUCAAGGAUUAGAAAGGUAAUCUUGAAAGGUUGAUAUCACUACCUUGUUAGAUUAUGAAUAUCAAUUCAUGGGAAGUCUACAUUGUUAGGAUAGAGCCCUUAAGAGCAUGACCUGAUUUAAUAAACUUUUGAAUUUAAUUAUUCCUUAAAAAUUUUCAAUUCACUUUUAUCUAUUCUCAUUCCAUGUAUUCUAUCUUGUAAGCAUUUUGACUUACAUCUUUUUCAUUGUACAUGACUAGAGUACAUAAGGUUAUCAAGUUGUUAUGACUUCACCAAGCUACUUCAAUAUGUUUCCUUUAGAGAAUAUUGAGUUGGUGCUAAAGUUAGUAGUGACAUUGACCUACAAGUGAGAUCAUUAGUUGAUUAUAUAUUCCUUAUGGAUUAGGUCAUUGUUUAUCGAUGCCAAUUACAAUAGGUAUUUUCAAUAGAGGCACCAUAAUAUCUCAUGGGAUUAAGACAAGUGUCCUAUUGGGUGAUCCUAAGGAGGUGUGUUUAUGUAAACUAUGGUCAUAAUAGUUUCUUAAGUGGAACUUAACAUAAACUCUUGGAGAGUUAAGAUAUGCUAGUUGAGCACAUAGUAAGAGGAUUUAUAACUCAUAGAUAGUAGAGGUAGUCUUGAGAAGAUGAUAGCUUUCACCUUGUUAGACUUUGGACACCACACUACAAGAAAAAAGGUCAUUAUUGACAUAUAUCAUCUUGACUUAAGAUAAUAUAUGUGAAGAUUGUCUAUUUAAAUGAACAAUUAUGACAUAUACAACUUAGUUUAAACCAAUAAUGACAUGUAUAAUAGUUAUUGCAUUUUUCCAUGACUUAUGAUGAUGCAACCUUGACAAAUAAUUUAUAAGUCAAUCUAUAAUUAAUAUGUUCAUAUGUCAAGGUACCGAAAUGAAAGCAAUAAUGACAUAUAUAUAUAUAUUUGCUAAAUUUUCCUUGGUUUAAUGAUAUGCAAUCUUGACUCAAAAUUUAUUAGUCAAAGUAUAGUUAAUCUUUUCUACCUAAAUAAAAGUAAUAAUGACAUAUAUGCAUUUGCUAAGUUUUUAUAUGGUUUAUAAUGAUACAACCUUAAUAGAAAUUUAUAAGUUAAUAAAAAUUCAAUAAAUUAAUAUGUUAAGAUUAGAAUCUUUGGUUGCGCCACUUUAACAUAUAAUUUGUAAGUGAAAAUAAGCCUAUUUUAUUUUAAUUUAUUAAGGUUGAGUUAUUGAAAAAGAAAAUCCUAAUUUAAGGCAAUUUUAUCAAAUUUUGGUAGUUUUUACAAGUAUAUUUAUUAUUAUUUUGAAUAGAAACUUGUGAUUAAAAAGGAUAAGAUAAUGUUUCCAUUUAAAAAAUAAUAUCAAUGUAUUGAAAACUAUAUCUAUAAUCUUAUUUUAAUAUUUUGGAUAAGAUACUAAGUUAUGUCUCUAUAUUUCUAAUUAUUGGAAUUAAAAUAUAUUGCCACUAACUUGUGUUAGGGUCUCACAAGUAUUAGGUAAUUAAAUUAUUAUUUAUGUAUUUAAUUAGACAUUAAAUCUACUAAGAAUAACUUAAUUAGUAUUUAGGCAUUCAUUAUAACUAAUUGCAGGCCCACAAAAUCAAUCCAUAGACCCAUUUCUUUUAAAAUGUUUUAAGCCCAUUUUAUUUAGUUUGGGUCCAUUACAUUUAUACUUUUUCUUGAGCCAUAAAAAAAACUCAAUAUAUAAAUUUUUUUCCUCUCUAUUCCAUUUACAGUCGCCCCAUCUACCCCAUCUACCCCAUCUUCCCUUUUUCUCUUCUUUUCUUACUUUUUUUUUUAAUUCUUUUUUCUUCUUCUUUCUUCUUUCUUUUUUCAUCCUCUCAUCCUCAUAUUCAUGGUAGACCCUACACCGCCACCUCCAUCUCCUGUGUUGUUACGAUCCAUGAGUCCUACACCCACCAUGGCACCAUCUUUCUUAUCACCAUUGUCGUUCCCAUGUUCGCUACAACUCAGACAUGCUUCCUGAUGUUUUGCCACAAUCUCGACGUGGUUGUUGUUGUUUCGCUUUAGCUCGGACGCUAUUCUUGAUGUUCCGUCUCCAUCAUAGCCACCAUUGUUGCAGCCCAUAGCCUUGGUACCUCCUGCACUACCCAUUGACUUUUGUUGGAUCACCAUCAGCACCAUCUCCAUGGUUGCCACUUCCUUCUUCAUCUUAGAGCUUCAAGAGACGUAGGUAAGUUUCCUUGGAUAUCUACAGUACUUGUUGUGGUAGUUUUAAUUUAAUUUUUAUAUGGGCUUGGGUCUCAUUUGCUUUAUAAUUGGGCUUCAAAUUAUUUGGUACAUAGGCUUGAUGUUAUAAUAUUUUAUUACUUGGGCCUUGUGUUUCACUUGGUUGAGCCCAAUAAUAAGAGUAUCAGGCACACAUAAGCAGGUUGGUUCUUUGAGAACCAUUGAGUUUUGUUGAACCUUAGGAUUUUUAAGGCCAUGCUUCACCAUUGAUUGGGCUUCAAGUAAGAGAUAAGUAUGGAAGUUGCAGUUACUGACCUUAGUGUCUCUACUCCUGCCCAUGGUUUCAACAUGUGGGUCAAUUGAGGGGUUUGGUGAAGCUCUCCAUAUCUUCAAGACCUCUCUGGUUGAAGAAUAGUCCAACGGCCAAGUGACUAUGGAAAAAACCACAUGUUUGGAGUUAAGUUAAUGUUGGAUAAGUAUUAAUGUACACACAAAAUAAUGAAAAAUCGACGUGGUUGGGGCUGAAGAGCCACAACAUCAUAUAUAUUUGGUUCUGAUGGAGGAGUUAAUUAAUUGAUAUUACCAUGAAGGAAUUUCUAGUAGUUUUAAUCUAUUUAAUCAUACCAUCUAAUUGAAAAGAUGUUUUUGUCCUUUUCUUUUUAUUUUUAAUAUUCUAGAUGAUAUUCUUUGUUAAAAAAUUUAGAAAUAAUACAUCUUUGUAAUUGAGCUAGCUACUACAAAAUUAUAAGUGCUCAUUUCAUUCAUCAUCUCAAAAUUAUGUCUAGUGGCCUCAACUUUGAGUCAGUCAUUGAGGGGCUUAAUUUUAGGAGGAGAAUUAAAAUGUUCUCUUUUUUUUUCUUCUUCUAUUUUUUUUUCUUGAAUAUCCACUGUGUUUUACAUUGAAUCUAGAAUCACAAAGUCAAUUCAAUUACAAUUGAUGAUAUUAAAGGUCAAUAGGUGUAUUCAUUUUAUCUUUGUGAUAUCUAAAGUUAGUAUAUUUAUUGUCCUAUGAAAAAAAAAUCUUUUAAUUUUUUGGUAUUUGUUACUUACUUUUCUAUUAAUUCUAUGUUUAUUCUACUAGGUAUCUAAGAAAUACAUCAAGAAGAAGACAAUGAUGUAGAAACAAAGAUCACCUCUUAUGAAGAUGAUGUUGUACUUUUCAAUUUAAGUUUGUAUAUUAUUUUAAUUGAAUGUUUUUAGCUAGAUUUUGUUUGUAUAUAGAAAAUAGAGAGUAACUUGAACAAGAUUUAUGGAAUUGUGUUCUUAAUAUUUAAUGUAUAUGUAAUAAUUUUUUUUCCUUAAAUAGUAAUUUAUUUAAAUUAUUUUAAAGACUUGAUUGUAAUUAUCAUAAUUAAAAAUAUACCAAAUUUAAUUUCAAGAUAGGUUUCAUAUGGUAUAUAACAUGUUCAUUUUCCAUUAAAAACUAAAAAUUAUAAUAAAAUAAUAUUAAAUUUUUCAUAAGUUAUAUUGACAUAUGGCUCAUGCUCAAUAUUGACAUGUGUAGUAGCAACUAUGACAUAUGCGAUACCAAACAUUGACAUAUAUAAAGCAAUUAUGAUAUAUAUAAAAUCUAACCUUGACAUAUAUAUUUAGAAAUCUUGACAUAUGUGGGAUUAAUCAUGACAUAUAUGACGUCUGACCUUGACACUUGUUGGAGUAACCUUAACAAAAGAGUAAGUUGACCUUGACAUAAGAUCAAGUAAUCUUGUCAUAUGUUAAAUUCAACAUUGACAUAAGUAAAUGAAACAUUGAUAGAUAUCAUACUAUUAAGAUUUCAUCAUUAGUGGAAAUAAAGAAAUCUUGACAUAUGGAUAUGUCAAGGUAGCUUUAGACUUUUCUUGACACUGGCAUAGAUGACAUAUACGAAUAGUAACCUAUCUUGACAGAUAUACCUUAUCUUAACGGUGAAAAACUGUCAACAAGGGCCUUUUUUCUUGUAGUGCCAGUUCAUAAGGAGACCAAAUGCAAUGGAUAGUAGGUCAUGGACUUGAGUACUUUGUAGUGGAGUGAAGUUGAUUCUAUGUAGUAAGAUGUUAAAUCAAUUUUAGAAUUGAAUUAUGAGGGAGUCAAUACUAUCCUAUUGGUCCCAAUGGUCCCUACUUGAGCUCAUAUGUCUUAUUGGUAUGGUUUAUGAGAAUUGGAUUGACUCAUGGUUCACUUUUAUGAGUAAAGGCUUUUUGGUAACUAUGCUAGGUUGCAUAGGGGUUAGUGAACAAAGUUUCUAGAUUGGGCUAAUUGAUUAAUUAAAAGACUUUGUGGGUUAGUUAAUUAAUUAUAAUCUAUUUUAGCUAGAUUAGGUGACCCAAGCCCUUAGUAGGCUCAAGUCACUUAAACCAAUUAGGGAACCUUAUAAAUACUCUUUUAGGGGUGAAGUAGUUGUCUUCUAUAAUGUAGAGAGAAUAAAGAGCCACAACUUCCUCCCUCACAACCUUCUCACUAGUUAAAUGCCAAAAUCAAGGUAUAGUCAAUGCAAUAGAAGAUCUUAGGUUUUUAAGACCUUCAACUACUUUGUUCAGAUACUUCACUGCAUGGAUUUGAUUUGGGAACAUCCAAAUCAAGGUAAAAGUUUUCUAUCUUGAUAUCUAAAUCCUAUUAUUCAUUUAAAAUGCAUGUUUCCCUUUGUGCUUAGGAUUUAAAGAAAACUUAGGAAGAUUUGCAUGUAUCUAACAUGAUCUAGGUAUAGGAAACAAAAAUAUCUAGGAUUCUUUACAAAAAUCCAGUGGAUAGUAGGUUAUAGGCCUAAACUUUAACUUAUUAUAAUUAUAUAAGAUAUUAGAGUGUAGUUGAUUCUCUUUAAUGGAGUGUUGAGUCAACGUCAAAAUUGGAUUUUAAGAGCCAAUAUUUUCCUAUGGGUUCCAGUAGUCUCCACCCGAACUCCCAUUUCAUGGUGGCACAUUUGUUUGAGGAAUUUUGUGUUUGUAGUUCACUAAUGUGCAUAAGUGGCAUUUUGGUAAAAGUAAAAAGUUGCACUAGAUCUUGUGUGCAGUAGGACUAAUUAAAUUAAUUAGAACGGAAGUGAGAUGAAGUAAGUGACCUAAGGCCAAUUUGGACUCAAGUCACUUAAGCCCAUAGGGAAGUCUAUAAAUACCACCUUAGGGGUGAGAGCUUCAAACUUUUGUCAUUUUUCUUUUAGAAAGAGAAAGCAAACCCUAACCACCUUUAAGUGAGAGAAAAAGAGAGAAGCUUUCCCUUCUCUUACGCGAAGGUUUGUUGUGAAAGAAAAGAUCGGGUGCAAGAUUAUUAGGUAAAUGACUUCUAUGACACAUUCUAGGGAUUGGAUUGAAUAUGGGAACAUCCAAAUCAUAGGAAUGAAUUCUAAUAUCUAAAUCUAGUAUAUUUUAUGGAUUUUAUAACUAUAUUUUUCCAUUGCAUUAGAUCUAGAGAAGCCUAGAGAUAGUUAGAUGGACUUUAUAUGAUCCAAGGUUAAGGAACAGAUUAAUUCGAAGUUCCCAUCGAAGUUAGUGAACAAUAUUUCUAGAUUAUUAGGUUGAUUAAUUAAUUUAAGCCCCCAAUUAGAAACCUUUUUAGUUUAAAUUAAAUGGCUCAAGUCUAAGGUAUGCUCAAGUAACUUAAGCCUAAUGGGAAGCCUUUAAAUACCUCUUGAGGGGUUAGGGUGUAGACCCACAUUUUUCACGUGCGUUCCCACUUGAUCGGCGAGACUCGCUUUUUAUUUGGUGAAAAAUUAAUUUUGGAAAAUUCGGAAUCGCCAUUUAUUUUAUUUUAUUUUAAAAGGGAAAAUAAAACAAGAAAUAAAACCCUAAAAAAUGACUUCAUAGUUUUUGGAAAAGCGUGUCUUUAAAAAACCCGAGUCUAGGUCUGAGGAUCAGGUUACUUAUUGAGAAGGUAUCUCUAGGAGGUAACACCCCUCUAAGCCCUAUAAAAGUCUCUACUGACUAAGUUAAGGGAAAUGUGACAAUUAAUUGAUUAAUUAUAGAUACCUAGGUAGGCUAGGUGAUUUCGAAAAAUAGCAUGCUAAACAAGAAAACCGAUCACAAAUCAUAAAGAAGAUUUAGGGUGCGUACCUGGACCACUUCUUAAGUGCUAUCACAAAACAUCAAAGGUUACUUUAAAUAGUAUAUCACCCAACAUGCACUUUAUCAUAAAUGAUCGAACAAUGUAACAAAAUCAAGACACCUAAGCACUAUCAAACAUAGGCAUAAUUCAUAAUGACAAUCAUAUUUAUAGAAUUUAGAAAGUGGGUGUUAGGGAGCGUACUUAGAUAGCAUAGAUAACUCAUAAUACGCUUCCUCGAGACAUGGAGGGUUAGAUAAUAAAUAAUAAAAUAAGAAAUUCUAGCAUGCUUGUUAUUUAAUUAGCAUGACAAAAAAAAUGAUCAAAGUAUACUAAAUCAUCAAUUAUCACACACAUCUUGUAUACAAUUCUUAAAAAAAAAAGAUAGAUAUGAUUACAACAAAUAGCAAGAGUGGUAGCAAAAAUAAGUUUUGAAAAGAUUUUCUUAUAUAGGGGUUUCACCAAUUCCCCAAUCGAUAUACACGAAUUUAGCCUAGAAUUAUCCAAUUUAUUUGGGACCACAAGCUUUGAUUCGUGUUUUGUUCAAAACCAAAUUUUUUAUUGAAAACUGAGAAAGAUGCGAACCGAUUAAAAAAAUGGUUGCAUAUUAUUUUAAGAGAAUGAGAUUUUGAUUCUAAAGACUCUAAAUGUACUUUUUUUUAAAUAGAUUUUCAAAGGGGUCUUUUGAGAAAAGUGUUUUGUUUUAAAAUAAAAGAAAUUAAUUUCGAAAACAACAAAACAUAGAAAACAAAAUACCAACAAAAAAAAAGGAAACAAAAAUCACAAAAUAAAGAUUUAGACAAUCAUGCCAAUUAAAGUAGUGAGAGUAGGGCCAACCUUCAUGGGUUUCCAGUGGCCUUCAAAAAAAGGAUUUGACCAACAAUCACUAAGGCAACAAAAUUAUGACUUCCUAAUCAAACAAACUAAUAAAAAUAUUAUCCAAGACUAACAUUUAGAUUUCAAAAAACACAUGAAUUAAGAUAAAAAAAAAAAAUCCAAUCAAGGAUUAAAGUCAACAAACUUAGCAUAUGGAGAUAAUAAUGUGGGAUUGAUUAAGGUAAAUUAACAUUCUAACAAAAUAUGAUAAAUCAAAAACCAAAAUUUAGCAAUCUUGAAAAUAUGAAAACAAUAACAUGCAAUUAACUAGAUUGAUUAUCUAAAAUUCCUAAAAACUCGAACUAAAUAUUAAUAGAUCAAAACCAAAAUAUGCCAUGCUCAAAAUAUGAAAAAUAAUAACACGUGAUUAACUAAAUUAAUUAGCUAAAAUUAUAAUAGUCAACUACAAAAUUGGAUAUAAAUGGAUUAAAAUCAAAAUUAACGAAAUAAAAAACGCACAAACACAUUCAAACUAAAAAUAAUUAAUACUAGAUUAAAUUAGAAUUAAAAACAUCAACAUCAUCUAAUAAGAUUGGCUAAACUAUUAAAUUGAAAUUGCAAAUACAUUUAAACUAAAGCAAAUAAAUAAAUUAGCAAAUUAAAACUAAACUACAAUCGGAAUUAAGACAAAAAAACAUGAAAUUUGUCUAAGAGGUUUGGUCAAACAAUUGAAUUAAAAUCAUGAACGCUUUCAAAUUAUAGAAUAAAUUAAAACUAAACUAGAUUGAGAUUAAACUCUAUCUAAGAAAAUUAGUUAAUUAAACUAAUAAAAUCAAAAUCAACAAUCAAAACUAAACUAAAGAAUAAAUUAAGACAAAACUAAUUGGAUUAAAAUCACAAACACAUUUAAACUAUCAUAUAGAUUAAAAUAAAUUAGCAUGGAACUAAUGAACUACAAUCACAAAAGAAGAAAAAAAAAGUCUAUUCUAAAAAAAAUGCGCAAAUUGAGAUUUAAAAGAAUUGAGCACAAAGAAUUAAUUAAAUCAAUGAACUAACAUCUAAAUUAAAAAAAAAAAAAUCUGUCAAAAACUGACCUGUGUUGUGAAAGAAAAAAUCCUCUCUUUGUGCGUCAAAGUGGCAACCCGAUCUUUGUCUGAAGUCUUCUGCUGCUCCCCAAAAACUCUUGUGCGUGUCCUUUCUGAAAAAAAAAAAAUUCCCCCUUGAUCUGUUCUCCUCCUCUUAUUUAUAUGGCAGCCCACUCCUAUGGAAUAUUUUAUUUCCUUUUUGGAGAUAUAUUUCCAACCUUAAAGGAGAUCCAAAUUUCCAAACUUCUGAUGGCACUUUCUAUUUCAAUACCCAUUGUCUCUCAAUGUUGUAGUCCCCAAUCUCCCUUCUAAAAAUGUUGUCAAAAUCUUCCCUGCCUCAUCUCUUGUCGAACCCUUGGAUCCUAUUGGCUAUUGUUGAAUCUGAGUGCAAUGUCAUUUGCAGAUGUCAUGAACAACUCAUCUAGCAAGCCUCUGCUGCCCCCUAUUGACCCUACGCCAACAAACUCAACUUCUCACAUCAUAUGUCAUUUUGUACGUGGGACUCACUGGAUNNNNNNNNNNNNNNNNNNNNNNNNNNNNNNNNNNNNNNNNNNNNNNNNNNNNNNNNNNNNNNNNNNNNNNNNNNNNNNNNNNNNNNNNNNNNNNNNNNNNCCCCCAUGGCAUUUCUUAUUCAUUCCAUCAUCAAUUCUCUCCACUUCUUAUCCUUUCUUCCAAGUGCUUGGUAUUCAAGACCGUUCAAGUCAUCAAGUGAUUUGUUGUUUCUUGUGAUUUGAAGUGCUACUAUCACAAGAAAGUGAUCGUUGUAUCCUGGGAGACGAUUGUCAACAAACCAUAAGCACCAGUGUGGGGCAAAUUUAUCUUAAGGACAUAGAGUCAAACUUUAGCCUCGAUCAACCAUUUGUACGAUUCAAUAUUUACUUACCUUCUCAUUUAUUUAUUAUAUGUAAUUAUUUGACCAUACAUUUGUGAUAAUUCCAGAAUAACAAUCUUAAGACGAAUUUCUUUUUAAUCUUUUGCUUCUGUCUAUGUUUUUAAUUCAGUUAAUAACAUGACCUUUACAAAUAUUAUUGAUACCCCUGUUGUUACACCUACUACUACCCAUGGUGAGAAACCAGAGAAAUUCACUAGGUUGGACUUCAAGCAGUGGCAACAAAAGCUGUUGUUUUAUCUCACAACACUUAACUUGGCUAAAGUGUUGCAUGAAGAUGCACCUACCUUAAAGGAGGAAGAGACUAACAAGCAAAUUGUGGCAGCAGUUGAAGCAUAGAAACAUUCAGAUUUUCUAUGCAAAAAUUACAUCCUCAAUGGACUUGACAACACGAUGUAUAAUGUGUAUAGUCAAGUGAAGACAACUAAGGAGCUGUGGGAGACUUUGGAGAAGAAAUACAAGACUGAAAAUGCUAGCAUGAAAAAAUUCAUAGUUGGUAGAUUUCUAGAUUACAAAAUGGUUGACUCCAAGACAGUGAUAAGCCAAGUCCAAGAGCUUCAAAUAAUUUUGCAUGAAUUACAUGCUGAGAAGAUGGAAUUAAGUGAGUCCUUUCAAGUUGCAGCGAUUGUUGAAAAGUUACCACCAUCUUGGAAGGACUUCAAGAAUUAUCUGAAACACAAGCGCAAGAAAAUGGGGCUUGAGGACUUGAUUGUGAGACUGAAAAUUGAGGAAGAUAUUCGUGUUUUUUAGAAGAAAGUGGGAAAACAUCCCAUGGAGUCCAAGGCAAACUUGGUGGAACCAAAGGCUAAUAAAAAGAGAAAGCACUUUGGUGAAGGUCCAAGUCAAGGAAAGAAUAAAUACAAGAAGUUUGUUGGGAAGUGUUACAUUUGUAAUAAGCAAGGCCAUAGGGCCAAGGAUUGCCGCUUGAAAGGACAAAGUAAUGAAAAUAAAACACAAGUGACUGAGGAAGAGGAGUUGGCAAACAUGCUUUCCGCAUUGGUACUGUUUGAAGCUAACAUGGUAGAUAACCCAAACGAAUGGUGGGUUGACACAAGUGCCACCCGUCAUGUUUGUGGAGAAAGAAACAUGUUCUCCACAUAUGUACCAGUCAAUGGUAGAAAUUUGAUCAUGGGAAAUUUUGCCACAUCUAGGGUUGUGGGAAUUGGAAAAGUGGUGCUAAAGAUUACUUCUAGAAAAGAACUUGUUCUCAUAUAUGUGCUACAUGUGCCUGAUAUUUGCAAGAAUCUUAUUUCUAGUUCUAUGCUUAGCGAAAAUGGGUUCAAGUUAGUUUUCGAGUCUGACAAAUUUGUAUUCAUGAAAAAUGGGAUGUAUGUGGGUAAGGGGUAUAUGACCAAUGGCCUGUUUAAGAUGAAUGUAAUGAUUGUUAAGCGUGAUUUCAAUAAUAAUAAAGCAAGUACUGCUGUUUACUUGAUUGAGUCUUUUACUUUGUGGCAUGAUAGGUUAGGACAUGUUAACAAUAAAACUUUAAAAAGGUUGAUUAACAUGAAUUUGUUGCCUUUUUUUAGCAUUGAUUUUAAACAUAAAUGUGAAGUGUGUGUGGAAGCCAAGAUGGCUAAGCCACCGUUUCAUUCAAUUCAAAGGAACACAGAACCUCUGGAUUUAAUUCAUAGUGACAUCUGUGACUUAAAGUUUAUACAAACAAGAGGAGGGAAAAGAUAUUUUAUUACCUUUAUAGAUGAUUAUACAAGAUACUUUUAUGUGUAUUUGCUAAGAAGCAAAGAUGAGGCCUUAGAUGUGUUUAAACACUACAAGAAUGAGGUUGAAAAUCAACUUAGCAGAAAGAUUAAGGCAAUAAGAAGUGAUAGAGGUGGAGAGUAUGAAGCUCCUUUUGGAGAAUUUUGUUCAGAACAUGGAAUAAUCCACCAAACUACUACUCCUUAUUCACCUCAAUCGAACGGUGUUGUUAGCGCAAGAACCGUACAUUAAAGGAAAUGAUGGAUGCUAUGUUGAUAAGUUCGGGUCCACCCCAAAACUUAUGGGGAGAAGCAAUUCUUUCUGCAAACCACAUUCUUAACAAGAUACCACAUAAGAAUAAGGAUGUAACUUCAUAUGAGUUAUAGAAGGGUCACAAACCCUCUUACAAAUAUUUGAAAGUGUGGGGGUGUUUGGCUAAAGUAGGAGUGCCUAAACCUAAACAAGUUAAGAUUGGGCCUAAAACUAUUGAUUGUGUAUUUAUUGGAUAUGCAAACAAUAGUUGUGCAUAUCGUUUUCUUGUACAUAAGUCUGACAUUCCUAAUAUACAUAAAGAUACAAUUAUUGAGUCUAAGAAUGCGUCAUUUUUUUAGAAUAUUUUUCCUUGUAAAGAAAAGCAAGAAGUAAGUUCAAAUAAGAGAACUUAUGAUACUGUAAAUGGUAAUCAUCAAAAUGAGGAAGAAAUAAGAUGCAGUUAGAGAGCCAAGAAGACAAAGUCUUUUGGCUUGGAUUAUCUAACUUACAUGUUAGAUAACGAACCCAAGACAUUCAAAGAAGCAAUGUCAACACCAGAAGCCCCAUUUUGGAAAGAGGCUAUCAAUAGUGAAAUUGAAUCCAUCAUGCAUAACCACACAUGGAAAUUGGUGGAUUUACCACCAGGAAAUAAACCUUUGGGUUGCAAAUGGAUCUUCAAGAAAAAGAUGAAGCCUGAUGGAACAAUAGAUAAGUACAAGGCUAGAUUGGAGCCAAAGGAUUUAAAUAAAAGGAAGGCCUUGAUUUCUUUGAUACAUAUUCACCAGUUACGAGAAUAACAUCUAUUAGAGUGUUAAUUGCAAUCGCAGCAUUGCAUAAUUUGGAAAUUCAUCAAAUGGAUGUUAAGACAAUCUUUUUAAAUGGGGAGUUAGAAGAAGAAAUAUAUAUGGAACAACCUGAAGGGUUUGUUGCUCCUGGACUAGAAAAAAAGGUGUGUAAGUUGAUAAAGUCCCUAUAUGGGCUAAAACAAGCACCAAAACAAUGACAUUAGAAAUUUGACAAAGUAAUGUUGUCAAAUGAUUUUAAAAUUAAUGGAUGUGAUAAAUGUGCAUAUACAAAGAAUACACAAAGUGAGUAUGUCAUUGUGUGCUUGUACGUGGAUGAUAUGUUAAUUAUUGGUAGCAAUAAUGAUGUCAUUAAAGCUACUAAGAAAAUGCUGACCAAUUAUUUUGAUAUGAAAGACAUGGGUGUCGUAGACGUGAUCUUAGGUAUAAAAAUGGCCAAGACAUCUAGUGGACUAAUAUUAUCUCAAUGUCAUUACAUUGAGAAAAUUCUUAAACGGUUUAACUAAUAUGAUGAUAGUCCAAUUAAGACACCAGUAGAUUUAAAUCUAUAUUUAGCUAAAAAUAAUGGUCGAGUAAUUGACCAGUUGGAAUAUUCUUGUAUCAUUGGUAGUUUAAUGUAUGUCAUAAACUGCACGCGUCCAGACAUAGCCUACGCAGUUAAUAAACUAAGUAGGUUCACUAAUAAUCCGGGAAAAGACCAUUGGAAGGCGUUGAUUAGGGUUCUUAGAUAUCUAAGAUACACCCUAAACUAUGGACAUCAUUAUUUAAGGUAUCCAGCCAUACUAGAAGGAUAUAGUGAUGCAAAUUAGAUAUCUGAUACAAAGGACUCAAAGUCCACAAGUGGAUAUGUAUUCACAAUUGGUGGUGGUGCGAUAUCAUGGAAGUCAUCUAAACAAACAUGUAUUGCAAGAUCAAUGAUGGAAUCUAAAUUUAUUGCUUUAGAUAAAGUAGGGGAAGAAGCAGAAUGGCUUCAUAAUUUUCUAGAAGACAUUCCAUGUUGGCCAAAACCAAUGCCUGCAAUAUGUAUACAUUGUGAUAGUCAAUCAGCGAUUGGAAGAGCACAAAGUAGCAUGUACAAUGGUAAGUCUCGACACAUCCGUCACAUACAUAAUAUUGUAAGGCAGUUACUUGUAAAUGGAAUUAUUUCCAUUGAUUAUGUUAAGUCAAAGGACAACUUGGUGGAUCCACUAACUAAAGGAUUGUCUAGAGAUCAAGUAAACUGCUCAUCGAGGGGAAUGGGAUUAAGGCUUAUCACUAAAGAGUUUCAUAAUGGAAACCUAACCUAGCUGACUAGAGAUCCCAAGACCUAGCUAGGUUCAAUGAGGAACUAAAUUAUGAAAUACUCUGUGAAGAGCACUAGGGAAAAAUAAAUUCCUACCCAUUCCUAUGGUGAAGUAGUGCUAUACAAGAUGUGUUUAGGAUAAGCUAUGCUUUUAAUGAUUCUAAUAAUUUGAAAGAGUUCAAGUGGAGUAUGGUAGAAUAUUCGCACUUGUAACGGCUAAAAUGAACACAACCGUGAGAAUCAAUGGUGAUCUGGAAAGGAAUUGUGUGAAUACUAUUGUCUUGAUUUACAUCAAUAGCUGAAUAGUUCAAGACAUCACAUUCACUGAUUAGCUAGUAAAUCCGAUAGUAUUUCACUAAGGUUCAGAGCCAUAAACUACCUAUCCUGAUGCGAUCACUUUCCAAUUUUGUAUUCUCUUGAUUGUUUAGUUUUCCAUUUGCCUUUUUUAAGUCAAUUUCCAUUCAUGUGGGGGAUUGUUGGGAUAUUUAUAGGUGAAUGGAAAUUAAGACAUACUGUUUCAAUUAGACACAACUCUUCGUAAUGGACACAACUUGUGUCAAAGGAUAUGUCAAGUAUUUAAGACACAUCUCUUCUAAGAGUCACUAGAAAACCUAUAAAUAGGGGGGCCCCAUGGCAUUUCUAAUUCAUUCCAUCAUCAAUUCUCUCCACUUCUUCUCCUUUCUUCCAGGUGCUUGGUAUUCAAGAGAGUUCAAGUCAUCAAAUGAUUCACUGUUUCUUGUGAUUUGGAGUGCUACUAUCACAAGAUAGUGAUCGUUGUAUCCUGGGAGACGAUUGUCAACAAACCGUAUGCACCAAUGCAGGGCAAAUUCGUAUUAAGGACAUAGAGUCAAACUCUAACCUCGAUCAACCGUUUGUAAGAUUCAAUAUUUACUUACCUUCUCGCUUAUUUAUUAUACAUAAUUAUUUGACCAUACAUUUGUGAUAAUUCCAAAAUAACAGUUGAAUCCUCGGCCACAGCCUUUGCGGCAGCUAGAAACAAUUCCAGAAGGAUUCGUGGAAGGACAGUUGUUGAUGUAGAUUUGGAAGUACACACAACAAGACCUCUUAAUAACCGCAACAAGCGUGGAAGAGCUCCAGAACAAUCUUGGCAUGUUCCGCUUCUGCCACCCAAGGAGCCCACCUUCAACUGUAGGAAAAGGGUCACCAUGAAAGAUACCAUCAGAAUUUAACUUCCUGCAGCCAGCUGAGUAUGAUGCCUGGGCCAAUCAUGUAAUUAUGCAUAGGCUUAAAGAUUUUCAGCGUACAAGAAGGUGGGUUAUAAAGACUGGCUUUUGGAGGAUAGAAAGAGAAAUGAAAGAUGGCUCUUGGCAUGUUAUCAGACUCUUUUAUUUUUGCCCUCACAGACGGUGAUCCUCGUCUGCACGCUCUUGAACUCCGAUAUCCGACAUCGUAUGGUGAUGCCACCUGGGCGCUGAAAUGUAUACUCCUCCUCGGAUUCUCUCAGAAACUCACCAAACAAUGGGUGAUCGAAGUAUAUCACCGACACAAGGACUCGUGGAAGUCACCGUCUUUUUGAUCCACGUACACCGCCAGAUGGCCUUUCGGAACCGUCACCGCUAGCAUCUCCUCACCCACCAGAAGGUAACCAGAGAAACGAGCCGGAUCCGAGUUCAACAAACAUGUCUUUUUGGCCUUGGUUUUGAGACGUUGACCCCAGUUGCAGAGUCGAGAAAUUGUCUUGGUCUUGCCAGUCGGUAGCCAGAGACGGUGGUACCCAAAUGGGUUUCGGUGGAAAAAACCAUCCGUAGAACUUGACGACCUGUUUUCCUAGUUUGAAGCCCCUGAUCUUUCUCAUGGUGUAAGUGUUUGGUGCGAGAGAAAAAUUCAGAAGCUAUAAAUUACCAGAAUUUUCAAAAGAAAGAAAACGGUAAGAUUUGGCUCAGGAGAAAGGUCAUGGAGCUUUUUGUCUUAAACCCUUUCUCUUCGUCAACACUUAACGGUGGCAGUGGAGAUGUGGAGGAGGAUGGGUUUUCUAUUCUGAAAACAGAUGGAUAUGGUGCGGCGGACUACUCCAGAAGUGAUGAAGUCUAUAGGCGACCCAUUGAGUUUCAAUGGCGGUGCACUACACCAACAGUUAUGAAUUUGCCUUUUUCAAUACAGAAUUUGCUUCUUCAAGAGAACGUCCAAGAAGUCUCGCUAUCGGUGUGGUGGCUCCUUUUUAUACCAGCAUCAGAAGUCACUGGAACUCCAGCUGUCACUCAUUCUCAGGCAUGGUGUGCAUGUCCUCAUGUUCACGUGUUCUUCACACCGGAUCAUUCUCUCUAGAGACUUCCAGAGAGCCUCCAAAAAAUGCCUGACCUCUAAUGCCAUGCCACCUCACGUGACAGCUCUCACCAACUUCAUCUUUUUGUUUUCACAGGAGCCUCCCAUUCCUAAAUAUGCAAUCGUCUCCUCAUGCAAAACAGAAUAAAAUAAAAUAAAAAAAAAUAAAAAAAAAGAGAAGAAACUAAUGAAAAUCAUGAGAUUGGUAAUAAAAUAAAACAUGAUUUAAAAGAAAAAAAAGAGAGACCAGAUUAUAUAAUUCCAUCAUUCAAUAAGGGGGUCGUAUGUAUAUUUAAAGUCUAAACAAUUCAAGCAAUUUUCUAUUAAGUAAAUAAAAAAUAAAAAUAAAUAAUAAAAGUAAAAAUAAAAAUGAAUAUAAUUAUCAAAUGCAUGCAAUAAUAAUAAAAAGAUUAUACAUAAAAAAGUUAAGCCUCAAUGAAGUGUCUAAGUGGGCCUAAGUGGGUGCCUAAUGAGCCAAGUGCGUCUAAGUGAACUUAAGGUGUCUAAACGAGCCUAGGGUGAGACUAGGUGGGUCUAAUUAAGUCUAACCUAAAGUGCACCUAAGUAAAACCUAAUCAAAAUCAAGACUAUCAAGGAUCAUAAUAAGGGGUCAAAUAAUCCCUCAACCAGAGUUUCCGAGGUGGCUCUAAAAAAAUGGGCUACACGAGAAGUAAUGGGCCACCAAGGAAUUGUUGUAAAGUACGGAACAAAUACCUAAUAAGACAUGUGCUAGAAUGAUAAAAUGGAGGGUCUACAUAGGGCUUCAGACUCUUAGACUUUUACUUCUUCCAUUCUCUUUUACAUGUCUAGAGAGAGAGAACCUAGCCCCUCCACUUUUCUCAAUCUCUACCAUCUAAGUAUCUAGCUUCAAGGAGAGUCAUUGAGGAGAAAACCAAUGGUUUCAUGAGAUUUUCAAUGACUACUAUGCGUUUGAGAACCUUCUUCACCACAAGGCUGUUUUGCUUCAUUGGUGGGGGAUAAGCUUAGGAAAGCAUGUAUGCACCUAACAAGAUCUAGGGAUAUAAAAUGGAGUGAUCUAUUUUUUCCUACAAUUUUAGCUUUCUUACUUGUAGUUUUAAUUGACCAUAUGUAUAGCUUUUCUUGGUUAAAAUUUUAAUUUUUUUGAAUGAUGUACAAUGCACUUAUUUUGUUUUUGAAAAGAAUGUUUUUAUUUUUCUUAAUAACGUACUUUUUUUUUUGAAGGAUAUACUUAAUUUUUUAAGAAAUGUAUUUAAUUUUUCUAAAGAAUUCACUUAUUUUUCUAAGGAAUCUAGUUAUUUUUCUUAGAGAUAUACUUAUUUUUUAACAACGUACUUGUUUUUUUUCAUAUUGUACUUCUUUUAAAAAUGUACUUAUUUAUACUAUCACAAAUAAUUGAAAUUAAUUAGCAAAUUAUACUAAAACAUUAAUGUAUAUGAUUCAUAUACAAUGUACUUAUUUUCUUAGGAAAGCAUUUUCUAAAGAAUGUUCUUAGUUUUUUUUAGGGAUGUACUUAUAUUAUUUAAGGAUAAACUUAUUUAUAUUGAUAGAAAUAAGUGAAAGUUGGUGAGAAAUUUAUGAUAAAACAUUAGUAAAUAUAAUUAAUGAUAUUCGAUAAUAAUAUACAUAAUUUAAGAAUUUAAAAUAUAUUUAAUAUUCAACAUAUAAAAGAACUUAUGAUAUAUAUAUAUUAUUUUGAUGAUUUGUAUAAUUUGAAUAAUUUUUAAAUGGAAUAUGAAAAUGAAAUAAUUAAAAUGUACAAACGUAGUCCUGUAAGCCAUUGAUUAAUGUGCUUAUCGUGAUCAAAGAUUCAGAUAAUGUAUAUUAAUUGAAAAUUUAUUAGCAAAUAAUAGUCAAACGUUAAUGUAUAUAAUUUAUAUACAAUGAACUUUUUUUUGAGGAAUGCAUUUUCUAAAGGAUAUUCUUACUUUUUGGAGGCAUGUGCUUAUUUUUUUAAGGCUAAACUUAUUUAGAUUGGAGCAAAUAAGUGAAAGUCCAUGAGAAAUUCAUGAUAAAACAUUAAUGCACAUAAUUUAUAUAUUAUGUACUCAUUUUUUAUUUUUUUAGAAAUGUACAAAUAAUGGAAAGUUCAUUAGCAAUUUAUAGUAAAAUAUUAAUGUACAUAUUUUUUUGAAGGAUGUAUAAUAUACGUAUUUUUUAAAGGAAUGUAUAUAUUUUUUUUCAAGAUAUAGUUAUUACAUACCUAAGACUACAUUUAUGUUCAUAUUGAAAUUAAAGAGCUUUCAUAAGAGAAAGUGUAGCCACUUGAUCAUAUAAAAAAAUAAAAGAAAAGAAAAACAGAAAUAAAAGGGUAUAUAUCAAACACUUUCAAUUAUGAUUUAUCAUAUCAAAGAUUUGAAAAAGGGACAAUUCAUUUAGUAGUUAUUUAAAUGCGUAUUUUAGAAAUAAUUUUAUCCAUUGUGUGUUUGGGAUGAAAUGUGAAAGUUGGAAUCCUAAAAAAUAUACUUAUAUAUUUUUUAAUUAAUGUAUGUAACCAUAGUUCUCCCAAAAUAUGGCCAGGCUUCAUCAUACUUCUGUUUUGAAAUGUUAAAAUUUAAAAAUAAUUUUUCAUGAAUCACUUUUAAAUGUUUUUUAUAGAAAAAAAUUAAAAUAUAAAGUAUGAUGUAUUUUUUCAACUUUGAAAAAUUCUCUAAACAUAUUUUUAAGUCAUAAAUUAACACCAACUUUUGUCACUUCUUAUUCUUCUAUAUCAAAAGACUAACAAUAAUCAUGUUAUUUAUACGCAUAAAAUUAAUUAAAAUCAUUUAAGAUCAUGAUUUUUUUUAAAAUUUUUGUUAUUUAAUUAUAAAAAAAUUAAUUUUUUUAAUGAGAAGAAAAAAAACAAGGCUUAAUAACCAUAUUUAACAUUUUUAAAAUAAAUAAAUAAAAGCAAAGGUAUAUCCAAAUAAUACCUCAUUUGCUCAAUUCAAUUAUCGCAUGCCCUAAGUAUCAAAGUAGUUGACUAAGAGUGAGUUUGAUAGUAACUUUAGAAAGAUUAAAACACUUCUUCGAAUUACCACCAAAUAUAUUUUAAGGCACGCAAGGAAAAGUAAUCUCUUCUAUUAUUAUUAUUAUUAUUAUAAUUAUCAUACUGCCUUAUAGAAAGGACUUCUAUAAUUCAAAAUAAUCACAUGGUAAAAAUAGAUUUUAUUUGUUUGUAUCUUAUAAUGAUCUUAUUAUAUAUAUAUAUAUAUCUUAUCCUUUAUACAUGCAUUUUUUUUUUCAGUUUUGGUCGUAUAUUUUUAAUUUAAUAUUAAAAAAAAAAUUUACGCUUUUUGUCAAUGUCUCAAAUUUCAAAUAUGUUCAUGCUCUAGAAAUUCUCAAGUUGUAGUCUUGUAGCCUAGAAUGUGAAGUGAGAGUUUGAUGAAAAACGAAAAAAACAAAGAUAUAAAAUAUAAUUUGUGAGUAAGGAUGAAAAUAUCAGUUUUGACAGAUAUAUUAGUAACUCGAUUUUAUAGAUAUCAGGGUAUAUUAGAAAAUAUUGGUAAAUAUUUUGACACAAAAUAUCAAUGAUAAAAAAUUGAUCAAAACUCAUGGAAAUUAAAAAAAAAAAAACUCUUAAACAUGAUAAAAUAAACAAUAAUAUAUUUAUUAAAGUUUUUUUUUAUUAUUGUAAAACUUAAAACACAAAAUUAUCAACAAAUAUCAAUGAAAAAUUUGAAAAAAAAAAUCAAAAUUAAUAAAAACUCAUAAAAUAUUAGUAAAAACUAAAUAUAUAUAUAUAUAUAUAUAUAUAUAUAUAUAUAUAUAUAAGAAGCAAUAAUACACAUAAUGAAGUUAUUUAUUAAAAAAAUUGAUAUAAUUUAAUAUAAUUAAUGAUAUUUGAUAACAAUAUAUCUAAUUUAAGAAUUGAAAAUAUAUUUAAUAUUCAAAAUAUAAAAGAAGUUAAUAUAUAUAUAUAUAUAUAUAUAUAUAUAUAGAUAUUAUGAUGAUGAUUCGUAUAAUUUGAAUAUUUUUUAAAUGGAAUAUGAAAAUGAAAUAAUUAAAAUUAAUUUACUUAUUAUUAUUUUAUUUUAUCAGUCUAGGAAUGCAACUAUUUUUAAUUUAUGUGUGUUGCAUAUUUAAAAAAUGUUGAACUAGCUUAGUUGGCCAAAGCCCCAUCCAUGCGCACCCGAGACCCAGGUUAAAGCCUUAGUGUUGUUUCCAUUAAAAAAUUUCAAACGUUGACCCAAUAAUUUCAAUAUUGACAUUUUCAUCCUUGUCUACAAGUACUUGUGUUGGGAUCCAUGCAAUAAUUAAUGGCGGAAAAAUAGAAAAACGAGAAAGAAGAACACAAAGAUUUAACGUGGUUCAACUAAUUACCUACGUCCACGGGAAUAGGGAAAGAUGAUUUUCACUAUGUUAAAAUUAAGGUUACAUAAAAGGGUAUUUAUACUAACCCUUAGGAAUGAAAAUUCAAAAAACACCCCUGAACCCUACACCCCUCAACCUAUCGUUCACCUCACAACAAAAGAAAUACAAGCCUGAAUGACAAAUUCCGUCGCUAUGCUGCCAUUCCACUCCACUUCGCUCCCGCAUUUUGCCCAUUUUUCUCCAUAUGUCUUUUCGAUCAAAUAUGAGCCACAUACUACAACAAUCUCCACCUUGGCAAAUAUUCACUCCCCCCUUAGGAGACAAGAAACAUUGCUUAUAACUCCACCUGGGACAAUAGGUUGGGGUAUCUCCCAUCUAGCAACUAGAGACAUUAAUCAAGUUCAAGCAAUGCUUGAACUUUUCUGUGGUAACAGGCUUUGUCAACAUGUUUGCUGUGUUCUUAGAGGUGUGGACCUUCACAAGUAACAGUUCACUAGAAGAAACCAAUUCCCUGAUCUUAUGAAACCUCACAUCUAUGUGUUUGGUCCUUGCAUGAUACACCUGGUUCUUUUCCAAAUAAAUGGCACUCUGACUGUCACAAUAUAAUUGAACUCCACCUUGUUGAAUACCCAACUCCUUAAACAAACCUGUAAGCCAUAAUGAUUCCUUUGCAACCUCAACUAUUGCCAUAUAUUCUGACUUAGUAGUAGAUAGUGCAACUAAAGACUGUAUCAUAGACUUCCAACAAAUAGGUCCCCACCAAGGGUGAAUACAUAACUUGUGGUAGACCUCCUGUCAUCUAAGUCACCUGCAUAGUCUGCAUUAACAUAUCCUCUAACUGAAGAAUCACUUUGUUGUUUGAUGAACACGAUGCCAUAGUAUAGACCCGCAUUUUUCAUGUGCGCCCCCACUCGAUCGGCGAGACUCGCUUUUUAUUGGUGAAAAAUUAAUUUUGGAAAAAAAGUCGGAGUCACCACUUAUUUUAUUUUUAUUUUAAAGGGAAAAUAAAACAAGAAAGAAAAACCCUAAAAUGUGACUCCAUAAUUUUUGGAAAAAGCAUGUCUUUGAAACACCCGAGUCUAGGUCCGGGGAUCAGGUUACUUAUUGGGAAGGUACCUCUAGGAGGUAGCACCCCUCUAAGCCCUAAAGAGGUCUCUACUGACUAAAUUGGGGGAGAUGUGGCAAUUAAUUGAUUAAUUGGGGAUACCUAGAUAGACUAAGGUGAUUUAAAAAAAUAACAUGUGAUUACUACCAAAAAGUGCUAUUUUGUAGACCUAAUUAUAAUGGUUUUAAGCACCUUUGAGUAGUAAUCAUAUUCAUUUAACCCAAUUAAUUCAUUAAGGUCCUUAGUAAUUGGUUUUAACCUUUUUGUGGCAAGUUGACAUGUUUUUAUCAGCUUAUGAAUCGAUUCAAGCAUGCCAAUUGAUGGAGGAGCUAUUUGGGUGAGUUAAGCAAGGAUUUUGUACGUUUAUAGGCUUGAAUUUCAAGUGGAAACACGAGCACAAGCAAUGGAGAAGAGGAAAACAGAGUGAAGAAAACAGCUGCAGUCUUCCUUUGAACUUUUGAAGCACUUUCCGAAGUCUAUUUUUUGUAUGCUAUAUACCAUUUGAAAGCUUAGGAAGUCAAGAAUCCAACGCUUCAAACCGUGUAUGAUUUGGAGCUGAAAUGAGGAAGAUAUGGCCUUCGGAAGGCAACUGCAUCAUGUCAAAUGACCAAUUUCGCAAGGUGAAUUUCACAUUGCGAAAAUUUCGCAAGGAGAUUUUCUUCAUGGUGCGAAAUUUUGCCACUUCGCACCAUGAAGAAACACCUUGCGAAAAUUUCGCAAGGUGGAUUUAGGCACAUUGCAAAAUUCCUUUGAAUCCCCUGUUUUGAGACGUUGUUGAUGUUAUUCCACUACCGGUUCUCCAAGAUAUUUUGCUUGAUUUUUAGCUUUGUAAAUACCUAUUUUACCCUUGUAAUCAACCAAUGAAUAGGUUGCUUUUGUAAUAGCUCUUGUAAUUUAGCUUGUUAUUGUCUUUAAAUAGAGGUGAAGAGCCUCAGACACGCAUCAUCUAAUCUUGUAACCUGUAACUUUAUAAGUUAUAAGAGCACUUUUGUUCAGAAGCUUCUUUUCUCUUUUCUUUCUCAUUUUCUUAGUAGCCAAACACCCUUGGAGGAUGAAAUCCCCAAGGAUGAGAGGCUAAAACCUUUUAGUUUCUUGAAGUAAUGGAUGCCAUGUGAAGCUCCCGUGUCAGGAUGGAGAUUUCCAAGCCAUGAAUGUAAGUAGCUGAGCGUCAUAAAUGUUUUCAUUCAAAGUAAAGCUUUUAAUCCCUCUGACUUGCUUUGAAUGGCCAAUACUUGAUAACCUUUUGGUCUCAGUGGAUUCUUAUUGUUAAAUCCACUGACGUUCAUUAGUUAUCUCCUACGAGCCAUUGUAUUGCAAGUCGAGGAGAUGACCUAUAUCAUUAAAAGGGCAUUUAUGAGGUUCAGCUACCCUUUUUGUAAGUUUUCAAGGACUAAAACUCAGUUGUUAAACUCAUACCGGUUCGGGAAGUAAGCAUCACCUUAGUUGCUUCCCCAACUCGAGGUGAAAAGUCCCAAAAUCUCCAUUUUUACACAGUGAGUUAAGCAUGACUAUCCAAAGCUUUGAGAAACUUCUUUCUCCAUCUUUUAACCUAUUUUCAAGUUAGUUUAGUUUACAACACCUUUAUCUUUUUAUGUUUUCAUCUUAACCUAAUUUUUAUUAAGAAAAGUUCACUCCAUCCUCCGAACUUCACCAGUUAAAGUAAAAACCCUUCCCAGUGUUCGAUCCUAGAGCCACUAUGCUAUAGUAGCUUUGCUACUUUAGUGUAAGGACCUUAGGUUAUAAAUUUUGUUGAUACCUUACAUGCAAGCUACCAAGAGGCGGGUUAUCAAAUGGCGCCGUUGCCGGGGAAGGUGCUACUUCACUGUGAAUAUAUCAGCCGGAGGUAACUUGUGAGACUUCUCAUGAGUAAGGUGAAUUCUAUCUCCUUUUUCAUUUACUAACUUUUUAUUUUAGUUUUAGAACAUUUUUAACUUAGUUUAGAUAAGUUUCUUUUAGCUUUUAACUUUCAUUUUUAGUUUAUUUUUCAUACUCUGUUUUUCCUUCCGCAUGCUCUGUUUUUUUUUUUUCUUUUUCUUUGUUUUGUUUGUUUGCUUUGUUCCAGCUGAAUCCGUGCAUGCCCUAUUGGAUUAGAGACCAAGAGGGAAGGUUAGUGCGGAUAGAGACUCCACGAGCUAUUGAAUUAGAGAUUAUUUUAGAAGUCAUGGAGAAUCAGCCAGAGGAUCAACAUUCACAACACGGGCAGGGGAAUGAUCCGAACUUGUAUAGGUCCAUGAGGGACAGGAUGCACCCUCCGAGGAUGAGUGCACCAUCUUGCAUCAUUCCUCCUACAGAGCAAUUGAUUAUCAGGCCACACAUCGUGCCUCUGCUUCCUACUUUCCAUGGGAUGGAAAGUGAAAAUCCAUAUGCGCACAUAAAGGAAUUCGAAGAUGUGUGCAAUACUUUUCAAGAAGGGAGAACAGCUAUUGAGCUUAUGAGGUUGAAGCUCUUUCCAUUCACAUUAAAGGACAAAGCCAAGAUAUGGCUCAAUUCCUUGAGGAUGGGAAGCAUAAGAACAUGGACAGAACUUCAAGCUGAUUUUUUGAAGAAGUUUUUCCCUACUCACAGAACAAAUGGAUUGAAGAGACAAAUCUCCAACUUCUCAGCACGUGAGAAUGAAAAAUUUUAUGAAUGCUGGGAGAGGUAUAUGGAGGCCAUCAAUGCAUGUCCUCACCACGGCUUUGAUACAUGGCUUUUGGUGAGCUAUUUUUAUGAUGGCAUGUCAUCUUCAAUGAAGCAGAUAUUGGAGACAAUGUGUGGGGGUGAUUUCAUGAGCAAGAACCCUGAGGAGGCUAUGGACUUCCUAAGUUAUGUCUCAGAGGUUUCCCGUGGAUGGGAUGAGCCCAAUAGUAGAGAAAUGGGGAAGAGGCCAGUUCAGCAAAUGUCAAGAGGGGGGAUGUACAGUCUGAGUGAAGACAUGGAGAUGAAAGCCAAGGUAGCUGCCAAUGGCUAGAAAAAUAGAGGAAAUGGAGUUGAGAAAAGUUCAUGAAGUCCAAGCUAUUUCAGAACCUCAACAACAAGCCAAUCCUUGCUCCAUCUGUCAGUCAUUUGAACAUAUGGUGGAAGAAUGUCCCACCAUUCCGGCAGCAAGAGAAAUGUUCGGGGAACAAGCUAACCUGAUUGGCCAAUGGAAGCCAAAUUCAAAUGCUCCCUAUGGCAACACGUACAACUCUAGCUGGAGGAACCACCCAAACUUUGCAUGGAAGCCAAGGCCAAACCCAUAUCAGUCACCAGCCCAAUCAAGCCAACAGAGUCAAGGUCAAUCCUCAGUUGAGCAAGCACUCGUAAGCCUUAGCAAGGUUAUGGGUGACUUUGUGAGUGAGCAAAAAUCCAUCAACUCUCAACUAAAUCAGAAGAUUGACAACGUAGAGAGUACAUUGAACAAGAAGAUAGAUGGGAUGCAUAAUGAGUUGUCUCAGAAAAUUGACAACAUCCAAUAUUCCAUCUCAAGGCUCACAAAUUUGAACACUGUCAAUGAGAAAGGGAAGUUUCCCUCUCAGCCUCACCAAAAUCCUAAGGGGAUACAUGAAGUGGAAUCCAAAGAUGAGGAUUCUUCAAAGGUGAGGGACGUGCAAGCUAUUAUCACUUUGAGAAGUGGUAAGGAAGUGCAUCAGCCGGAGCAUGAUCAGAGGAAAGCCAAAGAAGAUAAGGCUGAUAGAAAAGAAGAAAAGAAGAAUGAACAAAAGGGAAAGGAAGUUCAGAUGAAAGAAAGCAUCAUUCCUAGCAUGGAUGAGGAACCUCAAAUUCUUUUAAAGGAAGGCAUGAUGAAGAAGUACAUGCCUCCUCCAUUUCCUCAAGCCUUACGUGGGAAGAAACCGAUCAAGAAUGCUUCUGAGAUUCUUGAUGUGUUAAGACAAGUGAAGGUGAAUAUUCCUUUACUUGAUAUGAUCAAGCAAGUACCCACAUAUGCAAAGUUUUUGAAGGACUUGUGCAUUGUGAAAAGAGGACUCAAUGUUACAAAGCAAGCCUUCCUAACCGAGCAAGUGAGUGCUAUAAUCCAAUGCAAGUCUCCAAUCAAAUACAAAGAUCCGGGGUGUCCUACAAUCUCAGUCAAUAUUGGAGGAACCCAAGUGGAGAAAGCAUUGCUUGAUUUGGGGGCAAGUGUUAACUUACUUCCAUACUCUGUAUACAAGGAGCUGGGGUUGGGAGAACUCAAGCCAACAUCAAUCACCCUAUCCUUAGCUGACCGAUCAGUGAAAAUCCCCAGGGGGGUAAUAGAGGAUGUAUUGGUUCAAGUUGACAAAUUCUACUAUCCAGUAGAUUUUGUGGUGCUUGAUACGGAUCCCAUUGUCAAAGGGAUCAACUAUGUUCCAAUCAUCCUUGGAAGACCAUUCCUUGCAACAUCCAAUGCAAUCAUCAAUUGUAGGAAUGAGGUCAUGCAACUCACUUUUGGGAAUAUGACAUUGGAACUCAACAUCUUCCAUCUAUGUCAAAAGCACAUCCAUCCUGAAGAAGAUGAGGGCCCGGAAAAAGUGUGUAUGAUAGAUACCCUGGUGGAGGAGCAUUGUAAUCAGAGUAUCCUUGAUCAGUUUGAAGAGAAUUCAGAUGAAAGCCAUGAAGAUCUUGAUGAUGGGUUAGCUGAACCCAUGGGAAUGAAUGCCGUUAUGUCAAACUGGAGACAAAAGCCAGUGAUCCUCCCUUUGUUCAAGGAUGAGGAAGAGAUGAAAGAAGCUAAGGAUGCAAUCCUUAAGCUUGAAUUAAAGACCCUUCCUGCCGAGUUGAAGUAUGCUUACUUGGAGGAAGGCAAUAAAGCCCCGGUGGUAAUUUCUUCUUCUUUAACCGUUUCACAAGAGGGCAAUCUUCUGAGAAUCCUUAGAAAGCACAAGAAGGCCAUCGGAUGGCAAAUUUCUGAUUUGAAGGGGAUAAGCCCAUUGAUUUGCACGCACCAUAUUUAUAUGGAGGAGGGAGCUAAGCCAACUCGUCAGCCACAGAGAGAUUGAAUCCUCAUAUGCAAGAGGUAGUAAGGGCUGAAGUGUUGAAGCUUCUUCAAGCGGGCAUCAUUUACCCCAUUUCNAUAGCACUUGGGUGNNNNNNNNNNNNNNNNNNNNNNNNNNNNNNNNNNNNNNNNNNNNNNNNNNNNNNNNNNNNNNNNNNNNNNNNNNNNNNNNNNNNNNNNNNNNNNNNNNNNAAGCUUGAAUUAAAGACCCUUCCUGCCGAGUUGAAGUAUGCUUACUUGGAGGAAGGCAAUAAAGCCCCGGUGGUAAUUUCUUCUUCUUUAACCGUUUCACAAGAGGGCAAUCUUCUGAGAAUCCUUAGAAAGCACAAGAAGGCCAUCGGAUGGCAAAUUUCUGAUUUGAAGGGGAUAAGCCCAUUGAUUUGCACGCACCAUAUUUAUAUGGAGGAGGGAGCUAAGCCAACUCGUCAGCCACAGAGGAGAUUGAAUCCUCAUAUGCAAGAGGUAGUAAGGGCUGAAGUGUUGAAGCUUCUUCAAGCGGGCAUCAUUUACCCCAUUUCGGAUAGCACUUGGGUGAGUCCAACCCAAGUUGUUCCAAAGAAGUCCGGGAUAACCAUAGUCAAGGGAGAAAAUGGAGAUGAAGUGUCCACACGCCUCACAACUGGUUGGAGGGUGUGCAUUGACUACAGGAAGCUGAACGCAGUAACGAGAAAGGAUCACUUCCCUUUACCUUUCAUGGAUCAAGUCCUUGAGAGAGUAUCUGGGCAUCCUUUUUAUUGCUUCUUGGAUGGGUAUUCCGGGUAUUUUCAAAUAGAGAUUGAUGUGGAGGACCAGGAGAAGACUACCUUCACUUGUCCAUUCGGCACCUAUGCUUAUAGGCGGAUGCCUUUUGGAUUAUGCAACGCUCCUGCUACCUUCCAAAGAUGCAUGCUUAGCAUCUUCAGUGACAUGGUUGAACGAAUCAUGGAAGUCUUCAUGGAUGACAUAACUGUGUAUGGGACUUCUUUUGAGGAUUGUUUGUCACAUCUUAAAGAUGUUUUGAAAAGAUGCAUAGAGAAAGACCUUGUACUCAAUUGGGAGAAGUGCCAUUUUAUGGUAAAUCAAGGUAUUGUUCUUGGGCACGUAAUCUCAAAGAAGGGUAUAGAGGUAGAUAGAGCUAAGGUAGAACUAAUUGUGAAGUUGCCACCUCCCACCAAUGUAAAAGGAAUAAGGCAAUUCCUUGGGCAUGCCGGGUUCUAUAGGAGGUUUAUAAAGGAUUUUUCCAAGAUUGCCAAACCUCUUUGUGAAUUAUUGGUGAAGGAUGCCAAGUUUGAGUGGGAUGAUAAAUGUCAAAGGAGUUUUGAGCUUCUUAAGCAAUUCUUGACAUCAGCGCCCAUUGUGAGAGCACCAAAUUGGGAGUUGCCAUUUGAAGUGAUGUGUGACUCAAGUGAUUAUGCUAUUGGGGCUGUUUUGGGACAAAGAGAAGAUGGCAAACCUUAUGUGAUCUACUAUGCAAGCAAGUCUUUGAAUGAUGCUCAAAAGAAUUACACCACCACUGAGAAUGAAUUACUUGUUGUGGUGUAUGCUUUGGAUAAGUUCAGAGCUUAUUUGAUAGGGUCUUCCAUUGUGGUAUUCACGGAUCAUUCAGCUUUGAAGUAUUUGCUAACCAAGCAAGACGCCAAGGCUAGGUUGAUUAGGUGGAUACUUUUGCUUCAAGAGUUCAACCUCCAGAUCAGAGAUAAGAAAGGUGUUGAGAAUGUGGUAGCUGACCACUUGUCAAGGCUCAACAUUGCUCAUGACACCCAUGGACUUCCCAUAAAUGAUGAUUUCCCUGAGGAAUCCUUGAUGCUUGUGGAGGAAGUGCCAUGGUUUGCACACAUUGCCAAUUACUUGGUCUCGGGAGAAAUACCAAGUGAAUGGAGCUCUCAGGACAAGAAGAAUUUCUUUGCCAAGGUCCAUGCAUAUUAUUGGGAGGAGCCUUUUCUCUUCAAAUAUUGUGCGGACCAAAUUAUAAGGAAGUGUGUGCCUGAACAAGAGAAGCAUGGGAUCCUAUCUCAUUGCCAUGGGAAUGCAUGUGGAGGCCACUUUGCCUCUCAAAAGACGGCAAUGAGAGUUCUUCAAUCGGGCUUUUGGUGGCCCUCACUUUUUAAGGAUGCCCAUGAGGUAAGUAAAGGAUGUGAUAAGUGCCAAAGACUAGGCAAGCUUUCAAGGAGAAACAUGAUGCCUUUGAACCCCAUCUUGAUAGUGGAUCUUUUUUAUGUUUGGGGCAUAGACUUCAUGGGACCUUUCCCUAUGUCUUUUGGCCACUCCUACAUCUUGGUAGGAGUUGAUUAUGUUUCAAAGUGGGUUGAAGCUAUACCCUGUAGAACCAAUGAUCACAAAGUGGUUCUCAAAUUCCUAAAAGAAAACAUCUUCUCGAGGUUUGGAGUGCCUAAAGCAAUCAUCAGUGAUGGAGGCACUCACUUUUGCAACAAGCCCUUUGAAGCUCUUUUGGCCAAGUACGGAGUUAAGCAUAAGGUAGCUACACCUUAUCAUCCUCAGACGAGUGGCCAAGUAGAGCUAGCCAACCGGGAAAUUAAGAACAUCUUGAUGAAGGUGGUGAACACCAAUAGGAAAGAUUGGUCUGUUAGGCUCCUUGAUUCCCUAUGGGCGUAUAGGACGGCUUAUAAGACUAUCCUUGGGAUGUCACCAUACCGUCUUGUUUAUGGCAAAGCUUGCCAUCUUCCUGUUGAGAUUGAGUUCAAGGCAUGGUGGGCCAUUAAAAAGCUCAACAUGGAUUUAACUAAGGCUGGGCUAAAGAGGAGUUUGGAUUUGAAUGAGCUUGAGGAAUUAAGAAAUGAUGCCUAUCUCAACUCAAAAAUAGCUAAGGAAAAGCUAAAGAGAUGGCAUGAUCAGUUGGUGACCAAGAAAGAAUUUUUCAAGGGACAAAGAGUCUUGCUAUAUGACUCUAAGCUUCACCUAUUUCCGGGAAAGCUCAAAUCAAGGUGGGUAGGGCCUUUUGUCAUCCACCAAGUACACUCACAUGGAGUAAUUGAGUUACUCAACUCAAAUAGUGCAAAGACCUUCAAGGUAAAUGGGCAAAGACUCAAGCCCUACAUCGAGCCAUUUUCCCGUGACAAGGAGGUACUCAUCCUCCAUGACCCAUCACAUCCUUGAGAAAGUGUGGUAAGUUGAUGAGCUUAGCAUGAAAAGCUAAGUGCUCAUCUCUUUUUGUUUUAGUUUUAGUAUUACAUUCUUGUUUACUUUGCAUUUUUAAUACUUUUGCACAUAUUUUGUUUAGGUUUCUUGGUUUUGAUUUUGAUUUUUUUAUGUUUUUAAUGGAGCUUUGAUGUCCAAUAGCAGGUACGAAAGCUCACAAGCUCACAAAUGUGGAGAGAAAGGUGAAAUAGGGGAGAAAUAUAUCUAAGUCCAAGCUUAAAAGCCCAUUUCGCAACUCAAAAAGUGAGUUGCGAAAAUUUUGCAAGGUGAAUUUCACCUUGCGAAAUGCACAUUUUGGCAAGAUGCAAAAUGCAACCUCUCGAGAUUGCACUUUCGCAAGGAGUAACCAGUGCGAAAAUUUUCGCAAGUCAUUUUUCACCUUGCGAAAUUGUUUUCAAAGCAAAUAUCAAAGUGCAACCUCUCGGGAUUGGUUUUUAAGGGGAGUAGCCAGUGCGAAAAUUUGGCAAGGUGAAUUUUCACCUUGCGAAAUUUUUUCUUCAUGCUUACCAAGGUUUUGAUUCUUUUUAAAUUCAUUUUCACAGCUAUCCUGGACCAGCACUCCGCCAUGCUAUCUCAGAUCCACCAUCACCUGGGCAUAUCACCUCCUCCACCUCAGGAGCCACAUCCAUGAUUGGAUAUUUCUAUCUCCAUUUUGUAUUUGUUUUUUGUAGAUGUACAUGUUUUAUAUUCUGAGAUUGUAUGUACCUCAUGCUUCUAUCUUGUACUCAACUCUCUCAGUUUAUAUAAGCAUCAUUUUUUGUAUAUUAUUUCCUCUCUCACGUUUCUUAUGGUUUUUGAAUCAUGUGGAUGCACUCACACGCCUUGAAUACCACAUCACCAUAAGGUAUAUCAUUCCUUCCUUGUAUUUUUCGAUAGAAACAUUGGGGACAAUGUUCAUCUCGGUUGGGGGGAGAGUUGAGGAAGUAAGUAUUUCCUAUUCUAGUUAGUUAUUUUGUUGAUUUAGUAGUUGUUGCCCUUUUUCAAAAUUUUUUUGUUUCAUUCUCUAUGGUUGUUAAAGAUAAUUUCUCAAAAUAAAAUAGGAUAAGUCGAGUUUUAACUUAAUUACUUAAGUCUUAGAGUUUGUUUUAUGCUUUCAAAGUUGAUAAUCUAUUGAAGCCCUCUUUGAUUUCGAACUUAUUUCUUCCAUUUCAAGCUUUACACACACCAUGCACAUUAGAUCCCGGAUUUAUGAUGUAAAACUUUCUCACCCUCUAAGCUUAGGAAAAUUUUGACUUGGUUUAUUACUUAACCUCUUUUUAAUAAUGUUGGGACACCUCAAAAAGACCAAUGAGUCUUAGAAAAAGAAAAAGAGAAAAAGAAAAAAGAAAAGAGAAAAAGAAAAAGAAAAAGAGAAUAAGCUUCUAUUCUUUCCUUGAAACCUAAGCAUGAUCCGAAGGGGUGGCGAAAGCCUUUAAAACCCGAUGCCCUAAACCUUGAUUGGUUGGGAGUCAUCGAUCCUCUGCUUGCUACAUAGGUGAAUUGGUUAAGUUUAGUGAGUAAAAAGAAUUGUGAAUAAGAAGGUGCGUUCCUAACCUAUUAAGAGUUGGUUAAUUUUGCCAAUGUCCGAGAAAAGCUUAGGUUAGGGGGAGAGGAUAGUUGUGCAUACUAUAUCCGGAAGCUAAUCUCAUUAACACUUAGCUCAUUAUGGAAGAGUUUGAUCCGGAACCUUGAGAGUAGAGAUUCUUUUGAUACUUAAUUGCAUAAUCUCCACUCUUUGUACUUUUUGUUUAAGUUUUAGCUUUGACAACUCCUAUUGCAUUUUGAAUCUUCGUAUCUUUAGUUCACCAUGUGAGAUGUGUUUUGAUUUCAGUCAUGCCACUCAAUUAUUUUUUGGAGUGAUUUGCAUGAUCCCUUUUAUGUAUAUUAUUAUAGUUUACUUAGUUUUUAUCUCCUCCAUUGCUAAGGGACUAGCAAUGAGUCGGUUGGGGGGUGUGAUUACUACCAAAAAGUGCUAUUUUGUAGACCUAAUUAUAAUGGUUUUAAGCACCUUUGAGUAGUAAUCAUAUUCAUUUAACCCAAUUAAUUCAUUAAGGUCCUUAGUAAUUGGUUUUAACCUUUUUGUGGCAAGUUGACAUGUUUUUAUCAGCUUAUGAAUCGAUUCAAGCAUGCCAAUUGAUGGAGGAGCUAUUUGGGUGAGUUAAGCAAGGAUUUUGUACGUUUAUAGGCUUGAAUUUCAAGUGGAAACACGAGCACAAGCAAUGGAGAAGAGGAAAACAGAGUGAAGAAAACAGCUGCAGUCUUCCUUUGAACUUUUGAAGCACUUUCCGAAGUCCAUUUUUUGCAUGCUAUAUACCAUUUGAAAGCUUAGGAAGUCAAGAAUCCAACGCUUCAAACCGUGUAUGAUUUGGAGCUGAAAUGAGGAAGAUAUGGCCUUAGGAAGGAAACUGCAUCAUGUCAAAUGACCAAUUUCGCAAGGUGAAUUUCACAUUGCGAAAAUUUCGCAAGGAGAUUUUCUUCAUGGUGCGAAAUUUUGCCACUUCGCACCAUGAAGAAACACCUUGCGAAAAUUUCGCAAGGUGGAUUUAGGCACAUUGCGAAAUUCCUUUGAAUCCCCUGUUUUGAGACGUUGUUGAUGUUAUUCCACUACCGGUUCUCCAAGAUAUUUUGCUUGAUUUUUAGCUUUGUAAAUACCUAUUUUACCCUUGUAAUCAACCAAUGAAUAGGUUGCUUUUGUAAUAGCUCUUGUAAUUUAGCUUGUUAUUGUCUUUAAAUAGAGGUGAAGAGCCUCAGACACGCAUCAUCUAAUCUUGUAACCUGUAACUUUAUAAGUUAUAAGAGCACUUUUGUUCAGAAGCUUCUUUUCUCUUUUCUUUCUCAUUUUCUUAGUAGCCAAACACCCUUGGAGGAUGAAAUCCCCAAGGAUGAGAGGCUAAAACCUUUUAGUUUCUUGAAGUAAUGGAUGCCAUGUGAAGCUCCCGUGUCAGGAUGGAGAUUUCCAAGCCAUGAAUGUAAGUAGCUGAGCGUCAUAAAUGUUUUCAUUCAAAGUAAAGCUUUUAAUCCCUCUGACUUGCUUUGAAUGGCCAAUACUUGAUAACCUUUUGGUCUCAGUGGAUUCUUAUUGUUAGAUCCACUGACGUUCAUUAGUUAUCUCCUACGAGCCAUUGUAUUGCAAGUCGAGGAGAUGACCUAUAUCAUUAAAAGGGCAUUUAUGAGGUUCAGCUACCCUUUUUGUAAGUUUUCAAGGACUAAAACUCAGUUGUUAAACUCAUACCGGUUCGGGAAGUAAGCAUCACCUUAGUUGCUUCCCCAACUCGAGGUGAAAAGUCCCAAAAUCUCCAUUUUUACACAGUGAGUUAAGCAUGGCUAUCCAAAGCUUUGAGAAACUUCUUUCUCCAUCUUUUAACCUAUUUUCAAGUUAGUUUAGUUUACAACACCUUUAUCUUUUUAUGUUUUCAUCUUAACCUAAUUUUUAUUAAGAAAAGUUCACUCCAUCCUCCGAACUUCACCAGUUAAAGUAAAAACCCUUCCCAGUGUUCGAUCCUAGAGCCACUAUGCUAUAGUAGCUUUGUUACUUUAGUGUAAGGACCUUAGGUAUAAAUUUUGUUGAUACCCUUACAUGCCAAGCUACCAAGAGGCGGGUUAUCAACAUGCCAAAUAGGAUCAAAUUACAAUAAAGGAGAGUUAGGGUGCAUACCUGGAUGGCUUCUCAAAUGCUAUCAUGAAACAUAAAAGUUAGUAUAGAGAUACAUCACACAACAUGUGCUUUUGUCAAAGAUAAUCAAGCAAGCAUCAAAUAUAUAUCAAGGCAAUAAAACAGGAUGGCAAGCAUGGGCAUAGUACGCAAUGACAAUCAUAUUCAUAGGGUUUAGAAAGUGGGUAUUAGGGAACGUACCUGGAUAGCAUAGAUAACUUGUAACGUGCUUCCAUAAAACAGGAGAGGUUAGAUAGCAAACAAUAAAAUAAGAAGUCCUAGCAUGCUUGUUAUCUAAUUAGCAUAGAAAAAAAAAAAAUUAUCACAGUAUACAAAACCAUCAAUUAUCACUAAUAUCUUCUAUAUAAUUUCUAAAAAAUAAAUAGACAUGAGUUCAUCAAAUAACAAAGGGGGCAACAAAGAUGAGUUUUGAAAAUUUUCCUUAUGUAGGGGUUUCACCAAUUCCCCGAUUGAUAUACACGAAUUUAGCCCAGAAUUAUCCCAUUUAUGUGGGACCACAAGCUUUGAUUCAUGUUUGAUUUCAAACCAAAAUUUUCGUUAAAAAUCGAGAAAGAUGCAAAUCGAUCAAAAAAAUGGUUGCAUAUUAUUUUAAGAAAAUGGGGUUUUUGAUUCUAAGGACUCUAAAUGAAUUUUUAAAAUAGGUUUUUAUAAGGAAAAUUUUGAGAAAAGUAUUUUAUUUUAAAAUAAGAGAAAUUAAUUUGAGAACAAUAAAACAUAUGAGAAACAUUGUACCAAGCAAAACAAAUAGAAACAAAAUCAUAAAGUAAAAUUUUUGGCAACCAAGCAAACUGAAAUGGUGUGAAUGGAGGCCAAUCUUCACAAUUUUCCAAUGGCCUCCAUGAAUCAAAUAUAAACGAACAAAUGUCAAAGAAAAUAACUAAACAGCCUUAGAUCAAAUAAAGUCAACCAGAUAUCAAUCAAGAACUAACAAAGAUUAGUCAAGCCCAUAAAUUGAGGAUAUAAUCAAUAAUUAAAUUAGAUUAGUCAAACACACAAACCUAUGAUUAAGGUAAUGUUAAAUAUAGUACCAUAAGAACUUACAAUUCUAAAACACUUGAAUUGAGUAAGGAUCAAUCAGGAACUAGAGCUUAACACACUUAAAACAUGGAUAUAAUGACAAGGGGUCAGAUAAAUUAAAUAAUUAAAAUUCUAAAGACUCAUAAAACAAAUAUGAUGAAUCAAAAAUAAUAAUAAUAAUAAAAAUAAAAAAUAACUGAAAUUAAUAAACAUAGUGAUAAUGAUAUAGAACCAAAUGAAUUAAUCACCUAAAAACCUAAAGCAUCACAUGAAUCAACUAAGAUGAAAAUAAAAAAAAAAAGAAUAAAAUAACAUGAUGAUAAUGACAUAGAAUCAAAUAAAUUAAUCCAUUAAAAUUUUAAAGCAUCACACGAAUUAAUUAGGAUGAACCCAUGAACUAAAAUUAAAUAAAACAAGAUGAUGAUGACAUAAAACCAAAUAAAUUAAUCGACUAAAACUUGAGAGACUCGAAAACUUAAUAGAGUAAAAAAUUAGCAAACAAAGCCCUAACUUUCAAUCUAAAAAAAAAACUAAUAAACUAAUGGAUAAAAAAAAAAGAAAUCAAAAACUCAAGAACAAGGAAACUCACUUACCUUUGGAAGAUGCAGCCUACUCGCUUUGGGGAUCAAUGGCGUUCAUGGUUCUCUUGAAGAUACCAUGAAGAUCUUUAUGGAAAUUGAGGCAUGGACCCCUUAAAAUGCAACCUGCUGCCACUUUUCCUUCAAAAAAUCUCACCAUCUAAAAGUGCAACUUGCUUCCAUUUUUCUUUCAAAAAAAUCUCACCCCCUCAAAAUGCAACUUGCUGCCACUUUUUUUUUUAAACAAAUCUCACCCUAAAGUGGCAAUCUGCUGCCACUUUUCUUUUAAAAAAUCUCACCCUAAAGUAGCAGUCUGCUGCCACUUUCCUUUCAAAAAAAAUUCACCCUAAAGUGGCAGCCUACUGCCACUUUCCUUUCAAAAAAAAAACUCACCUUAAAGUAGCAGCCUGCUGCCACUUUUCUUUCAAAAAAAACUUCACCCUAAAGUGGCAGCCUUGGAGAAUCCCCACUGUACGGUUGUGUUCCAAAAAAAUUGAAUGCUGCCACUUUUCUUUUCAUCAAACUCAUAGUGCGCCCCAUGGAGAUUAAUAGAAAUCCCUUUUCCUCAUUUUGGAUGGUCACGCCCUCUCUCCUAUAGUGCAUGUGCAGAUCCAAGGAUGCAGCCCGUGAAGUGAUGUAACGAUUCCUAUUGAGUCUGUUAGUGUUGCCAAACCAGAAAGUACCCAAUUAUGAAUGUCCAGAAGAUGCUGAGGACAUGCAUGUCUUCCGACAAUGAUGUCAGUUCAGGACAGCGAUAAAUUUGAAGACGUUAGUAAAGGGAGGCUGUCCAUUGAGUGUGAUAAUGUUAUCAAAUUUAGGGCAGCAAUUUGAAUCCCUGAAUAGAGAUAGCUUCCAAGGCUUCAAGUGGGGUGAGAUGUUGAAUCACUUGUGAUAGAGAGAUUAAGCUACUAGCACAUCACUGAGAGAAUAUUAAUCUAUGACAAUUCCCACUUUCGAGUUGCUUUAGAGAAGUAAGGCGUCACAACUACAUUACCAUCUAGUAUUUUGCUUUGACUUGGCAACACUUACAUCUUUUUCAAUCAUGCACGGGGCUGUUUUGAAGUCCAAAAGUGCAAGUCGUUUUUGGAUGGCGGCUGGUUCUUGUUUGCUGUUCCUUGAGAUCAGUUUUAUUGCCAAUCAGAAUGAUGAGAAUGGUCUUAUCAGCGUGACCACGUGACUCUUCCAACCAUCGGGGUAUGUGGUCAAAACUUUGGCGUUUAGUUAUGUCGUAAACCAGCAUUGCGUCAACAGCACUCCUGUAAUACGCACUUGUAACGGCUCCGUGUCGUUCUUGGCCAGUAGUGUCCCAGAUCUGAGCCUUGACACUCUUGCGUCGGAUGACGAGGGUUCGAGUCUGGGACUCAACCCCGGUUGUAGCCUUGGAAUCCAAACUGAACUCGUUCCUAGCGAACCGAGUUUACGACUUGCCCACUUCGGUGUCUCCGAUCAUAACCACUUUGAAAACGUAGUUGAUCUUUUGGCUCGAAUUGCCAUAGCUUCCACCACUCGCCAUCACCGCACCACUCCGUUCUCUCUCUCUUGAACACUCUCUGUCUGGAUUCAAGAUCAGUCACAGCCUUCCUUUUCCCAUCCUCAAUUCUGUCCGCUGGGAAACCGAAUUGCCACCAUCAAACAGUUGGUUCCUUGCAGCCGCUGAAGCUUGUCAGCAUCACCAAGAGACCAACCAAUUGGGUUGUAGGAGAAGUCAAUCUGUUUCCAUGUAAUCUGAUCCCAAACUCCAAUCCCAUACACGUGGCUUCAAUCUUUACCGCUAGCAAUAAUCCUAUAAUCUGAAUUAAAACCCAGAGCUCCGACAAUUUCCUUUCUUUAUGGCAGCCAGAUUUGGAUCCGAUCUCGACUCUCCUUUGAGAUUAAGCAAUUUAUCAAUGUAUAAUCAGGCCGCUGUGGACAAAUCCAUGCUUGGUAGUCAUGCUUAUUGAUGAUAGUCUAGAGAUGUGGAAAUCAAACAAUUCUGAUGAACCCUCUCCCAUGCGUGAUGAGGCCGAUGAUGUGUUAUUCCAGAUUCAUCUCCGGAGAUCCCUCUAAUUAGAACGUUCAGAAUCCCCCAGAAACGAGAGCUCUCCUUGCGGUCUCCUUCUCCAGCAGCGUUCAUCCCUCCCCCCCUUUUUUUUUAUAUGCUUCACGAACUUCAUCACAUGAAUUACCACAAUCAUCAUCCGUCACUUCUGCUCCAUAGCAUGAACCACAAUAUUUUCCAUUGCGUUCAAGCCUGCCACCAUGUCCUUGUAAUAGCUUCUCAAUCCGGGGCCACCAAUUCCAUCUUGCCUAACUGCUACCACAUUACCAUGGGCGUCAAUGGAGAGAGAGUUUUGACCAGCAUGGGCGCUCGUACCAUUGGAGAUGCAGCCUUGAAGAUUCCCCCAGUGUGACCUGCUGCUGGUGCGUGUCUUCUAUGGAAUCUGUGCUGCGUGCUGGUCCUCUUGAUGGUGAGGAAUACGGCUGUGUGCUUGUCGUCUCCCUCCUAGUGGCAGCCCCCCACUUUGAGAGAAUUUGUGGCCGCUCCUUCCUAGAGAAUCCCUUAGAUGUUUCGUUUCAUCAUUUUAGCCGGAUCCAUUGCAAGCAAGGAAAUUCAUUGAUGAUUUGCUCCCCUUUUUAGGAAAGAAAGCUCAGAAUUCUGAUGCAUGUGUAGAAGCUUUGCAACUUAUUCGAGAUAUUAUACCAGUUUCAGUGAGUGAAACUUCUCCAAAAAUCUUGAAUGUCGUUUCUUCUCUGCUAAUUUCUGCUGGACUGGAUAUACGUUUGGUUAUUUGUGGCCUUCUUGGUGAUCUUGCUGAAACUGACCCUUAGGUACUCUCUGUGGCAAAUCCCAUAAAUGAAUUGGAUGUGACCUCUGUUACGGAAACGAGUGGCCUGGAUUAUGACACCAUAGUUUAUGCUUAUGAAAAGAUUAGCAUGGAGUUCUUUAAUAAUAUCUCAAAGAAUCAGGCACUGGUCAUUUUGUCGCGUUGUAUAUAUGAUAUGUCAUCCAAUGAACUGAUCUUAAGGCAUAAUGCAUAUAGGUUAUUGGUCUCUUCUGCUGAACUCUCCGUCCAAAUUCCUAAACUUGAAGUGAAGAGUGACCAUGAAACGCCCGAAGCAAUAAUAACAUUCAUAGCUGAUGGUUGUUGGAUUUAAGCAUGUAUUCAGCGCAUGAUAAACAAAUUCCUUUUGAAGCAUAUGGCAGAUGUAAUGGGCAAGGAAAAUUUUGUUCAGAAGGAAUGGGUUGAUUUACUGAGAGAAAUGGUGCUGAAGCUUCUAGAGGUGCUAAAUCUUCACUCAUUCAGGAUCUUGUAUUGUCUGAAUGUGUUAAUAAAAUUGGACCAAUGGAAGAUGCUGUGAAGGCUCUAUUUGCCUAUGGGCUCCAUCUAACUAGUCGGUAUAGGUUUUCUGAAUGAGAUGACCAUGGGAAUGGCCAAAUUUGGGAUUUCCGUAAGGUAAGAUUACAGUUAUUGCAGUUUAGAGACAGGCUGAAGACAUUUCUUGGGAUAAAUAUGGGUAGGUUCUCCGUGAAGGAAUACAACAAAUUUCGCAUUAUGCUUAUCAAUGAAGCUGCUGCUGCACUUGCUGAGAGUGGAAAAAUUGGGGCCUUAAACCUCCUUUUCAAGCGUCAUCCUUAUACACUCACUCCUUCCAUGUUGGAAAUUUUAGCUGCUGUCCCUGAAAUAAUUCAAGUUCAAACAUAUGGGCAACUCCCUCCUGGGAGGUCUCCUCCUACCAGUUUUGCUCUGAGGGAAAAAGAUUGGGUUGAAUGUGAAAGGAUGGUAGGCUUUAUCAACAGAUUACCCGAGGAUAAAGAGGGCAGCAUUCGCAUCAAAACUGAACCCAUUGCGAGGCAGAUCUUGGGAUUCUCUUGGCCAUAAGCUGAUGAAUUUUCUAGUUGAUACAAGUGCUGAAAUUUUUAUUGGUCAGACCGUUGACCUCAAAGAGCAGCAAAAUGCUCUUGGAAUCAGUCAGGAACACAUUGAAAGCGCUGCAUCACUGGAGGAUUAUGCUACCAUGAAUCCAGCCAAUUAUUUCACCUUUGUCUCCCAUAGUGCUAGAAGGUACUCUACCAAGAGGUUCUGGAACGCUCAAAUAUUUUAAGUGGAGGAUUCUAAUGCUUCAAUAGCACUCACCCUAUGACGAAUACUCAGUUUAUGAUGAAAGAGUGGAGUUUCUGGCAUCCACCUAUGCACCGAAUGCAGAAUCAAUAUUUGCUCCUCUCAUAGGAACAAACGGUUUUCACAACAAAGCAAGUGAUCAAGAUGAUGCAGGCUGCAAGAAUUUCCCGAAAGAAUUGCAAAUGGCCAGACUAGACGAUGAAGCUGUUCUCCAAAAACUGAGGCAAAUGCCAUUGGAAGUGGGAAAAUUGAAACAGAAUUUAUAAUGCUCUCCUUCCCUCAUGUUCAAAGGCUGAUCUGAACAAUACUGGAGUCGCCUAUGCAGCCAUGCUAGACAUUAGAAGCUUUAUGAGGUUACAAUAAAACCAUUAACUGUACACAUAAGUUCAUUUGCAAGAAUUGGGAACCAAUUUAGAAGGUCAAGUAUAUUCGCUGUCAACAAGAAUGAUGCCCUCCGAUUUAAGAUCUCUACUGAGGAGGAACCCAGUUUGAUCAAAAUUCUAGGAUCAAACAACAGAGUCAAAGUCAAAUCAAGAGCAACGUUCCAACUUGUCAUGAAGACCAAGAAUAGUAAUUGCUUUUGAGCAAGCAGUGAAAUUAUUUGCAAUCAGACAAUCAUCUUCUUCUUCAAGAAAUGCUGUAAUGAAAUUCUUACCAGUUGUGUCUGAUUCUUCAAAACAUGAAGUUAGCAAACAGAUUGUUCAUAUAUAAUGUCAGUUGGCAUAAAUGUAGUGUUCAAUCACCAAGCCACAAAGAUGAUACAACCGAACAGUUGCAGCAGGAAAACUUGGUUGUUUAUUCAAAAUCAAGUAAAUCUCUAGGUCCCUCAUACCACGAUUGCUCCCAAUCUUUAGGUCUUGGCGUAGACAAUUCCUUCCUUGUCUAUGUGGACAGAACAAUGCUUGCUGUUCUAGUUGUUGUCUUUCACCAUGGUCUGUAGAAAAAAUGUCCAGAAAAACAACUAAUGAUCAGUAGAAGUGUAAAAGGGAAGAAAGAAAACUACUGCUAGAUUGGAUCAGUCAUCUUCUUCAUUAGAUCAUUACAAACAGUUGGCUUUGAAAAAUUUGAAGUUAAUCAACUACAAUCAUGACAGAUAUUUAUUUUUCCUAAAAGAAUGUAAAUGUAUGGUUGCUCUUUGAGUACAGCUCUCUACAGCACAAAAAUAAACAAAUACUGUGGUCAAAGCUGUCAAUCAAAAUCCCCCUAUCCAGAAUGCAUGGCAAUGGCUGAUCCAAAUGGCCAUGUACUAGUACACUUACUAAGAUUUCCUUCAAGAAUCAUGUACAAGUGACCACCACUGUUCUCGGUGUCCAGAGGCAGUUUUCCAUACUCAUCUCCUUCUCCAUGAGGCUCAUGUAGUUAUUGGAAGGAUUCAAUAAAUAAUCUCGAAACCCAUGAGCGUUUUUGGCCCAAAGAAAUUCAGCAUAUGACAUAAUUUCGUGUAUAUAUAUAUAUGGAGAGAGAGAGAGAGAGAGGAAAAGUUUAUGAAAUAACCAUGAUUACUAGACGGGAAAAGUGUGUUUUCAUCUUUUGAUAUGACUAUAUCAGUAAAUGAGUACCAACUUUUCCAUCUCAUAGUUUGUGAAUGGAUCAUAGACUGAAAAUGAAUUAUAUGUAAUCUACUUAAUUUACCAAAGGUAAUGAAAUCUAAUUUACAAUCAAAUUAAUUAAGACACUAGGAUACCAAUCACUACUAUACGUACAUAAAUCAUAUUACAUUUCUGUAACAUUACUUUUCUUCAAUACUUCCCCUGAUCAAGUUACAUAUCAAGAACUGAAAAAAUUAUAAGGCAAUCAAAUGAAACAAACCAAGAAAACAACAAUAUUAAAAGAGUUAUGAAAUAUCACCAGAUGAGAUCCAACAGUAAAUUAAGAAACUUUAUACAAUCUUGCUUACCUUAGGGCCAUGUCUGGAGGAGUUCCAAUUGUAGGCCUAGGGCCAAUGUUGAUAGGCACAUGCCCAGAUCUUAAAAACCCUCAAGAUGAACAGUAGCAGCUACUCUAGGCGCUCCUACUGCACAGGCAAAAAACAAGUUAGUCAAUGUUUCUUGGCUAUUGGCUUUGGCUUGGACCUUGGUGGUUAUGUCAAUUUUAGAUAAAUAUGUUAAUAAUCCAAUGACUAUAUUCCAAGAUUGAUGAUAUAUAUGCAAUAUAUCAAUUUGGAAAUGCUGAUAUAAACAUUUAAGGAAUUUAAAUUAGUCAAUUUUCAACAAUCUAGCAUUCAAAAGUGUACAAAAUGAUUAUAACUUGAAAGUUUGAAUAUAAACUGAGGUACAAUAUUCCUAGAGGCUCAAGUCUCCCUAGAACAAGGCAUCACAUCACAUAUUGAUGUGGCCUUAUGUUUGAGGUAAGCACCUUAUCUACUGGCGAGUUCAUCCUUAAUAAGCUUUUUGCAAGAAAAUGGAGACCUAAAAUUACUCUAAUACUUCUUUUCUUGAAUAUUAAAUUUUCUUAAAAGUGUUAUCGAUUAUCAAACAUUUAUAUCAAUGGUGGAAACUAGUUUGCUACCAAAGUGAAGGUCAAAGUCCUAAUUAUCAUUUUGCUAAACAAUGUAAUAUAGUAUUAUACAAUUAUUGCUUUUAAAAGAAAAUUUACAAGCCACCCAGCAAAAUUUAUGAUUAUACCUUUUUCCAACUUCACUCACGCCAUUGAGCUUUAUAAUUUGAUGAAACAAGCCUAAAUCAAAAAACUAUACAAAAAAAAUAAAGAAUCGGAGAAAACAAACCUGUAAGCACUAAAUUUUGUACUUUAAAAGAGGAAAUAGGAUGCCAAUUGUAGGUUUAAUUUAAAGAAACCUUAAAAAAUAUUUUUAAAAUUAUAGGAAAACCCCCGUAGCUUAGAAAAGAUUGGGGCGAACAGUCUACCUUUUGGCGAUGUUCACAUCUUGAGAGGAAUGACUUCUUUCUUAGUAGAUCUGAUGAUGGUGUUGAUCUUUAGGAAGAGAUGAUUAGAAGGCUACGUCGAAUUUUAGUGAGUGAGAGAUAAAGGAACACCCAAAACCUUAAAGCAAAAAAGGAAUUAAUAACUCAAAUAGAUUCCAUUUUUUCCUUAUGACGUGCUUACCUUAGUAAGGUUUUUAUGGCAGUGAUACCAUUUGGAUAAUUAAGUCAUUGAUUUUGAUGGAUCUUUUCCAUUUGAAUUUUUAAUAUAUAAACUUAAUCUUUUUACUUGGGGUAAUAUAUUUGGUAUUUUAGGAUUUACUUUUUAAUAAUAUGCUUUUAGUAGAUGGUUUAACUAUGUCCUAGUGUAAUAAGUAGUCUUGCAUUACAUUAUCUACUAUGGAGUAGGAGUGUGUUGCUUGUUCAAGGGAUGUAUGGGAAGUUGUUUAUUUGAUGAUAUACUUUCAACACUUAGAGUCACGACUUGAGCUAAUAAGUUUAUCAAGAUCUAAGCAUUGAUGGUGUUGCUACUCUAUUGUAUGCAAGGAUUCAAUUAGUCACAUUGUAGGACAAAACACUUAUAGACAAUUGAUUCUACUACAUUCAAGAUAUUGUUGCUUAAGGGGAGGUAGAGUCAAAACAAGUAGACAAUUGAUACAACUACACACACAACAUAGAGACAAAACACAUGAAUAAUACUAUGGUUGAAUAAAUUAAUUGGAUGAUGAGAUGAUAAUUAUUUUGUCAUCAACAUAGUGAACAACAUAAAUUAAAAUCUUGAAAUGUCACCUUAGCCAACCUAGUAGAAAUGAUUCAUCAAAAUAUUUGAAUGUGAGAUCUUAAAUUGGUGUUUGACCAAUAAAUAUGGUAAUAAACAUAUAUUAAGUAUAUAUGAAGUGACCAAGCUAAGAUUUGUAUCAUGUUAUUGUAGGGAAUCCCGAAUCUCUUUGUUCCUUAUCCUAUGAUUAGGCUAGGUACAUGCGAAUCUUUCUAAGUUUUUCUAAAUCGUAUGAACAAUGGGAAAAUUAUGUUUUAAAAUAAUAACAAGAUUUAGAAUUUGCAUUAGAAAACAUUACCUUAGAUUUGGAUGUUCCCAAAUCUAAUUCACGUAGUAAAGGAGAAGAUCGAAGUUUUCAGAGGUCUUGAACACCCAAGAUCUUCCACCAGAUGACUUUUCCUUGAUUUUAGAUCUUAAUUGGUGAGAAGGAAGGAAGACUAAAAAGGCUAUGGUUCUCUCUCUCUUUGAAUAGUGAAAGAUGGCUCACUUCAAAAAAGUAAUGAAAACCUUAUCAUUUAAGGGGUAUUUAUAGGGUUCCCUAAUUGGGUGUAAGUGACUUAAGCAUACUAAAGGCUUGAAUCAUUUAAUUUCACUCAAAAUGAGUCUUAAUUGAUUAAUUAACCUAACGUAGUUAUCUAAUUAAUUAAUUAGCUAAAUCUGGAGACUUUGUUCACUUACCCCUAUGCAACCUUGCAUAGUUACCAAAACACCUUUAUACGCAAAAGUGAACCAAGAGUUGUGUCAUCAAGGUAUAUGAGCUUAGGUGGAGACCAUUGAGACCUAUAGGACAGUACUAGCUACCCCAAAAUCUAAUUUUGAAGUUGAUUUAACGUUCCACUAUAGAGAAUCAAUUGCACUAUAAUACCUUAUGUAAAUAACAAUGAGAUGCUAAGUGGUCGAGCCCAUGACUUAUUAUCCAUUGCAUUCAAUCUCCCUAUGAACUGGUGUUUGUAGUCUAAUAAGGUCAAAACUAUCAACCUUUCAAGACUACCUCUACUAUCUUUGAAUUACAAAUCCUCUUAUUAUGUAUUUAAUUGAUAUAUCUUAACUCUCCAAGAGUCUAUGUCAAGUUCCAUUUAAGAAACUACUAUGACCAUAGUUUACAUGAACAUACCUCCUUAGGAUCACUUAAGGGGACACUCUAUCUCAAUCCUCUUAGAUUUCAUGGUACUUCUAUUACAAAUACUCAUUGUUAUAGACUUGCAUCAAUAGUGAACCAAUCCAUAAGGAACAUAUGAUUAGCUUACGAUUUCAUUAGUAGGUCAAAGUCACUACUAACUUUAACACAAAUUCUAUAUUCUCUCAAGGUUAAGAGAUAAAACAAUGAAGCAACUUGGUGAAAUCAUGACUAUUUGAUAGCUUUAUGUCAUAAUUCACCAUAAGUCUUGUCUGAUGUGUAACCAUACACAUUAGUAUACUCACCAUGGAAAACCCAUCCUGAUAACCAAGACCAACCAUUCCUCUAAUUAUGAAGUAGCGUACUAUAACCUCUAAUGGGUUACUUAGGCCUAUGAAUCGGUUGUGAACAAGUCAUCUACUUACAAUGAAUCCAUUUCUUGAAUUUUUUUUUGCAACUCUUAAUGCACUCAAGUCCUGUACAAUACAAGAUAUGUAUAUCAAAAUGCUUACAAGGUAUAAUGUAUAGGAUUAGGAUAAAUAAAAGUGAACUAAAAAUUUAUUAAUAAAUAAUAAAAUUUUAAAUUUAUUACAUCAUAUCAUGCUUUUAUGAAACCUUUAAAAUACUAAGAGCACCCUUUCAUAAUCAUGAAUUUAACUUUAGUUUCAACUUCUAUCAAAGGCUAAAUGAGAAAAGCUAUCAUAGAGGAGGCCUCAGCCAAUGGGUAAGAUGCACUGUUAUACCAAACAAUAAGUGGAAAAUGAAAUUUUAUUAAUACUUGAGACAAAGGAAGAUUUUACACUCAAACCAAGCAUUUAUUUAUAAUGAAGUGCAGUCUCCAUACGCACAUGUGGACUUAUUGGAAAAUCAUACAAAUUAUUGAAGGACGACCUUAGCUAGGCUAACAGUCUCCUAAAUAGGCCAUCUUUUAUAUGUCUUUGCAUUCAUCCAUCUCCUCAUUGUCUUUGAUUUUAGAUGGUGAGGAUGUGAAAGUAACAGGAAGCGGUGGACGAUUGUUCACAGUGAGGCUUAGCACAUCAGCUCUCGAAUAAUGUCCUACCACAUCGAACUGGAACUUUGCUUUAGGAAUCUCUCCACGAACAUCUACAUAUCAAGUGAUCAUAAAAAUAUUUCAUCAGUCUAUGAUAAAUAUCAUAGAAUAUCAAGUCUUCGAGAAAACUAAGUUUGCAGUCCUCUUAAACCUAAAGAAUCGACUCAUUUGUCUUAUUUGCAUACUGAAAUAUUUGGAUAUAUAACUGGAGAAGUUAGGGCCAUACCAAGAUCAGCUGUGAAGAGGCCUUCUCCUUCAUAAUUCGGUCCUGUUAGAAUUUCCCCAUGGGUCGAAAUGAUGACACUACCUCCAGCCCAAACAAUAGAAUCUGGAGUGACAUCUUCUUCUGUAGGACUGUAAAGAUACUCAGGUGGAGGUGGGUAAUCUUUCCUUUUCCAUUUUUAAAAAUAAUAAAAGCAAAGGUGUUUCAAAACAAUACCUCAUUUGCUCAAUUAAUUAUCACAUUUCCUAAGUACAAAAGUAGGCAAGUGAAUUUUUGCUCAAGUUACAAUAAUGCUCCAAAUCCUUAUCCAAGACUUUGAUCCUAUUUCACAAUUGUUUUUUAAAACAGUUUUUUUCUUGGGAGAAUUACCCAAAGGGGUGGGUUAGAAAAAAUAAUGACUAUGAAGGCUCACUCUUUUAGAAGACAAUUUUACCCUUUAAUAUGUUUUUUAUAUUAUUUAUAAAUAAAUUGAGAUUGUCAAUGAUGUGGGGCUCAUACAUAAUGAUAAGUACAAGUUGAUAAAUGAUGUGGGACUCAUACAUGAUGAUAAGUACAUGUUGAUAGGCAAUCAACGGUACAUUUUUCAACUUGAAAAAAUUGUUAUCACUUUUGAACAAUUAACUAUUUAAAAAUUUGUUAUUUUUUUUUAAAUUGAGAUUUUUUAAAGAACCUUAUAAAAAAAAUAAUUUUUAAUAUCUCAUAAAUAAAAACCAUAUCCUAAAGUUAUUAUAUCAUUUUAUAUAUAAAACAUACAAUUAAAAACUUUGUUAUCAUAAUAUAAUAAAUAAUUAUUUUUUACGAGCACUCAUCAAUUGAAUAAUAUAUAAAUAUUCAAUUGACUAACACACACCUAUUAAAUGGAAUAACUCACAAUUAUUCAUUGGGUAAUAUAGCACGUGAAAAAAUUAAAUAAAAAUAAAUUACAUUAUGUUAUAAUAUAUUGUAAUGAUAGUGUAUUUAUAUUGUAAGUAUAAUGCAUUUAUGUCGUACCUAUAUUUUAUUAUAAAAGUAAUAAUUUUAAAAAUGUUUAUUCAUACCCUAUUGGUAUUAACACAUCGUAUUAAUAUAUUAACAACAUUUAUUUAGUGUUUUGAAAUUAUUUAAUAAUUUUUGUAUAUAUAUAUAUAUAAACUACGUGAAUUCAAAUUAGUAUUUCAUUUGAUUUCAGAAAUUAUUUAUGAUAUAGGUAUGUUGUGAAAUAUGGUAUGAUCAUACAAAGUUACCAUUUUCAUAAAAAAAUUCAUAAAUUUCUUAAUUAGGUUUUAUUGUAAUGUAUUGUAAUGUAAGUGUAUUUAUAUUGUAAUUAUAACAUAUUUUUGUUGUACUUGUAUUGUAUAAUAAAAGUAAUAAUCUUAAGGAUCACCUUUUAUACCUUAUUAAUAUUCAACAUAUCAAAUAUAUUAACAUCAUCCACUCGAUACAUUGAGAAAAAAAAUUUAUAUAAAAAUUUAAAUAAAAAAAAACACUAUGCAAAGGAAAAAAAAUCAUAUAAAUUUUUUUAAAUUAUUUUAUUAUAAAAAUAAAAAAUGAUUAAACAUUUUCUAUCAUUUUCUUAUUAUUUUUAGAGAAUUUGAAUGAAAAAUUAAACAUUUUAUCUUCCUUAAAUUUAAUACAAAAACAUAAUUUAUCAAUUUAAACUUAUAAUAUAUAUAUAUAUAUAUAUGAAAAAAUCAUCAUUUUUAUUAUAUAAUUAUAAAACUUAUUUUUUUCUUCAUAAAAUUAAAAAUUAGAAUAAAAAUAAAAAAAGGUAAAAAAACAAUAAAUGAUAUUUUGAAAAUAUUUUUUAAAAGUAUUUUUGUUUUAAAUAGUAAAUUUAAAUAACAAAUUAUAUAUAAUUGUAAGGGUUAAACCCAAAAUUUUGAUUUAAAAUUUAAAUAUCAAUAAUUACAAUAAAUGUGGGACCCAUGUACCAUAAAUGUAUUAACAAAUAAAGUGAAGUGCUUUAAAUGUUUUGAAUUUUAAAAGUUUUAGUUAAAGGACAGUUUUGGUAUAUUAAGCUUACUAAAGUCCUCCCCAAUAAUUAUUAAAAGAUACCACCCUUUCUAGUAAUUGUUUUGCCCAGCCUACCCUUUUGGAUAAUUCUCCCUUUUUUCUUCUCUACAACAAAAAAAAAAAAUGUGUUUGAGAAUUGGAAAAUAAGGUGUUUUAAAAAAAACAUAUGUUAGUUGUUUUUAGUUUUUCUUCAUUAGCUUUUUUGACGGUUGUUUAAAAAAAAUAAUUAUAUAAAUAUGAAGAAUUAUUAAAAAUAUAAUAUUAUAGACAAAAGUUAUUUUAAAAUUAUAUGCACGAGUUUUGGAAAGUCUUGCAAAAUAAGCAAAACUAUAGGAAAAAUAUGCAAAUAAAAAAUUGUAUUAAAAUCAUCAAGGGCGCACAAUAUUUGUGGAAAAAUAUUCUUUGCCGAAGAAUAUUUUUUAAAGAUCAAUUGAAAGCCUAAAGCAGCUUUUUCCCAAUUGAAUUUAUUGAAUGGUGAAGAACACGUGUGUUGCAAUUUUUUGGAUUUGUAGAGCGUAUUUUAUAAAGCUUUUUUCUCUUUGUGAACCUUCUUUUCAUAUGUGAAAUUGUUUUAUUUUUUUUUAUCAUUUUCAUUGAAGGAAGUUGCUGAUAUUUACAGAUAAAAUUAAAAAAAUUAAUUUUAGAAUUUCUAAGAUUUGAUUACUUAAUUAAAAAAAAAAAAUUGGUUUCUUGAUUUUAGCAACUUGUCUUCUUCAUUUAAGGAAGUUUGCUAACAAGAGCAUAUUUACUUCUCAUUUUCUUUUGACUUCAAUUGGAAGACUUGUUUCAUUUGUUUACAAAAUUUGCCAACAAGAAAAUAUUUAUUUCUAAUUCUCUUUUGAUUUCAAUUGUUUGAUUUGAUUUGAUUUUGCAAGACUUUAUUUUAUAGCCUUCCAAAUUUCGCUACAUGUCAUUUUUUGAAUUGAAUGCCACGUGUUCAAUAUAUAUGACUCGUCACUUAUUAAGCCCAAAUUUUGUUGAUCUAAGGAGUUACAAUUUUGAAGACUAAUUUGGUAGUAUUUUAAUCCACUAAAAUUUUUUAUGUCUACAAAUGCCCCCUCUUCAAAACAGAUCACACACAUGCAUUAUCAUGUAUAAGAAGUGAGUCUUGAAGUUAGCCUUUUGAAUCUUCAAUAUCCUUCUUUGAUUUUUUUUUUUCGAAGAAAUAUUUAAAUAGGAAAUUUCCUAUUCAAAAUACUUUUCUUCAACUUUUUUCGAACACUGUUUUAUUUAUUUAUUUAUUUUUCUACCUUGUAUCAAAGAAAAACCUUGUGUUAAUGGGAAAGCUUCUUAUUUGAACAUCUAUUUUCUUUUCUCAUGGUAUUUUCACUUCCAAUUUGUCAUCCUACAAGAAGUCCUUCACCCUAGCUGGUUCAAUUGCAUCUUAGACUUGGUCACAUGCCUUUAACUUGUAAUUCUUCCUCCACUUUCUUUUUUUUUGUUUAAAAAAUAGUACAAUAUAUUUGAGCAAGACCAUAAGCAAGAGAAUAGAGGUGGUGAAUGGAGCACCAACUAACCUUAGGGCAAGAUCUUGAGCAAGAGAAGUAAGGUGGAGAGUAGAGCACAAACUUCUCUAAAGCAUGGUAGGCAUACCGUCAUGGAGUUGUCUUCUGCAUGGAGCAUGGUAGGGUAUUAUAUAUAUGAUAGGGUGGGCCAUCAUGUAACAAUGAAGAACAACAAUCCAUGGUGUACAAUUGGGAACAACAAUUCAUGCUAUCAAGCUUCAACCUUUUGUUAUUUUUUGUUUUUUUUUUAAUCCCUAUCUCUACCCCCGACUCCAAUUUUUUUUUCAAGUUUCUAGAUUCCUUUUUAUUCUUUCUCAUUUUAUUUUUUUCAACUCCUUUUUUUUUCCUCCCUUUUUAACCAUUGUUUUUAAGGAAGAAAUAGAUUCACCAUCCCUUACCACGAGGUCAAUCUCCAUCGCUUGCAAAGACAAAUUUGCUUUUUGGUGUUUUUUUUUCUUCAAAAAUUAUCUUAACAUUUUAAGAUAUAUAUAUAUAUUUAUAUAUUUAACAAACUUAAAUAUCCAUAAUAAAAUAAAUAUUUAAGGCUCUUGACUUAUUUAAAUUGGCUUGACUUGGAUACUUAGUGGAACCAUACUUAACACCCAUGUAGAUGAGCUAUAAUCUUGAUGGCAUGUUGUGUUAUAUUUUCGACACUUAAUGUGGCUUAAGAGUUAAAGUCUUCACUCAUGAAAAUUAGCUUGGUUUGGAUGCACAAUGGUCUCUAACUUCUUAAUGCUUAAUUAAACUUGGAACCAUAUUUAACACCCAUGUAGACAAGUCAUAAUCAUGACAUAGAGCACUAUUUUAUUUUAACUCUUAAUAUGACUUAAAUAUUAAAGUCUUCACUCAUACAAAUUAACUUGGGUUAGAUGCACAAUGGUGUUCAACUUGGUAAUAGUUAAUUAAAAUUGAAACAUUUAACACCCAUGUAAACAAGUCAUAACUUUGACAUGGAACAAUGUCGUAUUUUUAGCUUAAUGUCGCUUAAGUAUUAAAGUCUUCACUGAUGUAAAUUAGCUUGUCUCAGAUGCAUAAUAGCAUUCAACUUUUUAACACUUAAUUUAAAUUCAGACCAUAUUGAAAACCCAUGUGGACAAGACAUAAUGAGAAAAUAAAGGGCUAAUCUAAAUAGAUAAAAAUACCCAACAGGGAAGGAGGGGGGUGAAAUGGAGUUUAAAAAAAAAAAAAUUAAACACAAUAAAAUUAAGUACAAGAAGCACAAAUAUAAAGAGAUAAGUUAUAGAAAGCAAACUCAGAUUUAUGGUGGUUUGACACUUCCUUGCCUACAUCCACUCUCCUCAAGCUCCUAACCGAGUGAGGGUUCCACAUAUACUUAAAGCUUCAACCAAACUUCUAAUCACUUUUUACACUUAGAUUUUGGCUCCAAUGGGCUCUUACACAUUCGCUUCAAGUCUCUACUCACUUGAAGGUUUUAACACUCAAUUAACAAGUUUGAAACUUUCAACCUAGCUCAACAAUGGCUCAAAUACAACUCAAGGCUAGGAUGAAUCACAAAGGUGCAUUAAAGAAUAUUCAAAUGAAGAUUUAAUGCACUAAGAAAAGAAUGAGAGCUUUUAUGGCAAGAACAAGUAGGUAAACAAAUCAAUGUAGGUGUUCUCUUACUCAUAAAUGAAGUGAAAUUCUCAAUUUAUAGGUUUCUAAUCUCAGAAGCCAAAAAACCAAAAAGUAACCUCAAUCGAUUGAGUUGGGGGUUGACCGGUUCACUAGCCGUUAGAGCAUUAAAUGUGUGGCAGGUGAUCGUUACCCUCGACCGGACCUCGACUGGGAAGGCAAAUCUCUCGACUAGGAAAGAAAGGUUAUUGGAAGAGAAAGAAGGUUUUUUGCAUCUUUUGACCAGACCUCAACCGGGAAGGAGCAAUCGAUCAACCAGUACCCUAGCCAGUUGAGCUGGUUGGCUAGUGCCUCUACCGAUUCACCAUUUUUUACUCGAAAACCUAUCUUUUUCUGGUCUUUUUUUGCUUCUAACACUUAAACAAGGUCUUUAGGUAAAAUAAUAUGUCAAUUUUGAAACGUUUUGCCUAAGGUUCAUUUGAUAGAACUCGGAUUUUGAUGGAAAUGUGACUUGAAUGCAUAAACUGAGUUUUCAAAGAUGCAUGAAAUGAUAUGAAAAUCCUAAGUACACCCAUGCAUUCAUUUUACAUAGUUUUCUAUGAUUAAAAAGUAUUUCAAAAGUCUUGAUCUUGCAUCCAUUAGGUCAUUUGAUGAAUUUCCAAAUUAAUAUAUGAAAUUCUUUAUAAUUCAAACCAUUUAGUAACUUAACCAUGGUUUGUUAUCAUCAAAACAUGAUUAGGAGAACCCUUGGGCUAACACAUAACAUUGUAGCAAUGUUAUAUUUUUGACACUUAAUGCAGUUUAAGUUCUGAAAUCUUCAUUUCUAUGAAUUGGUUCGCCUUGGAUGCAUAGUGGUGUCUAAAUUAUAAUACUUAAUUAAAAUUGAAACCAUAUUUAACACUCAUGUAGACAAGUCAUAACUUUGACAUGGAGUGGCAUUGCAUUUUCGACACUUAAUGCGACUUAGGUGCUAAAGUUUUCACUCAUGAGAGUUGGUAUGGGUUGGAUGCAUUGUGGUGUCCAACUUUUUAACACUUAAUUAAAAUUGGAACCAUAUUUAACACUAUCUAGAUAAGUCAUAACCUUGACGUGAAGCGAUAUUGUAUUUUCAACACUUAAUGCAACUUAGGUGCUAAAGUCUUCACCCAUGCAAAUUAGUUCAUCUUGAAUGUACAAUGGUGUCCCAUUUUUUAACAUAUAAUUAAAAUUGGAACCAAAUUUGACACUUAUGUAGACUAGUCUAGCCAUGAUGUAAAGUAGUGUUCUAUUUUUAAAACUUAAUGCAGCUUCAAUGGUAAAGUUUUUACUCAUGUGAAUUGGCUUGAUUUGGAUGCACAAUGAUGCCUAACUUUUUAACAUUUUAUUAAAUUUGGUAUCAUAUUUAACACCUAUGUAGACAAGUCAUAACCUUAAUGUAGAGGUGCAGUAAUAUUUUUGGUACUUAAUGUCGCUUAAGUGCUAAAGUCUUCACUCAUUUGAAUUUUUUGGUUGGGACGAACAAAGGUCUCUAACAUUUGAGCAUUUAAUUAAAAUCAGAAUCAUAUUUAACACUCAUGUAAAAAAGUCAUAACCUUGACACAUAGUAAUAUGCAAUGUUUUAACAUUUAAUACAACUUAAGUGCUAAAGUUUUCACUCAUGUGAAUUGGCUUGGCUUGGAUGCAUAAUGGUGUCUAACAUUUUAACACUUAAAUUAAAAUUAGAGUUAUAUUUAAUAAUCAUGUAGACAAGUCAUAACCUUGACGAGAAGCAGUAUUGUAAUUUUGACACUUCAUGUUGCUUAAAUGCUAAAGGCUUCACUCAUGCAUAUUGACUUAGCUUGGAUGAACAAUGGUAGCUAACUUUUUAACACUUUAUCAAAUUUGGAAUUAUGGUUAGCAUCCAUGUAGAAGAGUAAUAAACUUGAUGCAGAGUGAUGUUAUAUUUUUGGUACUUAAUAUAGCUUAAAUACUAAAAUCUUCACUUCUAAGAAUUAACUUGGCUUGGAUGCAUAGUGGUGUCCUACUUUUUAACACUUAAUUGAAAGUGAAAUCAUAUUUAACAUCCAUUGUAUACUAGUCAUAAACUUGAUAUAGAGCAGUGUGCAAUUUUUUAAUAUUUAAUGCAACUUAGGUGUUAAAGUCUUUACUCAUAUGAAUUAACUAAACUUAGAUGCACAUUCGUUUCCAACUUUUUAAUACCUAAUUAAAAUUAAAACCAUAUUUAAAAACCAUGUAGACAAAGACAUAAUCUUAACAUGGAGCAGUGUAUAACUCUUAGCACUUAAUUAAAAUUGGGAUUACACUUCAUAACCACAUAUUCCUCCUCCUAUUUUUCAAUUUUUUCUUGUGGUGAUGAUUGAACUCAACUAGUUUGUCCAAGUUACCCACAUACCCUUAACAGAGAAGAGAUCAAGUCAAACCUAGUUCAAAGUAUUUUUUUUUAAUAUCUAACUUUUGCCAAGGCUAAUGAUUUUAAUCUUGAAAGCUUGUCUUAACUUUUGACUAUAUAUGUAGUGUUUUCAAGUUUCAAUUUAGCGGCCUAUGAAUUGUACAAAUUGAAAAUGACUUCACUUAUGUGUAAAAAAUAAUAAAAGAUAUUCAUUCAUAGUUUUAGGGCAAUGAAAAGUAAUCGAUCCUUUUUUGCAUUAUUAUUAUUAUUGUUGUUGUUGUUGUUAUAAUUAUUAUAUUACCUUAGAAAAAGACCUUUUCCAAUUAAUCUUUUAUAUAUAUAUAUAAUCUUUUAUACAUGAUUUUUCUUAGUUUUCAUAGUAUUUUUAAAUUUAAUAAUUUUUUUUUUUAUAAAAAAAUAUCUAUACUUUCGGUCAAUGUCUCAAAUGUCUCAAAUUUUAUUACGUACGUGCUCCAGGAAGUCUCAAGUUGUAGGCUUGUUGCCUACAACUUGAGUUUGAUGAAAAAGCGCAUAAACAAAGACAAAAAAUUUAAUCUACAAGUACUUGGAUUCUAUUUGAAUAUAAAAAGAGCCACUCAUAUGCAUGGAUUAAAUAUAUGCCCCAUGGAUAAGUUGUACUUAGCCAUGGCUGAAGCUUUCCACUAUGACUUAAAGGGAAAAAAAAGAGAGGAGAAUAAUGUCAUUAAAAAACUGAUUGCCGUGUGGCUAUGCCUGCCAGUAGAUGGCUGAAAACUAGUUCUAUUCUUUUGUUUUGGCCUCUACUAAUUAACCAUAAUUGAGAGAUUCAAUGGCAACUAUCGUAUAAACAAUGUUUCAUAAAUUACUUUUAAAUUUUGACAGCAAAGACUCAAAAUGUAAAACCAUAAAAAAUUUGUUCUAUUCCCAAAUUUUUUAAAAUAAAUUUUAAAAUAAUAAAUUAAUGCCCAUGACUGUUUUCACAUCUUAUUCUCAUUUCUAUCAAUGCAAUAAUUGUAAUCAUCUUAUCUAUUAACAUGGCCUAGAGCCAUUUCAGCUAAGAGUAGUCUUUCCUUAGCAUUUCCGGUCCAAAGCUUCCAUUUCUUUAGGCCUAGAGGCAUUUUCAGUCCAGAGCUGCUGUUUCUUUCGGCCUAUAACCAUUUUCAGCCUGAAGCUGCCUUUCUUUAGCAUUUUCAGCCCAGAGCUACCUUUCCUUGGCAUAUCAGCCAAAAGCUUCUAUUUCUUUAGGCCUGGAGCCAUUUCAACACAACAUUGGUUUCUUUGGCCGGGCCUUGAGCCCUUUUCAACCCAGAACUGUCAUUUCUUCUAAAUAACUUCUCUUUUGAAAAACUUCAAUUUGCCCUUUUCAAGAAGCUGGUAAAAAUCUUCUAUUUAGCAUUUCGACAGUGAAUCGAAUUCACAUAGAAAAUAAAAAGGAAAAAAAAAGUCUUGAUGGCAUAAACUAGGACAUGACCGGGAUAGUUUGAAAUACAUAAUUUUCUCCAUUCAAAUGCAAAACAUAUUAAAAGAACAUUUGGCACGAUUUUAUGAAGCGAUUCUAUCUUUUCUAAUACUUCAAAGAUAAAUUUUUUUGAAGUAUUAGAAAAAUUAGAAAUAUUUCUUAAAAUCACUACCCUUAAUUAUAUUUAGAUACUUUAACCAUUUCAAAUGCUACAUGUUUCCUUCUACAUUUCCUCUUUAUUUUGUUUUUCUUUUACAUUUUUCCUCAAAUUUUUUAAAAACCAAACAUAGCCUAAAAGAAAAGAUAAUUUUACUUAUUUUGAAAGUUCUUUAUAUAUAUAGUUUAUAUGGAAACUUGUUUCAUGUUAAUUUAAUAAAGCAUUUAUAAUAUUGAGAUCGCUCUUUCAUAAUCAUAAAUUAACCUUUAGUUUCAACUUCUACAAGAGGCUAAAUGAAAAAAGCUAUCACAGAGGAGGCCUCAGCCAAUGAGUCAGAUGCACUGUUGUACCAAACAAUAGGUGGAAAAUACAAUUUUAUUAAGACUCUGAGACAACAAAAAUAAAAAUAAAUAAAGGAUGAUUUUACACUCAAAACAAGGAUUUAUUUAUAAUGAAGUAGAGUCUCCAUAUGCACAUAUGACUGCAUUUACAGCAUAAACAAAGACAAGGAAAUUAACAAAUGUUGAACUUAUUGGAAAAUCAUACAAAUUAUUGAAGGAGGACCUUAGCUAAGCUAACUGUCUCCUAAAUUGCCCAUCUUUUAUAUAUCUUUGCAUUCAUCCGUCUCAUCAUCGUCUUUGAUUUUAGAUGGUGAGGAUGUGAAAGUAACAGGAAGCAGUGGACGAUUGUUCACAGUGAGGCUUAGCACAUCAGCUCUCGAAUAAUGUCCUACCACAUCAAACUGGAACUUUGCUUUAGGAAUCUCUCCACGAACAUCUGCAUAUCAAGUGAUCAUAAAAAUAUUUCAUCAGUCCAUGAUAAAUAUCAUAGAAUAUCAAGUCUUCAAUAAAACUAAGUUUGCAGUCCUCUUAAACCUAAAGAAUUGACUCAUUUGCCUUAUCUCCAUACUGAAAUAUUUGGAUAUACAAUUGGAGAAGUUAGAGCCAUACCAAGAUCAGCUGUGAAGAGGCCUUCUCCUUCAUAAUUCGGUCCUGCUAGAAUUUCGCCAUGGGGCGAAAUGAUGACACUACCUCCAGCCCAAACAAUAGAAUCUGGAGUGACAUCUUCUUCUGUAGGACUGUAAAGAUACUCAGGUGGAGGUGGGUAAUCUUUCCUCCGACAGAACUGGAUGGGUGAAAGAACAUAGCAUCCACCCUCCAUAGCGAUGUGUCUCAUUGUAGCUACCCAUGUAUCCCCGGAAUCGGCAGUAGGAGCACAAUAUAUCUCAAUUCCUAUAUAGAAUCGGUGUUUUGUGAUCAAUCAAUCCCAUAUCAGAGCCAUAAUGUAUUUCAAGCCUAUUUAGGCUAAAACCCUAAUAACUUAAAAAAGAGUACUGAAGUAUUUCAAGCCAAACCAUACUAGUUAGUGAAGAGAAAGAAAUGGUAAAAUAUAUACCUUUGCCAUACAUUGCUGUCCUCAGAAGCGGCAUUCUAUUUUCCCAACAAAUGACUGAACCAAGUUUCCAUAUGGAGUGUCAUAAACUGGAGUUGUCGAGCAAUCUCCGAAACCCCAGACGAGCCGCUCCCAAUAUGUUGGCAUGAGUUUCCUAUGUUUUCCAAGGUAAUUACCUUCAGGAUCAAAGAAGAGAACAGUGCAAUACAAUGUGUAUCCAUCUCUCUCAACAACACCUAUCACCAAGUAGACUUUGUAUUUCGCAGCCAUUGAUGCCAAUCUAUCAACUUCAGGUCCUGAAAAGAUAUUAAGUGGUUGAUUCAUCAAACGUGUCUUGUUUCGAUAAUUUAUUAAGUGGUUCAGUUCUUUAGCUAUUUAAGGGAGAGAGGUAACUGACCCGGCACAUUGAUGGCAGAAGCAUGGUACUUGCGGAAACUUUCUUUCCCUCUUGGCGACUGGUGGGCGAAGUUGUAUCCACGGGGAUACCCACCGAUAAAUGAUUCAGGAAACACAACCAGUUGGGAUCCCAGUGCAGCUGCUUCUUUCAAAAACCUCUCAGCCUUAUCUGCUCCCAAAAUCACAUUGCAAGAAUUAAUAAUUCACGACUUAGAAAGUAAAUUAAUUGGUUGAAUAGAGAGAAUCAAAGUUAACCUCCAGAUAUCCCAAAUGACUUUUUGGUUGCUGAGAAAACUCAUGGAAAAAGAGACCUAGAUAAAACUCGGAACUUUCAUAUUUUCAGCUGUUUUGUAACUAAGAAAAGAGAAACCACCUCAACCCAACUCAUCCAAGUAAUUAUUGUACAAGCAGUAAUUCCUUGAUUGGCAGCUGAAAAUAUGUUCAAGCUUCAAUCAUCCUUUUCUUUCCUUCAGUUUCUCAGCAACCAAUCAACUCACAGAUUCUCUUACAGAAGUUGCAGAAUUGAGAGAAAUGGUACGUUACCUAGAGUGGCAGGAGUAUCAUAAAAGAUACUAGAAGCUUGAACAACGGUGGCUCUAACAGUUGAAGACAUUGCAGAAAUCGUAUGCUUUUUCGUUGCCCUUCUGUUUGAGGAUUCCUCACACAGCGUUCAGUAUAUAUAUAUAGCCCAAAAGGUUCUUCUGCCAUUACUUGAACAAGACGAAAAGGCUGCGAAAAGUCUGCCUUGGUUUUCCAUAUUGAUUUAAGUUAUCCGCAGACAUUGUGGACCAGCCACAUGACUUAAAACAAAGGGUUGUUCUACGGUACCCACUCUUCAUUUUGGGGGUACCUACCCACAUUUGACCCCAAUAAAAAUAUGACUUGUGUAAAGUACAUAUCAUUAAAAAAUUUAUAAAAACUUAUCAAACCGGUAAAGAUGACUUGUUGGUGAGAAAUAAUCACAUGCAUUUCAUAUAUAUCUAUAUAUUACAAUUUUUUAUAAUUUAUUAUUAAAUAUCAAAUAUAAUUUGUUAUUUAAUGCAUUACCUAACUCUAUCUAAAAAACGAAAAUCUUACCUACUGCUCUUAUACUCUCUCAUUUCAAGAUCAAGUUCAAAACUUUUUUAGAGAGAAAAUUUAAAAUUUGUAUUAUAUGAAGAAGAUGAAGGAUUUCAAGUGAUUACAAGUGUCUAAGGUAAUAUUUGAUAUUUUUUUUAUCCAAAUAUAAUUGUUGUAGGAAGAAAUGUGAUGUUAAAUAACGAUUUUAGAAUUUUUUAUGAGUUUAUUAUAAAAUUUUGUUAUCAAAUUGUUAUUAAUAUUUUUAUAUAAUUUUUUUUUUUUGUUCAUAGAUUAAAUUUGAAGAUGAAGCUUUAUAUGUCUUGAAGGAUGUCAAGUGAUUACAAGUGUUAAAAGGUAACAUUUGAUUUAUUUUUUUCCAUUUACAUAUAACUAUUGUAGGUAGAAAUGUCAUGUUAAAUGACAUUUAAAUAUGUAAUGAUUUAUAAUAUCUAGAUUUUUUAAUUUUUUUUUGAGUUAUUUUUAAUCAAAUUGAGAGCAUUUAGUAAUUUGUUAUGAAAUUGUCAUCAAUAUUUUGUAAGAGAGGGUACGAACUUUGUAAGAGAGGGUACGAACUUUGUAAGAGAGGCUACGAACUUUAUAAGAGAUGGUACGAACUUUCUAAGAGAGGGUACGAACUUACUAAGAUCGGGUACGAACUUUCUAAGAUCGGGUACGAACUUUCUAAGGGAGGGUACGAACUUUCUAAGAGAGGGUACGAACUUUCUAAGAGAGGGUACCAACUUUCUAAGAGAUGGUACGAACUUUCUAAGAGAGGGUACGAACUUUCUAAGGGAGGGUACGAACUUUCUAAGGGAGGGUAUGAACUUUCUAAGGGAGGGUACGAACUUUCUAAGGGUGGGUACGAACUUUCUAAGAGAGGGUACGAACUUUCUAAGAGUGGGUACGAACUUUCUAAAAGAGGGUACGAACUUUCUAAGAGAUGGUACAAAAUUUCUAAGAGAGAGUACGAAAUUUCUAAGAGAGGGUACGAACUUUCUAUAAAAAAAAAAAAAAAAUACGAACUUUCUAAGAGAGGGUACGAACUUUCUAUGAGUGGGUAUGAACUUUCUAUGAGUGGGUACAAACUUUCUAAGACAUGGUACAAACUUUCUAAGACAGGGUACGAACUUUCUAAGAGAUGGUAUGAACUUUCUAAGGGAGGGUACGAACUUUCUAAGGGAGGGUACGAACUUUCUAAGGGUGGAUACAAACUUUCUAAGAUAGGGUACGGACUUUCUAAGAGAUGAUACGAACUUUCUAAGAGAGGGUACGAACUUUCUAAGAGAGGGUACGAACUUUCUAAGAGAGGGUACGAACUUUCUAAGAUAGAGGGUACGAACUUUCCAAGAGAUGGUACGAACUUUCUAAGAGAGGGUACGAACUUUCUAAGAGUGGGUACGAACUUUCUAAGAGUGGGUACGAACUUUCUAAGAGAGGGUACAGACUUUCUAAGACCGGGUACGAAAUUUCUAAGAGAGGGUACGAACUUUCUAAGAGUGGGUACGAACUUUCUAAGAGUAGGUACGAACUUUCUAAGAGAGGGUAUGAACUUUCUAAGAAUGGGUACGAACUAGAUAAUGUAAUUUUCUAACUACUCUAUCUUUUAUAUUUCAGUUUCUUCAUAGAUACGAUGGACAAAGGAAAAGGAAAGGAAUUUAUCAUUGAUUUGAACGAUGAAGACUUUGAUUACCAAUAUGAUAGCAUUGUUAAAACUGAGUCCGAUGAAGAGGCCAUUCUAGUUUCGGACAAGAUUUUUAAUGAUUUAACUGUUGAAGAUGUAUGGAAUAUGGAGUUUAGCUUAGUAGAGGAGGCAGAAGAAUUUUAUAAUUUAUUUGCUAAAGUUACCGGAUUCAGUGUUAGAAAGGAUGAUGUGAAACGAGAUAAAAAUCAAAAUAUAGUAUCUCGUAAGUGGGUUUGUUCGAAAGAAGGAUAUCGACAUAGAGUGUGUUUAGAGAAUGAAAAUCGAAAACGAGAACCUAAGGCAGUAACUCGAGUUGGUUGUGAGGCAACAUUUUGGAUUGUGUUUAACAAACAAAUGAACAAGUGGGUUGUGAAAGAGUUUAUGGCUGAUCAUAAUCAUCCUUUGGUGGGACAAAAAAAUGUCCAAUUCCUUUGAUCCCAUAGGGUCAUUAAAAAUGCAGAUAAAGCUCAAUUGAAUGCAAUGCGAGGUGUUGGCAUGGGAACUAGCCAAAUUAUGGAUUACAUGGUGCAACAAUCAGGUGGAUAUAACAAUGUUGGCUUCACAAAAAAAGAUCUAUAUAACCAUGUUGAUGCUGAUCGUAGAGUUCAUCUAAGAGAUGGUGAUGCAGAGGGUGCUUUGGCUUAUUUGUGUGGAAAGUCUGAAAUGGAUCCAUCAUUUUAUUACAAGUACAAUGUUAAUGAAGACAACCAUCUAGCAAACCUGUUUUGGGCAAAUUCUACUAGUAAAUUGGAUUACGGUUGUUUUGGAGAUGUGUUAGCAUUUGAUACAACUUAUCGGACUAAUGCUUAUAAAAAACCGUUGGUCAUACUAGUUGGCAUUAACCAUCACCAUCAAACUAUAGUGUUUGGAUGUGCAUUAUUGGUAGAUGAGAGUGUUAGCACUUAUACUUGGGUCUUGGAGACUUUUUUUGGAUGCAAUGAAUAACAAGAAGCCUCUUUCUGUUAUUACUGAUGGGGAUAAAGCAAUGCGUAAAGCCAUUAAGAGGAUAUUUCCAGACUCUUGUCAUCGAUUAUGUGCUUGGCAUAUUCAACGCAAUGCAUUCACUAAUGUCCAUGUCAAAGAUUUUACUAAUCAUUUUUCUAAGUGCAUGUUCAUGGAAGGCACCGUUGAAGAAUUUGAAUGUGCAUGGAAUGACAUGUUGGAAAUGUUUAAUCUUCAUGGACAUAAGUGGGUGACAGAUAUAUAUGCUAAGCGUUCUAGAUGGGUAGAGGCUUAUUUAAGGGGGCAUUUCUUUGCUACUAUGAAAAACACACAAAGGUGUGAGAGCAUGAAUGCAUACUUGAAUCGUUUCCUUAAAACUCAUUUGAAGCUGUUUGAGUUUGUCAAGCAUUUUGAUAGAGCACUCUCACGUAUUCGUCAUAAUGAGGCAAAGGCAAAGUUUGAGACACACCAUUCUUCAGCUGUUCUAACAACCAAACUCUAUGCACUUGAGAAAUAUGCAGGGAUUGUUUUCACAAGGCAAUCUUUUCUAAAAUUUAGGGAUGAGAUGAAGAAUGCAGAAUUGUUUUUCCCUGUCAGUACAGAAAAUCAUGGAGGUUAUCGUGUCCAUACAUUGACCAAGUUUAGAAGCCCUGACAAGAUUUGGAAAGUAUGUUAUGGUAAUAGUGAUCGGUCUAUGAAAUGUACUUGUAUGAUGUUUGAGUCAGUUGGUUUUCCAUGUCCCCACAUGAUUGUUGUAAUGAAGAUAGAACACCUUGAAGAAAUACCUGAGACUUGUAUUAUGAAAAGGUAGUCUAAGUUAGCAAAGGAAACGGUCCAAGUUCAUCAUGACAAUGAAAGUCAAGGUGAUGCGACUAACAUCAUACGAUAUGGUGCACUCAGCUCUAUGUGCUCACGGAUGUCUUAUUUUGCAUCUCAAUUGGAAAAAGCUUUUAAAGAGGCUAGAUGUGAAAUACAAAGACUCACUUUUCAAAUGGAAGAACUUUGUAAAAAUUCAGCGGAAGAAAGUGAACGAGAAGAUUUGAAAGCUACAAAACACCAUGUUCGAGAUCCUAUCAUUGUGAAGACGAAAGGUAAUCCGGGUAACUUAAAAGACAAAUUUAAGAAACCAAGACAUUGUGGGAAAUGUAAGAAAGUAGGACACAUUGUUCGAAAAUGCCCAGAGUUCGUCAACACUCACAAUGCAUUUAUCAACAUUGAAGAUUCAAUUGAAGAUAUGGUAUGUUCAAACACACAUUCACUAAAUUCAUUAAUUAUUCACUUUAUAGUUAUUUUUAUUUGGUUAAAUUUGUUGAAAUAAAAAAUUAAAUUCUUUAUAUUAAUACAAGGGGACAUGCCUUCAUUACUAAAUCACAACAUGGAAGGUGGAUCAAGACACGAGACAAAUGAAUUUUCUCAAAAUGUAAGUUUAACAUUUUUUAAGUAAUUUUUAUUAUGAUGUGAAAAAUAUUACUUAUUAGAGUAAUUGAAAAAUUAAAUCAUAUUACAGACAACACUUGGCACAUUUCAGAAUGGUCUAGAAACAAGCUUAAAUGAUUCAUAGCUCGGGUUACAUCCACCAAAUUACUUCACAAACCAAGUAAGAGUCAUAGAAUAACUUAUAUACACCACAUAUCAUAUAUCUAUAUAUUGACAGAAGUUCCUAAACAUUUAGUAUUUAAUCAUAUGGAUUUUCUUUCAAAAUAUUAUGUAUAACUGUAAAUAUUUUCAAUGUAGGUCACCAUGAACCACUUUACAUCCGGAAUUUCGGGAGCAAGUUCUACAUAUCAUAACCAAUGAGUUGUACUACAAUGCAAAAAAUUAUGUACAAAAAAAAAUCAACUCUUAAUUGUAUUCUAUACUCUUCUUCUCUUUAUUUUUGCAUGAUUCUGAACUUUAUCUAAUAUUAUAGCUUUCUCACUAUUUUCAUCAUCAAGAAGUAAUUCGAUUGCCAAUUUGUGUCUUAUAGUUGUAGAGUUCCAAUGGGAAGGGGUUGAACUUGAGUCCAUGAAAUCAGAUCUUUGCAUAUGAUUAAUGACAUGGACUCCACAAUCCCACCUAACAAAUAAAAUAAGUAAACAUUUAUCUAGUUAGUACAUAGAAAUAUUAUCUUGAACACAUUAUAUUUGAAGAAACAAUUAUGCUUGCUUACCCAUUGGCUUGCACCUCUACCCAUGUAGGUCUUUCAAUGGGAACACUUGAUAAAUUCUUUAGAUGCCCAUUGAGAUUAAAAAAAUGUGCACACUCUUCAACCUAAUAUUCAUAUCGUUAUAUCUUUUAGCAAAAUAAAACAUGCUAUUUAACAACUAACAUUAAAAAGUAACAAAAUUCAUUAAAAUAUAAGACAUACCACAGUUCUCACAGAUGAAGUUCGCAUGUCAUCCCUUUCUAUUGAUGGUAAUGAAUCCAAUAUAUGAAUAUUAUGUUGAUGAAGAUUUAUAACACACAAAUACCAAUGAUCCGGACAUGUAUCGUGCAUCGGGAUGUAUAUCUAAACAAAACACACAUUUUAGCAUUGAUAAUUAUUUACAACUAUGAUAUGAAUACAACUUCAAAUAUGUACCUUAUUGCAAUCAUUCAUUUCAUCCAUGUGUUUGAUAAUAUGUGUGAACAUCUUGGUAGCAGUUGCCAAUUUUCUACCACCAUGUAAGAUUAUUUGCUAUGCAAAAAAAAAAAAAAAAAAAAAAAAACAUAUAUAUAUCACAAUAUUUAUUAGGUUUAUUUUUUUUCUUUAAUAAGAAAUAUAAUGGAUGAACAUACCGCAAAUGUGGUGGGUAAGUAGCAUCUUGUAGACCGUAUUCCUUUGAAUUUGUUCUCAAAACUAUUAAGUUUGCAUGCAAAUACAUUUAUGAUCUAAAAAUGAAACACAAAAAAGUUAACAAUGUUAAUUAUGUAAUAGAAUUAAUAAGAAUUGGGUUUAUCCUUGUAUUACUCACCACAUCGAGUAAUUCUUGUCUAGGCCCUAAAGUCAAGAAGUCUGCUCGAUUUGCAUGCUCAUAUUGAAAAUUAACAAGAAGUUCACUGCAAAAUAUAAGAUAUUUAAUAAGUAUAACUUUUAAAACAUGACAUACAUAAAGUAUAGUCAAAAUAAUAGGUUUACACACCUUUUGUCCAAUGAAACAUCAAACACAUAAGCAACAACUAGAGACUCAAGUGUACUCAAGGAAUGUGAAUCCUCCACGUUUGGCAAAAUGGACAUGGGGAUUAUCUAUAUUGAAAACAUCUCUAACAAACAUUACUUAUCGUUCACUAUAUUAUUAAGUAUUUAAAAAAUACUACAUCAAUGAAGUAACAUAUUACCUCUAAUAUCUUUUGUGAUCCAACAACUAUGCUUGGGAAUCUCUUAGGCUUUGACAUCUUAUUGGAUUGAUGAAUGUAGGGUGACACCUUGAAUUUACUAGGCUUGCGUUCCAUUGUUGAUCAUGUUUUCUUCAAUUGACAUGGGAGCACCACCAAUGAACUUAGUUGUUCUUCUUGUUUUUCAACAUAUGGAACAUCAACAUUAACCUAUCAUGUAUUUGAACAUUAGUAUAUAUAUAUAUAUAUAUAUAUAGAACUUUGUAAAAAACUAGGUCUUCAUAAUAUGCAAAUACCUUUUCAUCUUGACAUUGAUUGUUGACAAUGGGAGAAACAUGUAACUCCAUGUGACCACAUGAGUCAUUCUCACUCAAUCUCUCUUCUACGACAACAUUGCUCAUAGGAAAAAACAAACGUUUCAAUUCCAUAUAUUUUUCUUCAAAUUCUCUAAAAGUUGAUUCUUUACAACUUUCAUCCAUAUCAGAAACAUUUGUUUGUAGCACAAAUUUUUUCAACUUCUCAAAAGCUUCCUCCAUACCCAUCAAACUUUUUUCUUCAACCUAGUAACAAAUAAAAAUUUCCAAUAUCAUGAAAAAUAAAGUUUGAGAUGAAUAAACUAAUGUAUAUAAAUAUAGUAUAAAAAAGUACCUUAUGCCCUUCUUCUUGUUGUUCAUGAACUUUUGCAUCUUGUUUAUCACCAUCUUCUACAUUUCUCAUAUCAUUAUCUUUAUGAUCACUUGUUCUCUCAUCUUUCUCAACCACCUUCAUUUUUUCAUCAUUUUCAUUUUCCGCACCAUUAUUUUGCUCCAUAUCCACACUUUGCCCAAUUUUUAUAAUCCAUAUCGUGACCUAUAAUUUAUCCAUAAACUUUAUUAUAAUUGCAACAUCACAUAAACAAAUAAGCUUUUCAGUUAGUAAAUGUAUCUUACCUUUGGAUCAUCAUAACCUCCAAGUGUUUUGAUUUUACGUUUCAUCCUAGAGACCUCAUCAUCUCCCCAUUCAUUUAUACGAGGGCUAUAUGCAUUAAAACGUAAGUUCAUACCCUUCUUUGUGGAAAUGUGGUCUAUGUAGAAAAUCUGCAAGAAAUAAAUUCCAAAAUAAUUAUAGAGUUGAAUAUAUCACAAACUCUAUUAUUGUUAAAAAUAUCAUAAUAUAUCAACUUUGUUAAAAAUGUAUUACCAUUAGAAAAAAUAAACAUCCUAAAAUCCCACUGCUUUGUUUCUUGGAUUUAAAGUCGUUUAUGCCUCGUACAAGGAAGAAGAAUACUAUUUGAGCCCAAUUUAUCUUCUUUAUUGAUGCAGUGUCUUGAAGGAGAUGGAGGAAGGAAGGCUUGACACUAACUUUCAUCGUUGGACAUAACAAGGCACCCAAAACAAAUAAUACAAAACGAAUUUUAAAUUCAUCCCCACAUUCCUUUUCUUGCCGUAUUUGGUUUUCUAACAUCAACAAUGGCAAUUUUCUCUUCCCAUCACAAUACAUGUUGUAUAAAUCAUUCCGUUUACUUGUGCAUCUCUCUAUAUCUACCUCCACUCCCUUAGCCUUCAAGCCCAAAAUUAACUCAACAUCCAUUGGGGAUAAUUUAAUGGAAGUGUUAUGCACACUUAAUGUGCAUGAAAGAGUGUCAAAAUUCUCUACCAACCAAUGACAUAAACUAUGAUCAAGUUUAGUACAUUGCAAUCCUAAAAUACCUCCAAACCCUAUUUCUUGUAUGACGGCCUUUUGAAUAGGUUGCAAGUGUUGAAGUAGUUUAUACACCCGAUCAGGCGAACAACGCGUGUGAAGAUACGACUAGAAGUCAUAAAUAUACAUAAGCAUAUAUAUUUUAAAUUGAAAGAAAAUAUUAUCAUAAUUUAAAAACAUAAAUUUCGAAUUUCUUACCUUUGAUGCAUUUUUUGAGUUUUGACCAUUUUGUUUUAUAUAUUCAUGAGGCCAUUUUUUAGACUUCUCUAAGAACUCUUUUUUUUCUCCAUUUGAAAGGGAUUGCCACUUUUUCCCAAUCUCUUUUCGCAACUGUAAUAUUAAAUUAGUUAGGUAUCAUAUAGAGUAUAAAAGUUGACUAAAAAACAUAUUAUGCAAAUAUUCAUGUCUUUUCUUACAUCAUGAUUUAUUAUCAAUUCCUUGUUAUCUUCUUUUCUUGCGAGUACUUGUUCUUGACUGCAAAAAACAUCACAUAAAAAUGAUUAUAUUUUCAACAUGUGAAUAAAUAUCCAAAAUGAAUUAACUAUAUAUGUAUAUAUAUUCUUACAAAUAAUAAAGCCAUGAACCCAUAGGAAGUUUUGGGUUUGAAGGGGGAUCAUUCUCCUCAAAUGAUUGUUUGCUCCUAUUUAAAACACAACAUUAUGAAUGUAAUUUACAACUAAUUAAAACUAUGUACUAUAUUCAAAUAAUUAAGUUACAAAUAUAAAAUCUUACAUAUUUGGCUUUCUAAGUCAAGAUGUAGUAAGACUGCUCAAAAUAAGAUAAACUCCUCUUAUAUUAAGCAACUGUGUAGCCUGCAACAUAGUGAGCAUACCGAUAAGAAUUAAGUUUUGAAUUUGACAACAAGAAUUAAGUUUAAAAAAAAGUCAUUAGUGAGCAUAUGUCCAAAUGUUUUAAGCUCUUUUAUCAUUCUUUUCAUCUCCUUAAGAUCUUGUUUCAUUGUAUGGUUUAGUCGUAUUUUGUAAUUUCCAAAUUACAUUACAAGUCCUCUAAGCUUCGUAGCUGAAAGUACACCAUACUUUUCUUUUAACGCUUCCCACAUUUCAUGAGAAGUUUGAUAUACCUCAUACUCAAUCAUGAGAUCAUCUUGCAUACAACUUAACAACGUUAUGCGAGCUAAAGAAUUUUUUUGUGAGAGAGGCCACAUCAACAAGAUAAAUAUACAUGUCAUGUCUGGCAUAUCAAAUUAUUUACAUGUUAUGUACAAAACAUAAAAGAAAAUGUAAUAAAUAGAAGGAAAACUAAUCUUCUCCCUUGAAACUAAAAGAAACAAUGUUAGGAUUAUACACAGUGUCUUCUAUAACUCUAGAAGUUGUUUUCAAUAACCAUAACCCUCUAAGAUUUUUAUGCCUACUAGAAUUUGAAAAUCUUGCAUUUUGCAAGUUAGGAGAAAUAGAAAGCAUUGUUGUUCGUCUGAUAGCAUUCUUCACGAAGCAUGUUUCCCAGUGUUCCUUGAAAAUAGCUACUAGGUCAUCAAAAGAACUAUUUGUGAAACCAUGAGGCCCUUCUUGAAUGGAUUCCCAUAUAUUUUCAAGAAAUUUUUUCUCAGGUUCUGUUAAUGACAUUUGUAGAAUAUGCAUUUUACGGUUUGACUCUAAGAUAUAUUCCUUUUCGAAACGUUUGAACAUAUUAGCCACAUGAUCCACAUGUUCAUUUGUAGAAUGGCUAGGGUCCCUCUUGUAGUUCAAGAUUGUAUCCAAACACGGCCAAGGUCCACUACCCCUUAGUACUUUCCUAGUUCUCCUCAAUCGUACCAUUUUGCACCUGACCAAAAGAAUUUAAUUUAAUUUUAAUGAGUAACAUAUACUCAUACUUUAAUUAAAUAUUUGAACAAAUGAAAUUUUAAUUAGAAACACACAAUUAUAAAAAAAAAAAAAUGGUUUUUUAUUGUCCCUCAAAUUUUUAUUAUUAUUUUAUACACAAGUCAACAUUCAUAAUUUCAAAUAAACAAUAUAACACUAAUAAAUGGUAUUUUAUAUCAUAUCAAGGUACUUUAUUUGAGAUUUAGGUUCGAAUCCAUGUUGCAUUAUUAUUUCUAACACUAAAAGGUUCAGAAGUCUAGAAUUUUAUUACAUUUUAAAUGAAAAAUAAAAUUAAUUUAUAUAAAAUAUUUUAUUUGAGAUUUAGGUUCAAAUCCAUGUUGCAUUAUUAUUUCUAACACUAAAAGGUUCAAAAGUCUAGAAUUUUAUUACAUUUUAAAUGAAAAAUAAAAUUAAUUUAUAUAAAAUAUUUUAUUUGAGAUUUAAUUUCUAAAAUUUUAUUAAAAAUAUGUGAUAACAAUUUUUUCUAUUAACAUUAAUGUAUUUAAAUAAUUAAAAUUAUAAUAAUUUAUCUUAUCAAAUUAAUAUUAAUUCAUAAAAUAUCGGUAAUAAAAUUCGAAAGUUCAAUUUAUAUAAAAUAUUUUAUUUGAGAUUUAGGUUCAAAUCCAUGUUGCAUUAUUAUUUCUAACACUCAAAAGUCUAGAAUUUUAUUAUAUUUUAAAUGAAAAAUAAAAUUAAUUUAUAUAAAAUAUUUUAUUUGAUAUUUAAUUUCUAAAAUUUUAUUAAAAAUAUGUGAUAACAAUUUUUUCUAUUAACAUUAAUGUAUUGAAAUAAUUAAAAUUAUUAAUAAUUUAUCUUAUCAAAUUAAUUUAAAUUCAUAAAAUAUCGGUAAUAAAAUUCGAAAGUUCAAUGGUAAAUAUUUAAUCAAAAUAUAAAUGGAUAAUUACUAAUGGUAAAGAUUUAAUCAAAAUAAUUACUAAUGGAUAAUUAUUUAUAUACAAAGAGAAAUUCCUAAAAGGCCCUACUACCUCUCACACUCGGGGCUGGGGCAUCAAGAAGCCCUUUUCUCCCUCUAGACCGAGAAUCCCUAAAAAGGCUCCAGCUCCAGUUUACUCUGCCACUCUCAAUCCUCGCAGGUACUAAUCUAAUCAUGUUAUCCUUUUUUUUUCAAUACCCGUUUGAUUCUUAACAAAAUCCAUCCCCCAUUCGAUUUGUUGGAUCUGUUUUAGGGGUCUUUUUGCUUUUGUGCCAUUCGAUUUAAAUUUCAUGAACCCUAAAUCCACGAUUUUUUAGCCAGGUUGAAAUACACAACCUUUGUCUGCAAAUCAUGACCAUAUUACCAAAUAGUAUCUUUUGUUUUUUUAAAAAAAACUGGUCAGAUUUUGCAUCCUUGUGUGUGGCCUGGACUGGUAGGAAAUAUAGGGAAAUUUCCCAAAAAAAAUUCGGUAAAAAUACCAAAAUUUUACUGAUAUUUUUUAAUCGGUCAAAAUAUCAUGUUUGUGCGUGGUCUGGACUGGUAGGAAAGAUCGGGAAAUUUUCCAAAAAAUCAGUAAAAAUAUUGUCUUUCUUAGAAAUAUCGCCGAAAUUUUCGACAUUUCAAUCACUACCAUAUGACAUAAGAUGAGUGAAGUACCUGUUCUGGGAUAGUAGGUAGAGUUGCCUGUAGGGGAGAUUGGUUGCGGAUCCACCAAAGCCCCCUGAUUAUUUUCUUGCUGAUUUCUCCUCUCUCUGAUUUCUCCUUCAAAAUCCCCACUCAGCUCACUCUCUCUGUAAAUAUUCAUUUCACUCGAAAAUUCCAUCUCCACACCCUCAAAUUUCUGAAGCUUAACUCUCUAAAACUCGGGAAAAGUUGUAAUGCCCAUCAAACUAAUAGCUCACCUUUCCGAAAAUAGGCAUCAAGUGUAAUACCCAUCAGACAAAUUUUUGUCUUUGGACAAGAUUAAGCAAGAUAGAAGUGGGAAAUCAGGUGACCAGCAACCUGCUUUUAUUUUUUAUAUAUUUUUAAAUUUUUAAAAAAUAUAUAAACCAAUUGGAUGGUCCGGAUUGAACAUCUUCAUCCAAUGGUCAAAAUUGUUUUUUGGGUAGGUACCGAAGUGGUACUGUAGAAUUUUCCUAAAACAAAUUGAAAAUAAGUAAGUCAUCUGUGAAAUAUAUAUAUAUAGAUUUCAUCUUUUAUACUUGAAUCAUCUCCCCCCUCUUUUUUUUUCCUAGUUUUGGCCUUAUUUUUUUAAAAUAUAAUAUUUAUUUUACUUUUAAUCAAUGGCUCAUAUUUCGAACAAGUGCACCAGAUUUUCUGAAGUUGUAUAUAUAAUAAUCUACAAGUUACAAUAGUGAUUAUAUUUGAAUAAAAAGAGGGACCCGCCCACUUGCAUGGAUUCUAUAUAGGACACAAACAAAUUGUCUUUAGUGGCGACUGAGGAGGCUUUCUAUGACUUGAAAAAAAAAUAAAACAAAAAUAGUCAUUAAGAAAUCAGUGCCAUGUAGUUAGUGUCCGCCACUAUCUACACUUUCUUUAAAAGAACAAAAUUGUCAUUUUCUUUUAUCUCAAAAAUCACUGAAUCGUACAAAAUAAUAUAAGAUAAGAUUCAAUUCAGUCUUUUUUGGCCUCAUAAGAAAACCUUAGCCAACUCAAGGUGACCACUACAGAAUCAAAAUAGGUUUUCUUUUUCUUCAUAGAUAUAUAGCUAACCAUUCAGCUUUGGAUUGCUGGAAUAGAUUCGACUAUUUGUAUCAAUCAGAAGAGAUUCCUCAAGCUUUGGCUGCUAUGGCUCUAAAUGAAGAAGAUAAGGAUCCUAAUUUUUAUGUGGACUCGAGAGCAACAACCCAUAUAACAAAUGACCUAGGUAAGAUUACCCAAGUAAUUCCAUAUAAAUACAAAUGACCUAGGUAAGAUUACCCAAGUAAUUCCAUAUAAAGGGCAUGAUGUAAUUUUUGUUGGAAAUGGAGAAGCUUUAAGAAUCUCACAUAUUGGUGAAGCUAGACUAAAAACUAAACAUAGAGAUCUAAAGCUUAAAAAAUUAUUGGUUAUUCCAAAAAUUAAGAAAAAUUUGUUAUCCAUUGGACAACGUACCUCAGAUAACCCAUGCUCCAUAGAAUUCUCAUCAACUAGUUUUGUCAUUAAGGAUCAACUUCAACAAGUGCUAGCCAGAGGAACUAAGAAGAGAGGUCUCUAUGCAUUGGAGGAAAAUGUGAUUCAAGCCAUGAUAGUUACUAGGUCUAGCAAGGCACCAUAAGAAGUGUGGCAUCAACACAUGAGGCAUCUACAAACAAAAUCUAUAAAGCUUUUGCAAGAUAAGGAUUUCAUUGAAGUAUCUAGUUGGAUGAAAUCAGCAAUAGUAUGUGUUAGAUUUCAAUUAGGAAAAAGUUGUAAAGUUUCUUUUGGCUUAAGAAAUAAAAUUUCCAGCAAUCCUCUUGAAAAAAUUCAUUGUGACUUAUGGGGACUUGCACCAAAUAAUUCGACUCAAGGAUACAAGUAUUAUGUUGUCUUUAUUAAUGAUCAUACUCGCUAUACAUGGCUUUAUCCCUUGAGAAGAAAAUCAAAUUUCUUUGAAUGUUUUUUGAAGUUUCAAAAUCUAGUUGAGAAUCAACUUGAAAGACAAAUAAAAAUCUUCCAAAGUGAUGGUGGAGGUGAGUUUCAAUCAAUUAAAUUUCAAAAUCACCUGAGCAAGUGUGGAAUUUUGCAACAAGUCUCAUGCCCAGGAACUCCAGAACAAAAUGGGGUUGUAGAGAGAAAGCAUAAACACAUUGUUGAAAUGAGUUUAACAAUGAUUUUCAAUGCCAAACUACCAUUGAGUCUAUGGGUAGACGCAUUCCAUACUAUCGUAUACCUCAUUAAUCAGCUGCCUUCCAUGGUGUUGAAAAUGGAGAGUCCAUUCUUUAUGCUCUUCAAACAAUAUCCAGAAUAUAGGAGCUUGAGAAUUUUUGGUUGUCAAUGUUUUCCAUACCUUUGAGACUAUGGGAAGAAUAAAUUCUCACCUAAGACAUCUCCAUGUGUUUUUAUUGGAUAUAGCUCUCUACACAAGGGUUAUAGAUGCUUGCAUCCUUCAACUAAAAGAGUUUACAUAUCUCAUCAUGUCAUCUUCAAUGAAAAUUGCUUUCCUUAUGAUAACUCUCUUGUUAAGAAAAGUCAUUUAUAGUUUCUUAUAGAAAUGGUAUCAUUCUCAACUUCAGAUGUUUCUUGUGAGACAUCAAAAAUAGAUCACCAAACUAAGUCUUGGAAGGAGAACACUGCCAACCAAUCAAGCAACUCCAAGAAGUGCAACCAUUAGCCAUGCACUACUGGGCAAAGAAACCAGUUUAGUGUUGACGGAAGAAUUUCUACUAGUUGCAUUACUAACCAAAAUACAGAAGCAUCAUGUGCAAAACCGAUUGGAACUCCCACUGCUAUCACUGUUGAAAUUUCCACUGUUGCUGCUAGUAAAAAUGACCAUAAUACCGUCAUUACUAUUGAAACUCCCACUGAUGUUGCUCUUGGUUCUAGUGGCCACAAUUUCAACACUGCUACUACUACUGGAACACUCUCCUAGAUUGAGUCUACUAGUAGCUACAAGCUUGCUAAUGUUAGUAAUUUUCCUGAUAUCAGUAAGCACCUAGUAGUUGAUCUCUCUUUUCCUUAAAAAUGGCAGAAAAAUGAGCAUGUUGGUUCAUCUCCGCAAAACAAAUCCACCAGUCACAAUGUUGAUGAUAAAGUUCUUGAUAUUAGCAAGCAAAUUGUUGUUGACAUCUUUUCUCCUCAGGGCCAACACACAGAUAACAAAGAAGCUCAUAUGAUCACCAGAAGUAAACUCAAAAAUGAUCCUAGUUUAAAGUCUUAAAUGGUUACUUUUGCUGCCACAAGAAGUAAUAUUAGUGAGCCAAAAACAUAUCAUACAACAUUGAAAAUUCCCCAUUGGUCCAAACAAUGCAAGAGGAAAUUAAGGUUUUAAUCCAAAAUUGAACAUGGGAUUUGGUUCCUAGGCCUCCAACUACAAAUAUUGUGGGUUUUAAAUGGAUGUUUAAAACAAAGCUAAAGGAAAAUGGAACCAUAGAUAGAUACAAAGCACAAUUAGUUGCUUGAGGUUUUUCUCAAAUAUCAGCUUUGGACUUUGGAGAGACCUUCAGCCUAGUUAUAAAGCAUACUACAAUAAGAUUGAUCCUUUCAUUAGCAGUAACCUUAGGGUGGACAAUGAAGCAAUCGGAUGUUAAGAAUGCCUUCCUACAUGGGUUUCUAAAGGAAAAAGUAUUCAUGGAACAACCUCUAGGAUUUAUAAACAAGGACCUUCCGAAUCAUGUAUGCAAAUUGAAUUGUUCUCUUUAUGGCCUUAAGCAAGCUCCAAGGGCCUGGUUAAAUAAACUAUUUCAAUGUCUUCUUCAUCUGGGGUUUUACUAUGGUAAAAUAGACUCGUCUCUAUUUAUUCUUCCCAAAGGUCAGUCUAUUGUUUUGCUACUUAUCUAUGUUGAUUAUAUUAUAGUCAUAAGCUAUGAUAACAACAUCAUUAGUGACCUCAUCAGCACCCUGAGUAGUGAAUUUUCUCUCAAGGACUUAGGAUCUUUGCAUUAUUUUUUGGGAUUGGAGGUGAAAUAUCUUCUUAAUGGGUUGUUUCUUUCUCAAGAAAAGUACACUAGAGAUCUCUUAGAGCACACAAAAAUAAUGGAGUGUACUCAUAUCAACGCACCCAUAGCUCUUAAGUCCAUCAUCACACCUUCUGAUGAACAACCUAUUGAUCCUACAUGAUAUAGGCAACUUGUUGGAUUCCCCCAAUAUUUAACCUUCACAAGGCUUAAUAUUGUGCAUGUAGUAAACAAGGCCUACCAACAUUUCCAAGCACCCACUAAAGCUGACUUGCAAGCUAUCAAACGCAUCCUUAGAUAUUUGAAGGGAACAAUGGAGCAUGGAAUCAGGUUUUUCAACCAAAGUUCGCUUCGUCUCACUGGUUUUUGUGAUGUUGAUUAGGCGGGAUGCACAAACACAAGAAGAAGCACAUCUAGGUAUUAUAUUUUUCUGGGAGCCAAUUGUAUCUCAUGGUCCUCAAAGCGACAACCUAAUAUUUCUAGAUCAAGCACCAAGGCCAAAUAUCGAUCCCUUGCGUCCAGUGCUGCAGAAAUAACUUGGCUUACUUUCCUUCUCCGUGACAUUGGCAUUCAACUACGUGAACCUUCUCAAUUGCUAUGCGAUAACCUCAGUGCCCUUCACAUGACAGUAAAUCUCGUCUUCCAUGCAUGUUCUAAGCAUAUUUAGUUGGACUAUCAUUUUAUUCGGAAAGAAGUUGCAAGUGGAGUUUUGAUUACUUGUUUCCUUCCAUCGUCUUUACAAGUAGCUGAUAUAUUCACAAAGGCACUCCCUAAGACUUCAUUCCAAGUCUUUCGAUUCAAGCUAGAGUGCACAAGUUACCACUCACUAGCUUGCAGGGGGCUGAUAAAGGAAAGCCAAACUCAGCCAGCAUACAAUCCAUGCCAAAGCAAUCUUUACGUGAGAAGUUAGUAAUGCAAUCUAUCAGGAAGGAAAACUACUCUCAAUAUUUGUAAUGUGGAAAAUCAAGGCUGGAAGGAAAUAUUCACUUACCUGUUCUAUAUAAUAUUCCCUUUUCUAUGCAAAGAAAGUAUGUAUUGUUUAUUUAUUUUUUAGAAAAAAUCAGUAAAGCAUGGUAAAAAUUCAAUCUUUCAAAAAUAGUUUAUGUUCUUCAUGCAUGGAUAAUAAAUCGCAUGGAUAAAUUGUAUUUAGCAGCGGCUGAAGCUUUCUAUAUGACUAAAGAGAAAAAAAGUCAUUAAAAAACUAAUUGCCAUGUGACUACGUCUACCAGUAGAUAGCUGAGAACAAGGUCUAACUUUUAACCUUUUUUACUACCUUUACAAAGGAACACAAAAUUGAGAGAUUCAAAGACAACUAUAGUAUAAAUAUUGUUUCAUAAAUUACUUUUCAAAUUUAAUUUGAUAGCAAAAAUUUAAAAUACAAAAGUAUGAAAAAUUUGUUCCAUUCCCAAAAUUUUUGCAAAUAAAAUUUUAAAGUAAUAAAUUAACACCAUGACUCUUUUCACAUCUUAUUCUCCUUUCUAUCAAAGCAAUGAUAGUAAUAAUCUUAUCUAUAAAUUUUAAAUGAGGGAAGAUCAUUGAAUUUUUAUUUUCUUUUAAUUUCUUGUUAUGUAAUUAUCAAACACAUUUUUUUUUAAGACAAGAAAAAAAUUAGACUGAAGAAAUAUACUUUUGCUUUGAUUUAGUCACUUGGAUUGCAAUUUGAAGGAUGACAAUAAAAGUGUAUUAUUGGAGUUAAAGAUCAAUUGAAAGCUUGAAGUGGCUUGUUCUUGAAUGAAUUUAAUGAAUGGCGAAGAAUACGUGUGUUGUAAUUUUUUGGAUUUGUAGGGGAAUUUUAUGAAGCUCUUUUCUCUUUGUGAAGCUUCUUUUUUUGUGUGAUUUUUUUUCUUCAUCAUUUUUAUUCAAGGAAGUUGCAUAUAUUUAUAGAUGAAAUUAAAAAAUUAAAUUUAGAAUUCCUAAGAUUUGAUUACUUAAUUAAAAAAAAUUGGUUUCUUGAUUUUAGCAACUUGUCUCCUCUAUUAAGAAAGUUUUCUAAUAAGAGAAUAUUUAAUUAUCAUUUUCUUUUGACUUCAAUUAGAAGAUUUGAUUCGUUUGUUCAUAAAAUUUGAAAACAAAAAAAAAUUAUUUCUAUUUUUUUUAUUUCAAUUGUUUAAUUUAAUUUGAUUUUGCAAGACUUUAUUUUAUAGGCUACAUGUCAUUUUUUGAAUUGCAUGUUACAUAUUCAAUAUACAUGACCCAUCACUUAUUAAGCAUAAAUUUCGUUGGCUAAGGAGUUACAAUUUUGAAGACUAAUUUGAUAGUAUUUUGAUCCACUAAAAUUUUUUAUGUCUAGAAAUGCCCCAUCUUCAAGACCAACACACACAUGCAUUGUUAUGUAUAAAAGGUGAGUCUUGAAGUUAGCAUUUUGAAUCUUUAAUAUCCUUCUUUGAUAUUUUUUUUUUCAAAGAAAUAUUUUAAUAGGAAAUUUCCUAUUUCAAAAUACCUUUCUUAAACUGCUUUAUUUUCUUCCUUUUUUUCUACCUGGUAUCAAGGAAAGACUUUGUGUUAAUGGGAAAGUUUCUUAUUUGAACAUGUAUUUGCUUUUCUCAUGGUAUUUUCACUUCCAAUUUAUCAUCCUACAUGAAGUCUUUCACCCUUGGUCGAUUGUAUCUUAGACUUGAUCACAUGCCUUUAACUUGUAAUUCUUGCUCCACUUUAUUUAUUUUAUUUUAUUUUAUUUUUAAAAAAGAAUACAAUAUAUAUGAGCAAGACCUUGAGCAAGAGGAGCAAGGUGGAGGAUGGAGCAUGAGCUAGCCUUAGGGUAAGACCUUGAGGAAGAGAAGUAAUGUGGAGUGUAGAGCACAAACUUCUCUGGAGCAUGGUAGGUAUACCAUCACAGAAUUGUCUUCCACAUGGAGCAUGGUAGGGCUUAUAUAUAUGAUAGGGUGUGCCAUCAUGUAACAAUGAAGAACAACAAUCCAUGGUGUACAAUUGGGAACAACAAUUCAUGCUAUCAAGCUUCAACUUUUUUUUUUACCCCCAUCUCCAUUUUUUCAACUUCUUUUUUUUUUCCUUUUCUUUUUCCUUUUUUUUUUAACCAUUGUUUUUAAGGAAGAAAUAGGUUUUCCAUCCCUUACUACGAGGUCAAUCUCCAUCACUUGCAAAGACAAAUUUGCUUUUUGAUAUUUUUUUCUUCAAUAAUUAACUUAACAUUUUAAUAUAUAUUUUUUUUAACAAACUUAAAUAUUCAUAAUAAAAUAAAUAUUUAAUGUCUUUAUUCAUUCAAAUUAGCUUGACUUGAAUACUUAGUAGAUCCAUACUUAACACCCAUGUAGACGAGUUGUAACCUUGAUGGCAGGUUGUGUUGUAUUUUCGACACUUAAUGUGGCUUAAGAGUUAAAGUCUUCUCUCAUACAAAUUACCUUGGUUUGGAUGCACAAUGGUGUCUAACUUUUUAACACUUUAUUAAACUUGGAACCAUAUUUAACACCCACGUAGACAAGUCAUAAUCAUGACGUGGAUCACUGCUUUAUUUUUAGCUCUUAAUGUGGCUUAAAUAUUAAAUUCUCCACUCAUACAAAUUAACUUGGGUUAGAUGCACAAUGGUGUUCAACUUGUUAAUAGUUAAUUAAAAUUAGAACCAUAUUUAACACCUAUACAAACAAGUCAUAACUUUGACGUGGAGCAGUGUUGUAUCUUCGGCUUAAUGCCGCUUAAGUGUUAAAGUCGUCACUCAUAUGAAUUAGCUUGACUUAGAUGCAUAGUUAUAUUAUACUUUUUAACACUUAAUUUAAAUUUGGACCAUAUUGAAAACCCAUGUGAACAAGAGAUAACCUUGCAGUGAUGUUAUAUUUUUGACACUUAAUGUAGCUUAAAUGCUAAAGUCUUCACUUCAAUGAAUUGGUUCACCUUGGAUGAAUAGUGAUGUCUAAAGUGUAAUAAUUAAAAUUGAAACCAUAUUUAACACUCAUGUAGACAAAUCAUAACUUUGACGUAAUGGCAUUGUAUUUUUUACACUUAAUGCAGCUUAGGUGCUAAAGUUUUCACUCAUGAGAAUUGGUAUGAGUUAGAUGCAUUGUGGUGUCCAACUUUUUAACACUCAAUUAAAAUUGGAACCAUAUUUAAUACCUAUGUAGAUAAGUCAUAACCUUGAUGCAAAGUGAUAUUGUAUUUUUGACACUAAAUGCAACUUAGGUGCUAAGUCUUCACCCACACAAAUUGGUUCAUCUUGGAUGCACAAUGGUGUUGAAUUUUUUUAACAUAUAAUUAAAAUUUGAACCAUAUUUGACACUCAUGUAGACAAGUCAUAACCAUGAUGUAGAGUAGUGUUGUAUUUUUAACACUUAAUAUGACUUUACUGGUAAAUUCUUUACUCAUGUGAAUUGGCUUGAUUUGGAUGCACAACUAACUUUUUAACAUUUUAUUAAAUUGGGUAUCAUAUGUGUUGUUUUUUUAACACUUAAUACGACUUUAGUGGUAAAUUCUUUACUCAUGUGAAUUGUGUUGAUUUGGAUGCACAAUGAUACCUAACUUUUUAACAUUUUAUUAAAUUGGGUAUCAUAUUUAACACCUAUGUAGACAAGUCAUAACUUUAAUGUAGAGGCAGUGUAAUAUUUUUGGCACUUAAUACUGCUUAAGUGCUAGAGUCUUCACUCAUGUGAAUUUUCUUAGUUGGGAUGCACAAUGGUGUCUUAACAUUUUAACAUUUAAUUAAAAUCAGAACCAUAUUUAACACUCGUGUAGAGAAGUCAUAACCUUGACAUGGAGUAUUAUGCAAUGUUUUGAUAUUUAAUAUGACUUAAGUGCUAAAGUUUUCACUCAUGCGAAUUGACUUGACUUGGAUGCAUAGUGAUGUCUAACAUUUUAACACUUAAUUAAAAUUAGAGCUAUAUUUAAUAAUCAUGUAGACAAGAAAUAACUUUGACAUGAAACAGUAUUGUAAUUUUGACACUUAAUGUUGCUUAAAUGCCAAAGUCUUCACUCAUACAUAUUGACUUAGCUUGGAUGAAAAGUGGUAUCCAACUUUUUGACACUUUCUUAAAUUUGGAAUUAUGUUUAACAUCAAUAUAGGCAAGUAAUAACCUUGACGCAAAGUGAUGUUAUAUUUUUAGCACUUAAUAUAGCUUUAGUGCUAAAAUAUUCACUUCUAAGAAUUGACUUGGCUUGGAUGCAUAAUGGUGUCCUACUUUUUAACACUUACUUGAAAGUGAAAUCAUAUUUAACACCCAUUGUAUGCUAGUCGUAAACUUGAUAUAGAGCAUUGUGCAACUUUUUAACACUUAAUGCGAUUUAAGUGCUAAAGUCUUUACUCAUAUGAAUUAACUGAACUUAGAUGCACCUUUGUUUCCAACUUUUUAAUACCUAAUUAAAAUUAAAACCAUAUUUAAAAACCAUGUAGACAAAGACAUAAUCUUAACAUGGAGCUAUGUAUAACUCUUAACACUUAAUUAAAAUUGAGAUUACACUUAACAGCCACAUAUUCCUCCUAUUUUUCAAUUUUUUCUUGUGGUGAUGAUUGGACUUAACUAGUUUGUCCAAGUUGCCUAUAUACCCUUAACAGAGAGGGAAUCAAGUCAAACUUAGUUCAAAGUAUUUCUUUUAAUCUCUAACUUUUGCCAAGGCUAAUGAUUUUAAUCUUACAAGCUUGUCUUAACUUUUGACCAUAUAUGUAGUCUUUUUAGGUUUCAAUUUAGUGGCCUAUGACUUGUAAAAAUUGAAAAUGACUUCAAUCAUGUGUAAAAAAUAAUAAAAGAUAUUCAUUCAUAGUUUUAGGGCAACAAAAAAUAAUUGAUCCUUUUUUAUAUUAUUAUUAUUGUUGUUGUUGUUAUAAUUAUUAUUUCACCUUACAAAAAAACCUUCUGCAAUUAAUAUUAUAUAUAUAUAUAUAUAUUAUCUUUUAUAUAUUUAGUUUUUAUAGUAUUUUUUAAUUUAAUAUAUAUAUUUUUUAAAUAUCGAUACUUUCGGUCAAUGUCUCAAAUUUAAUAAUAUUUUAGAAAGUGUUUAUAAUAUUUUUAACACUUGAAUGAUAAAAAAUUUUAAAUAUUAAAAAUGUUAAAGACACUUUCUUAAAUUACUACCAAACGGGUUCUAACUUCAAAACUAUUUUUCAAAUUCUAAGUUUAGCUUAGUGGUGAAUGCAUUUAGGAUCACCAAGGAGGCCAUCAAGGGACUUCAGAAGAGAAGAUCCCAUAAUUCUAGUUUUGUAUUUGAUUGCAUACAUCCUACCAUAUGGAGAAGGUUCCUUAGGAUGCUUAUUUAUCCGCUUAUGUGAAUUAUGUACAAAAUUGCAUUUAAUAUGCACAUAAAAUUAAUUGAAUUAUGUGGCUUUUUUUUUUUCCUUUUUCUUUUACGCAUAAUAUAACAUAUACAAUUGGAAGAGAUCCCGAGAUUCUGAUUUUAUAUCUGGCUUUAGGGAUCAUAUUGGGGCCUCAAAAUUCAAUAUCACUGUCAGGUUGUGGACAGUCCACCCAGCUGGAGCAGAUCCCCUGGCUUGUGGAUAUGUCAACAAUUGAAAAAGUCUGCACCCAUUUUCAAUGUUCUUAGGUUUCGAAGUUAUCAGCAAACAUUCAUUGUGGACUAGGUACAUGGCUUGUACAAAUUGAAAAUGACUUCAAAUAAUAAAAGAUAUUUAUUCAUAGUUUUAAGGCACGCAACGAAAAUAGAUUUUAUUUGUUUGUAUCUUAGAAUAAUCUUAUUAUAUUUGUAUAUAUAUAUAUAUAUAUAUAUAUAUAUAUAUCUUAUCUUUUAUACAUGCAUAUUUUUUUUUUCAGUUUUGGUCGUAUAUUUUUAAUUUAAUAAUUAUUUUAAGAAAAAAGAUUUAGAGGCCAUUUGGUAGUGUUUUUUAAAAACACUUCUGGACUAAAAAAAAAUGCUUUUGUUAAAAAAUUAAGAGCAUGUUUGAUAGUGAUUUUAGGAAACGUUUUUAAUAUUUCUAAUAUUUGAAAAUUUUUGUCAUGCAAGUGUUAAAGGGCGUUUGGCAAUGCUUUUAGAAAGUGUUUCUAAUAUUUCUAAUACUUGAAAAAUAAAAUUUCUUAAGUAUUAGAAAUGAUAGAAACUCUUUCUAAAAUCACUAUCAAACACAUUCUUACACUUUCCAUCAAUGUCUCAAAUUUCAAAUAUGUACAUGCUCUAGAAAUUCUGAAGGUGUAGGCUUGUAGCCUAGAAUGUGAAGUGAGAGUUUGAUGAAAAACGAAAUAAACAAAGAUAUAAAAUAUAAUUUGUGAAAAAUUAUGAAAAUAUUGAUUUUGAUAGAUAUAUUAAUAACUCAAUUUUACAGAUAUAUCAGGGUAUAUCCAAAAAUAUUGGUGAAUAUUUUGACACCAAAUAUCAGUAGGAAAAAAUUGAUCAAAACUCAUGAAAAUAUUGGGAAAAAAAACUCUUAAACAUGAUAAAAUAAACAAUAAUAUACUUAUUAAAGUUGGUUUUAUUGUAAAACUUAAAAACACAAAAUUAUCAAUAGAUAUCAAUGAAAUUUUUUUUUAAAAAAAUCAAAAUUAAUAAAAACUCGUAAAAUAUUAGUAAAAACUAAAAUAUAUAUAUAUAUAAGAAGCAAUAAUACACAUAACGAAGUUAUUUAUUAAAAAAAAUGAUAUAGAUUUAAUACAAUUAAUGAUAUUUGAUAAUAAUAUACAUAAUUUAAAAUUUUAAAAUAUAUCUACUAGUAACAUCAUGAUUAUUUAAUAUUCAAAAUAUAAAAGAAAUUAUGAUAUGUAAAUAUAUAUAUAAAUUACUAUGAUGAUUUUUAUAAUUUGAACAAUUUUCAAAUAUAAUAUGAAAAUAAAAUAAUUAAAAUUAAUUUAUUUAUUAUUAUUUUAUUUUAUAAGUCUAGGAGUACAAAUAUAUUUUAUUUAUAUGUGUUGCAUAUUUAAAAAUGCUAAACUAGCUUGUGGCCUACAAUGUCAACUUAGAGUUUGAUGAAAAAGUGCAUAAACAAAGACAAAAAAAUUAAUCUACAAGUACUUGGAUUCUAUUUGAAUAAAAAAGAGCCACCCACAUGCAUGGAUUAAAUAUAUAUCCCAUGGAUUAGUUGUAUUUAGCCACGGCUGAAGCUUUCCACUAUGACUUAACACUACUACAAAAAUAAUUUAUGAUGUCACUAUUUAUGGUGUCGCAUUUAAAAUAAUGACACCAUUGAACUUAAAAUUUAUAAAGGUGACACAUCAUAUAAAAAAUCUUCAAUUAGGAUAGUUAGAUGAUGCUAAUUUCAAAUUUACGGUGUCUUUUUUUGGAAGUGACACCAUAUGAAAUAAAAAGUUUUAAAUUUUAUAACUCAAUGGGCCCUUUUUCAAAAUAGUGAGUAGGAACAAUUUAUGAAAAGUCUAUUGUUUCCAUAUAUACAUUAACUAAUAUAAAAGAUCUUAUUGCUUAACCCUAACCAUCGUUUUCUUCUCCUUCUUCUCACACCCAUGGUCGGCACACCCAUAAUUGAUAUUCUUUGCUUCAUAAAAUCUCGGGUAAGUCAAAAUCCCUUAUCUAUCAUCUUCAUUUUUUUUAUUAAUGCAAAAAACUUUGUUAGUAUAAUUGUUUUAUAUCUCUUGAUUUAGUAUAUCUAUGAUGUGGGUUUUGUAAAUGGUGUUUUUUAUCGAGUUCCAUGGAAGUAAAAACUAGGUUUAACAUUCUAACAUAUUUUUUGUUUCAUUGCUAAUAAGCCCCAAAACAAAUGAAAACAAGAAAAAUGAAUUAUUUUUAAAAAUUUUGUCUAAUUGAGAAUGAGAGAUACACUAGUUUGUAGUAAUUUUUCGCAUGAAAUAAUAUUUUAUUGAAGACUUGACUAUAUAGUGUAUUGGUUGUAAUUUUUCACAUGUGAAAAUAUUUUAUUGAAGACUUGACUAUAUUUGAUACUUUUUUCCACCGUGCUAGGAGCUUUUUGGUGAAGUCUAACAAUAGAGAUUGACAUCUACUACAAGAUGAUGCUCAAUUAAUCCAAAAGCACUUAAGUUAUUUAGGGUUUUCUUCAGUUAACCUAAGAAAACAUUCCCACUUUCUUUGUAUUGAGUCACCUAAAUAGAAUAGAAUAUUGGGUAUUAGAGUGGUAAAGGGUAUUAUAAAUAUGACUUUUUUUUUUAGAGUCACCUACAUGGAAUGAAUUAUUGGUAGGUGAACAAAAUAUUGGGGUGAUUGUAAUAGUUGAAUUAGUAAAUGGAAGAUAAGUGUAUGUUGCUUUGUUUAUUCUAUAAAAACAAUAAUUUUAGUAGUUGAAAUUUACAUGCUUUGUUGUUUUAUAAAAACAAUAAUUUUAAUAUUUGAAAUUUUAAAAUGUGAAUGAAAUGCCUGAAAAUAUGUUUUGAAAAAUAGGAUAGUAAUAAAUGUUUAUAGCUCAUUUCCUAAAAAUAUUUUGAUAAAUUAAAAUAAUAUGUGGUUAAAAUAUAUUUUUGUGAAAGUAUUUAAAAAUGAAUCAAAAUAUUAAUAAUUGUUAUUUUGUUUGAAAAUAAUUUAGGAAUAUAAAAUAAUAUUGGGGAUAAUUUUUGAGUUUAAAUUGGGUUAUAAACGGUUAAUUUUUUUAGGAUUGUCUUUUUUGAAAAUAAUCCAAUGAUAAUUUUUUUAAAUAAGAAUGUUGAAAAUAAUUUUAAAAAUAAAAUUUUGUUGGCAAUGAUUUUUCUAAAAGUAUUUUAGGCAUAAAUGGAAAUUUCUUGUAUGAAAAUAAGAGAAUUUAUAUAUAUAUAAUAGACAUAAAAAUAGACUUCUUUGAUAUUUAAUAAACAAGUGAAUUUUUCUCCAAAAAAGGAAUAAAAUAAGAAUUUCUCUAUUUAAUAAAAUAAUUUAUAUAUGAGAUAGUUUUCAAUAAGAAAGUUUUGAAAAUAAAUUUGGGAUAAAAUAUUUUUUAGUAAGUUUUGUUUAGAUAAUUCAAGAAAAAAGUGGUUUAUUAACUUUUCUUAAAAAAUAACAUUCUUCUUUCUUUUUUGAAUUGAUCAUUUUUUUUAGAAAUAAAAUUGUUAGAUUCUAUUUUUUGUAAAUGUUUAAGAAAUUCUAAAAAAUUCUUUAAAAAUAAAAUGACCUUUCUACCACAUUCCUUGUAAUAAAUAACUGUUUUUUUAUACAUAUUGUAAAGUAAAAAAAGAAGUCUUUGUUUAGUUAACCUAAGAAGACAUUCCUACUUUUCUUUGUGUUGAGAGUCACCUAAAUGGAAUAAAAUAUUCAAUAUCAUAGGAGAGUAAAAAGUAUUAUAGAAAUGAUUUUGUUGAGAGAGUUAUCUAAAUGGAAUGAGAUAUUGGUAGGUGAAUAAAAUAUUAUGGUGAUUGUAAUAGUUGACUUAGUGAGGGGAGGAGAAGUGUAUGCUUCUUUGUUUAUUCUAUAAAAACAAUAAUUUUAGUAGUUGAAAACGUGUAUGAAAUGACUGAAAAUAUUUUCUGAAAAAUAAGAAAAUAAUAAAUGGAUAAUAGCUCAUUUCCUAAAAAUCUUUGAUAAAUUAAAAUAACUUGUAGUUAAAAUAUAUUCUUGUGAAAGUAUUUAAAAAUGAACCAAUAUAUUAAUAAUUGUUAUUUUGUUUAAAAAUAAUUUAAGAGUAAAAAAAUAAUACUGAGUUCAAAUAUGACUACUUUGUUAUGAGAUUCAUUAAAUAAAUAAUUGUUGAUUUUACAGUUAUUGCAUCAAAGGUUUUACUCGUUUAAUGAAUUGUACAUAAUUUCAUACUUUCAAUUAUUGUGAUAUUAAUGUUAUUCUCAUUUGAUUUCAGUUUGAUGACAAAUAAAACAUAUUCUCAAGUAGAAUUUGAUGAAAUUAGAGAAGAAUAGAUUACUUUUGUGUUAUAACUAAUCAUGAAUCAUAUUGAUGUAUCGUGAUCAUUCAUGGUAAGUCCCUUAGUUGUUAUAUGAUUGAAUUUUCCAUUGGUAUUGUAUAACAUUACUUAUUCUUUACGGACUAUUUUUAUACCAAAAUGAGAAAAAGGAAAAAGAAAAAAAAACAUUAGUACUUAGAUUUGUUUAUUGUUUAUAACAUCACAUUUUUAUUUUCAAUAAGAACUCUAAAACUCAUUAAACUAUGAAAUGCAGGUAUACACUCUUGGGAGGACAAUAUGAAGAAUAAAAAGAAAGGAGAAAGAGGCAACAAGAUUUAGGUUUUUAGAUAUGACUCUUAUGUCAUACAUUAUAGGACAUAAACAUUACUUUAUUUGGAAUUGAGAAUUUUGGGUUUUUGGAUGCAACUCUUGUGUCAUUUUAUGGUUAGCCGGUUUUAUGCAUAUGAAAUGCAAGUAUACAUGAAUGUUGGGAAGCUUAACAUUUCUAAAUCAUGUUUUAAUGUGUAUUCACUUUUCUUUUUUAGUUUUGGUGGGUUUGAUGUGUUUGAUGUACUAUCAUUUUGUGAACAUUUGAUAUAUAAAUAUUAUUGGAUGAUGUAAUAUGUUACAAAUUAAUUCAUAGGCACUAUGAAAAUAUAAGUUAAAUGUAAUAUGAUUAUCAUAUUUAUGGACAAUUUACACAGGUUGGUCUUAUUUAUUAAUAAGCAUUACAAAAAUCUACAAACUAAUCAACAAAAAACAACCAUAUCUUCCAUAAUCAUUUACAAUGAUGCGACACCAUAAAUUAAAGGUGAUACAUUUAACGUGACACCAUAACUCAAAGAUGAUGCAUUUAAUAUGACAUCUUAUAUAUCUCAUACAACUCUAUAUCAAAUUAAGCAUCACUAAAAAUAUAUGGUGUCUCUUCUGAAUGUGUCACCAUUUAUCUGCUUUGGUGUUGCUUCCAAAUACGUCACCAAUUGAUACCCUCUAUGGUGUCAGUGGAUAAGGUGACGCUAUGUUGUAGUGACACCCUAUGUUUAUAGUGACUUAUUAUAAAUGUCACCAUAUAUCUUUUUCCUUGUAGUGUAAAAAAAGAGAGGAUAAUGUCAUUAAAAAACUGAUUGCUAUGUGGCUAUGCCUGCCAGUAGAUGGCUGAAAACUAAGUUCUAUUCUUUUCGAUAGUUGAGAGAUUCAAUGGCAACUAUCGUCGUAUAAACAAUGUUUCAUAAAUUACUUUUAAAUUUUGACAGCAAAGACUAAAAUUGUAAAACCAUAAAAAAUUUAUUCCAUUCCCAAAUUUUUUAAAAUAAAAUUGAAAAUAAUAAAUUAACGCCCAUGACUGUUUUCACAUCUUAUUCUCAUUUCUAUCAAUGGAAUCAUCGUAAGCAUCUUAUCUGUAAAUAUGGCCUAGAGCCAUAAAGCUGCCUUUUCUUUAGUCCUAGAGCCAUUUCAUGAGCUAAUAGUAGUCUUUCCUUAGCAUUUCCAGCCCAAAGCUCCCAUUUCCUUAGGCCUAGAGACGUUUUCAGCCCAGAGCUGCUGUUUCUUUCGGCCUAUAACCAUUUUCAGCCCAAAGCUUCCUUUCCUUGGCAUAUUAGCCCGAAGCUUCUAUUUCUUUAGGCCUGGAACCAUUUCAACCUAGAACAUUUGUUUCUUUGGGCCUUGAGCCCCUUUCAACCCAGAACUGUCAUUUCUUCUAAAUAACUUCUCUUUUAAAAGACUUCAAUUUGUUUUUCAAGUCACAAAUUUUGAGGCUUUGUUCCAGGUUUGAAGAAGCUGGUAAAAAUCUUCUAUUUAACAUUUCAACAGUGAAUCGAAUUAAAUAAAUAAAUAAAUAAAUCUUGACGACAUAAAGUAGGACAUGGCAUAGUUUGAAACACAUAAUUUUCACCAUUCAAAUGCAAAACAUAUUAACUAAUUUCAAAUGCUAUGUGUUGUUUCCUUCUACAUUUUCUCUUUAUUUUUUUUUCGUAUUUUUCUUCAAAUUUUUUGAAAACCAAACAGAGCCUAAAAGAAAAGAUAAUUUUACUUAUUUUGAAAUUUCCUUAUAUAUAGCUUAUAUGGAAAGUUGUUUCGUGUUAACUUAAUGAAGCAUUUAUAAUAUUAAGAUCGCCCUUUCAUAAUCAUGAGUUAACCUUAGUUUCAACUUCUACAAGAGGCUAAAUGAAAAAAGCUAUCACAGAGAAGGCCUCAGCCAAUGAGUGGAAAAUACAAUUUUAUUAAUACUUGAUACCAAAAAAAAAAAAAAAAGGGAUGAUUUUACAUUCAAACCGAUGAUUUAUUUCUGUUGAAGUGCAGUCUCCAUAUGCACAUGUGACUGCAUUUACAGGAUAAAGAAAGACAAGGAAAUUAACAAUGUUGGACUUACUGGAAAAUCAUACAAAUUAUUGAAGGAGGACCUUAGCUAGGCUGACUGUCUCCUAAAUUGCCCAUCUUUUAUAUAUCUUUGCAAUCAUGCAUCUCAUCAUCAGCUUUGAUUUUAGAUGGUGAGGAUGUGAAAGUAACAGGAAGCAGUGGACGAUUGUUCACAGUGAGGCUUAGCACAUCAGCUCUCGAAUAAUGUCCUACCACAUCGAACUGAAACUUUGCUUUAGGAAUCUCUCCACGAACAUCUGCAUAUCAAGUGAUCAUCAAAAUAUUUGAGCAGCCCGUGAUAAAUAUCAUAGAGUAUCAAGUCUUCC